rnacentral:lncRNA from 1 species
UUCAUCUCUGUCUCAUUUCCAAAUUCAUUUAGAAUAUGACAAUUUGAAAUUAAAAUGUAAGAUCAUAUUCCUAAUCACUAACUAGGCCCUUUCUUCAUAUCUUGCACACAUUUCCAAUUUCGUUUGAACUCAUUUAUCAGCUUUUAAAUGAUUUAUCAAAUUAUGAUUUUUAAUAAUUAAACAAAAACAGAACGUUUACUUAUUUAUUUUAAUGAAUGCAACUUGCUUGUACACAGAUUCUAGCUUUUUAUAGCCCAAGUAAGAAUUUAACAUCGUGAGCAGACCAAGCCACCAUCUUUUGACUUGACUAGAGGGUGAGAUACAAAAGAAGAUGAGGCAAGGACUAAAAGCAUCUGCAACUUGCUUCUGUUCAAUCAAUUACAAAUUUAAUUAAAGAUUUUGUGUUAAUCUGUUCUUGCUUGGUAAAAUUUUUUUGGUGGGCCAAGACUUAUGGAUGAAUAUGUUUUUUUUUUUAAAUAAUUGUGUUUAAGCGUAAUUUCCGAGAGUUGGCUAGGGCAGGGCACCCUUAGCCCCUCAUUAAAUCCAUCCAUAUUGUCAGACAUUUUGGAUGUGACAGGAGAAGAACUAAACAAGGAGAAAACUCAGGAGGGCAUUGGGAAUAUAUACUGCUGAGAGAGUUGAUAACUUAAUCAGUGGAGGUUAGGGAAAUGAAGAAAAUAAGAAAGUUAGAAAAGAACCAUUAGUAAUGAGGGCGAGGAUAGGGACCUGGAUGACCCAUUUAGCAAGAAUGGUUCGGGAAGGCCUACCAUUGCUAGGGGAGAGCUCAAUCUCUGUUUUUUUUUUUUUUUUUGGGUUGGGUCAAAAGCUAACUCUCAUUGAGAUUGCGCGAACGAAAAUAUGCUUAGAGGGAAAGAGUUUGCCUGUUUUGGCUCUUCACUUUUCUAAUUUUUAAAUAACAAUUUCUUAGUUAACGACUCACAAAUUUGAUUGCUGUUUCCUUUAAAUUGUUUCCUUUUCAAUUGAUUACGAAGAUUUGAUAAUAGAUUUUAUGAAUAACAAUAAUCAGCACUUUGAUGAAGGUAGAGAUCAACGUAUAUGCAUGUGCUUUCAAAUGGAUGCUUACAUUAAACCACUGAUCAAAGGCAUGAUUGGAGCAAAUAUAAAAAUUUCCUAGAGGACCCAAGUGCAUAUGACCUUAAUAAAUAUGAACCUUUGUUAUUAUUGAGUCUCAUGUGAAAACCACAUAAUAUAAGAGUUGAAAUUCAUUAGGGGCACAUGCAUUUGAGGAUGCCUGAUGAAAUAUAGGCAUCGACAUCUUAGCUUUAGUUAACUUUACAUGUGGGCGACAUGUUUAAUUUGUAACCAAUCAAUAAGAGACACGAUUAAUGAAAAUCUCCUCCAUUAGGAAAGUCCAUGCGUCAAGAGGAUGAGGUCCAUGGGAAAGAGAAGAUGUGCAUUACACUGCUCCAAAACAACUUGUAAUAUUGGAUUUAUCGAUAGACACCCCCCCUAAGAAAACUCAUUCAGUAAAUAUUGUGUACAUUCGGAAAUCAGGUGCUUUCUAUCCAGCCUUUUCACUUCUUUAUCUACAUCUUUUAGUGGAGCAGAAGGCAUCUUCUCUUCAUUAAACAUUUUAGUGUUAGUAAUCGUUCAUAAUGCAUGUGCUCUCCACCAAAGAUUAGGAGCCUUGACUAUAGAGCACACAUGUAGAGAUGAAGAUUAGCCAUUCUCUUCUUGUCCAUGAGUGGACACAACCGAAUGAUGUUGCCUUGACGAGAAAGCGCGGUCCAUUGGAAAGAAAAGAUUCACGCCUAAGUCAAUAACUUUUACUAUUCAAUUAGUCAACAGACUGACUUGAUCAUUAAACAUUUUGGAUUCGAAAUCGUUCAGAAAUCAUAUGCUCUCCUCCCAAAAAGCACGUGCUCUGCCUUUUCAUUUGCUUAUCUACUUCUUCUUGUGCAGCAGGUUGGCAUCCUCUCUUCAUUUUUGUCUAUAAGAUUUCAAUGGAGAAAGGGCAAAGUCCGAGGGAGAAAAAGAGAAGGAUUGCUGAGAAAGAGAUCACUGAUGGAGCAUCUGCUUCUUUGUCCUCACCUUUCAUACCCAUGGGAGGAGGUAGCGAUCAAUAUGAUGUGUUCUUGAGCUUUAGAGGCUCCGACACUCGCAAAGAAUUCACUGAUCACCUCUACCGCAGUCUUAUUAGUGUAGGAACUGUACCAAUUUCUGUGUUCAAGGACGAUAACAGCCUUGAAAUUGGCAAGGAUUUUAGUUCAGAGAUUCUCGAUGCCAUCACGCGAUCUAAGAUUUCGAUCCCCAUCAUCUCUGAAAAUUAUGCUUCGAGCAAAUGGUGCCUCCGCGAGCUAGUAUGCAUCAUGGAAUGCCAUAAGAGCAUGUCACACACCGUGUUGCCCAUUUUUUACAAAGUGCUCCCAUCAGAUGUGCGGUAUCUAAAAGGAAAUUUUGGGGAGGCCUUCCACUCACGUAAGAAGCGUUUUGAUAAGGAGGACAUUGAGGAAGGUCAACGAGCCCUUACAGAAGUGAGUAACUUGAAUGGAUGGGAAUCUGAGAAAUUUGCUAAUGGGUACUUACCUUUCGCCUGCACUUUUUAUUUUAUUUUAUUCCCCUAAGUAUUGUUAUUUAGUGAAACCAAUGUCAUAUGGAUGAACUGCUUCCACUACAAGCUUACAAAACAUCCCAAAAUGUCCUAGUGAAUAACCAUAAUAGCCCAUGGACUACAAAUACUUGUACUCCCUAAGAUUUCCCCUGAAAACUACACUAACAACGUCUAAAACAUUAGGAUCCCUUACUAAGUCUUCCAAAGCUUGGUAACUGUCGGAUAAAUUAACCUCCUCUUGCUUCACACAGAUCAUGUCUAGGUUCAAGACCUGCUGUUGCCACUAACUUUCAUUGAUAGGCGAUCUGUAAGUUAAUUAUAAGUCCUCCAUUUAGGCCCGUGGGAUACGCUGGCCUUAGAGGGAGAACAUCUUCUUCUCCUAAACUUUUUGUAACCAAAAUUAUUGACCUCCUAUCCUUCAACUAGCAGUGACCAUAAGCUUCAUAACAAACACUUUACUUCUAAAGAAUCUUAAUUUGCUAGGUGCGCCAACUUAUCUUAUUUCAAUAAGAUCUAUCUAUAAGAAGAAAAGGAAGGGGAAAAAUGAAAUGAUUGCUCCACCAUCAUCCUAUAUUGUCAUUCGUAAAACCAAAACAUUUUGCAUGUUAACUGGUUGCAUCCAUCCUUCACAUAUAUGGGGGUGUCUUUUGAUGAGAUUACGCAAAAAUAUGAAGUUAUGAUGAGUUUUUUCAUUUGACAGGCAUGAAGGAAAAUUAGUGGAAGAAGUUACCAAAACGAUUCUAAGCAAGUUGAGACGUCAAUCUCAGCUUGAUGUUCCGAAGCACCUAGUUGGAGUUGACGAUCAUGUCAACAAAAUUAGGAAUUGGGCAGACAUUCCUACCAGUCAUGCUCGAAUGAUAGGAAUAUAUGGCAUGGGUGGGAUCGGUAAAACGACUCUUGCCAAGGUCAUCUAUAACGAGCUAUCGAAUAUCUUUGUGGAUCGCAGUUUCCUUCCAGAUAUACGGGAAACAGCUAACAACAGUGGUAUUCCUUAUCUACAAAAUCUGCUAAUUAAGGAAAUACUGUCAAUUGAAAAUGCUGUUUGUAAAGUUGAUGAUGGAAUUAAUUUGAUCAAAUCUAGAUUUAAAAGAAAAAGGGUUCUCAUUCUUUUGGAUGAUAUUGAUCACCAAAAUCAGCUAGAUGCUUUAGCUAGAGAACGUGAUUGGUUUACUGCAGGAAGUAUCAUCAUCGUUACAACUAGAUACAAAUUUGUACUUGAUCAGUCUGAGUUUGAGGUGGACUACAAGUAUGAAUUGAACGAAUUAGAUAAGGUGCAUUCCUUGCUUUUAUUUAGAAGACAUGCAUUUCGCAUGGGCCAUUGUCCGGAAGAUUUUGAGGGUAUCUCUUAUGAAAUCUUAUCUACCAUGGGUGGGCUUCCCCUAGCUAUCAAGGUCAUAGGUUCAUACUUAUAUGGAAAAGUAGAUAAAAAGGUAUGGCAAGAUAUAUUGAAGAAAUUGAGAACCGAACCGGAUAGAGAUGUCCAAAAGACAUUGAAGAUAAGUUAUGAUGCAUUGGAAUCUACACAAAAGGAGAUUUAUAUGGAUAUUGCUUGCUUUUUAAUCGGCGAAAACAGCAAAUAUGCCGUUUACAUGUGGGAGGACUGUAAGCUUUUUCCAUAUCUUGGAAUUGAAGAGUUGAAGUUGAGGUGCUUAAUAAAAAUUGGAGGUCGCGGUGAAUUUAUGAUGCAUGACCAAUUGAGAGAUCUUGGAAGGAGCAUCUUUUGCCAAGGACAACCGCCCGAGAGAUGUUUGAAGCCAUGGCUCAAAGACAAAGCCUUGAGAAGUAAAAUGCAAACAGUGGUAACAUAUGGCUCUCUUCUCUCUCUCUCUCUCUCUCUCAUAAUUCCAUAAAUUUAAUGUGAUCCAUUUUAGUCUUUUAUCUGGUAUAAGCAGAUACCCUACUCUUUAGGAAAAAAUCUAUUCAUACACCCAUUUAUGUCCCCCGCAUAUGAAUUGUGAUAAUAAUUGGAUUAUAAGUGUCCCAAGGAUGAAAAAGUUACAUUAUUUGAUCCAAAUUCAUUGAUAUAAAUUACAUCUGUCAAAAACUUAAUUUUGCAAUCAAUUUAAGAUUCUUUAAUUAUGAUUCUACGCUGAAAAUCUCAUUCACUAAAAGCAUGUAAUUUUAUAUCUACUUGAAACUAUUGAUAAUCUAAAAGACUAAGAUAAUUUAAUUAAGAUGAAGCAUAUACAUCAUAGAUAAGAUAAAUGAAGAUGUUUUGAAUUUUCAUUCGAAAUGGUAAUGGACAACAUAAGCUGAUUAUAAUAACUAUUAAUUAACCAAAUGAGAUGCACUAAAGAAAAAUUUCACACUUAUCACAGGUAUUUGCUUUCUAGUACGGUCGAAUGUAUUGUGGUGCUCCUAUGAAUUAGGAAUCAAUGUUUGAUACACUUUCAUUUUUUUUUUUUUUCCAUUUUGAUUUUGAAGAUACCCCUUCCCCCCACGAGGUAUAUGUAUCUCUUUUCAUUAUUCCUGUGUCUUAAUAGCUAUGAUGGCAAAAAUCACCUUAAGAAUCUUAUAGGGAAAAUCCUUGCGGUGUUUUUAAGGUCGGAUCACGUUGACCUUGUUCAUCUCCUGGAUUUAGGUGUGUGAACAGUGUGAUAAAGAGUGGAUUUUCUAAUUUUCCUUUAUUUGCUUCUUUCAUUUCUCGUUGUCUGUUCCUUCGCCUUUCUUAAUAAACAUUUCUUCCUCUCCAGCUUGUUUUAUAUUAUUUAUGUUUUUUGGUACAAUGCCCUUUUGUGCCAAAAACCUUCCACAAACUCGACAAUUUAGAGGAAAGGUCAUGCUUGUUAUCAUAUCGAUACCUUUUUCUUUGCUAAUAACAUUUUAGAGCACAUUCUUUUGUUGAUUCAAUAACUAUUCUUAAGAGAAAUAACAUUGACCGUGGGUUUUUCACUAGUUAAUAUAUAAAGUAUGGUAAUGACAAACGAGUCAAACCAUAAAAUUAAGCCCAACCUAAAAAAGGGGAAAAGGAAUUCUCUCUUUGGUUCGAUAGUGUUCGUGGAAGUUCAUAUUUCACAAAACAAAUGUCUUUUGGCAGUUCGGUUUAUUCAUAUUAUUUCCAAGAAACUAAAGAAAAAAAUGCACUUUUAAGUUAUGUUGAUCAGUUGAUAAUUUUUUUUUUAAUGUUUACUUAUAUCUCCUACCCUAUUGUAUCUUUGCACUUAGCCUAUAAAUAGCAUUCCAAAAAACCUAAAAAAAAAAAAAAGGUACUACUUUCAAUUCAAAGCAGAUACCGUUGUCACAAAAGUUCAUGUGAAAAAAGAAAGGUGCCUGAGUGUUGUCAAAUAUGGAUCAACUACUCGUGAGCCCAUACCAUGCAUAUGCACAAAACUGACAUGAAUAAAUUUAUCAUGAAGAUAUAACUAUAGUAUCCUUAUCUCUAUUGAAAAAGCACAUAUAGAUGGACAAAUCAUGUUCUUUGGAAAGAUGGUUAUAAUUUAUAAGUUGACAGUUCUUAAUCUUUCAUUAUAGUAAUUCAAUCGAAAAAAAAAAAAUCUCUCAUUAUAGUAAAAAUUCAGGCGGGAAACCGCAUUCGAAAGACAUUCCUCUUUUUUUUUCCCUAAUGACAAUGGACAUACUUCUCUUGGAUGGAGUGCACGAAAAAAAGUUAAAUGCGCUAAAAAUUGAAUUAUAAGGAAUUUAAAAAGAUAUUAAAUGAAAUUGCAUGAAACGGAAGUGCGAUUGAAGGAAAAUUACGAGGAAAGGUAAAAGAUGAACUUUGUUGUGCCGUGCCUGUCUGAUCUUACCUCCGAAUACCCCUUUAUACCAAUGCCUCGUGUCGACCAUUCUGUUUCUAGGCCAUUCANNNNNNNNNNNNNNNNNNNNNNNNNNNNNNNNNNNNNNNNNNNNNNNNNNNNNNNNNNNNNNNNNNNNNNNNNNNNNNNNNNNNNNNNNNNNNNNNNNNNGCCUAAUUGAGCGUGGCCAGGUGCCCGCUGUGAUCCAGAAUCGCACGCCCAACGGAGUGUGACUAGGUGCCCACUUGAUCCAGAAUCGCAUCCCUACGCCGUUCAAGCGACUGAGUCUUGCUGGAGGCCCAGCCACCGACUAGUAGCUUUAGCUACUUGCGAUCUCUGUUAUGGGCAUCUCAGUCUGUUCCUCUGAACGUUUAUGCCAUGUCAAUGUGUAGAUUGAGUGGCGGCUUGAUUUAUUUUUGGUCAAUCCCAAGAUGCUAAUCCAAUAAAAAGUUUAAGAUUUAAAAGUUCGAUACUAGAAGUUAUCCAAUACUGUCACUGAUCAGCUAAGCUUUCGGGGGAACAAUAAUAAAGUAUUGUUGUUAAUGUCAAUCAAGCCGUCUGGGAUUUUGUCACCAUCUUCCAAUUAUAUGAUCUCCUUUAGCAACAAAGUUUAAGCGGUACUUUUGACUUAUAAGAUGCGAAAAGAAAUGGUGCCAGUCUUGGGAAAUGGACAUACGCAUCUUCACUUUUCUGUUUAGGUAAAAUAAGUAGAUUUUUCCAGAAAGUUUCAUGUGGCAGAGUUUGCCAAAAGAUGUUGCACAGCAUCGACAAAUUUACUGUUCCAUAUGUUAAGACCUUAAUCUAACACCAUGUAAGGAUGUUAAUUAGUUCAUUUUUAGUUGGUCUAAAGCCAGCUCUCUUCCAAUUUCCGUCAAAAUCUAAAAUAUUAUUCAAAUGCUAAAGGUGUAUUGCUAAAGAAUGAUUAAACACUCAAUAAGAAUAGUUAACAAAUUGAAAAUCAGGUGCUUACUUAGCUACUUAACAAGUGACCCAUGGGUACUCUUUAACAUUCAUAUGUUUUAAAAGGUUUCAUGUAUUUCCACUUUAAUAAAAAUUAAUGUACAUGCUAUCAAAAUUCCAAAAAAGCGAGAGGUAAGAAUUGAGGUGUUUCAUCUUGAAUUUUUUAAAGCAAGAAAAAGUGUUCUUUUUAUUUAAAAUAUUGUUUGAAUUAAAAAAAAUUAUUAAAAUACUAUAUGUGUGUGUUUAUCUGUCAACAUUUAUGUUUGGCGAGUGGUAAAAAGAUGACAAAUUGUGAAAGUAUGGGGUUUAGAAAAGCAAAAGUAAAAAGUUAGAAGUCGAUUUAGACACUCAAUUGAUUGAUUUGAUAUGCAGCGUUGCGGGAGAACCUACGGUAAUUGGCUUCAUCACUAUUCCUCUACAUGCACAAGUGAAUUGGUUAAAAACUUACCGAGCUCAAGGUUCCUUCCAAUUUGCUGGACAACCAUAAGUGGAGACUUUAAUGAAUUGUUUCCUGAAUUAAGAUGGUUUCGAUGGUUAUACAGUGAUCUCAAUGUAUUUUCUUCAGCAAUCAAUUUGCAUCUAUCUAAAUUAGUGGUGCUAGAAUUGUCACAAAACAAGUUUACAGAUGAUUGGGGAGGAUGGAGUUCAAUCAUGGUAAGAUGAAAAAAAAGACAUCUUCUAUUAUCUUUGCUUUGUUUUGUUUUAUCGAUUCAACUCCUUUAUGAUGGCUUUUUUUCUCUUUUGUACAGGCCGCACAGCAGCUAAAAGUUCUCGACCUUUCAUAUAGCUGGGAGUUAAGAAAUACUCCUAAUCUCUCGGCUUUCAUGAAAUUAGAGAUUCUCAUCUUGUCCAAUUGUUAUGAAUUGAAGCAAGUCAACCCUUCUAUUGGCAAACUCAAGAGCCUCAUUUCCUUGGACUUGUGUAGAUGUCAUAAUCUUAAAGAGCUACCAGAGGAAGUGGGGGAAUUGCAAGAACUAAAAGAACUCCUUUUAAUUUCUGUUGGCAUUACAAAGAUUCCUAUUCCAAUCUAUUCUCUGAGGAAGCUAGAGAAAUUGGCUAUCAAAUCUUGUUGUUCAUUAGUUGAAAUCCCUCUCGCAAUUAGGAAUCUUUCUUCUCUCAAACGACUUGAUCUAGGGUUUUGCUCCUCAUUGACAAAAAUCCCUAGCUCAAUUGGAAAUCUUUUUUCUCUCGAACAACUUAAUCUAGAGCGUUGCAAGUUAUUAACAAAAAUCCCUAGCUCCAUUGGGAAUCUUUCUUCUCUCGAACGACUUGAUCUAAAGUUUUCGAAGUCCUUGACAGAAAUCCCUAGCUCAAUUGGGAAUCUUUCUUUUCUCAAACAACUUGAUUUAAAGUUUUGCGAGUCCUUAACAGAAAUCCCUAACUCAAUUGGGAAUCUUUCUUCUCUCGAAGAACUUGAUCUAGAGGGUUGCAAGUCAUUGACAGAAAUCCCGAGCUCAAUUGGGAAUCUUUCUUCUCUCGAACAACUUGAUCUAAAGGGUUGCGAGUCAUUGAUAGAAAUCCCGAGCUCAAUUGGGAAUCUUUCUUCACUCAAACAACUUGAUCUAAGGUUUUGCACGUCCUUGACAGAAAUCCCUAACUCAAUUGGGAAUCUUUCUUCUCUUGAACAAUUUCAUCUAGGGUUUUGCCUAUCUUUGACAGAAAUCCCUAGCUCAAUUGGGAAUCUUUCUUCUCUCAAAAAACUUGAUUUAGGGGGUUUCAUGUCAUUAAUAGAAAUCCCUAGCUCAAUUGGGAAUCUUUCUUCUCUCAAACAACUUUAUUUAUGGGGCUGCAAGUUAUUAACAAAAAUCCCUAGCUCAAUUGGGAAUCUUUCUUUAAAAAAUCUUGAUCUAAAGAAAUGCGAGUUAUUGACAGAUAUCCAUAGCUCAAUUGGGAAUCUUUCUUCUCUCCAACAACUUGAUCUAAGAGGUUGCGUGUCAUUGACAAAAAUCCCAAACUCAAUUGGUAAUCUUUCUUCUCUUAAGCAACUUUAUUUAGGAGGUUGCGUGUCGUUAACAGAAAUCCCUAGCUCAAUUGGAAAUCUUUCUUCUCUCGAAAAACUUGAUCUAUGGGGUUGCAAGUUAUUGACAAAAAUCGCUAGCUCAAUUGAGAAUCUUUCUUCUCUAAAAAUUCUUAAUCUAGAUAGAUGCGAGUUAUUGACAGAAAUCCCUAACUCAAUUGGGGAUCUUUCUUCUCUCAAACAACUUCAACUAGGGGGUUGUGUGUCAGUGAGAGAUAUCCCUAGCUCAAUUGAGAAUCUUUCUUCUCUUGAACAACUUAAAGGAGGUUGCGUGUCAUUGACAAAAGUCCCUAACUCAAUUGAGAAUCUUUCUUCUCUCGAACGACUUGAUCUAGGAGGUUGCGUGUUAUUGAAAGAAAUCUUUAGCUCAAUUGGAAAUCUUUCUUCCCUCGAACGACUUAAUCUAGGAGGUUGUGUGUCAUUGAUAGAAAUCCCUAGCUCAAUUGGAAAUCUUUCUUCUCUCGAACGACUUAAUCUAGGAGGUUGCGUGUCAUUGACAAAAAUCCCUAGCUCAAUUGGGGAUCUUUCUUCUCUCAAACAGCUUCAACUAGGGUGUUGUUUGUCAUUGAGAGAUAUCCCUAACUCAAUUGGGAAUCUUUCUUCUCUUAGUUGUUUGUCAUUGAGAGAUAUCCCUAAGUCAAUUGAGAAUCUUUCUUCUCUUAAACGACUUAAACGAGGAGGUUGCAUGUCAUUGAGAGAAAUCCCUAACUCAAUUGGGAAUCUUUCUUCUCUUGAGCAACUUUAUCUAGGAGGUUGCGUGUCAUUAACAGAAAUCCCUAGUUCAAUUGGAAAUCUUUCUUCUCUCGAAGAACUUAAUCUAAGAGGUUGCGUGUCAUUGACAGAAAUCCCUAGCUCAAUUGGAAAUCUUUCUUUGCUCAAACAACUUGAUCUAUGGGGUUGCAAGUUAUUGACAGAAAUCCCUAGCUCAAUUGGGAAUAUUUCUUCUCUAAAAAAACUUGAUCUAAAGAGUUGUGAGUUAUUGAUAGAAAUCCCUAGCUCAAUUGGGGAUCUUUCUUCUCUCGAACAACUUCAGUUAGGGGGUUGUGUGUCAUUGAGAGAAAUCCCUAACUCAAUUGGGAAUCUUUCUUCUCUUGAGCAACUUUAUCUAGGAGAUUGCAUGUCAUUAACAGAAAUCCCUAGCUCAAUUGGAAAUCUUUCUUCUCUCAACAACUUAAUCUAGGAGGUUGCGUGUCAUUGAUAGAAAUCCCUAGCUCAAUUGGAAAUCUUUCUUCGCUCAACAACUGAUCUAUGGGGUGCAAGUUAUUGACAGAAAUCCCUAGCUCAAUUGGGAUAUUCUUCUCUCGAAAAACUUGAUCUAAAGAGUUGCGAGUUAUUGAUAGAAAUCCCUCGCUCAAUUGGGGAUCUUCUUCUCUCGAACAACUUCAGCUAGGGGGUUGUGUGUCACUGAGAGAAAUCCCUAGAGGCUUGCAAGUCAUUGAGAGAAAUCCCUAACUCAAUUGGGAAUUUUUAUUCUCUCAAAUACCUUAACCUUUACGGGUGUUGUUCGCUAAAAGAAAUUCCUAUCUCCAUUGGGGAUUUAGCAAAUUUGCAAAGCAUUGGGAUUUUUGACCUUGAAUAGUUACCCAUUGCUAUUGGAUGGUUGAAUAAACUACCAAAGGCUAUUUCUUGAAUCUUGUGAUAGUGUAAAAGGGGGAAUUCCAAGAGAAAAUGAUAGACUUGUCUUCGCUCGUGAUUCUCCAUAUCACUGGUACAUUGAUAUUUGACUUGCUAGAAAGCAUCUAGAAUCUUUCUUCUCUCUGAUGCCUUGACCAAGAGGGCUAUAAGGAGCUUAAUCGUUGCUAGAGCUUUCUUUCGGCUUAACAUAUCUUCAAGUCAAUUCCUUGAUUCCCAGGUUGCCAGAGCUUUUUUACCUAUUCCACCUAGAAGAACUUCAUUUUUAUGGAUACAAUCAACUUGAGUACUUCCCAAAGCUUACCUCAAGACUCUUGAAACUUUGUGUUGACUCCUAUCCUAAGUUGAUAUUGCUUGAGCUUGACAGAUACAAGUACUUGGGAGAGUUGUCAAUAAAACACUACCAAUUCCAUUGAAAGAAUGGACCUCUCACAAUCAAAUCUUCUGAAAUGAUUGGACAUUGAGGAUUGCAAUAAUCUAGUUGAAAUUUAGGGCCAAGGUAAAUUGGAGUUCUUGGAGACAAUACGUACAUAUAGCUGCAAGUCCAAUAGAAGGCCGAUCCAUCCGAAAUUAUGAGGGCUUGAAGCAAUUAAAUACUUGCUAUUGCGACAAUCUAGUCGAAAUACAAGGUCUUGAUAAGGUGGAGUUGUUAGAGAUGUUCAAUGUCUAUAAUCGUGGUUCCAUCGAAAUAUUACUUGAUCUAUGAUGCUUUUGGAACUUGAAAGAGUUGAAUAUCGAUGGUUGUCAUAAUCUACAUGGUUUGGAGACUCAAUUCCCAGUCUUACAUAAUUGCAAGAGUGGGGAAAUUGGUCCUAGAAGCUAACAUGAUGCUUCAGCUAAGAUCAAAAUUUAGAUCCGAUUGUGGUUCUUCAUACGUUAGAAGGCGUUGAUCAUUUGGUAAGAUUCUUCGUCCUUUAACAACUAGCAUGAGCAAAAAGUGUAAUACUUUUCUAAUAGAUAUAUCUUUAAAGAAUUAUUUGCUCGACGCUUGGUAUCUAUUUGAUAUGGAUUUGCCUAGAUGUAUUUGCUGUUGAUUGCAUCACGGCAAUGUUUUUUUAGCUAAUCUUCAAUUGGCAACUUUUGCAGAUAGACUGGCAGCUUGUGAGGCAACAAAUGAAAAUUAACGACGUAGGUAAACAAGAAAUACUUUGUGAUUUAUAGUUUCCCUCUUGGUAAACCCAAGAUGAGAAUUUUUCAUCAAGAGGUUGAUCUUCUGCAACUCAAUUUAUAAACUGCAUGCCAGAUCCCUUUUUUUUUUUUUUGGUCUCAAACUAGUAUUUUCCUUUAAAAAAUCCUUCGCCAUUUUGAACUCCUUUUCUGAGCAAUUUUAUGUGUUAGAUUUGACUAUUGGUAGAUAUCCUGUUUAUGACAAACAGCUCUCGAUUUUUUGUGAUGAUGGGAAAGCCUGUCCAUUGUUCAUUCGAGCAUGAAUUCCCAGUAAGGAAGAGAAACUGAGCUAAAAUAAAAAUCAAGGUUCAAUUUUUUUCUGGUGCGUGAUUUAAAAAAAUAAAAAUUAGUUUUGGCUAGCCUUUUUCAUCUAUGAUUGUAGGCAGGCUUUCCACAAACAAUUGUGAGACCGUUGCAAGAUUAUCUUCUUUUGUGAUACGUCCGGUUGGUCUAUGUAAUGAUCAAGGCUUACUUUUGGACUUCAAUUCAAAGAGCUGUAUAGAUGACCUUUUGCAUAAUUGAGACAAUUUUUUGCCUGCUCUGUAAAACAAGCUAGGCGAGGAUUUUAAGAUUUUGCUUAUUAUUUUGCAUCCCGUCUGAUCUUGAUGUUGUUGUGGAAUCAUUUAUCAAAUGAUUGAUCUGGGUCUGGCUAACUUGGCUGAGGCAAUUCGUAGUCCAUACCAGAGAACGAUCAAAUGAAGAAGAGGGAUUUUGCUGAGGUGUCAUCAGCAACAGCUGAAGGCUAGCUUUUGUGCGACCUUGAACAGGCUCACGGGCCAACUGAAGUGUCCUAAGGAAGUUUUUUAUGCCUGUGAAGAUCAAAGCACUUGAUAUGGUUUCAUCAGCACAAAACUGAAUGAUUGUGAAUGUAUUAUUUUUCAGUUGAAUCUACUUUUUGUAUGCUCGUUAGGUUCUACCCCUAUUAAGCAAAUACAUAUGUGCUGAUUUUUCUACACGUUAACCAGAUGCAGAGUUCUUUUAUGCAAUGCGCUCUAAUGGUAUCAUUCCCAAACUCAGUCAGGCUCUGCAGAUAGAGGUAUGCACUGCCAGUCCUACCAUAACUGUGAAAGAGUGACUUGUGUACUUAUAUUUAAUUGAAUGUGCUGUGUGCUUGUUAGGUUCUACCUCUCUGUUAAUCGAAUAUGUACGUGCUGAUUUUUCUGCAUGUUACCCUGAUGCGGAGUUGUUUGAUGCAGUCUCGUCUAAUGAUAUCACUUUCAAACCCAACGAGGCUCUGCAAAUGGAGGUAUGUACUACCAGUUGUACCAUAAUAGAGCAACUUGUGUGCUUAUACUAUGUGAGCUGUGGAAUUUCACUAGAAAUCUGUGAACUAGGAUGCAUGAUGACAAUCUCCUCUUUUUCUGUCAGUUCAUAAUAUCUUUCGAAUGUUGUGAUAAAGGUCUCUGAUACGACGAGCUUAAAUCUCAUGUAUGCAACAUGGAAUUUGUAAAGUUAAAUAUAGCCUCCUAGCAAACGAUUCCAUAUUGCUUAUUUCGCUAAUUGGAUAUUGCAAAAUAACCAAGUAACAAGUACGCCUUUCUGUUAUGUAGUUUGGGCACUUUGCCUUUUCAGCAUCCGCUUGUUCACAAACACAAACAAAGAUAAUGGUGCUAAUUGCUGACUUCUCUUCUCUUAAGUCCGUUGUUUUCUAUUUCUUUGGCUGAUAAUGAAUUCUGUUGAUUGCGAUCCAAUUGCGAAUUAAUCAGAGACCCCUGGAAUGUGUGGCAAAACUAAUGUCCCCAGAUUUUGGUGUUGAUAGGUAGGAUUCAUUGAAGAGGUCACUCGUAGAUCGCCAGAAUUUGGACCAGGUCAAAAUAACCUUGUUUAUAUUGAUGGACUCUCAAGUCUAUGCUUAUUACUUUCGGCUAAUUUUAGGUUCUUCAUUCCAAAUACAUCUAAAAAUAGACAAAACUAAGGAUCCAUGCAGCCGCGCCUUUAUCUCUCUUCGAGAUGAUUGGAAAGUGUGACACAUUUUUACUCUCAACCAUCUCGUGUAACACAUGCAUCGGCCUCAUUUUCUGACCAUCUUUGGCAAGUGCCUGGGUGGAGACUAGUUAUAAGUCUUCUAAGGUUGAAUUUGUUAGUGUUCGUAACUUUGAUGAAAUAUCAUAAACAACCUGAAUUUAUCAUUCAUUCUUUUCCUGAUCUAUCACGAAGUACAUAUGUAGCUAGUAGAAUUAUAAUUAUUUAGCAAAUCUUAUGUGACAACAGCUGAUUGGAAAAGCCAAUGAGUGUGAGACCCAAAUACAGGGUUUACAUUUGAUGAUGCGGUUCAAACUAUAAGAGACACACCUUCGGGUCGUCCAAAACUUCUUAACGACUUGCCUCGAAGGACAACCGAGAGAAGGGAACAAAAUCUCACCAAGGAAUGAAGAAGGAGAAGGAGAAGGGGAAGGAGAAGAAGAAGAUUGCCUCCACUGAGAUGACAACAAAAUUGCAGCUACCACUGCUACCGGGACCUUCUCAUGUGGACUCGGUGCCACCUCCUCUGCAGUAUACUGGUAUGAUGACUAAUUCAUUAGAUAUUUGAUAUAAUGCCAAAGUGCUAAUUUCCAAGUCCCCUUCAUUUAUUCAGUAGUUUAAGCUUGCACAAGUUCAAGUUCCUUGCUCUCGUAUCAGCAGCAGCAUCACAAAGUCCGGUCUUCCAAUUCCCAAGGAAAUGUUCUUUUUUUAAUUCUUUGCAGGACUUUAUACCGAUAAAUUGUUGAUGCUCCCUGCAAUAACCGCCGACGAUCGUGGUGUACAUGGUCACAUCUAGCUCUCAGCCUGUGUCUUCCAAAUUCUUCAGCAAUCGAAGAACUUUCCCAGUAUUGCCGGUUCUGCACGAUCUCUCAUCAUGGCUCGGCACGUGGUUAUAUCUACCUCGAUUGUCCAGCCAACAUUUCAUCCGCCAAGCUCAUGGCUUCUGCGAUUCUACCGUCUCCAACAGGCCCAUUGAUCAAAGUGUUAAAGCUGGCAGUUGGGGGUUCAUGUCCAAGGUUGACCAUUUUACACACAACUGAGAACCCGAGAUCGGAUCUUUUCAAUUGGCAGGGGUAAUUCAUCAAAAUGCUGCUAGUAAAACUGUUGGGAGUCAUUCCUUUCGUACCCUUCCGCUUGAUCAUGUCGAUGGUGACGGGGUAAUGCUUCAUCUUGGCCCUAACCCCCAAGAGUUGGGCGAAACAGGGAGGUAAAGAAAAAGGGUUCACUCGAAUCGUCCUCUCCGAGUAGAAUAAACCAUCAGCAGCUUCCACCAAUCCACCAUUUCUGCAUUUGUUCACCACAAAGGCCACGAGUUCAGAUUGAUCCAUUGAAUCACUCACUCCAGCAGUGGAUGGGCAACUGUGGGAGCGUCGUGAAAGAAAAUGGUUCGAUGCAAAGAUGGGAUGAGAAGUGGGAGGUUUAGGGAGAUCGCCAGAUUCUCGAACAAGACAGUGAAGAGCAGAAGUGCAAAUGGAUCGAUUCAUUCUCAUUAGUUUUGCCAAAUUUUCUCCUUCCAAUUUCAAGAAUCCACAAAUUGACGUGAUGGCGUAUGGAGAGGAUGAUUAUUAGGCAAUUCAAUCACUGAAACUUUAGAUGUCUGAUAACAACAUAGUUUUCGGUUCAAUCAUUGAAAACUACUUGAUUGGCAAACUGAACAUUUCAAGAAAUACUCUAAUUGAUUCAUUCCCAUACUCGGCAGUUGAAGAGAGAUCAGUAUGCAAAAUCAUGCUCUUAUACUGUUGUGAAAACAACCAUGAAAUCCACGUUUGAAACCAAAUCUGAAAGGAUAGAUAUCUCACACAAUGAUGGCGAACACCAGUGGGGUUGAAGUAUUGCCUGUUGAAAUGAACGUUUCUAGUCUUACUACUGUCCGCCGAAAAAAUGAGAACUUAAUAUAAAUGUUUCUACUAUUGUCAUUGUGUGCAUAGUACAUACUAUAUUAUACCAAUUUAAAAUUUUGAUUUUGUUCUAUUCGACGCUUUCUUACGUAUCAAAUGAGGCAAUCAUCCCAGCUCAUAUGUCGCAAAAUGAUGUCACAGGGAAAUUUUGAUGGUUUAUAUUUGAAGCACGUAACUUUGCAAAAGAACAUAAUAUUUCGGUCCUCUUUUCCCCGAUAGCAUAGGAUUGCUUAUUUAGUGAAUAAACUCUAAACAUGUAAAGAUCGUGUUAAUUCACCUAGUUGAAGUCAGUAGAGGUGAGUGAGAGAUGGCUCGUACACUAACUGAUCGCUAAAUUUAUAAAAAAAAAAAAAAAAAGCUAAUGGAUUAAGAAAAAUUGUAAGCUGUAAGUCUGGACUGCGAAAUCCAUUAUCUGUCUUUGAUAAUGUGGUGCUGCGAAGAUCGAUUCCAUAACACACGCUUAAUCCAUGUGCGCAAGUUCGUCGUGAAUCACAAAAUCAAUCGCAUGAGUAGUGUUGGGAAAAAGAAUCAUUAAUUAUGAUAUUCGAAUGAACGAAAAUGAAAAGAUUCUUUUUCCCAACUGUCGCGACCUAUUUUUUCGGGUGAACCACCUAAGAAUAGGUUAAUGGACUGCUAAGUUUUUACACUUAGCUCGGGCUCUCCCAAACCCAUACCAAUUCGCGACUUAAGUCUAAAUUUUUAAACAUGCAAAAGGUUAUUAAUUAGGAGUCGCCACUAAUCGGUUUAUGGUAGGUCGAUUAGACACCUAAGCAAAUAAAGAUAGAUUUAUUUUACUCCUACGAACCAGAGACUAAGGGUACGGGGACUUGGUUACACUAGAAUUUUCUAAUGCCCUUUCAAAACCAUUUCUUUUUAGUUUUUUCAAAAUGUUUUUGCAAGCAGCUAAUUUAUUUUAGCCUAAAUUACUAUCAUGCAAAUGUGGUGACCACAUGGAUGCUCAUCUAUUAUUUAAAACAUUCAAAUAAAUAAAUUGCAUCACACAAAGCAAGCAAUCAUUUUUUUGGAUCUUCUUUAAAAUUGGAGUUCUUUUAUAAAAAUGCAUUUUCAAAUUAAAUGACUUAAUCCUAUUAAUAUGCAAAUUCUAAUUAAAUGGGUCUAUUAUGCAAACUAAUUAUCAUGCACCUCAUGACCUAACUUCACUACUGAACAAAUUUUGAUUUAAAUAACCCUAUUAUGCAAACUAGUUAACAUACACCUAGCAUUUUUUGAUUUUUUCUAUUGAAAUUCAGAAUUUAUAAAGAUCCAAAUUAAUUUAUCUAAAAAGGGAUAAUUUUCUAAUUUAUUCUAGGGAUUAAUUUGACUUGGACCCUAUCCUGUCUUAGAAAAUUAUUUUUUAUUUUUUAUUUUAAAAAAAGGAUGAGAACAUGAAAAUAUGCUAAUUAUAUCUAAGACUCUAAAAAGGCUAUUUAAGUCUAAUCCUAACUUAUCUUUUUUAAAGUAUCUAAAAAAAUGCAGUCCUAAAAAUAUUAUCUAAAAAUGCAAUCCUAGAAAUAUAAUCCUAAAGACUUGAUUAAUUAAAUCUACGUGUCUAUUAUAUUAAACCUUAAUGUCCUAUAUGCCUGUGCAAAAUUUUUUGAAUAUUUUGAUUUUUUAGUUUCCUUUUAAUUUUUUUUAAAGUUGAAUAAUUGUUAAACAAUGAUUAAAUCUAAACAAUUAAUAUAAUUACUAAAUAAAGGAUCAAAAUAAUUGAAAAAAUAACAUGACGUCUCACAGGUUAAAUUAACAAUUAUUCUGACCUUAAUCAUCACAACAACUUAAAAUAAUUAAAAAAUCUAGUCCGAAAUCUUACGGACCAAAUUAAAUAAUUAUUAUGAUUUUAACAAUUAAGAUUCUACCAAAAAGCCCAAAAAUUAAAUAUAAUUAGAAAAAUGAUCCGAUGUCUCUCGGAUCAAAUUAAUAAUUAUAUUAAUUUCGGACAAAAUCCCUACGGAUAAUGCAUACUAAAUUCACAAACAUUAACAUCCACCAUUACAAAUUAAAUACUAAACUAAAAAUGCUGUCAAAUGAAAUAAGCAAAAAAUAACGUAACAAAUAAAAUAAACUAAACUAUAAAGGUAAAGCAAAAUAAAAUAAAAAGAACAAAAACUACCUAAAGGUAAAGGGUGGGUAAACCGGACAGCGCUGGUCUGUCGUCGGGGCUCCGGCGGGGAGCGGCUGCAGGUGGACGGCAGCGGGCUUGAGCUCGGGGCAGCAGAGAUCGGUGGAGCAAGGGCACAGUGCGGGGUCCGUCGGGGCAGAGAAGGGUCGCGGCGACGGGGCGCGGGCUGAGGCGCGGUGGGGGAGUCGUCUGCGGUGCGGGGCUCGGCCGUGGGGUCUCGAGCAGCGGACGUCGAGGAGCGGAGCAGCGAGGACGGGAGUGGCGGGCUUCGGCGCUCCGGCGAGAGCUGGGCAGCAACAGGUCGCGGCGGUGUCGGAUUUGGGUGCUCGCGGCGGUGUCGGAUUUGGGUGCUCGCGGCGUCGGUGUUGCUGGGCGUCGUCGAGUCACGGCAGGGACAGCGAUGCAGCGGCUCCUUAGCGUCGGGCAGAGCCGAGCAGGGGCGGUAUGGUCUCCGGUGGUCGUCGGACAGCGGAUCCGGAGAGAAAGGCGAAGCAGCGGUGGCGUUUGGCGGAGGCGGUGCCGGCGCGGUGGACGGCGGUGCUGGUGCGGUGGACGGCGGCGGGACUUCUCGGAGGCGGUGCUGGCGCGGUGGACGGCGGCGGGACUUCUCGGAGGCGGUGCUGGCGCGGUGGACGGCGGGGCACACCAGGCGCGGUCGGGGAGACCCCUUUUGGGGAAGACGACACUGUAGCGUCUUCCUUUUUUUGUUUUUCCUUCACGUCUCUCUCACGUCACCUCUUCAGCUUUUCCCUGUACCUGCUGUCUCUUCCUCAGUCAAAAGACACUGCCCUCUUGACUUUUUUUUAUAAAAAUUCUGCUCUUCAAUUUUCAACUCCACCGAAGGAAACCGCUCACUUUUUUCUACACGAAUUUUUUUUUGCACGAAUUUUCUCUUCGAAACUUUUUUUGCUCUCAAUUUUCGAAAAAACUCCCUCUCUUGCACGAAUUUUUUAGCGGAUUCUCUCUCAAUUUUUUUUCCUCGAUAAACUGUGCAAGUCAACCCCUUUUAUAGUGGUUUCGAUCGGCCGUUUUCUAUGGAAAAUUUUAAACUUCCAUCUUCUGUUGCAUUAAAUCAUGGAUGCAAAUCGGAGCAUGAUUUCGCAAUCAACUCGAUUUUGCAUCGAUUCCUUCCAUUUUAUCAAAAUCAUUGCCAUUUGUUCACCUGAUUUUAAAAUUGUUGCUGCAUUUAACAAAAUCUGGGCAUCCAUCGAAAUUCUAUAUUUCCUUGCAUACUUCAAUCAAAUCAAUUUCCUCCAUUUUCAUUUUUUCUUUUUAUUUGUCCAAAAAUGCAAUUUUUAUUAUUUUUAUUUUCCUAGAUUUGCUGAAAAUAGGUGUCAACACCAACUUCAAAUAGUCCCCCAUUUUCACAAGGAGUAUGGUUUACAAUUCGGUUCUCGAGGAUACCAAUUGUGCAUAUAGUGCAAAACAGACGUAGAGGUUUGAUCAAUAACUUCUUCUUUUAUGCUUAUCUUUAUCAUUGUGUCAUUCAAUUGGAGUGAAACACGCGCCUAAUUAGCAAUUCCACUCUAUGAGAACACAGAAAGACAAUAAUUUACAAAAUGGGAAUAAGUAUUGUAAAAGAUUCUUUUAUUCAUUUGCUCUAUAACAUAAAGGAGCAAUUCAUGAAAAAAAUAUGAGUACUCAAAUGUAAUUAAUGACAAUAAAAGGCAAGCCUUUGAGGUGAAGAGACCAAAACCGAUUGUCCAACGAAAUGUAAAUAUAUGCUUAGGUGGAACAUUUUUGGUGGAGAAUACAGUAAAUCCAAGUUUUGCAAUAUGAAUAAGACUUCUCUAGUUAUCUCAAGUCUUAUGCGUCGUCAUGGGAAGUGAUUCUUUAGCAAUACUUUGUUACUACGUAUUUGUAUAAAUGAGACCAUAUAGAAUUUAUAAUACCUAGUAACUUAAUGAUUACGCAUGAACGUUUUCCUAGUACAUCAAUUUUUUUUUUCUUCUAGGUUUUGCCGGAUUGGGGAGUGUAGGUAAAGACUAGCUGUGCCAUGUAAGAGUCUUAUUUAGAUCAUAAAACAAACCUCAAUUGAUGCAAAAACAACCCUUCCCAUCAUUAAGUGGAAAGUAUACGACGAUAGGUGCAUAAUAGACCAAGCUAUCUAAUUGCCGAUAGAUCUCAUAAUAAAUUAGCAGAUAUUCUGAUGGAAAAUGCAUCAAGACCAUAGACCAGUAAUGUAGGAACUCAGAGAAAAUCUCACGGAUUGAUGCGGUAGAAUAAUAGUUGAAUUUUUUUAUAGAUUUACCUGCCCAAACUUACUCACAUCUGGAAGAUGUAUAUCAACAACUGUUUCGCUCAACUUAUUAAUCUUUUUUUUUUUUUUUCAAAGAGUGCAUGCAUCUUCCAAUUUUUUUGGGUACAUCCUUGUACUAGAGAUUCUGCAUGGGCAGAUGGAAGAAGUGCUAUGCAGUAGGGUGAAGUUAUGAAUCCAACCGUCCACCCUCGAGUAUGGAACAGAAUGGGCCUUGAAUGAAAAUACUAAUCAAUACCUUUUUGUUCCUAUCCACGUCAGACGCAAUAAUAAUUUAGACGUGUUUUCUAUUGGUCACUUUCUUAAAAAGUCAACAACACGUGUAUAGUUUCUACUACAUUGAGCAUUUCCAUAUACGAAGAGAUUAGUGAAAAUAAUGUAUGGAGAUUAUUGGAUCUUGUUUGGUUUAAUUAAUAAGAAAUUAAUGAGUGAACUCUUGUUCCUUGAAGUUACAUUUCAUUAUUUUUCUUUCUUUAACUAUUGGUUUAACUUUAAUGCGGAAUUUCAUUUUUAUUGUUUGAAGAUUAAUCGUUGCCGUGAACUAAGUUAAACUGCUACCACAAACGCACCACCACCACCCGCCCACCUAUUCACCGCGUCCUCACCACCUCAAAUGCACAACGUCACCACGAGGAUGCCAUUAGCUCAACUACCACACCAACCGCCCACCGCCACCGGCCACCACCAAAUCACCCAUUGCGCCCAUGCUCCUCCGCCACGAGCCACGCUGCAGCCACCAUCAAAGCACCACGACCACCACCAUCAAUAUUCCAGUACCACCAAGUUGCGCAAGCGAGAACCCCCAAAUCACUUCCCCGCCUUCACUCCCGAUUCCACCGCCCUUCUACUCGCGCACCGAGUCAGCACUCUCCUCCCACUUCCCCGAUCUCCUCCACCUCGCCACGACCACUGCUGUCCACUGCUCCCACCCGGCAUGACUUGGAGAGUGUUGAUGGACUUUCAAGUCUAUGCUUACAACUUACAGCUAAUAUUAGACUCUUCAUAACAAAUACAUCUGUAAAAAGGACAGAUCUAACUAAGGAUCAAGGCAGCUGCGCCCAUAUCUUUUGUUGAGAUCACUGGAGAGUCUAACGCAGUUUAGUCUCGACCAUCUCAUGUAAUACAUCCAUUGCCCCUCAUAUUCUGACCACCUUUAACAAGUGCUCGGGUGGAGAUUAGUUUUUUUGCCAGAAGGUGGAGAUUAGUUAUAAGUCUCCCAAGGUUGAAUUUGCUAGUGUUAAUAACUUUUGAUGAAAUACCAGAAGUUAUCGUACAAUCUUUUCCUGCAUCUAUCACAACGUACAUAUGUAGCUAACAGAAUUAUUAAUUGAAUUCAAUAUCCCAGGUGACAACAGCUAAUUGGAAAAGCCAAUGAGUAUGAGACCCAAGUAUGAGAAUUAUAUGUGAUGAUGCGGUUCAAAACUAUUAAGAGCGCACGCGCACCUCCAGCUCGUCCAGAACUUCUGCAUGACUUGCCUUGAAGGACACAACAAAAUCUCACCAAGCAAUGAUAAAAGCCGAAAGAGGAAGAAGAAGAAGAAGCAUUCUGUGCCAUCAUUUUGUCGCAAGUUGUCACAACUUUCUGGUCGUGUUUAAUAAAGUCGUUCAAAAGUCUUUGCUCAUGUAAUUUUACACUCCAUUCUCACUUUCUGGCCAAACAGCACCUUUUACUAUAGGUCUUUAAUUAUCUUUAUAGACUCAUAUUGGUGAUCACCAUGGAAGAAGGAAAUAAAGUGGAAGAUGAAGAAGGUGGUAUUCGUGCCAUUUUCCUAUUUUCCUGGUCUGUAAUGCUAUCUGCCAUUUGCCUGAAUUGAGUUGACAAUAAGAUGUACUGAAAAUCUCGGAAAAUGAAAGAGCAUGUCUUCAAAGUUUGAACACAACAAACGGAAUGGUGAGGAUUGAAGCUAAUGCUGCUACCAGGGACUUCUCAUGUGAACUCCAGUGUCGCCUCCUCUGUGGUAUGAUGACUUGUACCUCAAAUAUUCGAUCAAUGCAAAAGUUUCUGUAGACACAGGGAGCUGUCAAUAUUGCUAAUUUCCAAGUCCACUCUAUUUAGUCAAUGCACAAAGUUCAUUUUUCUCACUCUCAUAUCAGCAGCGUCACAAAGUCUUCUCUUCCAAUUCCCAAGGAAAUGAAAUUUGUUUUUUGUUUUUUGUUUUGUUUUUUUUUGUUUUUUGUUUUUUUUUUUUGUUUUUUAAGCUUUGCAGGGUUUAUACCAAUAAAUUGUCGAAUAUCUUUUUGCUUUGUCAAAAUGUCACAGUUGGCAUUAAACUGAAUUGCAUAUUAAACUUUUCAUCGAUAAGAAAAUUUGACAGUAGAUUCACUUAUAUGUCUCAGCUAGAAAUGUCUAUCAGUUUUCCGACUGAGCUGAUUGAGAGGGAUGACAGUCCUUAUUGCUCAAGUUCUACCUAGAUGUCUAUUAUGGCACUGAAAUUGAAGCGUAGCUGGAGAUUAUUUGUCCUUUGCCAGAGCUGUCAUUGUGUGUCAGCAAUAUAUCCAGCUCUCUAGAUUCCAUGCUGAUUGGAUGAUACAACUGUGUCGCCAACAUGGAGUAGUUUGGUGGCACUUCUCAGCAUGAUCAAGGGCUAUUCAACUCGAUGCUAUUCAAUGGAUGUCCACUAAUUUGCGUAAUUCUUGAACGUAUAUUUCCAUGGAAGGUUCUUCCGUGCUUUUCCUCAUAAAUGCUGAGGAAAAACAAUGCCAUACCUUGCAAAUAUAUUGCCUCAGUCCUUUCUUUAUAUGAGCUAUUUAAUUGCCUGUUGUAGUUACGGUUGAUUAGUUUUUGAAGCAGCUAUUCACAUUGAAGCUGUUCAUGGAGUUGUUAUCGUUGUUUUCACACAGUUAGGACUGCAGUAGACUCUCACUGCCCAUCUGGUCCCUGAUUUGCUGAAUCAUUAUUACAAUCAUCCAGCUGAUAAUUGGGCAUCCUAGCAAAUCGUCAGCUGAUCAAUUAUGCACAUGUUGGGAUUUUUGCAAGUUUAGAAAAAUAAUUUCAGGCAGCACUAAUGCUUAAGAAAUCCUGUUGACGUUGGAGAGUUUCUCAAACCUCUUGUUGAAGAUGUUAAAUUCAGUUCUCUAUGACAUGCUUGGCAUCAACAUGUAGAAAUUCAUCUGCACUACAUUCAAUCUGGGAGUGGCACAAAUUCUGUUUCUUGGAGUAUUAUUAGAAAUGGGCGGAAGUAGAGUAGAAUGGGACCAAAUCAAAUGUUGAUUGAAAGAAAAAUCUUGCGCAAUUCCAGGUAAAUGUCAUUUGCCUAGAAUGCAGUUCCAAAAUAUCAGCCAAAACCAGCAUUUCAUGCGUGCAAGUUGCCCCUAAAAAUGUCGCCUCCAAAUCAUUGCCUAAUCAAUCCAAUGGUCUUUUACAGCUAGCGGCCUCUCUGUAAAAUUACUUUGCGUUUGGGGACAGCAAGCCUGUGACCCGCCUCUGGAGCCUCCUUCUGUCAUUGCAUUUGAUCAGAUGAAGCCUGCAGCCUCUUUCUGUUAAAUUUGUUACAAACUGACAGCCUUUGCAGUGUUGCACGGGCCCCCAGCCAUGAUUCCACUAUAUAUCCUUCGGGAAGCAUUCCAUCGACUGAACUUAUGACAUGGCUUGUGCAAUUUAACCUUUUCCUUAAAGUCCACUGAUCAAAGGGGCAAGCUCACAACAUCUGGUUUGAGUCCAAGCUUGAAGACUAUAUUCAAAACAGAGAAGCCAAGAUGAAAUCUUUUCAAGUGGCAAGAGGCAAUGUAUCAGAGUCCUGAGAAUAUAAAUGUCUCAAGAUUAAGGGGGUGUGGGUCAUUGCAGCAUCCUCUGCAAGUUAAAUAAUAAAAUCUACAGCAAGCCUAUGAUGAAAGGACAGUUAAAGGAAAGAAUCGAGGUCAAUCUAUUACUAGAAUAAAUAGCCAAAAAUUUUAAAUGGCAAAACAGACGUUAGAAAAGCUCUCAUUGUAGCUUGGCAGAUUCAUUUUUCAUACUCUCAUACCAUCAGCAUCAUAAGGAUAUCAUAAAAUGAAUUCCGACCUUUCUUUUAUGGUCUUCCGAUUCCAACGGAAUUUAAGAGAAAUUAGGCAUGAGUGCCUUUUUACUUUCUGUUAAAUUAGUGCCUUAAUUUUCUCAUCACAUGUACCUUUUUAUCUUCUGCGAGUAGAGAAAUGCUAAAUCUAUAAAAACCUUACUGGAGAAACACAGUUAAAGAUAUGAACCAUGAUCAAUCCACAAUGAAGAUUUAUAGCGUAAAGGUUCAACGAGAAAACAGAUGUAAAGAAAAACUUCUGUUGUAGCUUGGUAGAGUUUUGAAGAUGGUGAUGAAGAACCAGCAAGAGUUCCAUUGGGAGGAGACUCACAGAUCAACACAAUCUGGACCAUGUUUGUAUUGGUGUUCUCUCAAGUCCAUGCAUACAACUUUCAGCUAGUUUUAGGUCUUCUUGCCAAAUAUAGUCAAAACAGACAGAACUGAGGAUCAAUGCAGCCGCUCCAAUCAUCUCUCAUUGAGAUAAGAACUCUCUACCAUAUACAGUCACUCUUAACCAUAUUGUGCAACCCAUGCAUCGCCCUCAUUUUCUGACCAUUUUUAACCAGUGCUCGGGUGGAGAGUGCAGCUUCUCUUUCAUUUCUUGAAGCAGCUCAUAGGCAUCUCUCAUUUGGUUGGUUUACAUAGCCCUGCAAUUAUAGCACCAAAUAACAAUGCAUCAUGUUGCAAACCUUUCUUAGGCAAAGCAUUGGAGAGUUCUUUAGCAUCUUCAAGUUCCCCUGCCGCAUAAGCCGCUAAUAAGGGUGUUAUAGCUGAUGAUAUGGACAUUUCCAUCUUUCACUUGUCUAUACAAAGCAAUUGCCUCACAAACCUGGUGACAUUUACAAAGAUGAUCUAAGUUAUUGAUUAUUGUUGAUUUAAAUGUUCGCUACUAGCUAGAAUUUUGUAAAACAAAUGGUGUGCAACCUGAGGCAGUUCAAUGAGGAAAAAGCCACCCCCUGAGAUAGUUAUAGGUGGCAACAUCAGGGACUGAUCCAUUCUGUAACAUUCAUGAAUCAAUGUUAGAUUGGUUGUUUGUGAAAGCGAGCAGUUUUGUGCAAUCAUCAAAUGAAAUGUAGUGGGUGCAUCACCCAUUUGAUUUUAAUAACGGUAACCACCAAGCAAUGAAUUAUAAGCAACUAGGUCGGGUGUAAAUCCUCCUCAGAUCAUCAGAUCAGAGAUGCACUUUGCCUCGGUAGUCCUGCCCAUCCCACUCUGCAAAGUGUAUCCACAAUGAUACUGAUGGUUCGAACAUCUGCCAUCGUUCCUCUUUGCAGCAUCUCAGUUAACGCAACUGAAGCCUCUUCCCAGUGGCCACCCCAGCAUAGGCCUUGGAUUAAGGAGUCACGAGUGAAAACAUGUGGCCAGAUUCCAUUGCUCAUCAGCUUGUCCAACAAAACCUUUGCUUCUUUCCAUUAACCUAUGCAGGUUGAGCAAGGGAUGACAUUUGGGCAUCAGCCAUAGUAUUAUAGAACUUCAAAGCCUCUGUCCCCGUGCCUCCUAUGAUCAUGGUGUACAUGAUCACAUCUAGCUCCCAGCCUGUCUUCCAAAUUCCUCAGCAAUCGAACGGUUUUCCUAGCUUUGCCGGUUAUGCACAAUCUGUCGCUAUGGCUCCACACGUGGUCAUAUCUACCUUGAUUCAUCUGACCAACAUUUCAUCCGCCAAGCUCGUGGCUCCGGCAAUUUUACCAUCUCCAACAAGCCCAUUAAUCAAAAUGUUAAAGCUCACACUUGUGGGUUCUAGUGCAAGUUCGUCCAUUUAAAUUGGCGGAGGCAACUCAUCAAAAUGCUGCGGGUAAAAACGACGGGAGCCGUUCCCUUCGAAUCCGUAAUGCUCCGUCUUGGCCACAACCCCCAAGAGUUGGGUGGAAACUUGGAGGUGAAGGCAAAGGGUUCAACCGAACCAUCCUCUCCAAGUAGAAUAAAGCAUCGUCGGCUUCCUCUGAUCCCGCCAUUUCAGCAUUUUUUUCGUCACAAAGGCCACGCAUUCAGGUCGAUCCAUUGAGAAUCCCUUACUCCAGCAGUGGUCGCGCAAGUGCGAGAGCAACGUGAAGGCAAAUGGAUCGAAUGAGGGACGAAGGUGUGGACGGUGUCCAUCACUCCGCCACCUUCGCGGAGCGCGUACGGGAGGUGGGCCUUCAAACUGGCAUUAUAUUCUCUUUCGUUUUUCGCAUUAUAUUCUAGAAUUUUAUUUUUUUAUCUUUCCGCAUUAUACUUUAGUGGCAUUUUCAAAAGAAAUUCUUACCUUAUCUAUAAAUUUCAUCUACUUAAUAAUUUAUCCAUAAAUUAGAUUGAUAAUGUAGAAAAGAACUAGAUUUCUUGGAAAUUUCUCUUUUCAACUAAACAAAUGUUUAUGAAAGUAAUAUCUACCAAUAAAAAAAAAAAAGUGUCUGUGAUAUACAUGAAAAAUCUACAAUAAACAAAAACUAAAUAUAUAUGAAAUUCUUAAUUAUAGUAAGGAGAUCUUACAUCUAUAUAGAAAGACUUGAAAAAAAGAAAAGGAAAGCAAAUAAAUUUGGGACCACCAAUUUGAAUUGCAAUUGGAAAUGCACUGCAAUUUUGUCUUUUUAAUGAAAACUGAGUGGAUUUAGUCAUAUAGGGGUAGAAGUAGCACACACCGCCCCAAUAAAUUACAAAGAAAGAAAAAACUCACUAGACGUGUCUCUUUAGAGCCUAACCAAGUGCAGUUGGGGGCGAAAUCGCUCUGAUUGGGAAAUGCACUGCUGCGCCAUUUGAGCAUCUGGUCGAGCCUUGCUGGAGCCUAGGGCAAAAAUCUCGGUCUGUUCCUUGGAACAUCUUCUCCAUGUGAAAACUCCAAAAUCGCGUCGGCCGUAGACUGUCGAGGAUCGACUGAACGUUGGGAGGAAAAAAAACAUGAAGUACUGUCGUUGAAGUCAACCAAAGCCAUGCGGAUUUUUUUCUCACCAUCUUCUACUAAUUAAAUGAUCAGUUUCAAAAGGGGAGUCAAACAGUAUUUGUUGACUUAUAAGAUGCAAAACGAUAUGGCGCCAAUAUGCAAACAACCAUAUGCAAAACUUCGAGGUGGGCACCGACUUAGAUUUUUUUUUAAGGCAAUGUAUAUUAUACAUUUUAUUUUCACGUCAAAAUUUAAAAGAAAAUUGUUUAAAUUUCAAAAGAUUAUAAAUUAAAUGGGAGUUUAGGUGUCCUAUGGCAAGGGUAGAAAAUGGACAAAUUGUGCGAGUGCAUAAUUUAAUAAAGAGAAAAAAAAAACGAAAAAGAUUAAAAAGCCAAUCUAGACACUAAGUCGAUUGAUUUGAUACGUAGGGAACUGAAAGGAUCCAAGCAAUUCGUCUGGCAACAACUAUGACCAUUUUUGGGCAUACAUAAAUGAACAGCUUAAAAAGUUACAGAAAGGUUCCUUCAAUUGAGGAUGGUGGCUUUAAGUGGAGACUUUAACAAUCUGCUUUCUGAAUUGAGAUGGCUUUGCUGGGAUGGCUUUCAAGAGGAGAAAAGAUUGACCAUAUUUAACAAAUGGUCUUCUUCAGCAACCGGUUUGUCUCUACCGAAAUUAGUGGUACUAGAGUUGUCAGAUCCCUGGAUCACAGAGCAAUGGGGAGGAUGGAGUUCAAUCGAUGAAGAAAAGACAGCAUAUGUGCUUUAUGUUUGUUUUGUUUUGUCCAUCAACUCAUUAUUCUCCUUUGUAUAGGUGGCAAAGCAGCUGAAAAUUCUUAACCUUUCAUGUUGUAGAAUAAGAUGUACUCCUAACCUUUCAGCUUUUACAGAGUUGGAGAUACUCAACUUGGCAGGCUGUACCAGACAGAAGCUAAUCCACGCUUCUGUUGGCAAUGUCAAGAAACUUGUUUACUUGGACUUGAGAUGGUGUUGUUUUCUCAAGAAGUUGCCAAAGCAAGUGGGAAAAUUAGAAGAACUAAAAGAACUUAAUGUAGGUUGGACUCGAAUUAAAAAGCUUCCGAUGUCAAUCAGUUCUCUAAGGAAUCUAAAGAAAGUCAAAGCCCAGGUUCGUUCGGAUUCGGGGGAUAUUCGUAGCUCAAUUGGGAAUCUUUCUUCUCUCUUGCACCUUAAUCUAGAAGUUUGUCGGUCAUUGAGAGAAAUCCCUAACUCAAUUGGGGAUUUAUAGAAUCUGCAACAUUUGAACAUGAAUUAUUCUGCGAUUGAAAAGUUUCCCAAUGCUAUUGCAAGAUUGAAAAAAUUGCAGAGUCUACUUCUCACAAACUGCUGUAGUCUGGAAGGGGUUCCAAAUGAAAUUGGUGACUUGCUUCACUCGAGACUCUCCAAAUGACCAAUGCACGAAUGUCUAGCCUACCAUAAAGCAUCCGAAAUCUUUCUUUUCUCAAAAUGCUUGACUUAAUUAGGCUCAUUCAGUUAUUGGUCAAUCAUAAGAUCAAGUAUUCGGAACUAACUUUUCUAUCAAGUGCAAUGGCCAUCUGAUUCUCAGGGUAGCUUCUACUGUAUAUAGCCCAGACUCAAGUCUCUCUUCACUUGGAGCGAAAAAGGUGUACGUCCUCUGGCUUGGCCACAGCGGAUGAUGGAUAUCUUGGCCACAGGGUCAUAUUCAUUAUUCAGGCAUCAGUGCACCUACUAAAGCAUGCUCAGCCACUUGCAAAAUUCUCAUCAUACGGUUAAUAGCCAUAGCUACAUUACACCGGACGUAUAUAACAUGCAUGAUAAGCAACCAACUUCUUCUUUUCAGAUGAGACAACGGCAUUUUUCUUCUCUGGUCCGGCCAUGAUUCUCUCCAGAACAUUGGAUAUCUCACGUUUAGCCACGUCUCCAGUUCACAUGUGCUCUGGCGUUUAACCCCGUCUCCAGACGAAGCAUCUAAGCUACCCAGAGGCUGCCACCUCCAACUUCCUGGGAUCGUAGAUGAUAUCCAAACAGGAGUCUCCAGGUGGGCAUCCCUACCCGAGUCAACCUGAUGAGGAACUUCCAAGUAUCAUUGACUAUCCACAAACAUACGUACCUGUAUAUUAUGAAAACCAUAUACAAUAUGAAGCAUAAAAAGAAAGACGGUCUUGUAUGGCAUCCGCCAUAUAAGAGAAGAUAAAUAUGACUUAAAAGCAGCAAACAUGCAAUAUGACUUUGCCAUCACCUGUCUUCCUUGAUCAUUAUCACUACAUAUCUUUGGAGCAAAAAUAUAUGGUAUUGGAUGUCGAAACCUUAUUCUCAUUAGAUGAAGAAGACCCAUCCCAAAUAAGUUAUAGUCAACCUGCCAUUAAUUAACCUCAAGUGCAUCAAGAAACACACAUAUGAAAGAUAGCAAGUCUGGACAUGAGGGCAUUAAUGACCCAUCCUUGCAAACUCACCCGCUAUAGAACCAGAGAAAGGCAAAUUUGGAUAAGAUAGAAAGAUAAACUGAUGUCGCAAGAUAAUACCAGAAACUGAAGCAGAUAGGGAAUAUGCGAUUCAUGCGGCUGCAAACUUCUGUCAAAUACUGCCCGUCCCUGGAAAAUGAUGUUGGACCAUGAAUAAAAAAGAAAUAGACAAACAAGAUGACUAUAGGCACGUGUAUUGCAUGACACAUUUUUUUUUUUGUCAAAAUUAAUAUAUCUAUUACAAGCUUUUCUUACAAGAAAACCUUCCUCAUAGAAGAUAACCUUUUAGAACAAAUCCAAAUACCAUCCCAACUUUCAUGCGCAUACCAAUUUUCAUCCACUACUUUUAAAACCACCAAUUCAAGAGUGUUGUUAAGAUGGGGGAGAGAGAGAGAGAGAGAGACUAGCAAUAGAGGUUUAAGACAGCUAGAGCGCAGCCAAAGAUGGCAACUGGUGGCUGUGAAGCCUUUGAGUGGUGUGAUUGGUGGAGAUGAUUAGGUUUGGGUUUAGAAUUUGGAAAUGAUUUUGGGAUAAUCUUUUCUAAAGUUUGUUGAAGGAAGGGCAAUUUGGUCUCUGGACUAUGUGGUUUGGGCCUAAGAUGCAAUUUGCGAAUUACAAAUGCAUUAUACAAGGUUCCAUCCAGAGUGAUGGGGAAACAAGCUAAUCGACGCUUGGAGUUGCCCCAAGAAUGCAAAGAAAUAGAUGCGGCUUGGUGGAAUUGAAGAUUCACACACAUGGAGAAAUAGGUUCAAUUCCAGUCCCGUGCUUCAAGCUGCCAUCACCAUUCAUUUCAUCUUAUUAAAGCAGCCAUGGUAUUGCCUAACCAUUUCAUUUAGGCCAAUCCCACCUGUCUCUCCCACCUAAGGUCUUCGGAGAAUUUCGAGAGUGCAGCCCUUGGGUCACCAUCAGAGAUAGACAAGUAGUACUGAGCAGUCCCAUCAUCAACCUGCAUGCUCCUCCUAAGCGAGUCGAGUAUUCUCUUCUUCCCUCGUUCAGAGGUUGUCCUCUUUAGCAAAGAACUUAUCUCUAUGUCCCGGACGCCUUCUGGGUAAAGCACGGCGACUUCCCUCUUUGCAUGGUUAUCUCGCUCUAUGUAGCAUGUGGAAUUGAUAAGAAUGUCAGGGUUGCUUAUGGGGAUUAACAAUCUUUCCCUCGAAUAUAUACCAUGAUCACUCAUCAUGUUGUUCAAGCGCUUUAUGUCCAUGACCUGACAGCACAAAAGAAAUUCUUUAGGCAUGUGACAUGCGGUGUAGACAGGCACAAAAAGGAUAUGCUUGACAGAAAACAUUGAAGCAGGGAAGAAAAAAAUUUCAGGGAAGCCAUUCUAAAAGUAAGUCUCUACCAACAGUUAUCAAAACAUUGAACCCAGAGAGAUCUAACUGCAUGACAUCAUUAUUUCAGGGAUUAUUAUGACUACAACCAUGGAAAAUUUCCAUAUAAAGACAAAUUCAUUUCCUAGUUGCACAAACAACUUAAGUUCUCAGAAUUUGAGGUUCACGUUCAACCAUUUCGAUGAAUCAAUACCACCACUGCUGAAUCAUCUACUAUUUCUAUGUCAAUGUUAUUAAGUCAGAGGAACUAUCAUGACGAUCACAAAGUGCAUUGCCCAUCAUUUCACACUGAUGACUUGCAAAAUCUGAGCAUCAUUUAGCCUUGUGUGUUCUGGGAAUUAAGAGAUUGUGAUUAUCUACUAAGAUGCUCAAUAUGUGGUCGUCAAUCAAGCAUAUCUUUUUGCUAUUAGUAACUGGAGAUGUUUCUUGCUUGGCAAACUUAAGAAAACUUUAUAACAUGAAGAUAUUUCAUAAUGCUUUACAUGAAGAUUUCAUAAUGUUUUACAUGAAGAGGACCCUAUGCUUCCUAAGACAUAACAUUUUUGUUCAAGCCCCAACCUUCCUCCAUACCUCCAGAAGAAACCGCGACAAUGACUUCGAAGUGUAACCAUUUCCUUUUCCUUCUUUAUAUUUUAGGCUUCACUAAAAGAUGAAGUCACUCCAAAAUUACAAAAUUCGUAUGUCAAUUAGUCUGGCCUUCUCCAAUGGGAAUAAAUCUAUAAGAUUUGCAGUAGUAAGUUCCAUUGAGCAUCUAUCCUACCACCUAUUCAAUACAAUAUAGAGCAACAGCUUAAAAUUAUAACUAACCCUACUCAAUGGGAUAAAUCUGUCAUUAACGUUGAAGUCAUUCAACCGCCAGCCUGCACAAAGAAGCUAUGAACUCCUCGUAAAUUCCCCAAGCUAACCUUUAUCAAAGAGGCCAGAACCCAAUCAAAUGGAGGUAUAAGAGAGCCAUGCCCGAAAUUGAACAAAACUAUGUACUAAGACAAUCCUGCACCAAUCAACAGAGCUAUCCAACUUUGGCUGUUAUAGUGGAGGAAUGACGGAAUGCUUCUUCAAGGAGAAAAGCGCAAAGACCUGACAAUUGUUGCUAGCUGUACAGCAUUCCUCAACCAACAAGUCCUCAGCAUUCUUCGGGAUUCGCCAUUUUAGCAAUCAAACUCAGGAUCAAAAAUUCGUAUAUUAUGAAAUGCACCUAACCCAUCCCCACCGAUCCUCUCAGCGCCAAUGAAUAACCAAAUAGACAAUCUAUGCUGGAGAAGAAAACCAGAUGGAUUCCAAGCCAUGAGCAAAGCAAACCCACCAGAAAUUCCAUUAAAAUUCACAAUAAGGCUCCCAGCUUCCGUCCACUUCACUCAAACGGACCCACCCACGUCUAACCCCUGGCUACACAUGACCACAUGCAGAACAAACCUACAUGACUUCCGAAACAUCAUAAGGAUACUACCAAGAAACCUUCUUGGUAAAGUUUCGAAAGCUGUAGCCGUACACACCACUUUAGCUAACUUUUAAAUAAAAUCGCAAUCCAUCUGUUCUUCAGAAUCAGCUAAAAGUAAAUCUCUAUCGAAAAUGCAGCAUCAAAGCAUGUCAUUUGCAAAUGUCAAACAUACCUACUUAGAUGACAUGUAAAAAUUUUCAUGACAUUUUUAUAAGUUUGAUUAUAUUUAGCUUUUGGUGGAAAAUUAUAUAUUCUUUUUUACUUUUUGAAUAACACGAAUAGAAUAACUUUUGAAAAGUUUGGUCAUAUGAAUUAAAGAGUUUCAAAUGUUACAUUUCGUAGAGGCUUACAAAGGUAUGAUAAAAAAAUAAAUUGCUAAAAGUUAAAUGGAAAGUCGAACAUAUUCAUUAUAACAUUGGUAAUCUUUUAAGUACUUGUAAAAUUUCGAAGAAGUUGGUGAUUUGCUAAUUUUAUUUGAUAUGUCGAAGCCAAGAAAAAGAGGUGGAGCGAGGGCCAUUUCUGUGAUCCCGUGCUUUUGCGCACGACAACUUUGUCAUGUUUCUCCUUAGCCGUUGGAUUCAAGUGGUUUAAUAUCAGCCGUUCGAUUAAUAUGUGUCGUCGGCGUUUCUGGAUCACUCCUGUUGGUGGAAAACUCGUGGAAUUACCCACUCAAAGGUGCCAAAUCACGGCAUUGCCCUUCCUUUGUUUAUCGCCUACUUCAAUUUUUCUUCCACCGUUCCCUUCUUUCCAAACAACAUACGUUAAUAAAAUUUUUAAUCAGUGCAUUAACAUUGUCGCAGUUUCUUUAUAUAAGCUGGUUUUUAUAGAAUGACACAUAUUCAAUUUUUAUUUUUAGCAUCUAGAUAUAUUUCAUAAAUAGUUUAUGCUCCCAUUUUGAGAUUAUCUAUGUUUAAAAAAAAAAAAAGCGUACAUUGACCGUGUAUGUAAUAUAUAUUCUCUUCCAAGGGCUUUUAUUUUGUACAAUGGCAAAAUAAUUAUUUUUUUUGCACAAAUAGGCUUUAGAUAAUUUUUUUGGUACAAAUAAUUAAGAUUUAUUUUCUCUCUUGUUUUAUUUUGUACAAUGGUGAUAUAAUUUUUUUUUUGGCGAUGUUUAUCAACUGCCGAGUGGCCGUGACUUCAAUAUUUAUUGACUUGUGUAUUGACUUCUCGUUGGCCAAUGACCCUGCUUGCAAUGAUUUAAGCAGCUAGCCCAUCUUUUAUUUAAGAAUGGUAUCAGGAGCAAGUGCCUUUAGCAAAAGAUAAGUAAUCAUCUUUUGUUUAAGAAUGAUAUUGGGGAGAAUGCACAUUUUUAUUAUUUUUAAUAAAAAUAUUUGUUCAUUCCAGCAGUCUCUAACAUGAGUUGCAUCGAUCAUGUGCAUUCACAUGUUAGAUUUGUAAAUUUUCUCCUCUCUUUUUGCUUUAUAAUUUUUUAAAUAAAAAAAAAGGGAUAUACCUAAAGUGAAUGCACAUUUUUAUUAUUUUUUAAUAAAAAAACAUUUGUUCGUUCCAGCGGUUUUUGAAAUGAGUUGCAUCGAUCAUGUGCAUUCACAUGUUAGAUUUGUAAAUUUUCUCCUCUCUUUUUGCUUUAUAAUUUUUUAAAUAAAAAAAGGGAUAUACCUAAAGUGAAUGCACAUUUUUAUUAUUUUUUAAUAAAAAAAAUAUUUGUUCGUUCCAGCGGUCUCUAACAUGAGUUGCAUCGAUCAUGUGCAUUCACAUGUUAGAUUUGUAAAUUUUCCCCUCUCUUUUUGCUUUAUAAUUUUUUUAAAUAAAAAAAAGGGAUAUACCUAAAGUAACUGCACAUUUUUAUUAUUUUUUAAUAAAAAAACAUUUGUUCGUUCCAGCGGUCUUUGACAUGAGUUGCAUCAAUCACGUGUAUUCACAUGUUAGAUUUGUAAAUUUUCUCUUCUCUUUUUGCUUUAUAAUUUUUUAAUAAAAAAAGGGAAAUACCUAAAGUGGCUGACCAUCUGUACGUUCUUCAAAUUUUCAGCACCGUCCAUGUGUUUGCUUUUAACAUAAGUUAACUGUGAACAAAAAAAUAUUAAACUUAAGUGACUUGAUAAUUCUAGUUUUGAUUUAAUUAAGGAUCGAAGUGUACAUAUAUGUCUAUGUUUAUAUGGAUGUAGAUGUAUUUAAUACUGUAUCAUGUCUAUAUGGAGAGGCGAGUGUUGGUCGUCGGUUCAUAAACAUGUGCUAAAAGAGUCACUUUUUUCUUGAGCCACCGGAAAAGGCUAGCAUGGCUUGAAUACUUUACAUUAGAAAAAAAGAAGGAAAGAGACCCCUUCAAUUUUUUGGUUGUUACGAUUAUAAGUAGCCCAUCUUUUGCCUUUAGCAAAGAAAAAACAAAAAGAGUAGCCCAUCUUUUAUUUAAGAAUGAUAUUUGGGAGCAUGCGCAUGUUCCCGUUGUUUUGUCAAAGAUCCGAAUAAAAGUUCAUUGAUAGCGAAUGGUAUUUGUUUUUCAGCCCACUUGUGACUUUAUUAUGGCGUUCACAUGCCAAAUUUGAAAAUUUUCUUCUCAUUUUAUUUUAUUAUUUUUUAACAAAAAAUAAUAUAUUUAAAAUAGUUGAUCAUUUGUGCGUUGUCUAUUAUUUUUAUGGGAUAUACAGGGAAUAUCCAGCCAAUAAGCUUGCAAUCCACUAAUGUUCUAGAAUAAACUUAUUGACAUUAUAAGGUAACGGAGCUAGGACUAUAUGGGCACCUUAUAUGUACAUCACCGGGAAACACAUGAAUUGACUACUCAGGGGAUAUGAUCUAUCUUCGUCGAUCAUAAUGGCUUGAUUCAAGCUAUUAAUAUAUAGCGAAACCCUUUCUUGUCUUAGUUCAUGGUCAUAGAUGGCCUCUUUUUCUAUUGGAAGGGAGCUAGAUUUGAUCAAGACCAAGAUCAAGAUCAAGAUCAACUCCGGACUAGCCAUUUACUGCAUGGUGAACUGCGUAAAUAAAAGUCACGAUCAGAAGAAGGGGAAUUCGCGGGGAUUGAAGUGAUUCUCCUGCCCUUGUUCGAGUCCAACUUGUGACGAGGCCCCUAUAUGGCUAUAAAAAAAAAGGACUUUCUUCUUCAAAAUACAUUAAUGGAAAAUGACAUGGAUCGUAGAGACGGAGUAGGGAUGUGCAACCGGUCCGGGUCAACCCGGUUCCCGGAUCGGCCCACCCGGAAAACAGGGUCGGGAACCGGUUCCGGUUGAAACUAGUCCGGGAACUAGUUCCCAACAAUCAGACCCUGUUUGAACCGGUUCGGGAACCGAUUCCGAGGGAUUACCCACCCGGGAACCGGAUCAACUGGACCGGUUUGGGAACCGGUUAGAGAACCGGUUUGAAGCCCCUGUUGGGGUUUCAUGAAUCAUGUAUAAGAAAUAUUAACAUAAAGUAUGCAGCGGAAACAAAUAUAUAUUUUACACAUGAUUCUCCUAAGGCGUUGUUCGUACGUUUUAAUUAAAAAUCUAAACAUAAAAGGGGAGUUAAACGAAAUACCUCUCGAAGUGCGCUUUGAAACAAGUCGGUACGGAUGUUCUACAGUACGAGUCCCACAAGCGUCGGACCUCUAGUUCAGACACACCAACAACGAACGUCGAACGAAAAGAGAAUUUUCGGAUAUCCACCACUUCGAUUGUGCUAGCAAUCACGUGGAAAGAAUCCGUCGUAUUCUUGAUGUAUAAUAGUCACAGCCCAAACGAGAUAACGCUCUUCUUUCUAGCGCCUCAAAGACACAAGAACACGCACACACUUUGCUUUCUAUUUUCAGCAAAGCAUCACUGAUUUCUCGCUUGUGUUUCUCUCGAACAAAACCAAAACCACACUGACUCUUUUUCUGUUUUUCAACAGCAACCUUUAACUCUCAUCCCUCGUUCAUUUUAUAAUAAAAAUGACCAGCAACGGUUGCUGAUCGAUGGACGAUCAGCAACCAUUGCUGAUUGUCCAUAGUGGACGAUCGUGCAUGAGCGGGCAUGAUGGUCAGCGGUUGCUGACCAUCCAUGCUUCGUGCAUAAUGGUCAGCAACCACUGACCAUUACGCUUCGUGCAUGUGCACAAAUUCGUGCACAUGCAUGAAGCUUUACUUUUUUUUUUUAAUUAGUUUAAUUUAGGGCAUAAUUCUAACAAUCUCCCACUUGCACUAAAGCCAACUUGUUUGGUAUGUUAACAUAUAUCCACUUUGGGCAUGCGUGUGCAUCAUAUGCAAGUAGGCUCGUGACUAUAAUACAAAUUAAAUUAAAUCUCAUUUAAUUUAAUUUCAAAUAGACUCAAUUCGAUUGCAGUAAUUGCAAACACAUUUGCAAUAAUAUUUCUCUCUUGUUCCACGUCAUCCUAAUUGUUUAUGGUGUGUGACAUCCCUAGGUUCAUCACUAAGCUGGUAGUAAGACUUGUACUAACACAUUAGUACUUCCAAAAGAAUUAAUUGUCCCGAUUAAUCUUUUAGGUCCUACAAGCCACGAUUGACAUCUAGCAAUAUGUCAUGGCUACCCAGAUAGUGUGAAUACUUUAAGAACAUAAUGAACCUGUCAACUUUGGCUACAAUGUAAUUCAAUCCCUCUAUCUUACUAUGUCCCGAUCAAACAAAGACCAUGUAAUAUUUGUCAAGUCAUUAAUUCGAUCAUAUGCACAAAUCUAAUUGACAUGCAUUUUAUUCGAGACAUAAACAAUUUAUUCUCGGUUACAACCCUGGCCGAGGAUUUCAAUGCAGUGUCACAAUUAGAUCGCAUAGGACAUCAUUAUCAUACCUUGCAUAUAACAAGGAGACAGAUUCCAUAUUGCGCACACGUGUAACUUCGUAUAUGAACAAAUUAUGACCAUCAAGUAUAAAGACGGAUCGACGACCCGGCAUUAUGUGCACCCGUGAACCAUAGUUGUUCAAUACACAAGUUAACACUGUGCCUCAGGUCUAAGGAUUAUUUACACAAGACCAAAGCAUGAACAAUUAGACAUUGACCACGCUAAAAGCUUUCAUGUCGCUAAUUGUUCCAUAUGCGUCACGUUCAGUGAAUUUAUCUAAUACAAACACCUGUGUUCUAACUCAGGCAUCAUAAUACCCAAUGACAUGUGACUCAUCAUUCCCUUAGGUAUCCAAUACUUAAUGGCGAAGUUAAGAACACACCGGUCUCAACAGGAUUAUUAAUAUCCACUCAAUAAUCCAUCGACCGGGAACGAUUUAAAUACGAUUUAAAUAUUCAGUCUAACUAUGAACCCAUCACAUAUAUUCUUGACGUCUCAAGAAUAGGUCUAGUUGCAACUGAUCUUAUGGAAUCAUUCAUCAACAUAAAAUAAUUGGACAAAUGAAUGAAUACGUCAUUGCCAUUAAUUAAAUAAUAAUAAUGAAAAUACAACUGAAAUCCCUAAUAUGUAACUAUUACAUAGCAACUUUAGGGCAUACAUCUAACAAUUUCUCACUUGCACUAAAGUCAACUUAUCUGGUACCUCAAACCCAUUUUGUCAAUAUGUCUUUCAAAAGAAGACUGAGGUAAGGCCUUAGUGAAGGGAUCUGCCACGUUUUCUGCUGAGGCAAUUUUCUGCAAGGCGAUAUCACCUCUCCUAACAAUUUCUCUGAUGAGAUGGAAGCGUCUCUCAAUGUGCUUGGACUUCUGGUGAGACCUUGGUUCCUUAGCUUGAGCUAUCGCCCCAUUGUUGUCACAAAACAAUGAGAUCGGUUGCUCAAUUGAAGGAAUGACUCCAAGUUCAUAAAUAAACUUCUUCAUCCAAGCGGCUUCCUUUGCUGCUUCAGAAGCAGCUACAUACUCUGCCUCAGUGGUGGAAUCGGCAGUUAUAUUUUGUUUGGAACUUUUCCAACUAACUGCACCACCAUUGAAUGUAAAGACAAACUCGGACGUAGACUUAUAAUCAUUAGGAUCCGAUUGAAAAUCAGAAUCAGUAUAAGCUACAACUUUAAAUUCUCCUUCUCCAUAUAUCAAGAAUAAAUCUUUAGUCCUUCGCAAAUACUUAAUGAAUAUUCUUGAUUGCUAUCUAGUGCUCUUCUAUUGGAUCAGACUGAUAUCUGCUAGUAAUACUUACAGCAUGCGCAAUAUCAGGUAUAGUACAUAGCAUAGCAUACAUUAUGCUUCCAAUAGCGGAUACAUAUGGUAUCUUUGCCAUCCGCUCUCUUUCUUCAGGAGUGUUGGGACACAUCUCCUUAGAAAGACGGAUCCCUUGCCUAAAAGGGAAUAAUCCUCUCUUGGAACAUUGCAUGUUAAACCAUGUUAACACUUUGUCUAUGUACGUAGAUUGUGAGAGGCCAAUCAAUCGUCUUGAUCUAUCUCUAUAGAUUUUGAUACCUAAAAUGUAGGUUGCAUCUCCUAAAUCUUUCAUGGAGAAUUUCUAUGACAAUAAUAGUUUUAUUGAUGAUAUCAUUGGUACAUCAUUUCCAAUCAAAAGUAUAUCAUCGACAUACAAAACCAGAAAUGUAAUUGCACUCCCACUGAUCUUCUUAUAUACACAAGGUUCAUCCGGAUUUUUGAUGAAGCCAAACGAUUUGACUAUCUCAUCAAAACGGAUGUUCCAACUUCUGAAGGCUUGUUUGAGUCCAUAAAUGGAUCUCUUAAGCUUACACACCUUCUGUUUUUCACUAUUGGAUUCAAAACCCUGUGGCUAUUCCAUAUAGAUGUCCUCAUCGAGAAAAUCAUUUAGAAAAGCCGUUUUGACAUCCAUCUGGAAUAUCUCAUAAUCAAGGUGUGCAGCUAUAGCCAACAUAAUCUAAAUGGAUUUUAGCAUGGCCACAAGUGAGAAAGUUUCGUCAUAAUCAAUUCCUUCUUUUUGACGAUAUCCUUUCGCCACCAGUCAUGCUUUGUAAAUUCCAAUUCGACCUUCAACAUUCAUCGUCCUCUUGAAGAUCCAUUUACAGCCAAUUGGUACAAUACCAUCAGGCAGGUCAGUCAAGGUCCAAACCUCAUUGGAAUACAUUGAAUCCAUUUCGGAUUUCAUGGCCUCUAGCCAUUUACCAGAAUCGAUGUCCAACAUCGCCUCCUCAUAGGUUUUAGGAUCACCGAGUUGAUCACUAUCAUUCACAAUGAAUAAUGGUUCGAUAUGAUCAACCGAGUGUCUAUAACGAUCAGGUGGGCGAGACGUUCUCGCACUUCUCCUAAGAGGUUGUGUAUCAGAAGCUCCCAUUGAAUCAGAGAUUGGUAUAUGAACUCGGUUGUUUGAUACUUCAUUAUUUUCUUCUUGUAAGACUAUUUUCCGCCCAGCACCACUUUCUUGGACGAACUGAUUCUCCAAAAAAGAAGCGUGCUUGCAUACCAAAAUUCUUUGAUUUGAAUGAAAAUAGAAAUAAUAUCCAAGAGUUUCCUUUGGAUAUCCUAUGAAGCGACCUUGUUCAGAUCUUGCCUCCAAUUUUUCAUUUUCAGCUUUUUCACGAAAGCUGGACAACCCCAAAUCUUAAUAUAAUUAAGACUAAGUUUCCUACUAUGCCAUAUCUCAUAGGGCGUAGUUGGAACAUAUUUGGACGGCACUCUAUUCAGUAUCAAACAACCGAGUUCAGAUACUUCAAGGGCAUAUCGGUGUAACUCAUCAUAGACCGUAUCAUAUCUAAUAAAGUACGAUUUCUUCGUUCAGAUACACCAUUAUGUUCUGGAGUUCUAGGAGGUGUCCAUUGUGAUAAAAUGCCAUUCUCUUUAAGAAAGUCCAGGAAUUCAGUACUAAGGUAUUCACCUCCUCAAUCUGAUUGAAGAGCCUUAAUACAUUUUCCUGUUUGUUUCUCAACUUCAGCCUUGAAUUCCUUGAACUUUUCAAAGGAUUCAGAUUUAUACUUCAUGAGGUAUAAAUAACCAUACCGUGACUGAUCAUCGGUGAAGGUAAUGAAGUAAUUAUAACCACCUCUAGCGGUUUCAUGAAUUGGUCCACAUACAUCUGUAUGUAUUAAUUCUAAUAUGUCAGCAACUCGCGCACUUUGUCCCGCAAAAGGCGCUUUGGUCAUUUUUCCUAGAAAACAUGCCUCACAAGUCGAGUAUAACUCCACUUGUUAAUUAUGUCUUCUCCAAUAUGACCUAAUCGGAGAUGCCAAACAUACUUUUUAUUUGGACCGUCUCUAGGGCGUUUAUUAGUUAUGGCAUUUAUAUCAAUUCUAUUUUGCUUAUUGACAUUGGUAAUCGCAUUACCGGACAUUGUAAUGGUAUAAAGAUUGUUGGUUAAUAAGCUAGAACCAACACAUAUUCUAUUAUGAUAAAUAGAACAUACAUCAUCAGCAAAAGAAAAUUCAUAAUUCUCUUUACCCAAACGAGGUACAGAGAUGAUGUUCCUAACAGCAUUCUUAUAAUGCAAACAGUUCUUUAAAACCAUUACAUGUCUAGAAGGGAAACAUAAAUGAAAAGUCCCUAUAGCUAAUGAAGCAACUCUUGCUCCAUUGGCAAACGUCAGGACAAUCUCAUUUCGCCUUAGCAUCCUGCUUAUUUCCAGAUUCUGCAAAGACAUACAAAUAUGUGAAGUUGCAGCAGAAUCUAGAACCCAUGAGCUGGAUUUAGCACUAACCAUAAGAUUGGUUUCAAUAAGCAUAGACACCAUACUUUCAUAAGGUUGGUUCUUGGGUUUGACCUUCAAGCUCGCGAGGUACCUCUUACAGUUCCUCCUCUAGUGCCCUUUGACACCACAGUAAUGACAUUUCCCUUUAUCAAUCAUGGGUUUUGGUUGCACAAUAGGUUUGGCAGGCCUCUUCCAUUUAUUCUUCUUUAAAACGGUCUUACCCUUUGAAGAAGAAGCCUUAGCCAUAGCCACUACAUUUGGUCUCGUGUUAUGCAUUUCCUUCUCAUAAACUACCAACAUGCUAUGUAACUCAGCAAGAGUUUUCUCCAUCUUAUGCAUGUGGAAGUUUUGGACAAAACCAGAGAAGAAAUCGGGUAAAGAUUGGAGGAUCAAAUCCACAGCUAACUCAUUGUUCAUAACGAGAUUCAGCCUAGCCAAUUCUUCAAUGUGCCAGAUCAUUUUCAAAGCAUGAUCAUUAACAGAUGAUCCUUCAGCCAUCCUCAUACGGUACAAUGCCUUAGAUAUCUCAUAUCUAGAGGUUCGACCAUUCUCAUCAAAGUAUUCCUUUAAGUGCAAAAUGAUCGACCCAGCAUCUUUCAUAGAUUCAUACUUCUUCUGUAAUUCAUUUUUCAUAGAAGCAAGCAUAUAUGACCUAACUUUUAAGUCAUCAUCACACCACUUAUCAUAAGUAACACGCUCCUCUUGGGUCUCACCCUCAGGAAAGGAGGUUGGCAUCUUUUCAUCAAGCACAUACCUAAUUUUUUCUGAAUUAAGAACAAUUCUCAAAUUCCUCACCCAGUCAGUGAAAUUGGGUCCAGUCAAACAAUUCUUGUCAAGUAUAGAAGCAAGUGGGUUUGUGGUCACAAUUUUUCAGAGUAACAAUAUAUCUGUUGCAGAAAAUAAAUUGUUAGCCGUUGUAUCUUUCAAAGUAACUAUUUCAUUUUGGCCUUUAAAUGAAAUAGAUCCUUCCACUAAAUUUAUAUUCGAAUCCCAUACUCCUUAAGAUGGGAAGCGGUAAUCUUUGUUGGGUAAAGAUUACUAGUGGGGAUUGGAGUCCCACUAGUCCAAAGUCCACCUCACCUAACAGUUAUUGGUGUCCUAUGAACUUAGUGAGUGAACCAGCUUGUUCAACACAUCAUAUGCGAGUCCCAAUCAUAACUUCGGCCUCUAGACCAUGAAAGCCUCACCUAACAGUUAUUGGCAUCAUGAUCAUAGUUAAGUCUAGCCCAUCGUCUCAUGCAAGUAUUGAAAACACAAAUGAUUCCCUCACCUAACAGUUAUUGGAAAUCAUUUGGCUCCAACCCCACAGCAUCNNNNNNNNNNNNNNNNNNNNNNNNNNNNNNNNNNNNNNNNNNNNNNNNNNNNNNNNNNNNNNNNNNNNNNNNNNNNNNNNNNNNNNNNNNNNNNNNNNNNNNNNNNNNNNNNNNNNNNNNNNNNNNNNNNNNNNNNNNNNNNNNNNNNNNNNNNNNNNNNNNNNNNNNNNNNNNNNNNNNNNGGAGAUUUGGGUCGUUAUUAACGGUCUCACUUUGCAUAUAUCGAUUUACAUGCACGAUACCAUAAACACAAUAAAUAAUAGAUAUCACAUAAACAUCUAUCCUAUGUGGUGAUCAUGGAAUUAUGGUUCAAUGGGUCUCGAGCUAAAGAGACCCAUUUAGCCAUUUUAAUGUUUUAAUAAUAUGGAUCUGCUCUUCACUUUUUCUUCAAUCUUUGAACUCUUCAAAGACCGGGCCCAAAGAGCUCACCAGUUUAAUGGCUCCUCCAAUGGCUCCUCCUCUCUUGUAGUAUUUACAUGAACAAUUGAAAUACUAAACUAUACUAAAAUUAUAUUUUGUAAAAAUAAAUAUAAAAGAAGGACGCAGCCUCCAUUUAAUAAUUACAUCCCUAAAAAGAAUACCUGUAAUCAUCAUACAUUCAUCCAUACAACAAUCACAACAAUUAGGGAUUUUUCCAUGAUCACCACCCUUCCUUACGAGCCAUAAAUUCAAAAUUUAAAGCUCUGGAAGACAUGCAUAAAAUUCUGCAUAUCAUUUGCAAAAUAUAAACAUCAAGUAUAACAAGUUACAGAUUUUUUGAUUCAAAAUUGAUUUAGUUCUAAUUUUUGCUUUGUUGAUUAAAUUUAUCACAUAAAUCAAUCAACUUCUAUAGGCUACAUAAGAGCAAGAGAACCAAUUCUCUUAACAAAAGUAAAUUGGCCAUUAGAAUGCAAAAAUAUAUUUGAACUAUAAAUCAAUUAAACGCACGAAAACGCCUAAGGUUGGCUCAGAUACCACUGUUGGGGUUUCAUGAAUCAUGUAUAAGAAAUAUUAACAUAAAGUACGCAGCAGAAACAAAUAUAUAUUUUACACAUGAUUCUCCUAAGGCGUUGUUCGUGCGUUUUAAUCAAAAAUCUAAACAUAAAAGGGGAGUUAAAUGAAAUAUCUCUCGAAGCGCGCAUUGAAACAAGUCGGUACGGAUGUUCUACAGUACGAGUCUCACAAGCGUCGGACCUCUAGUUCAGACACACCAACAACGAACGUCGAACGAAAAGAGAAUUUUCGGAUAUCCACCACUUCGAUCGUGCUAGCAAUCACGUGGAAAGAAUCCGUCGUAUUCUUGAUGUAUAAUAGUCACAGCCCGAACGAGAUAACGCUCUUCUUUCUAGCGCCUCAAAGACACAAGAACACGCACACACUUUGCUUUCUAUUUUCAGCAAAGCAUCACUGAUUUCUCACUUAUGUUUCUCUCGAACAAAACCAAAACCACACUGACUCUUUUUUUUGUUUUUCAACAGCAACCUUUAAUUCUCGUCCCUCGUUCAUUUUAUAAUAAAAAUGACCAGCAACGGUUGCUGAUCGUCCAUAGUGGGCGAUCGUGCAUGAGCAACCGCUCAUGCACGAUCUUGCAUGAUGGGUCAGCGUUGCUGACCAUCCAUGCUUCGUGCAUAAUGGUCAGCAACCGCUGACCAUUNNNNNNNNNNNNNNNNNNNNNNNNNNNNNNNNNNNNNNNNNNNNNNNNNNNNNNNNNNNNNNNNNNNNNNNNNNNNNNNNNNNNNNNNNNNNNNNNNNNNNNNNNNNNNNNNNNNNNNNNNNNNNNNNNNNNNNNNNNNNNNNNNNNNNNNNNNNNNNNNNNNNNNNNNNNNNNNNNNNNNNNNNNNNNNNNNNNNNNNNNNNNNNNNNNNNNNNNNNNNNNNNNNNNNNNNNNNNNNNNNNNNNNNNNNNNNNNNNNNNNNNNNNNNNNNNNNNNNNNNNNNNNNNNNNNNNNNNNNNNNNNNNNNNNNNNNNNNNNNNNNNNNNNNNNNNNNNNNNNNNNNNNNNNNNNNNNNNNNNNNNNNNNNNNNNNNNNNNNNNNNNNNNNNNNNNNNNNNNNNNNNNNNNNNNNNNNGCUCUGCUCGUGAUCUGGCCUAGCCCCCUCGCUGACGCCCGGCGUCGGAGGGAUCGAACCAAGCGGAGAAGAGAGAUGUUGCUCCCUUCACGGCCUUGGAUUACCUCGAUCCGUCCUACUAAUACGUGCGCUCGCCAGAAUCGCGUUUCGCCAUCUCCGCUUGCUGAAGGGGGCAUCCGAUUACAGUCCAUUACAGUUCUCACGUUGUUGUUGUCGAUAUUGCUUUAGGGACGAGAGAUUCUCUCACGAGGAGCACUACGAGUGGUUCAAGGACUACUCUCAUUUCCGCCACCUAAUGCAGCAGAAUGUCAAACCCGGUUCUUUCGUGAGCACCGCGUCCUUUCAAUGCCUUUUCGAUUCCCUGAUGCUCUGUAUCUGGUCUUCAGACCUGGUGUUGUCUAAGCUUAGUUCAAGAAAUUGGCGUUGCGGUCUUCUAUGGUUUAUUUCGCGUGCUGGCAUUGAUAGAUAUGCUGAUGUGACUAGUUUGGCGUUGUGGGCUUGUUUGUAUUUUGGCCAUCUUAUAAGAAUUACUUAAGUUUUCGUGUUGGUCCUGAAAUUUCUGUGGAAGUAGAUGGGUGAAUGUUGAAUUGUCCAGUGAUCUUGUUUCCAUUUUUGUUGUGGGCAUGUUUACCCUCUUUUUAGAUUUUCUUGGAUUCCAAUUACUGUUAUUGGUUCGAGGAUUUUAUUUAAUUGCCGGUCUUUCUAAUGAGGGAACUUUGUAAUGAAGGUUCUGAAGCUUGGUUGUGGAAACUCGCAGCUAUGUGAAAAUCUCUAUGAAGACGGGGUUAUGGAUAUAACAUGCAUUGAUCUGUCAGCUGUGGCUGUGGAAAGGAUGCAAAAACGGGUACAGUCCAAGGGAUAUAAAGGUAUAUAUGCUUUCAUCUUUGCAGAAAUGAUUACACUCCACACCUUACACUUCAUUUUCGUAUUAAUCAUUUGAGGCUUUUCGACUAAUUGCGAAUCUAGAUAUUGAGGACUCUAUUGUUUUUCAUGGAACCUUUGAGUUUAUUUCUCAUCCUGCCUUGACCGUGCCAAUCCAAAGCCUACCUGGAGAUUAUGUGUUUGUGUCACUUAAUGCUUUCUUUGCAUGGUGCAAAAUCAAGUGGGAAAAAUAGCUCCCAGCACAAAAUUGGGAGGCUGAAGUUAUAUGAUGCUGCAUGAGCUUAUGCAUUUUUGGUUGCUGGGAGGGAACAUGUAGUGGAUUUUGCCAAGGCUUGAAACUUGUAUUCACUUGACUUUUUAAGAGUUCCGGUGAAACUUAUGCUGAUCGAGAUUGUAAACGCUUUAUUAUAUAUGAGUGUUAAACGUUUUAUCUUACAUAUGAGUGUUGUAUAGCAAUUUUUAUGCAAAACAUGUUUUAAUAUAAACAGGGUUAAUCCUGUUCCCGGACCGGAAAAACAGAGUGGGUCGGGAAUAGGGUCCAAUGCAAAUAGGAUCGGGUACAUAAUCCAAAAAGAGAGAACCAAUUAUAAUAGGGUCGAGAACAGAAUCCAGGUUUAGACCCCCCAUCCUGGACCGGGAAUCCGAUUUUACACCUCGUUCCAUUCCAAAAGUUUGCCUUGUGGCAAAAAAGAAGGCGGUAAAAGAAGUUGGUAGGGAGGCGACACGUGUCCUCGUGGGGCCCACAAUCACUGAGGAGAAAAUGAGGCGUCAUUUAGGGCCUGUUUGGCUGCAACAUAUUUCUGUUCCCAGGAACAGAAAUUUCUGUUUUUUUGUUCCUGGGAACAAAAAAGGAACAGAAACGCGUUUGUGUGCGUUUCUGUUCCUUUUUUGUUCUUUUGUUCCCAGGAACAAAAAAGAAACAGAAACAAGAAACACAAAUUUUGUGUUUCUUGUUUCUGGAACACAAAUCAGAAACACUUUUUUUUUUUCUUUUUUCUCUAUUUUUGUCUCUUCCUUUUGGGCCGGUCGCCAGCCUCGGCCAUGGCCGGCGACCGGCCGACGAGGGNNNNNNNNNNNNNNNNNNNNNNNNNNNNNNNNNNNNNNNNNNNNNNNNNNNNNNNNNNNNNNNNNNNNNNNNNNNNNNNNNNNNNNNNNNNNNNNNNNNNUUUUUGUUCAAAAAUUGUUCCCCGGGAACAGAAAUACUUUUUUCUAUUUCUGUUCCUGGAACAAUUUUAACAGAAACACAACCAAACGCGCCCUUAGCGACAGCAGAAGGGGCGGUAGGGUUUUCUAUCUCUCUCUAUGCGCCUCUCUCUCUCUCUACCCUCCCUCUCUCUCUCCGACGAACAGGAUCGCGACCCACGCGCGAGCAACCGACGGACCACGGCACGGGAUCGGCGAGAGGACCGCGACCUCCCUCUCUCUCUCUGGCCUCCCUCUUUCCGACCGGCGAACCACCGCGAGCAACCGACAGACCACCGCGCGGGAUCGGCGAGAGGACCACGAGCAACCAACGAACCACCGCACGGGAUCGGCGAGAGGACCGCGACCUCCCUCUUUCCGACCGGCGAACCACCGCGCCGCCCCUCUGGCUCCAGAUCCGGCCCCGAUUCGUCCGUCCCUUGCUCUUUCUCUCCCUUCGCGUCUCUGUCUGCCCUCCCUCUCUUCGACGGCGAACCAGUGCGUGACCGGUGAACCAAUAUUUUCUCCUUGCGGAGAAGCAACGAAAAUAUCUUUGAAGUCUACAGCGGGGUAGUCUUUACCAAUUUCGAGGAAGGAAGGUUUGUUCCGGUGGUCUUGGUCAAGAAGGUGAGGGUAAAAAAGCAGUACAAUUGCCGCGUGAAAAGACGCGCAAUCCUCUCCACAGAAUUGCGCGUCUCCUUCGGGGCAAGAGUGAGAAGUAAAGCUUUAUUUAAAGUCCCGAGUGCUUAUGCCCCAGAAGCAGAAACGCCAAUCACCAUAAAUCACUUGAGACGCUCCUCUUUCGCUCUGAGAUUUCUGGCUUUGAUAGCUCUAGAUUGAGGCGUGGAGGUGGUCUCAAAAUUGUGCUGCUUUUGAGGCUCGGACCCGACUUGACGUGCUUUAAGGUAACUCCUUUUUAGAUAUUAAGCCCAUCCGAGUAAUUCCGUCUCUGCAUCACUCCUCCUGAUGAGCUGGAUAGUCUAUUACAUUUUGAUGGAAGAAAAUAAAAACAUUUGAUUAUUACUCAUCGCAUAACAUCUAACAUCCUUAAAAGCAUGCACAAUAUAACAUGUGAAAUUUCAUCGACUUUUUCAAAAUUACGAUCGUCACAUUUAUUGCAGAUUUUCCUUACUAUGUUCUCCUUAUUCAAACUGAUCAGUAUGAGCGGUUUGACUGGUUAAACCUGAUGGAAUUUGAUAGUUCUCUUUCUCUCUCUCUCAUAUUUCUCACUUUCUGUAUCUUUUACAUCUAGGCCUCUCUCUUGCAUAACAAUUCAAGGCUAUCAUCUACAGUCCGCACUCGCUUUCUUUGUUCAUUUCCCUCUUGAAAGUUCUCGCCGAGGCUUGUUUAGGGUCUUCUCUCUCCGAUCUCGCACCUCUCUUUGCAUCUCAGUGCGCAGAAGGUAAUCACUUUUUCAUCUCUCAUUAGCGUGUCAUUUCUGUUGAUUUGUUGCGGCUGAACUAGCGUGUUUUGGGCUCUUUUUGUCUGAUGUGGGUGGCUGUUAACUUGGUGUGUCACCAGCUCAUAAUUGACUUCCGUAGAAAAGGGAAGCCUUUGCUUUCAGACCUUAGAUGUGACUAAUCAUGUCCCCUCACUGUCUCAUCGUUCGUUUGCAUCGUAAUUCAGUGUCGAUCCUUUGUCGAGCUAGAAUGAGUUGGAUUGCGAGACGCGCUAGAUUCCAUUGCGCGCAAAAUUGCCAGUAUUCGCCUCAAGCCAAGGACCGUCUUUUUACGGAUUGGGAGGUUUCUUUGUCCCUGAAGGUCUAAGAUCAAUUAAAUAAAAAAAUGAAAUACAAAAGAAAAAGUAGUAGGCCAGUUCGCGGCAAGUUCCAACAUCAGGGGGGUUCGAUUUCCAAUUCCGAAAAUUGAGAACGUGCUCUGAUAGGUAGGUUUCAGGGUUUUGGUCUGGAAUCAAUCAAUCACCCAUAAAAGCAAGUACUCUCUUAAUCAGAUUUUAUUCACAAUUUUUCCUUUGACGAUUAUAGGACAUUCUAGACAAAUAAUAUGUUGUCUUCCUUGAAUUAUUGGACAAGAUAAUCCUAAAAAGUAUAUUACUUUUCACCUCUAACUCAUUUUCUUCCUUCAAAGUUUCGAAAAUCCUGAAAAAAAGGGAAAAAGAAGGUUGAAUGAGUAACGAAGAGAAUAGUUCAGUGAUAAAAUGUCGAUCAAUUAUUUAAAUUUCAAAGUUUGAAGAGAAUACUUCAGUGAUGUCAUAUCAGGUUAAAGUGGAUUCAUUUUGCGUGACAUUGCUAAUACGUAAGGUCAGCGGGGAACAAAUAAAAGAGAAAUAGCAAAGACCUUUUGUUCAUCUCUAUCUCAUUUCCAAAUUCAUUUAGAAUAUGACAAUUUGAAAUUAAAAUGUAAGAUCACAUUCCUAAUCACUAACUAGGCCUUUUCUUCUUAUCUUCCACACAUUUCCAAUUUCAUUUGAACUCAUUUAUUAGCUUUUAAAUGAUUUGUCAAAUUAUGAUUUUUAAUAAUCAAACAAGAACAGAACCUUUGCUUAUUUAUUUUAAUGAAUGCAACUUGCUUGUACACAGAUUCUAGCUUUUUAUAGCCCAAGCAAGAAUUUAACAUCGUGAGCGGACCAAGCCAACAUCUUUUGGCUUGACUAGAGGGUGAGAUACAAAAGAAGAUAAGGCAAGGACUAAAAGCAUCUGCAACUGCUUCUGUUCAAUCAAUUACAAAUUUAAUUAAAGAUUUUGUGUUAAUCUGUUCUUUCUCGGUAAAAAAAAUUUGGUGGGGCCAAGACUUAUGGAUGAAUAUGUAUUUUUUUUUUUUUUAAAUAAUUGUGUUUAAGCAUAAUUUCCGAGAGUUGGCUGGGGCAGGGCACCCUUAGCCCCUUAUUAAAUCCACCCAUAUUGUCAGACAUUUUGGAGGUGGCAGGAGAAGAACUAAACAAGGAGAAAACUCAGGAGGGCAUUGGGAAUAGAAAAAAAUAGAAUAAGAAAAAUGAAGAAAAUAAGAAAAAUAGAAAAAAAACCAUUAGUAAUGAGGGCGAGGGCGAGGAUAUGGACAUGGAUGACCCAUUUAGCAAGAAUGGUUCGGGAAGGCCUACCAUUGCUGGGGGAGAGCUCACUCUCUUUUUUUUUUUUUUGGUUGGGUCAAAAGCUAACUCUCAUUGAGAUUGCGCAAACGAAACUGCUUAGAGAGAAAGAGUUUGCCUAUUUUGGCUCUUCACUUUUCUAAUUUUUAAAUGACAAUUUCUUAUUUAACGACUCACAAAUUUGAUUGCUAUUUCCUUUAAAUUGUUUCCUUUUCAAUUGAUUAUGAAGAUUUGAUAUUAGAUUUUAUGAAUAUCAAUAAUCAGCACUUUGAUGAAGGCAGAGAUCAACGUAUAUGCAUGUGCUUUCAAAUAGAUGCUUACAUUAAACCAGUGAUCAAAGGCAUGAUUGAAGCAAAUAUGAAAAUUUUAAUAAAUAUGAACCUUUGUUAUUAUUGAGUCUCAUGUGAAAAAACCAAUAAGAGACACGAUUAAUGAAUAUCUCCUCGAUUAGGAAAGUCCAUGCAUCAAGAGGAUGAGGUCCAUGGGAAAGAGAAGAUGUGCAUUACACUGCUCCAUGAAAAUUUUAAUAAAUAUGAACCUUUGUUAUUAUUGAGUCUCAUGUGAAAAAACCAAUAAGAGACACGAUUAAUGAAUAUCUCCUCGAUUAGGAAAGUCCAUGCAUCAAGAGGAUGAGGUCCAUGGGAAAGAGAAGAUGUGCAUUACACUGCUCCAAAACAACAACUUGUAAUAUUGGAUUAAUCAAUAGACACCCCCCUAAGAAAACUCAUUCAGUAAAUAUUGUGUACAUUCGGAAAUCAGGUGCUUUCUAUCCAGCCUUUUCACUUGUUUAUCUACAUCUUUUAGUGGAGCAGGAAGGCAUCUUCUUUUCAUUAAACAUUUUAGUGUUAGUAAUCGUUCAUAAUGCAUGUGCUCUCCACCAAAGAUUAGGAGCCUUGACUAUAGAGCACGCAUGUAGAGAUGAAGAUUAGCCAUUUUCUUCUUGUCCAUGAGUGGACACAACCCAAUGAUGUUGCCUUGACGAGAGGGCGUGGUCCGUUGGAAAGAAAAGAUGCACGCCUAAGUCAAUAACUUUUACUAUUCAAUUAGUCAACAGACUGACUUGAUCAUUAAACAUUUUGGAUUCGAAAUCGUUCAGAAAUCAUAUGCUCUCCUCCCAAAAAGCACGUGCUUUGCCUUUUCAUUUGCUUAUCUACUUCUUCUUGUGCAGCAGGUUGGCAUCCUCUCUUCAUUUUUGUCUAUAAGAUUUCUAUGGAGAAAGGGCAAAGUCCGAGGGAGAAAAAGAGAAGGAUUGCUGAGAAAGAGAUCACUGAUGGAGCAUCUGCUUCUUCGUCCUUACCUUCCAUACCCACAGGAGGAGGUGGCGAUCAAUACGAUGUGUUCUUGAGCUUUAGAGGCUCUGACACUCGCAAAGAAUUCACUGAUCAUCUCUACCGCAGUCUGAUCAGUGUAGGGACUGUGCCAAUUUCUGUGUUUAGGGACGAUAACAGCCUUGAAAUUGGCAAGGAUUUUAAUUCAGAGAUUCUCAAUGCCAUCACGCGAUCUAAGAUUUCGAUCCCCAUCAUCUCUGAAAAUUAUGCUUCGAGCAAAUGGUGCCUCCGUGAGCUAGUACGCAUCAUGGACUGCAAGAAGAGCAGGUUGCACACAGUGUUGCCAAUUUUUUACAAAGUGCUCCCAUCGGAUGUGCGGUAUCUAAAUGGAAAUUUUGGGGAGGCCUUCCGUUCACGUAAGAAGCGUUUUGAUGAGGAGGAUAUUCAGGAAGGUCAACGAGCCCUUAUAGAAGUGAGUUACUUGAAUGGAUGGGAAUCUGAGAAAUUUGCCAAUGGGUACUUACCUUCUGCCUGCACUUUUUUUUUAUUCCCCUAAGUAUUGUUAUUUAGCGAAACCAAUGUCAUAUGGAUGAAUUGCUUCCACUACAAGCUUACAAAACAUCCCAAAAUGUCCCAGUGAAUAACCAUAAUGGCCCACAGACUACAAAUACUUGUACUCCCUAAGAUUUCCCCUGAAAACUACACUAACAACGUCUAAAACCUUAGGAUCCCUUACUCAGUCUUCCAAAGCUUGGCAACUGCCGGAUAAAUCGACCUCCUCUUGCUUCACAUAGAUCAUGUCUAGGUUCAAGACCUGCUGUUGCCAGUAAUUUUCAUUGAUAGGCGAUCUGUAAGUUAAUUAUAAGUCCUCCAUUUAGGCCCUUGGGAUACGCUGGCCUUAGAGGGAGAACAUCUUCUUCUCCUAAACUUUUUGUAACCAAAAUUAUUGACCUCCUAUCCCUCAACUAGCAAUGACCAUAAGCCUCAUAACAAACACUUUACUUCUAAAGAAUCUUAAUUUGCUAGGUGCGCCACCUUAUCUUAUUUCAAUAAGAUCUAUUUAUAAGAAGAAAAAGAAGGGGAAAAAUGAGAUGACUGCUACACCAUCAUCCUAUAUUGUCAUUCGUGAAACCAAAACAUUUUGCAUGUUAAAUGGUUGCAUCCAUCCUUCACAUAUAUGUGGGUUUCUUUAGAUGAGAUUACACAAAAGUAUGAAGUUAUGAUGAGUUUUUUUGUUUGACAGGCAUGAAGGAAAAUUAGUGGAAGAAGUUACCAAAACGAUUCUAAGCAAGUUGAGACAUCAGUUUCAGCUUGAUGUUCCGAAGCAUCUAGUUGGAGUUGACGAUCAUGUCAACAAAAUUAAGAAUUGGGUGGACGUUCCUGCCAGUCAUCCUCGAAUGAUAGGAAUAUAUGGCAUAGGUGGGAUUGGUAAAACAACUCUUGCCAAGGUAAUCUAUAACGAGCUAUCGAAUGUCUUUGUGGAUCGUAGUUUCCUUCCAGAUAUACGGGAAACAGCUAACAACAAUGGUAUUCCUUAUCUACAAAAUCUACUAAUUAAGGAAAUACUGCCAAUCGAAAAUGCUGUUUGUAAAGUUGAUGAUGGAAUUAAUUUGAUCAAAUCUAGAUUUAAAGGAAAAAAGGUUCUCAUUUUUUUGGAUGAUAUUGAUCACCAAAAUCAGCUAGAUGCUUUGGCUAGGGAACGUGAUUGGUUUACUGCAGGAAGUAUCAUCAUUGUUACAACUAGAUACGAAUCUGUACUAAAUCAGUCCAAGUUCGAGGUGGACUACAAGUAUGAAUUGAAAGAAUUAGAUGAGGUGCAUUCUCUGCUUUUAUUUAAAAGACAUGCAUUUCGCAUGGGCCAUUGUUUGGAGGAUUUUGAGGUUAUCUCUAAUGAAAUCUUAUCUACCAUGGGUGGGCUUCCCCUAGCUAUCAAGGUCAUAGGUUCAUACUUGUAUGGAAAAGUAGAUAAAAAAGUAUGGCAAGAUAUAUUGGAGAAAUUAAAAAUCGAACCGGAUAGAGAUGUCCAAAAGACAUUGAAGAUAAGUUAUGAUGCAUUGGAACCUACACAAAGGGAGAUUUUUCUGGAUAUUGCUUGCUUUUUAAUUGGCGAAAACAGCAAAUAUGCCAUUUACAUGUGGGAGGACCGUAAGCUUUUUCCAUAUCUUGGAAUUGAAGAGUUGAAGCUGAGGUGCUUAAUAAAAAUUGGAGAUCGUAAUGAGUUUAGGAUGCAUGACCAAUUGAGAGAUCUUGGAAGGAGCAUCUUUUGUCAAGGACAACCGCCCGAGAGAUGUCUGAAGCCAUGGCUCGAAGAUAAAGCCUUGAGAAGUAAAAUGCGAUGGCUCGAAAAUGGAGCCUUGAUAAGUAAAAUACGAAUGGAGGUAACAUAUGGCUCUCUCUCUCAACUCCAUAAAUUUAAUGUGAUCCAUUUACUCUUUAGGAAAAAAUCUAUUCAUACACCCAUUUAUGUCCCCCUUAGAUAAAAUGUAUUACUAAUUGAAUUAUUAGUGUCCCAAGGAUGAAAAAGUUACAUUAUUUGAUCCAAAUUCAUUGAUAUAAAUUACAUCCGUCAAAAACUUAAUUUUGCAAUCAAUUUAAGAUUCUUUAACUACGAUUCUACACUGAAAAUCUCGUUCACUAAAAAGCAUGUAAUUUUAUAUCUACUUGAAACUAUUGAUAAUCUGAAAGACCACUAAUUUAAUUAAGAUGAGCAUAUAUAUCAUAGAUCAGAUAAAUGAAGGUGUUUCGAGUUUUCGUUCAAAACGGUAAUGUACAACGUAAGCUGAUUAUAAUAACUAAUGAUUAAGCAAAUCAGUUACGCUAAAGAAAAAUUUCGCACUUAUCACAGGUGCUUGCUUUCUAGUGCGGUUGAAUGUAUUGUGGUGCUCCUAUGAAUUAGGAAAUCAAUGUUUGAUACACUUUUAUUUUUUUUUCCAUUUUGAUUUUGAAGAUACCCCUCCCCCUACGAGGUAUAUCUAUCUCUUUUCAUUCUUCUUGUGUCUUAAUAGCUAUGAUGGCAAAAAUCACCUUAAGAAAUCUUAUAGGGGAAAAUCUUUACAAUGUUUUUAAGGUCGUAUCGCGUUGACCUUUUUCAUCUCAUGGAUUUAGGUGUGUGAUAAAGAGUGGANNNNNNNNNNNNNNNNNNNNNNNNNNNNNNNNNNNNNNNNNNNNNNNNNNNNNNNNNNNNNNNNNNNNNNNNNNNNNNNNNNNNNNNNNNNNNNNNNNNNNNNNNNNNNNNNNNNNNNNNNNNNNNNNNNNNNNNNNNNNNNNNNNNNNNNNNNNNNNNNNNNNNNNNNNNNNNNNNNNNNNNNNNNNNNNNNNNNNNNNNNNNNNNNNNNNNNNNNNNNNNNNNNNNNNNNNNNNNNNNNNNNNNNNNNNNNNNNNNNNNNNNNNNNNNNNNNNNNNNNNNNNNNNNNNNNNNNNNNNNNNNNNNNNNNNNNNNNNNNNNNNNNNNNNNNNNNNNNNNNNNNNNNNNNNNNNNNNNNNNNNNNNNNNNNNNNNNNNNNNNNNNNNNNNNNNNNNNNNNNNNNNNNNNNNNNNNNNNNNNNNNNNNNNNNNNNNNNNNNNNNNNNNNNNNNNNNNNNNNNNNNNNNNNNNNNNNNNNNNNNNNNNNNNNNNNNNNNNNNNNNNNNNNNNNNNNNNNNNNNNNNNNNNNNNNNNNNNNNNNNNNNNNNNNNNNNNNNNNNNNNNNNNNNNNNNNNNNNNNNNNNNNNNNNNNNNNNNNNNNNNNNNNNNNNNNNNNNNNNNNNNNNNNNNNNNNNNNNNNNNNNNNNNNNNNNNNNNNNNNNNNNNNNNNNNNNNNNNNNNNNNNNNNNNNNNNNNNNNNNNNNNNNNNNNNNNNNNNNNNNNNNNNNNNNNNNNNNNNNNNNNNNNNNNNNNNNNNNNNNNNNNNNNNNNNNNNNNNNNNNNNNNNNNNNNNNNNNNNNNNNNNNNNNNNNNNNNNNNNNNNNNNNNNNNNNNNNNNNNNNNNNNNNNNNNNNNNNNNNNNNNNNNNNNNNNNNNNNNNNNNNNNNNNNNNNNNNNNNNNNNNNNNNNNNNNNNNNNNNNNNNNNNNNNNNNNNNNNNNNNNNNNNNNNNNNNNNNNNNNNNNNNNNNNNNNNNNNNNNNNNNNNNNNNNNNNNNNNNNNNNNNNNNNNNNNNNNNNNNNNNNNNNNNNNNNNNNNNNNNNNNNNNNNNNNNNNNNNNNNNNNNNNNNNNNNNNNNNNNNNNNNNNNNNNNNNNNNNNNNNNNNNNNNNNNNNNNNNNNNNNNNNNNNNNNNNNNNNNNNNNNNNNNNNNNNNNNNNNNNNNNNNNNNNNNNNNNNNNNNNNNNNNNNNNNNNNNNNNNNNNNNNNNNNNNNNNNNNNNNNNNNNNNNNNNNNNNNNNNNNNNNNNNNNNNNNNNNNNNNNNNNNNNNNNNNNNNNNNNNNNNNNNNNNNNNNNNNNNNNNNNNNNNNNNNNNNNNNNNNNNNNNNNNNNNNNNNNNNNNNNNNNNNNNNNNNNNNNNNNNNNNNNNNNNNNNNNNNNNNNNNNNNNNNNNNNNNNNNNNNNNNNNNNNNNNNNNNNNNNNNNNNNNNNNNNNNNNNNNNNNNNNNNNNNNNNNNNNNNNNNNNNNNNNNNNNNNNNNNNNNNNNNNNNNNNNNNNNNNNNNNNNNNNNNNNNNNNNNNNNNNNNNNNNNNNNNNNNNNNNNNNNNNNNNNNNNNNNNNNNNNNNNNNNNNNNNNNNNNNNNNNNNNNNNNNNNNNNNNNNNNNNNNNNNNNNNNNNNNNNNNNNNNNNNNNNNNNNNNNNNNNNNNNNNNNNNNNNNNNNNNNNNNNNNNNNNNNNNNNNNNNNNNNNNNNNNNNNNNNNNNNNNNNNNNNNNNNNNNNNNNNNNNNNNNNNNNNNNNNNNNNNNNNNNNNNNNNNNNNNNNNNNNNNNNNNNNNNNNNNNNNNNNNNNNNNNNNNNNNNNNNNNNNNNNNNNNNNNNNNNNNNNNNNNNNNNNNNNNNNNNNNNNNNNNNNNNNNNNNNNNNNNNNNNNNNNNNNNNNNNNNNNNNNNNNNNNNNNNNNNNNNNNNNNNNNNNNNNNNNNNNNNNNNNNNNNNNNNNNNNNNNNNNNNNNNNNNNNNNNNNNNNNNNNNUUCUUUCCUCUUUAAACUUGUUUUAUAUUAUUUAUAUUUUUUGGUACAAAUGCCCUUUUGUUGCAAAAACCCCUCAGACAAACUUGACAAUUUUAGAGGAAAUGUCCAUGUUAUUAUAUCGAUACCUUUUUUCUUUACUAAAUAACAUUUUCAGCAUGCAGUCAAAUUUUGAAAGUAAGUUUAAUUUUCACUUAGAUUGUCAAUGUUCAUGUCGUUUCAUUAUUUUAUAUUUUCCAUUUAGAGAAGUGUAGUAGGUUCAUGACUUGAUCAGUGGUUGGGGGGUUGGGGGGGGGGAUUAACCUUUGCAUUUAACCAAGAGAUGUUGGGAAAGGAAAAAGCUUUAUCUUCUCGAUUUAAUUUGAAUUAGUUCGCUCAUACCAUUAUAAAAAGCACAUUCUUUUGUUGAUUCAAUAACUAUUCUUAAGAGAAAUAACAUUGACCGUGAGUUUUUCACUAGUUAAUAUAUAAAGUACAAAUAAUGACAAACGAGUCGAACCAUAAAAUUAAGCCCGAUUUAAAAAAGAGAAAAAAGAAUUCUAUAUUUGGUUUGUUAGUGUUCGUGGAAGUUCAUAUUUCACAAAACAAAUUUUUCUUUUGGCAGUUCAGUUUAUUCAUAAUAUUUCCAAGAAACUAACGAAAAAAAGUGCACUUUCAAGUUAUGUUGAUCAGUCGAUAAUUUUUUUUUAAAAUGUUUACUUAUAUCUCCUGCCCUAUUGUAUCUUUGCACUUGGCCUUAAAUGGCAUUCCCAAAAAAAAAAAACAAGAUAAUGCUUUCAAUUUGGAGUGUCACAAAAGUUCGUGUGAAAGAAGAAGGCGUCGAGUGUUGUGAAAUAUGGAUCAACUAGUCGUGAGCCCAUACCAUGCAUAUGCACAAAACUGACAUGAAUAAAUUUAUCAUGAAGAUAUAACUAUAGUAUCCUUAUCUCUAUUGGAAAAGCACAUAUAGAUGGACAAAUCAUGUUCUUUGGAAAGACAUUUAUAAUUUAUAAGUUGACAGUUCUUAAUCUUUCGUUAUGGUAAUUCAACCGGAAAAAAAAAAAAAUCUCUCAUUAGAGUAAAAAUUCAGGUGGGAAACCGCAUUCGAAAGACAUUCCUUUUUUUCCCAAUAACAAUGGCCAUUGGAUAGAGUGCACAAGAAAAAGUUAAAUGCACUAAAAAUCGAAUUAUAAGGAAUUCAAAAAUAUAUUAAAUGAAAUUGCAUGAAACGGAAGUGCGAUCGAAGGAAAAUUACGAGGAAAGUAAAAGAUGAACUUUGUUGUGUUGUGCCUGUCUGAUCUUACCUCUGAAUACCCCUUUUAUACGAAUGCCUCGUGUCGACCAUUCUGUUUCUAGGCCAUUCACAUGUAACUUCCACAUGCAUCAUAUGUCACAUGCAUCAAUUGUCUCCUGCGUUACUAACCACAUACAUCCUAUGACACCUAGUCCUAUAAUAUUCUUUUCAAGGGAAAGAUUUCUCUAUUAUUCUCUCAACCUAAAUUUUCUCAAAAUCAAGUUCAUUAUGAAUCGUAUUACUUAAAUGAAUCCAUGGGCUAUUUUCAUGAUUUAGCUCUUAAAAGGGGAAACCGCCAUCGUUAAUCGCAAUUGCCCACUAUCUAAACAUAGUUAAUUAUAUAUAUAUACACACACGUGUUUUGCUUCUCUUUCAAGAGGGAAUUGCUCAUCAUUUGAAACAUCAAUUGGUGUCACCUUCUCAAUCCAAUAUAAAUGGUGUGCAUAGCGUGGGUCAUGUCUAGUCUAUAUCUAAUAUAACAUGAUACUGUAAUUAUAGAAAUGAGAUUAGUGUCACUUUAGGUCCCUUCCAAUUUUGCUAUUAUUUAAGGAUUCUCCUACUAAUAAAAAGUAUGUCAGAGGAGUGAAGUCUCACUUUGGUAGAGUACUCCUCUAACCAACACAUCCCUCACCUUUAAUGGUUAUAUGAUAUUCUCUUUAUCAACAUGUUGUACCAUCCCCAAUUUUUAUCACCAUUCUCUUCUUAUUUUUAAGAGUUUAAGUUACAAAGUUCACAUAAAAAUAAGCAUAAUGUUAACAUAGCAUGCGCGUAGCAUGUGUAUAGGGUAUUGUGGACAUUAAGCAAAGUCCAUUUACAAAAAUAAUACCAUUUCUAGGUCAAAUUUUGCUUUUUACGUGUUACAAAUGCAUUUUCUUGAACAGGUCGAGUGAUGGGCACUACUGGCUUGAAAGUACUCUGCUCUAGAGUGCAUGUUAACAGAUGAGCACUAAUUUCUAAUUUUCUAAUUCACCUCUUGAGAAGCAUGCCAUGCUAAAAAUAAACGUCAAUAAUUUACAUCAACAUACGUCUAGAAAACCUAUCUGACAAAAGUGGGUUCCAUAAUGGUGAAAUACUCCAUUAACUCUCAUUGCCAGGUGGGACACCAACUUAAUUAAAUCCGACUGGACAGUUCAAACAGGAAAUUAUUUGCACUUAAUAGUGCAAGGAAUCAAAUGCAUAUCAUGAUGCACAAAAGCGCAUUCCUUAACCACUAAAUGAGCAGCGUGGGGUUGCCUCUCAAACAUUUCAGCCAAAUCUUUCAAAAAACUAUCAACUGUACCUUAUAUUGCUUUUGGUAAAUCCUAAAAAACUUGACCAUAGGAUAAAUUGCAAAGAAAAAAUAACUCAGUAGACAUGUCUCCUUAGUGCCUAACUGAGUGUGGCUAGGUACCCGCUGUGAUCCAGAAUCACACGCCUAACUGAGCGUCUAGGUGCCCACUUUGGCUAGUUGCGAUCUCUGUUAUGGGCAUCUCGGUCUGUUCCUCUGAACGUUUACGCCAUGUCAAUGUGUAGAUUGAGUGGCGGCUUGAUUUAUUUGUGGUCAAUCUCGAGAUGCUAAUCCAAUAGAAAGUUUGAAAUUUGAAAUUUCGAUACUUGAACGUUAUCCAAUACUAUCACUGAUCAGCUAAACUUUCGGGGGAAAAAUAAGAAAGUAUUGUUGUUAAUGUCAAUCAAGCCGUCUAGGAUUUUGUCACCAUCUUCUUCCAAUUAAAUGAUCUCCUUUAGCAACAAGGUUUCAGCGGUACUUUUGACUUAUAAGAUGCGAAAAGAAAUGGUGCGAGUCUUGGGAAAUGGACAUAUGUAUCUUCACUUUUCUGUUUAGGUAACAUAAGUAGAUUUCUCUAGGAACUUUCGUGUGGCAGAGUUUGCCAAAAGAUGUUGCCCAGCAUCGACGAACCUAUUCUUCCCAUAUGUUAAGACCUUAAUCUAACUAUAACACUAUGUAAAGGAAGUCAAUUAGUUCAUUUUUAGUUGCUCCCAAAGCCAGCUCUCUUCCAAUUUCUGUCAAAUUCUAAAAUAUUAUUCAAAUGCUAAAGGUGUAUUGCUAAAGAAUGAUUCAACACUUAAUAACAAUAGUUAACAAAUUGAAAUUAGGUGCUUACUUAGCUACUUAACAAGUGACCCAUGGGUACUCUUUGACAUUCAUAUGUUUUACAAGGUUUCAUGAAUUUCCACUUUAAUAAAAAUCAAAGUACAUGCACUACAAAAUUCCAAAAAAGUGAGGUAAGAAUUGAGGUGUUUCGUCUUGAAUUUUUUAAAGCAAGAGAAAGUGUUCUUUUUAUUUAAAAUAUUGUUUGAAUUAAAAAAAAUUAUCAAAAUACUAUGUGUGUUUACCUGCCAACAUUUAUGUUUGGCAAGGGGUAAAAAGAUGGCAAAUUGUGAAAGUAUGGGGUUUAGAAAAGCAAAAGUGAAAAAUUAGAAGUCGAUUCAGACACUUAAUUGAUUGAUUUGAUAUGCAGCAUGCCAACAGUGGGUUCGAGAGUGGGUUCGAUUAUUGGCCCCGUGGCCGUUCCUCUACACGCACGAGUGAACUAUUUAAAAACUUACCGAGCUCAAGGUUCCUUUCAUUUUGCUGGAAGACCAUAAGUGGAGACUUUAAUGAAUUGUUUCCUGAAUUAAGAUGGCUUCAAUGGUUAUACAUUGAACCCGAUAUACUUUCUUCGAGAAUCAAUUUGCCAUUAUCUAAAUUAGUGGUGCUGGAAUUGUCACAAAACAAGCUUACAGAUUACUGGAGAGGAUGGAGUUUGAUCAUGGUAAGAUGGAAAAAAAGACAUCUUCUAUGAUCUUUGCUUUGUUUUGUUUUAUCGAUUAAACUCUUUUUUGACAGCUUUUUCUCUUUUGUACAGGCGGCAAAGCAGCUAAAAGUUCUCAACCUUUCAUUUAGUUGGGAGUUAAGAUAUACUCCUAAUCUCUCGGCUUUCACGAACUUGGAAAUUCUCAUCUUGUCCAAUUGUUACAAACUGAAGCAACUCCACCCUUCUAUUGGCACACUCAAGAGCCUCAUUUCCUUGGACUUGUGUAGAUGUUAUAAUCUGAAAAAGCUAUCAGAGGAAGUGGGGGAAUUGCAAGAACUAAAAGAACUCCUUUUAAUUUCUAGUGGCAUUGCAAAGAUUCCUAUUUCAGUCUAUUCUCUGAGGAAGCUAGAGAAACUGGCUAUUGAAUCUUGUCGUUCAUUGGUUGAAAUCCCUCUUGCAAUUGGGAAUCUUUCGUCUCUCCAAUACCUUAACCUCAAUUUUUGUUCAUCAUUGAGGAAAAUCCCUCAUUCGAUUGCGAAUCUUUCUUCUUUCAAACGACUUGAUCUAGGUGCUUGCACGUCAUUGACAGAAAUCCCUAGCUCGAUUGGGAGUCUUUCUUCUCUCGAACGACUUGAACUAGGUGGUUGCAUAUCACUGAUAGAAAUCCCUAGCUCAAUUGGGGAUCUUUCCUCUCUUGAACGACUUGAUCUAAGAGGUUGCAAGUUAUUGACAGAAAUCCCUAGCUCAAUUGGGAAUCUUUCUUCUCUCAAACAAUUUGAUCUAAGGUGUUGCGAGUUAUUGAUAGAAAUCCCUAACUCAAUUGGGGAUCUUUCUUCUCUCGAAAAACUUUGGCUAGGGUUUUGUGCAUCCUUGAUAAAAAUCCCUAGCUCAAUUGGGAAUCUUUCUUCUCUCAAACAACUUGAUUUAGAGGGUUGCGUGUUAUUGAUAGAAAUCCCUAACUCAAUUGGGAAUCUUUCUUCUCUUGAACAACUUGAUCUAGGGGGUUGCGUGUCAUUGGCAGAAAUCCCUAGCUCAAUUGGGAAUAUUUCUUCUCUCAAACAACUUGAUUUAAAGAGUUGCAAGUUAUUGACAGAAAUCCCUAGCUCAAUUGGGGAUCUUUCUUCUCUCAAACAACUUAAGCUAGGGGGUUGUGUGUCAUUGAGAGAAAUCCCCAGCUCACUUGGGAAUCUUUCUUCUCUCAAUGUGCUUGGACUAGACACUUGCAAGUCAUUGAAAGAAAUCCCUAGAGCUUCCGAUGUGUUUAACGUGGGAUUAUCUCAUCUUGUAGAGAUCUUUGAGUCUGAACUCUUGCACGAUGAGGAAUCUUUCUUCUAUCAAAUGCCUUAACCUUUACAGGUGUUGUUCACUAAAAGAAAUUCCUACCUCAAAUGGGGAUUUAUCGAAUUUGCAAAGCAUUGGGGAUUUUUUACCUUGAAUAGUUACCCAGUGCUACAAAAUCGGCAAAGGCUAUUUCUUGAAUCUUGUGAUGGUCUAAAAGGGGGGAAUUCCAAGAGAAAUCGAUGACUUGUCUUCGCUCGUGAUUCUCCAUAUCACUGGCACAUUGAUAUUUGACCCGCCAAAUGCUAUCUGGAGUCUUUCUUCUCUCUAAUGCCUUGACCAAGAGGGCUCUAAGGAGCUACGAUCAUUGCUAGAGCUUUCUUCCGGCUUAACAUAUCUUCAGGUCAAUUCCCUUAUUCCCAGGUUGCUAGAGCUUUCUUACCUAUUCUACCUGGAAGAACUUCAUUUUUAUGGAUACGAUCAACUUGAGUACUUCCCAGAGCUUAACUCAAGACUCUUGAAACUUUGUGUUGACUCCUAUCCUAAGUUGAUAUUGCUUGCGCUUGACGGAUUCAAGUACUUGGAAGAAUUGUCAAUAAAACACUACAAUUCCAUUGAAAGAAUGGACCUCUCACAAUCGAAUCAUCUGAAAGGAUUGGACAUUGAGGAUUGCGAUAAUCUAGUUGAAAUUUAGGGCCAAGGUAAAUUGGAGUUCUUGGAGACAAUGUGUACAUAUAGCUGCGAGUCCAUUAGAAGGUCGAUCCAUCCGAAAUUACGAGGGGUUGAAGUGAUUAAAUACUUGCUAUUGUGACAAUCUAGUCGAAAUACAAGGUCUUGAUAAGGUGGAGUUGUUAAAGAUGUUGAAUGUUUGUAAUCGUGGUUCCAUCGAAAGAUUACCUGACUGAUGAUACUUUUGGAACUUGAAAGAGUUGAAUAUCAAUGGCUGUCGUAAUCUACGUGGUGUCGAGACUCAAUUUCCAGUCUUACAUAAUUGCGAGAGUGGGGAAGUCGGUCCUAGAAGCUAACAUGAUGCUUCAGCCAAGAUCAAAAUUUAGAUCUGAUUGUGGUUCUUCAUACGUUAGAAGGCGUUGGUCAUCUGGUAAAAUUCUUCGUCCUUUAACAACUAGCAUGAGCGAAAAGUGUAAUACUUUUCCAACAGAUAUAUCUUUUAAGAAUUAUUUGCUCAAUGCUUGGUAUCUAUUUGAUCUGAAUUUGCCUAAAUAUAUUUGCUGUUGAUUACAUCACGGCAAUGUUUUUUCAGCUAAUCUUAAUCGGCAACUUUUGCAGAUAGAUUGGUGGCUUGUGAGGCAGCAAAUGAAAAUUAACGACAUAGGUAAACAAGAAUUACUUCGUGAUUUACAGUUUCCCUCUUGGUAAACCCAAGAUGAGAAUUUUUCAUCAAGGGGUUGAUCUUCUGCAAUUCAAUUUAUAAACUGCGCCCAGAUCCCUUUUUUCUCUAUGUCUCAAACUAGUAUUUUCCUUUAAAAAAUCCUUCACCAUUUUGAACUCUUUUUGUGAGCAAUUUUAUGUGUCAGAUUUGACUAUUGGUAGAUAUCCUUUUUAGGACAAACAGCUCUCGAUUUUUCAUGAUGAUGGGAAACCCUGUCCAUUGUUCAUUGGAGCAUGAAUUCCCAGUAAGGAAGAGAAACUGAGCUAAAAUAAAAAUCAAGGUUCAAUUUUUUUCUGGUGUGUGAUUUAAAAAAGUAAAAAUUAGUUUUGGCUAGCCUUUUUCAUCUAUGAUUGUAGGCAGGCUUUCCAUAAACAAUUGUGAGACCAUUGAAAGAUUAUCAAGCGAGAUAAAUUGGUGCUACUUUUGUGACGGGUCCAGUUGGUCUAUGCAAUGAUCAAGGCGUACUUUUUGACUUCAAUUCAAAGAGCUGUAUAGAUGGCUUUUUGCAUAAUUGGGACAAUUUUUUGCCUGCUCUGUAAAACAAGCUGGGUGAGGAGCUUAAGAUUUUGCUUAUUAUUUUGCAUCCCAUUUGAUCCUGAUGUUGUCGUGGAAUCAUUUUAUCAAAUGAUUGAUUUGGGUUUGGCUAACUCGGCUGAGGCAAUUCAUAGUCCAUACCGAAGAACGAUCAAAUGAAGAAGAGGGAUUUUGCUGAGUGUCAUCAGCAACAGCUGAAGGCUAGUUUUUGUGCGACCUUGAAUAGGCUCAUGGGCCAACUGGAGUGUCCUGAGGAAGUUUUUUAUGCUUGCGAAGAUCAAAGCACUUGAUAUGGUUUCAUGAGCACAAAACUGAAUGAUUGUGAAUGUAUUAUUUUUCAGUUGAAUCUACUUUUUGUAUGCUCAUUAGGUUCUACAUCUAUUAAGCAAAUACAUACGUGCUAAUUUUUCUACAUGUUAACUAGAUGCAGAGUUCUUUGACGCAAUGCGCUCUAAUGGUAUCAUUCCCAAACUCAGUUAGGCUCUGCAAAUAGAGGUAUGCACUGCCAGUCCUACCAUAACUGUGAAAGAGUGACUUGUGUACUUAUAUUUAAUUGAAUGUGCUGUAUGCUUGUUAGGUUCUACCUCUGUGUUAAUCGAAUAUGUACGUGCUGAUUUUUCUGCAUGUUACCCUGAUGCGGAGUUGUUUGAUGUGGUCUCGUUCUAAUGAUAUCACUUUCAAACCCAAUGAGGCUCUGUAGAUGGAGGUAUGUACUACCAGUUGUACCAUAAUAGUGUAACUUGUGUGCUUAUACUACGUGAGCUGUGGAAUUUCACCAGAAAUCUGUGAACUAGGAUGCAUGAUGACAAUCUCCUCUUUUUCUGUCAGUUCAUAGUAUCUUUUGAAUGUUGUGAUAAAGGUCUCUGAUACGACGAGCUUAAAUCUCAUGUAUGCAGCAUUAGAUUUGUAAAGUUAAAUAGCCUCCUAGCAAACAAUUCCGUAUUGCUGAUUUCGCUAAUUGGAUAUUGCCAAAUAACCAAGUAACAAGUACGCCUUUCUGUUCUGUAGUUUGGGCACUUUGCCUUUUCAGCAUCCGUUCUGUUCAUAAACACAAACAAGGAUGAUGGCACUAAUUUCUGACUUCUCUUCUCUUAAGUUCGUUGUUUUCUAUUUCUUUGGCUAAUAAUGAAUUCUGUUGAUUGUGAUCCAACUACGAAUUAAUCAGACCUCUGGAAUGUGUGGCAAAACUAAUGUCCCCAGAUUUUGGUGUUGAUAGAUGAGAUUCAUUGAAGAGGUCACUCGUAGAUCGCCAGAAUCUGGACCAGGUCAAAAUAACCUUGUUUAUAUUGAUGGACUCUCAAGUCUAUGCUUACUACUUUCAGCUAAUUUUAGACUUCAUUCCAAAUACAUCUAAAAAUAGACAGAACUAAGGAUCCAUGCAGCCGUGCCUUUAUCUCUCUUCGAGAUGAUUGGAAAGUGACGCAUUUUUACUCUUGACCAUCUCGUGUAACACAUGCAUCGCCCUCAUUUUUUGACCAUCUUUAGCAAGUGCUUGGGUGGAGACUAGUUAUAAGUCUUCUAAGGUUGAAUUUGUUAGUGUUCGUAACUUUUGAUGAAAUAUCAUAAACAACCUGAAUUUAUUAUACAUUCUUUUCCUGAAUCUAUCACGAAGUACAUAUGUAACUAGUAGAAUUAUAAUUAUUUUCAAAAUCUCAUGUGACAACAGCUGAUUGGAAAAGCCAAUGAGUGUGAGACCCAAAUGCAGGGUUUACAUUUGAUGAUGCAGUUCAAACUAUAAGAGACACACCUUCGAGUCGUCCAAAACUUCUUAACGACUUGCCUCGAAAGACACAACCAAGAGAAGGGAUCAAAAUCUCACCAAGGAAUGAAGAAGGAGAAGGAGAAGGGGAAGGAGAAGAAGAAGAUUGCCUCAGCUGAAUUGAUAACAAAAUUGCUGCUACCACUGCUACCGGGACCUUCUCAUGUGGACUCCGGUGCCACCUCCUCUGUGGUAUACUGGUAUGAUGACUAAUUCAUGAAAUAUUUGAUAUAAUGCCAAAGUGCUAAUUUCCAAGUCCCCUUCAUUUAUUGAGUAUUAUAAGCUUGCACAAGUUCAAUUUCCUUGCUCUCGUAUCAGCAGCAGCAUCACAAAGUCCGGCCUUCCAAUUCCCAAGGAAAUGUUCUUUUUUUAUUUCUUUGCAGGGCUUUAUACCGAUAAAUUGUUGAUACUCCCUGCAAUAACCGCCAACGAUCGUGGUGUACAUGGUCACAUCUAGCUUUCAGCCUGUGUCUUCCAAAUUCUUCAGCAAUCAAACGGCUUUUCCAGUAUUGCCAGUUCUGCACAAUCCCUCAUCAUGGCUUGGCACGUGGUUAUAUCUACCUCGAUUGUCUGGCCAACAUUUCUUCCGCCAAGCUCAUGGCUUUGGCGAUUCUACCCUCUCCAACGAGCAUAUUGAUCAAAGUGUUAAAGGUUUGCAGUUGUGGGUUCAAGUCCAAGUUUGACCAUUUUACACAAAACUGAAGACCCGAAAUCGGAUCUUUUCAAUUGGCAGAGGUAAUUCAUCAAAAUGUUGCGAGUAGAACUGUCGGGAGUCGUUCCUUCCGAACCCAUCCGCUCGAUCAUGUCAAUGGUGACGGGGUAAUGCUUCAUCUUGGCCCCAACCCCCAAGAGUUGGGCGAAACAGGGAGGUAAAGUCAAGAGGUUUCACUCAAAUCGUCCUCUCCAAGAAGAAUAAAGCAUUGUCAGCUUCCACCAAUCCACCAUUUUUGCAAUUGUUCACCACAAAGGCCACGAGUUCAGAUUGAUCGAUUGAAUCACUCACUCCAGCAGUGGAUGGGCAACUGUGGGAGCGACGUGAAAGAAAUGGUUCGAUGCAAAGAUGUGAUGAGAAGUGAAAGGUUUAGCGAGAUCACCAGAUUCUUGAACAAGACGGUGAAGAGCAGAAGUGCAGAUGGAUUGAUUCAUUCUCAUCAGUUUUACCAAAUUUUCUCCUUCCGAGUUCCAACAAUCCACAAAUUGAUGCGAUGGUGUAUGGAGAGGAUGAUUGUUAGGCAGUUUAAUCACUGAAACUUUAGAUGUCUGAUAACAACAUAGUUUUCGGUUCAAUCACUGAACACUAAUUGUUUGCCAAACUGAACAUUUUAAGAAUUAGUCUGAUUGAUUCAUUCCCAUACUCGGCAGUUGAAGAGAGAUCAUUAUGCAAAAUCAUGCUCUUAUACUGUUGUGAAAACAAUUAUGAAAUCCACAUCUGAAACCAAAUCUGAAUGGAUAGAUAUCUCACACAACGAUGGCAAACACUAGUGGGGUUGAAGGGUUGAAGUGUUGCCUGUCGAAAUGAAUGUUUCUAGUCUUACUACUGUCGGCCGAAAAAAUGAGAACUUGAUAUGAAUGUUUCUACUAUUGUCAUUGUGUGCAUGGAACAUACUACAUUAUACCAAUUUAAAAUUUUGUUUUUGUUCUAUUGGACACUUUCUUAUGCAUCGAAUGAGGCAGUCAUCCCAGCUCAUAUGUUGCAAAAUGACGUCACAGGGAAAUUUUGAUGGUUUACAUUUGAAGCACGUAACUUUGCAAAAGAACACAAUACUUCGGUCCUCUUUUCCCCGAUGGCAUAGGAUUGCUUAUUUAGUGUAUAAACUCUAAAAAUGUAAAGAUCGUGUUAAUUCACCCAGUUGCAGUCAGUAGAGGUGAGUGAGAGAUGGCUCGGACACCAACUAAUUGCUAAAUUUAAAAAAAAAAAGAAAAAGAAAAAAAGAAAAGCUAAUGGAUUAAGAAAAAUUAUACGCUGUAAGUUUGGACUGCGAAAUCCAUUAUCUCUCUUUGAUAAUGUGGUUAUGCGAAGAUCGAUUCCAUAACACGCGCUUAAUCCAUGUGCGCAAGUUCGUCGUGAAUCACAAAACCCAUCGCAUGAGUAGUGUUGGGAAAAAGAAUAAUUAAUUAUGACAUUUGAAUAAAUGAAAAUGAAAAGAUUCUUUUUCCCAACUUCAAAUUGUCCUCAUUUUGUUUUUUUUGAGCAAAAAUUGUCCUCAUUUUCACAAGGAGUAUAGUUUACAAUUCGGUUCUCAUCUUGAGGAUACCAAUUGUGCAUAUAGCGCAAAAUAGACGUAGAGGUUUGAUCAAUAACUUCUUCUUUUAUGCUUAUCUUAUCAUUGUGUCAUUCAAUUGGAGUAAAACACGCGCCUAAUUAGCAAUUCCACUCUAUGAGAACACAGAAAGACAAUAAUUUACAAUUUAACUAGACAUGAACCCCAACGCCGAAAUAAAUGACUAAUAGAGGAAACGAAUAAUUAUCAAAAAGGGAAUAAGUAUUGUAAAAGAUUCUUUUAUUCAUUUGCUCUAUAACAUAAAGGAGCAAUUCAUGAAAAAAAUAUGAGUACUCAAAUGUAAUUAAUGACAAUAAAAGGCAAGCCUUUGAGGUGAAGAGACCAAAACCAAUUGUCCAACGAAAUGUAAAUAUAUGCUUAGGUGGAGCAUUUUUGGUGGAGAAUACAGUAAAUCCAAGUUUUGCAAUAUGAAUAAGACUUCUCUAGUUAUCUUAAGUCUUAUGCGUCAUCAUGGGAAGUGAUGCUUUAGCAAUACUUUGUUAUUACGUAUUUAUAUAAAUGAGACCGUAUAAUUUGUAAUAUCUGGUAGCUUAAUGAUUACGCAUGAAAGUUUUCCUAGUACAUCAAUUUUUUUUUUUUCUUCUAGGUUUUGCCGGAUCGGGGAGUGCAGGUAAAGACUAGUUGUGCCAUGUAAGAGUCUUAUUUAGAUCAUAAAACAAACCUCAAUUGAUGCAAAAACAACCCUUCCCAUCAUUAAGUGGAAAGUAUACGACGAUAGGUACAUAAUAGACCAAGCUAUCUACUUGCCGAUAGAUCUAAUAAAUUGGUAGAUGUUCUGAUGGAAAAUGCAUCUAGACGAUAGACCAGUAGUGUAGGAACUUAGAGAAAAUCUUAUGAAUUGAUGCGGUAGAAUAAUAGUUGAAUUUUUUUAUAGAUUUAACUGCCGAAACUUACUCACAUCUGGAAGAUGUAUAUCGACAACUUUUUCGCUCAACUUAUUAAAUUUUUCUUUUUUAGAGAGUGCACGCAUCUUCCAAUUUUUUUGGGUACAUCCUUGUACUAGAGAUUCUGCAUGGGCAGAUAGAAGAAGUGCUAUGCAGUAGGGUGAAGUUAUGAAUCCAACCGUCCAUCCUCGAGGAUGGAAUAGAACGGGCCUUGAAUGAAAGUACUAAUCAAUACCUUUUUGUUCCUAUCCACGUCAGACGCAAUAACAAUUUAGACAUUUUUUCUACUGGUCACUUUCUUAAAAAGUCAAUAACACGUGUAUAGUUUCUACUUCAUUGAGCAUUUUCAGAUAUAUAGAGAUUAGUGAAAAUAGUGUACGGAGAUUAUUGGGUCUUGUUUGGUUUAAUUAAUAAGAAAUUAAUGAGUGAACUCUCGUUCCUUGAAGUUAUAUUUAAUUAUUUUUCUUUCUUUAACUAUUGAUUUAACUUUAAUGUGGAAUUUCAUUUUUAUUGUUUGAAGAUUAAUCGUUGCCGUGAACUAAGUUAAACUGCUACCACAAACGCGCCACCACCACCCGCCCAAUUAUUCGCCACCUCCUCACCACCUCAAAUGCACACCUCUCAGGGUGAUUGGUUCCUAGUUCGAUCCGGUUCCGAAGUGGAACUAAGAACUGGUUCUCAAAAUUGGGAACCGUGGACUGAACCAUUAAGUCGUAGGAUCAAGAACCGGACUGGACUGUUAGUUUCGGCCUGGUCCAAUCCAGGUCUAAUCCAAUCCAAUGAAAUUGAGCACUUUUUUUUUUUACUAAAGAGUGGUCGUGCUUCAUCAAUCAAUCCAAUUCGAUUCUCGAGUGGUCCAAUAAAAUUAAUUGCACAUAUUUCCACAUGCAAAAAUUUUAAACUCAUGUGAACAAUAUGGCUAAAGAUUGUGCUUGCCUUGGAUUUUAUAGACAAUCUCUCUUACGCUCUUUGAGUAUUUGAUCGAUAUGGGACUCUUGGAGGCUACGAAUGCCUUGUGUUUUGCAAGUGAGGGGAGCAAGAGAGAGAGGGGAAGUGAGCGUGAGGAAUGAGGGUCUCUUAAAGCCUUAGUCUCACAUCGGGUGGAAAAAGAAACUAACAAGUAGGCUUUCUCUUUAAAUAAAAAUGAACAAAAAGAGUUUUGGUGAUCUCUUGGCCAUAAUAUUUGCAAUUUCAGUUAUAGUAAGUUAUAUAUAUAAUAUUAUAUGUAUAUAACUUUAUAUAUAUAUAUAAUUCGGUCCGAUCGGUCCAGUUCCCACUUUGGAAUUGGGAACUUGAUUGACAAGCCACCAGUUCUAAGAAUAGGAACUGAGAAUUGGACCGUCAAUUGUGGAAAUCGCCCAAAACCGGUUGGUCUAGUUUUCGGUUCGACCGGCUUAUGGUUUGGGCAGUUCUCAUUGCACACCCCUACACACCACCAUUGUGAGGAUGCCAUUAGCUCAACUACCGCACCAACUACCCACUGCCACCGGCCACCACCAAAUCACCCAUUACGUCCAUGCUCCACCCACACGAGCCAUGCUGCAGCCACCAUCGAAGCACCACGGCCACCACCAACAAUAUUCCAAUACCACCAAAAUGCGCAAGCAAGAACCUCCUCAUCACUUCCCCCUUCACUCCCGAUUCCACCCCCUUCCACUCGCCCACCGAGUCAGCCCCUCCUCCCACCUCCCCGACCUCCUCCACCCCUGCCGUGAUUCUCCAAUCACGACCACUGCUGUCCGCUGCUCCCAACCGGCACUACUUGGAGAGUAUUGAUGGACUCUCAAGUCUAUGCUCUCAACUUUCAGCUAAUUUUAGACUCCUCAUAACAAAUACAUCUGAAAAUAAAGACAGAACUAACUAAUGAUCAAUGCAGCCGCGCCCAUAUUUCUUUUCGAGACGAUUGGAGAGAGUAACACAGUUUAGUCUUGACCAUCUCGUGUAACACAUCCAUCGCCCUUUUGUUCUGACCAUCUUUAACAAGUCUCACGAGGUUGACUUAGCUAGCGUUCAUAACUUUUGAUGAAAUACCUGAAUUUAUCAUGCAAUCUUUUCCUGAAUCUAUGACAAAGCACAUUUGUAGCUAGCACAAUUAUUAAUUAUUUUCAAAAUCUCAUGUGACAACAGCUAAUUGGAAAAGCCAAUGAGUAUGAGACCGAAUUACAAGGUUCGUAUGUGAUGAUGCGGUUUGAAACUAUAAGAGCGCGCGCACACACCUCCAGGUCGUCUAGAACUUCUGCAUGACUUGCCUCCAAGGACACAACCAGGAGAAGGCAACAAAAUCUCACCAAGCAAUGAUAGAAGCUGAAAGAGGAAGAAGAAGAAGCAUUCUGUGCCAUCAUUUUGUCACCAGUUUUUACGACUUUCUGGCCGUGUUUAAAAGUCUUUGCUCAAUAAUUUUGCAGUCCUUUCUCACUUUCUGGCCAAACAGCACUGUUUACUAUAGGUCUUUAAUUAUCUUUAUAGACUUACAUUGGUGAUAACCAUGGAAGAAGGAAAUAAAUUGGAAGAUAAAGAAGGUGGUAUUCGCACCAUUUUCCUUAUUUCCUAGUUAAUAAUGCAAUCUGCCAUUUGCCUCAAUUGAGUUGACAACAAAAUGCGCUGAAAAUCUCAGAAGAUGAAAGAACAUAACAAAACGGAAUGGUGAGGAUUGUUGCUAAUGCUGCUACCCGGGACUUCUCAUGUGAACUAAACUGUCCCUUCCUCUGUGGUAUGAUGACUUGUGCCUCGAACAUUUGAUCAAUGCCAAAGUUUCUAUAAACAGCGAGCCGUCAAUAUUGCUCAUUUCCAAGUCCACUCUAUUUACCCAAUAGUAUAAGCUAGCACAAAGUUCUUUUUUCUUACUCUCAUAUCAGCAGCAUCACAAGGUCUUCCCUUCCAAUAAGACAAGGCUUUUACGACGAAUGGCAAGAAUGUUUACCUAUGGCAUUAAGAUCUCAAUACGAGAUGUUAUUCCCAAGGAAAGGAAAUUUGUUGUAUUUAUUUUAUUUUUUUUUACCUUACAGGGGUUUAUACCACUAAAUAGUCGAAUCUUUUUCUGCUCUGUCAAAAUGUCAUAGUCGGCAUUAAAACUGAAUUACAUAUUAAACUUAUUAUUGAUAAGAAAAUUUGACAGUAGAUUCACUUAUAACGUCUCAGCUAGAAAUGUCCAUCAGUUUCCGACUCAGCUGAUUGAGAGGGACGACAGAGUCCUCAUUGCUCAAGUUCUACCUAGAUGUCUAUUAUGGCAUUGAAAUUGAAGCGUAGCUGGAGAUUUUUUCUUCUUAGCCAGAGCUGUCAUUGUGUGCCAGCAAUAUAUCGAACUCUCUAGAUUCCAUGCUGAUUGGAUGAUAGAACUGUGUCUUCAACAUGGAGUAGUUUGGUGGCACUUUGCAGCAUGAUCUAAGGCUAUUCAACUCGGUGCUAAUCAAUGGAUGUCCACUAAUUUGCGUAAUUCUUGAACGUAUAUUUCCAUGGAAGGUUCUUCCGUGCUUUUCUCAUAAAUGCUGAGGAAAUUUAACGCCAUCCCUCGCAAAUACAUUGCCUCAGUCCCUUCUUUAUAUGAGCUAUUUAAUUGCCUGUUGUAGUUAUGGUUGAUUAGUUUUUGAAGCAGCUAUUCACAUUGAAGCAGUUCAUGGAGGUUGUAACUUGUAAUUGCUGUUGUCAUACAGUUAGGAUUGCAAUAGACUCUCACUACCCAUCUGGUCCCUGAUUUGUUGAAUCGUUAUUACAAUCUUCCAGCUGAUAAUUGGGCAUCCUAUCGAAUCGUCAGCUGAUCAUUUAUGCACAUGUUGGGAUGUUUGCAAUUUUAGUAAAAUAAUUUCAGACAGCACUAGUGCUUCGAGAAAUCUUUUUGACAUUGGAGAGUUUCUCAAUCCUCUUGUUGGAGAUGUUAAAUUCAUUUCUCUAUGACAUGCUUGGCAUUAAGGAUGUGCAACAGAAACUGCCCGAAUCGGGAACCGCUCGAAUCAGAUCGGACCAGCUAGUUUUGGGCAGUUCCCAAAGAGAGUGGUCUAGUUCCCGGUUCUCACUUUUGGAACUAGUGGCCGGUCGGUCCAGUUCCCGGUUCUAAGGUGGGAACUAGAUUGACCAGAUUGGACUAGUUAAUUUCAUAUAUAUAAAAUAUAUAUUUUUAAAUUUCUCAAGAAACAAACCCUAAUUCCUUAUAAUUUCUCUCAUUUUACAUUUUAUUUUUGGCUCAAAACAGUAAAUUUACCGGUUCCAUCGAACUAACCGGACCGAUUAGUCCGGUUCCCGAUUCUAGGACAGGUCAGUCUAGUUCCCAAUCUCGGAAUCUGGGAACCAAUCCUCCUGGUUUGGUUCCCGGUUCCACCUUGGAGCUAGACCAGAGCGGGAACCAAUCAACCCUGCUUGGCAUCAACAUGUAGAAAUUCAUCUGCACUACAUUUAAUCUGGGACUGGUACAAAUUCUGUUUCUUGGAGUAUUAUAAGAAACGAGGGGAAGUAGAGUUGAAUGGGACCACAUCAAAUGUUGAUUGAAAGAAAAAUCUCAAGCAAUUCCAGGUAAACGUCAUUUGUCUAGAAUACAGUUCCAAAAUAUCAGCCAACACCGGCAUUUCGUAUGUGCAAGUUGCCCCCAAAAAUGUCACCUCCAAGUCAUUGCCUAAUCAAUCCGAUGGUCUUUUACAGCCGGUAGCCUCUCUGUAAAAUUACUUUGCAUUCGGGGACAGCAAGCCUGCGACCCGCCUCUGGAGCCUCCUUCUGUCAUUGCAUUUGAUCAGAUGAAGCCUGCAGCCUCUUUCUGUUAAAUUCGUUAGAAAUCUGAUGGCCUUUGCAGUUUUGCAUGGCCCUCCAGCCAUGAUUCCACUAUAUAUCCUUUGGCAAACAUUUCAUCGACUGAACUUAUGACACGGCUUGUGCAAUUUAACCUUUUCCUUAAAGCCCAUUCAUCAAAGGGGCAAGCUCACAACAUCUGGUUCGAGUCCAGGCCUGAGGACUAUAUUCAAGACAGAGAACCCAAGAUGAAAUCCUUUCAAGUGGCAAGAGGCGAUUUGUCAGAAUCCUGAGAAUAUAAAUGUCUCAAGUUUAAGGGGGUGUGGGUCAUUGCAGCAACCUCUGCAAGUUAAAACAUACUAAAAUCUACAGCAACCUUAUCAUGAAAAGACACAGCCGUGCUCAAUCUAUUACUAGAAUAAAUAGCCAAAAAUUUUAUAUGGAAAAACAGACGUUAAAAAAGGUCCCGUUGUGGCUUGGCAGUCAUUUUUCAUACUCUCAUACCACCAUCAUAAGGAUAUCAUAAAAUCAAUUCGGACCUUUCUUUUCUGGUCUUCCGAUUCCAACGGAAAUUAAGAGAAAUUAGGCAUGAGUGCCUUUUUAUUUUCUGUUAAAUUAGCGCCUUAAGUUUCUCAUUGCAGGUACCUUUUUAUCUUCUGCAAGUAGAGAAAUGCUAAAUCUAUAGCAAGCUUCUGGUGAAACACAGUUAAAGAUACGAACCAUGAUCAAUCCUCUACAAAGAUUUAUAGCCUAAAGGUUCAGUGAGAAAACAGAUGUAAGGAAGAGCUCUUGUUGCAGCUUGGUAGAGUUUUGAAGAUGGUGAUGAAGAACCUACAAGAGUUCCAUUGUGAGGAGACUCGCAGAUCAACACAGUCUGGACCAGUCAUGUUUGUGUUGGUGUUUUCUCAAGUCCAUGCAUACAACUUUCAGUUAAUUUUAGAGUCUUCGUACCCAGUAUAAUCAAAACAGGUAGAACUGAGGAUCAAUGCAACCGCUCCAAUCGUCUCUCGUUGAGAUAAGAACUCUCUACUACAUACGGUCACUCUCAACCAUCUCGUGCAACCCAUGCAUCACCCUCAUUUUCUGACCAUUUUUAUGGAGUGUUCGGGUGGAGAGUGCCCCUUUUCUUUCAAUUCUUGAAGCAGCUCAUAGGAAUCACUCGUUCAGUUGGCUUUACAUAGCCCUGCAAUUAUAGUACCAAAUAACAAAUCAUCAUAUUGCAAACCUUUCUCAGGCAGGGCAUUGAAGAGUUCUAUAGCAACUCCAAGUUUCCCUGCCACCCAAACCGCUAAUAAGGGUGUCAUAGCUGAUGAUAUGGACAUUUCCACCUUCCACCUGUCUAUAUAAAGCAAUUGCCCCAUGAACCCCAUGCCCCAUGAACCCGGUGACUAACUUUAUUGAUUAUUGUUGAUUUAAAUGUUCGCUACUAGCUAGAAUUUUGUAAAACAUAUGGUGCGCAACCCAAGGCAGUUCAAUGAGGAAAAAGCCACCCCGAGACAGUUAUAGGUGGCAACAUCAGGGACUGAUCCAUUCUCUUAACAUUCAUGAAUCAAUGUUCGAUUGGUUGUGAGUGAAAGAGAGCAGUUUUGUGCAAUCAUCAAAUGAAAUGUAGUGGGUGCAUCAUCUAUUUGAUUUUAACGACAGUUACCACCAAGCAAUGAAGUAUGUGUGAACUAGGUCGGGCGUCAAUCCUCCUCAGAUCAUCAGAUUAAAAAUGCACUUCAUCUUGUCCAGCAAAACCUUCGCUUCUUUCCGUUAACCAACCCAAGUUGAGCCAUGUAUCAAGGGCUGACAUUUGGGCAUCAGUCAUAAUAUUAUACAACUUCAAAGCCUCUGUCUCAGGUGCCUCCAAUGAUUGUGGUGUACUAGGAAGCACGGACACUCUCUGGGGGCCUCUGUGUCGGUGUCAGACGCAUGUAAUUCUUGUUGUCAUAGUUCGACAGUUAGGAUCACAGGAGACUCAUGAAUUUCCCAUCUGGUUCAUGAUUUGUUGAAUAUCUCAAUUUUCCUGCUGAAGAUUGGACAUCCUAGCGAUUUGUCAGCCGACCGUUUCUGCAUAAGUGUGAUUGUGAUUUUAGCAAUAUAAUUCCAGACAGCACUAAUGCUUGGAGAAAUCUUGUUGAUGUUGGAGAUCUUCUCAAUCCUCUUGUUGGAGAUGUUGAAUCGAUCUCUCUACGACAUAAUAAUUGGUAUCUCCAUGUGUAAAUUCAUCUGCCCUUGUUCCAACUCUGGGAUUGGUAAAAAUUCUGUUUCUUGGAGUAUUAUAAGAAACAGAGGAAGUAGAGUAGAUUGGGAUAAUAUCAAAUGUUGAACGAAUGGAAACGUCCCGUGCAUUUCCAGAUAAAUGUCGUUUGACGCGAAUACAGUUUCAAAAAAAGAAAAUCAGUCUGGCCAAAAACCUCUCCUCUCUGCGAUGGAGAUUUCUCCCUACCAGCUGGGUAGUCCCCCUCCACCUUCACCACUGAAGGUACACGCCAAUCCCUAACUUUUUUUUCCGAUCAAAUCUUUCGGAAUGCAGAAAACCCUAGCCCACAGCAAUGCCCAUUCCCCUGCGAUGGUCUGGAAUCUUCUUCACCGUCUGCAGGUAAAACCCUAAUCCCCCAUCCUCUCCGAAUCUACAAUGGUCUUCUGCAACCAAACGAAACCCCUUCAUCCCUCACCAAAUCACUGUCUCGGAGACCCUGCCACCACACUCGAUUCCAGAGCCCCCUUCAAUCAGAAACGAACAGUGUCCAUUAUCAUCUAAAUCCAAACUGGUAAGUCAAGGCUGCGACCCCUCUUCUAUCUCACCCCUGGAGAAAAGAAAAGAUGAAUGAUCAAUAUGAGGAAGAGAGAAGGGUGAAUGCACUCUGCAAAAGCUUAGGAAAGAUGUGGUCGGAAGGAGAUGUGGUUGAUGUAAUAGGUGAGAUUCCGGAAGAAAAUUUGACAGCAUGUAGUAAAACCCUGUUUGGGAAACUUUUUUCAAAGCCGAAUGUGAACUAUCCAGCAUUUAUCAGUGUUAUGAAAAAAGCCUGGAAAGUGGAUAAUGUUACCUGUACAACUAUAGAACCUGGGUAUUUCUCUUUCUCCUUUCAGUCUGAGGCAGAAAAACAGAGAGUAUUAGACUCUGGACCUUAGUCCUUCUCAAGCAACUUACUAGUUCUGCAGGAAUGUGAAUCGGAUACCCCUGAAAUUUGCUAUGACUUUACCCAUUGUGCAUUUUGGGUGAAUCUCUCGGGCCUUCCCCUUGGGCGAACGCCAGCUGCAGUAGUUCGAAAUAUUGCAUCAAAAAUAGGGGAAGUUCUAGACGUUAAACUAGAAGCAAAGGGCAACAGUAGCUACAAGAUAGGGAAGGCAAGAGCCAAGAUAAAUCUGGAAGAUCCCCUUAAGAUAGGAGUUCUAGUUAAUCUGGAUAAAAAAUGGCUAUGGGUGGAAUUUAAAUAUGAACGACUCCCGCAUUAUCGCUACUCAUGCGGGAAAAUAGGCCACUAUGCAACUGAUUGCAAAGAAUUCCCAUAUGAGACCACAGGGCUGGCUGAGAACUUAUUGGGAAGAUUCGGGCACUGGUUGAGAGCUGAAGCGAAGGCACUAAGUUCGUAUGGCAAGAUCUUUUACGGCAAGCAAGAAAUUCCACCAGAAGAUGAUGAGCAAGUCCCUGAAACUCUUAUAGGAGAACAGCAGAAUGCCACUGCCCCAACAGAGGAGAACUAUUACCCCACUCUCCCUUUAGCAAUUAUUCCUAUGGCAGGAAAAGAUACCCAGAAAAGAGGGAGCAAUUGCCUGGAUGAAGAAUCAGAAAUGGUGAUAUAUGAGGAACAGUAGAAGGCAGCAGAGGAGGCAAUGCAAGAGGAUUCAAUAAGUGAGAAGGGGUUGAUCAAAAAGAAAUCUAAAAGUGCAAAGGCCUCAUCAUCAAAAAAAGGGAAAAGGUUCUGUCCAUAUGGAGCUAAUACAUCAAUCACCCCAACACUAGAGCAUACACAGCUAGUGGAAACUCCUAUAACAGUGGUUGCGAAGUCAGACCAAUGGGCUUUGGUGGCUAGCCCUAAUAAGCCACCAAAUCAGCCAUGAAAAUACUAAGUUGGAACUGUCAGGGGUUGGGCACACCCCUGACAGUUCAAGCCCUGCGAGUCCUAGUGACUCAAGAAAGGCCCAACGUUAUGUUUAUCAUGGAGACAAAAAAUCAAGAGCAAAAAGUGCUUAGAAUAAGGAGAAAAUUGAAAUUUUCAGAACAGCUUUAUAGUCGAUCCAACAGGGACAGCAGGGGGUCUGGCCCUCUUUUGGGAUGAUCAGGUUAGUAUGUCUAUUGACUCUUCAUCGGCAUAUGCUAUAAAUGCUCAAUGUCAAAUUAAAGUCACACAACAGAGGAUGCAGCUGACUUUUAUUCAUGCUCCAAAUGAGUUUAAAGGGAGAGUUUUAUUAUGGGAAGCUAUAUACGGAGAAAGCCUCCACUAUCACCAGCCUUGGCUAUGUUUAGGGGACUUUAAUGAGAUCUUAUACAAUUGGGAAAAGGUGGGGAAGCACCACGCUGAAACUUACCGGCUAACAGCCUUUCAGGACUUCAUUCAGCGCUGUUCAUUAAUGGAUUUGGAGAGCAAAGGUUGUGCGUUCACCUGGACAAACAACAGAGAAGGGAAUCAGUUAGUAAAGAAGCGUCUGGAUAGAGCUCUCUACACAGCUAAUUGGAGAACAACAUAUCCUAUAGCAGAAAGUAUAGCAUUACCACCUAUACGGUCUAAUCACAGCCCUAUCCUAGUCUCACUAAACCUGCAACGGAAGAAAUGCGCAUAGAAAUUCAAAUAUGAAGCAUUCUGGGCUGAGGAAGAAGAAUGUGCACAAGUAGUCAAGGAAAUUUGGGCUGAUCCCGGUACUCAACAACCAUCAGUGGUGGACAAACUACAAAUUAUAGCAAACAAGUUGAUGAAGUGGAGCAAAAACCGGUUCUCAAAUGCUAAAACGAGAAUUAUAUGGCUAACCCACGAACUCCAAACUUUGAUGAAUAGAACGGCCGAACUACAAGAAAGUGCAGCAGCAAAGAAAAUCACACAAGAAAUAGACCAACUGUGGAGACAAGAGGAGAUGUAUUGGGGCAUGCAGUCCAGAAUUAGAUGGCUUAAAUGGGGUGAUCGAAACUCCAAAUUCUUUCAUGCUACAGUACUACAGAGAAGGACCAGAAAUAGAAUUUUAUGCUGAAGAAUGAUGGAGAUGUAUGGGUAAGAGAGGAGCAAUAUCUGAAGGAAAUGACUGGGCAAUACUUCCAAAAUCUAUAUCAAUCAGUAGGCCACAGAGAUUCUCAGCCUCUACUACAGAAUAUUCCUGCCUUGGUGGAUGAAAACAUGAAUCACGGGUUAGUGGUAGAUGUAAGCAUGGAGGAAAUAACUACUGCUAUGCAACAAUUAGGAGCUACUAAAGCCCCUGGCCCAGAUGGGCUUCACGGACUGUUUUUUCGAAGACAUUGGGAAGAUUUAUGUCAGGAUAUCCUCACAGAAACACAACACUUUUUUACCACAAGAUACUUAAAUCCCGACAUGAACAAAACACAUAUCACCCUCAUCCCAAAAACCCCAAACCCUGAAAAACUUGAGCAAUACAGACCAAUCAGCCUAUGCAACUUCAUUUAUAAAAUCAUCUCCAAAGUCAUAACAAACAGACUCAAACCGUUGCUACCUAGCCUAAUAGCUGAAGAACAAAGCGCCUUUGUGGGGGGCAGGCAAAUCCAAGACAAUAUAUUGAUUGUACAGGAAGUCUUACACAGGUUGAGAACAAGGGAGAACAAACGAAAGUUUCAAGCUGUUUUAAAGUUAGACAUGCAGAAGGCUUAUGACAGAAUUGAAUGGGACUUCCUCAGGGCAAGCCUAAUCAAGAUGGGAUUCUGUGAGCAAUGGGUCCAAUGGGUUAUGCAGUGUGUUUUAACAGUCACAUUCAACAUAAAUUUCAAUGGGGAAUCUCUGCCCUACUUCAAGCCUACACGCGAAAUUAGACAAUGUGACCCACUUUCACCUUACUUAUUCAUUCUAGUGGCCAACGUGCUCUCAAACAUGAUGAAACGAGCAAUAGAUGACGGCACUUUAAGAGGAAUCAAGUUAAAUAGCAGCUGCCCUACUUUAUCGCACUUAUUAUUUGCGGAUGACUCUAUCUUCUUCCUAAACGGAACAAUAUUGGAGUGUCAAAACCUAGCCACCAUCAUACACCAAUAUUGUUUUGCAUCUGGUCAGGCUGUAAACCGCAAUAAAUCAGGCAUAUAUUUUAGUAAAACCUGCCCAAACAGCUUGAGAAGAAACAUGGCUUUGGAACUUCGUGUGACAGAAAUUGAAAAAAAUGGGAAGUAUUUAGGAAUGCCGUCGGAUUGGGGGGCUUCAAAGAAGGAUAUGUUCGGCUGGAUCCUUGCAAAGGUACACAUGAAAAUGGAAAGCUGGAAGGAAAAUCUAUUAACGAAAGCGGGGAAGGAAGUCUUAAUUAAAUCAGUUAUACAAGCCAUUCCUCAAUAUGCUAUGUCUAUCUUCAAAAUUCCUAUUUCGAUUUGCAAGGCUAUAGAGAUGAAAGUGGCCAAAUUCUCUUGGAAAAACAGCAACAGGAGCACUGGGCUAUAUUGGAAAAAAUGGGAAAAUUUGAAAAUUAGGAAGGACGAAGGGGGUCUUGGCUUCAAGGAUUUAAUAGCUUUUAACAGGGCUAUGUUGGGAAAGCAAGCAUGGAGAAUAUCACAGCAUCCUCAGUCCCUUCUAAGCAGAGUAAUGAAAGGGUUGUACCACCCACAGAGUGAGUUUUGGAAGGCUGGCAAAGGAUCAAGAUCUUCAUGGGGAUGGCAGAGUACAUUGACGGGAAGAGACUCUAUUUCUCCGCAUAUAAUGUUCUCCGUUGGGAACGGCAAUGCAAUAUCAAUAAGAGAGGACAAAUGGCUCAAAAGCGGAAAGAUUGGUGGCUCGGCUAUGGAUGGGGAACCAAGGCAGGUGGCUGGUUUAAUAGAUCAAGAAACUGGAAAUUAGAAUGAAUCAUUGAUAAAAGCUUUGUUUGAUGACCAAAGAGUCCAAGACAUAUUAGCAACACCAAUUGGAAUGCCCAAUGAAGAGGACAGACUGGUUUGGGAGAAGACCAAAACAGGGAUAUACACAGUUCAAAGCGGAUACUAUGCCAACAGAGAUAAUCAACCAAACAAAAAAGCACCAGCACACAACCCAUCCUAUCAAGCUGCAACAGCAACUUCUUCGCAUCAGCCACAACCAGCACUAUGGAAGUUUAUAUGGCAAUCAAACAGCCCACCUAAAGUUAAACACUUCAUAUGGAACGCAUGCCAGAACGCCAUACCCACUAUGGAAAAUCUAUACAGGCGGAAAAUAGUACUUGAUCCGCUAUGCCCUCUUUGCAAACAGGAAGCCGAAACAAUUGAACAUACCCUGCUGCUAUGCUCCUGGACGACAAAGAUCUGGAAAGCUGCCCCCCUGCACAUUAGAGUGUCAAGAAUAGGGUUAACCAGAUUUGACGAUUGGCUGUACACGGCAAAAAAAAGCCAAACCAGUGCAUAUACGGUCAUAACCCCCUGCACCCACAGCAAACACUCUUCAAGGCCAUGGCUUUGCACGAGAGCUAUACCACUUGGAACAACAAAACGAAAGGGGAGCAACACAACGCGAACAUACCUCAAAGAUGGAAGCCCCCACCUCCUGAUUCGUUGAAAAUCAACUUCGACGCCUCCUUUCUCCCAAGCAGCGACGCCGAACCAGACACCAAAAGAAACAGCGGAGAACGCGAGAACAAAGGAGCCAUAGCCUGCAUGUGUCGAGACUCCAGGGGCCGGGUUGUCGACGGCUUUGCGAAAUUGGUGGUCGCCUCUUUGGCAGAACAGGCGGAGGCCAUAGCCCUACUUGAAACCCUAAUCUUUCUCUCCAACCGAACUCACCUUUCACUGGAACUGAUGUCCGACUGCCUCUCCCUCGUGCGCAGUUGCAACACUUCGGAAGUCUUCAGUUGGGAAGCGGAGUCUAUUGUGGGCCGGGCCAGAACAAAAAUGAAGGCGUUUCGGGCUAUUUCUUUGGCCCACUGCAACAGGGAAUUGAACCAGCCUGCGGAUUGGCUGGCGAAAGCGUGCAGGAACAAUCUCCUUCCACUGAAUUGGCUAUUGAUUUAUUAUGUGCUGAUGCGUUUAAUGUAUUUUCUCCAAAUAUGUCUUAGUUAUCUUAAUGAAAUCGUUACUUUGGACCCCAAAAAAAAAAAGAAUACAGUUUCAAAAUAGCAGUCAGUCAAAACUGGCAUUUCAUAAGUGCAAGUUGCCCCUUAAAAUUAUCAUCUCCUAGUCAUUGCCUAAUCAAUCCAACGGCCUUUUUGCAGCCUGCAGCCUCUUUCUGUCAAAUUACUUUCCGUUUGGUUACAUCAAGCCUGGGAUCUGCACACUGCAGCCUCUGUGUCAUUGCAAGAUGAAGCCUGCGGCCUCUUUCUGUUGAAUUUGUUAGAAAUGUGACAGCUUUUGCAGUAUUGAACGACCCACUUGCUAUGACUCCCCAUUGGCUUUAAAUCCUUGGGCUAAAAUUUCAUCCCACCAAGCUUACUCCACGGCUCGCUUAAUUCUACCUGUUUCAUAAAGCCCAGCGAUCAAAGUGGGGAAGCUCCCAACAUCCGGUUCAAGUCCAAGUUUGAAGACUAUAUACUCAAAACAGAAAACCCAGGAGAUCUUUCCAAGUGGCAACUUGCCAGAAUCCACAGAAUAUAAGCUUGAACUAGUCUGGUUUUAGAGUAAUAACCUUUUUGUGAUUCUUUAUCGAGAAAUUAUAUUAAAGAUUGCAUCAAUAUACAUAAUAAAUCACUAAUUAGGUUAUAGUUUGGCUCAAUUAGCUGAAAGAUUCUAGUGGAUCGAUGGAAAAGGAAAAAAAAAAAAAAAACCAACUAUGGCUUUACUCUUGAAAGAACAUUGACAUUACCGCGUUGUUAGCAAGUGAUUAAGGUCGUUGACUUUGGCUUUACUGUUUUCCUCUACAGCACCGCAGUACAUAUUUUGCAAAUAAAAUUGCAUUUUCUCUGUGGCCUUGAGGUGGGGAUACAGAUUCCUAUAGUCUCAUUAAAGGUUUUUCCUAUGAGUUUCGGUAAAAAUUGUUGUCAAAACUUUUGCCAAAGAGAAACAGAGGAGGAUCGGCGAAGUCUUGGUCGCGGUGUAGAGUGGGUCAAGAGGCACCGUUCCUUCAGACAACAUCAGAUACGAGAGAUCUUGAUUUUGACUUUGGAGUACUCUGUGGAUUCUCUCUCAUCUUUUUCUUAAAUAUCUCGGAUGCAUUGUCGUUAUUAGUAAUUGUUUUUAUUAUUAUAUUAUUGACCAAAGAUCCAUGGAGUAAAGUUAAACUUCUCCUGGUACAUUGUUCUUAUUACAUCUCUCUUGUAACAUCAAUCAUGUUGUAUUCUCCUGUUGGUCAUAAUCAGUAUUUAUAUAAAAUCGAUCAUUUGGGACCAUUUGUAAUUUAUUCCCUCACACCACUGAUUCUAUGUGAUAAUGUUAUCAAAUGUCCGUAUCUUUUAAUUCUCGACUCUUCAUUCUCACCACUUAAAUGAUAUUGAAGGUCCAUUGGAGCACCGACUGCUUCUUGAGGGAUAGCUAUAAAGAUUAUUGCCGUGCCAGUCUCCAGGAUGGAAACUGGAGCAGCGCCCCACAUACCGACAAGAAGGCCUGCUUGUACUUUUUUUCCCUAAGGAAAAUUACAUCAAACAUUUUAAGAACAUCAUAAAGAUGCGACAUUGGAUUUGCAAAUUAUAGGGAUUUCGAUUUUCUACAAGGAGCUCAUGACAUUUCGUAUUGUACCUUUCUUUGUACAACUUGUUAGUCAACAUUCAGGACCUACCAUCAGCCUACGCCCAAUUUUUCGUGAGGAACUAUGGUUCUAUCCAUGAUGUUUGAUCGAAUCAAAAUCUAGAGUUCUAUUCACAUUAUCAGCUCAGUUAAAAGUAAUUUUAUUGUGAUUCUUCCGUGAGAAGAAGGUAAAUGUGAUGGCAUGAAGGGAAUCGGUAUUCGAUGUGUCGAGGAUGCUUCCAUCUUCCUUGCAAUGGAGUUUUCACAAUCAAUACAGCGCAAGGGACAGAAACUCCAUUACCUGAACGGAGUACUUCACCGGCGAGGCUCGCGACGCUAUCGCCGCGCUUAAUCUGGUGCAAGAUCGCGAACUUCCCCACGCCGUUAUCCCUCCGAAGCUACCGAGCUUGGGACGCACACUCUUCAACUCAGUGCCCGCGAAGCUCGGUGACCAUGUCCCGAUCGGAGGCGACGGAGCUCCAGAUGCGGUAGACGCAGCUCACGCGGGCCAGGUCCGCGACAGGGAGCUUCUCGAAGAUGAGUCGGAGGGUGUCGCGGCAGGCGAGGGCGGAGAAGUGGGAGUUCAUUGGUGAGAUGGUGGAAUCGUCGGCACCGGCGGCGGAGGAGGAGGAGGCGGCGGCGGAGGACGGCGGCGGAGGAGAGGGAUUGGGGGUCCGAGGUGGAGGCUCCCGGUCGUCGUCGUCGUCGUUGCCGCAGCAGCCCAUUUAGAGAGAGAGAUGGGAAUGUCUAUAGAGUCGGUUUUGAUGGUUUUGGAAUUUUGGUUUUGAAUGGUGGAGAGUAGGUGCCUGAAAUAUGGUUGAAUUACAGUUUUUUGCCCCUUGUUUUGUCAUUUAUUACAAAUUGCCCCUGACUUUUCGAUUUUUCGCGAUGUCUCCCCUAAAAUUUGAAAUCGGUUGCGAUGUCAGACUGGUCUGACUUCCAUCAUUUUUCAGUUUGAGCACCGACCACGUGCUUGUCACGUGACUGAGUUGAUCUUUCAUGGAGGGUGAAUCUGUCGGAUGAUAACAUGCAAAUUGCAUUUUAACCCCCAAACUUUGGCACGUAUGGGAAGUUGCCCUAACUCUCCCUUAUAUUUCUCUUCCACUUUUUAUCAGCAAUAGAAAUUGUAAAAUCAUUUCCUUUGAUUUAUAAAUAUAUUGCUCACACGAAAACUUCACGAAGGCAAGUACUUAUACCAAUUUGGUACUUUUUUUAUAAUAUAGCUAGACACAUCGCCAUACUGCAUGAACAUCUGAUGUUCGCAUCAUGUUCCUACAAACUAAUGAUAAUGCUAAACUUUCGUGUCCUUUAUUUAGCAAUCAAAACAAUUGACUUACCGAGUAAUCACUUUAAUUUGUGCUAAUAAACCAGUUUUGCAGGUUCUGUCGUGUCUUCGAAUUUUAGGACUUUCGUUUACAAUUCUUAAAUUGCUUAUAUGUCUUACACUGUGUUGCAAGCCCUAAGAAGUCAUUUCUAUAAAUGAUACACAGAUUUUUUUAGUUGAUUACAUAUACCUUUGAAAGUUUGGAUGAAGUUUGGAGGCCAUAAUUAAAAUCAAAUAUAACAUUUAUUAUUGACUAAUUAUUUUAGAAGUAUGGGUUUAUUUUGCAAGUUUUGGAUUCCGCAAUAAAAUAUCUUUCAUCAAUUGUUAUAUUUUGAUUUUUAUUAAAGGAGACUCAAAUUCUAUAUUAGUUUUGAAUAUACACCUUAUAAUCUUUAGUUCAAAGAAGUCACCCACUUGACACGAGCUUAAUAUCAACGAUAAUUAAUAUCGAAACCUCAUCGGUGACAUCAUACAUAAUAAUGAAAACCCAUUAAAAUUACAGUAGUUUACACAAUAUCGAAGGUGCUUCGACAACACUAGAUAUUAACAAGAUGCCUAGAAAGCACCGUUUCCUACUAAGUUCAAGACAUAACGUCGGAAUCUAAUCAACGACGCUAAACAAUAAAGACAACACCUAGUAGACAAUAGUUCUAGAUGGAUAUGAGGACACAACGUCGAAAUUUAAUUAACGACACUAGACAGUGAUAAUAUCACCUAGUACACAUUGUUCCUAGAUGCACAUGAGGAUACAACGUCGGAAUCUAAUCGACAACGCAAGCAAAUGCAACACCUAAUGAACACUGCAUUUGGAUGAGGAUGCUGACACAAUGCUGGAAUCUAAUUAAUCACGUUGGAUAAUGGGUGAGCAUCGGAAUCUAAUCAAGAGCACCGUUCGCCCUUGACCUUCCUCAGGUUCCUUCUGGUCCUGCGAUUUUUGGUUUACAGACAAUUGCAUGGGCCGUGCUUCCUAGUACACCACGAUCAUCGGAGGCACCUGAGACAGAGGCUUUGAAGUUGUAUAAUAUUAUGACUGAUGCCCAAAUGUCAGCCCUUGAUACAUGGCUCAACUUAGGUUGGUUAACGGAAAGAAGCGAAGGUUUUGCUGGUCCUGCGAUUUUUGGUUUACAAACAAUUGCAUGGGCCUUGGCUCCGACCUCUGCCGCGCCCCCGGUUCCCUUCUAGCGUCGUGAAAACUAGAGAAGCUUAAUGCCAAGCGUUGUUAUGGUUUGGUUCCACUUUCAGACUCCAUAAGCCAUCUAGUGAAUCUAUUGACCCUCAAAUUUAUGCAACUGUUCAAAAGUGGCUGAACUUCCAGGCAACAUUGGGUACCUUAAGAAGCGGCAGAGCUUGCUACUUGGCACGACUUCUGCAAUUUCUUGCCCAUCAACACAGAUCCCAAACUCCACUGGGAAGAUAGAGUCACUGACUGAACUCAACUUGUCCAGCACAAGCAUAACGUAACUACCAUCUUCCAUUCGGGGAUUUACAUAAUUUGGAAAUCCUGAAAAUUUCUCCUAGUAGGAUCUAAAAGUUGCUAGGUACUAUUAGAAGGUUAGGGAUCUUGAAGAAUCUUUCUGGGAGUCACCAGGUAGAGUUGCGCUUUGCCUCCUCUUUUUACCUAAUCCAUCAAAGAGGACUCACUGUUUAUGAUUGCAUGUCACUGGAACCUCUCCCAAAGCUUCCUCCACUACUAUUGAAGCUUCAUGUUGCAGGAUAUGGCAAGUUGAAACUCUUGCCAGGAUUAGAGCUCCAUGAAUGCUCUAGACUGAUGCAAAGUGAAUGCCGACAAGUAUCAAUAUCCCCAACAAUGUUGGCCAUAGCAGGUCGCACGAGGUUGACUAAGCUAGAUGGCCUUAGACUAUGUGCAGAGCCCUUGAGAUGUGUGCCAAUGAGUCAAAACAAAAAAAAAAAAUAGAAUUGCCUUGUCCAAACCUCAACCAAGCCUUUUUUGUGGUUAUUUUUCAAUUGAUUAUAGUAGAUAUUACAUCAAAACACAUUGAAAAUCACUUAUUAGAUUUUUGUUCUCUUUUUAUUUCGGGAAACAAAAAAAUAAAAUCAUGCCCUAUUUAAAGUUUUACCAAACAAGCCCUUAGCUUUCUACCCAUUUUACACACACACAUAUUAAAUUAGAUUUGGACCACAAGAUUUAUGUAAGUUUUAUAUGAGUCUUGCUAAAUCUAACAGCUUAAAUUCAAAUUAAGAUGAGUGUAUGUUGAGUUCAUUAAGGGUUAUUUAGUAAUAUUUUUUUUCUUGGGAAUAAAUUCUGUUUAGAAAUAAUUUUUUUCAUUUUUGUUUCUAGAAAAAAGAAAUAGAUUUUUGUUACUACUUUUAUAUGUUUCAAAUCUAUACCUCGGCCAUAUUUCUAUUGAGGGAAUAGAAAAAUUAGUUAAUAUUAUCAAACGGAUUUAUAUUUUUAUUUUAUUAUGAGGAAAAAAAGAACAUAAAAAUAGAAAAAUUACUUUACCAAAAAAAAAUAGAAAAACAAGAUAAUUGCCAAACAUGCCUUGAAUGACCACUAGAAAAAUGAAUAGGAAAUGAGUGAUGUGUCACAUGGACAUUAGUCAAAGGAACAGGCAAAUGAGAGAAAAUGCUCACGCAGUUGUCAUACCACGUGAGUUGGCUUCCACAUGCUCGGGUGUACCGCACCCGAGCAUGGGGCCCGCUAAGAAGGAGCCAUGUAUAAGCAAAUGGGUGUAUCAUUAUUAUUUUCUAUUUUUUGAUUAACAUGAAUUACAUGUGAAUGUAGUUUAGACUCAUUAAAUUUAUAUGUAGUUAUACUUUUUUACUUUUAAUUCACAAUAACCCAUCCUCUUUAAAUUUUUGCUAACUCAUAUACAAUCCAACUCACUAAAUAUGAGUUAAAUUGUAGAUUUCUCCUUUUAGCCAUUUUAACGCCGGCAAAAGACUUUCAUUUCCACUGUGGGAAAGCAGAAGGUUGCUCAUCCUCACUUUGAUUUGCAUGGUUACAAGGAAAUCUGAUAAAAGGUGAGGGUUAAAGAAGCAAAUUGCCACAUCAAAGACAUCCACAGUAAUAUUGUGUGUAUCCCAAGCACAUCUGGCUCUUCUUUUAAGGAAAGAGAAUAAGUAAUUUCCACUUUUGCAAAAUUUGCCGAGUAAAGCAAACGAUUGCAUUGCAUGGCUCUUUAAGGAGUAACACGAUGUGAAAACUAAUGGUGCAUUUGGUAAUUAUUAUGUUUUCAGAAAUAAUUUCUAUACAAAAAUGAUUUUUUUUUAAUUUUAUUCUCUGAACAAGUUUUUAAGGAUUUGAAGUAAUUUGGUAAGUGCUUAAAAUUUCUAAUCCCCAAAUAGAAUUACAUUUGGUACAGCAUUUAAAUUUUUUCUGUGACUUGAAAUUUCUUUCAAUCUUUUAAUACUUUUAUUAAAAUUUUCUCUUUUAAUUUUUAAUAAAUUUAUUAUAUUUUUAAAAAAAUAUUAUAAAUUUAUCGUAUUUUUUAAUAUAAUUUUAUCAUGUCAUUUUAUUAAAUUUUUAAUAUAAUUUUAUGUUAUGAAAGUGAAAAAAUUCCAAAUAAAAAUCCGAAGUGUCAUCAUUUUCUAAAAUAAGAGCCUAAAAUAUACAUUGUUUCAAAUAAUAUUAGUCUAAAAAAAGGUCUAAAGUGAUUAUGGUUAUUUCAAAUAAGGACCUAGCCUUGUUGGCUCACCAAUAUACAAAAUUUUUUGGCUGAUUAGGGAUAUUUUCGUUCAAAUACAAUUUAAAUUUAAAUUAAAUUAGAUUAAUUAAAAAAAAAAAGAGGUGGGAGGGAGCCUCCCUCUCUUGCAUGUUCAUCUUUUUUGUUUUAAGUUUUAAUUUUUUGGAGGAAAAAUAGAAAUAAAUAAAUAAAUAGGAAAAAAUAAAAAAAUUUAAAAGAUGAAAUUGCCCUUGACUAAACAUUGACUUCUGACCCUUUUAUGAUACUAGUAUAAUCACUUUAAAUCUUUAUUUUAAAUAAGANNNNNNNNNNNNNNNNNNNNNNNNNNNNNNNNNNNNNNNNNNNNNNNNNNNNNNNNNNNNNNNNNNNNNNNNNNNNNNNNNNNNNNNNNNNNNNNNNNNNNNNNNNNNNNNNNNNNNNNNNNNNNNNNNNNNNNNNNNNNNNNNNNNNNNNNNNNNNNNNNNNNNNNNNNNNNNNNNNNNNNNNNNNNNNNNNNNNNNNNNNNNNNNNNNNNNNNNNNNNNNNNNNNNNNNNNNNNNNNNNNNNNNNNNNNNNNNNNNNNNNNNNNNNNNNNNNNNNNNNNNNNNNNNNNNNNNNNNNNNNNNNNNNNNNNNNNNNNNNNNNNNNNNNNNNNNNNNNNNNNNNNNNNNNNNNNNNNNNNNNNNNNNNNNNNNNNNNNNNNNNNNNNNNNNNNNNNNNNNNNNNNNNNNNNNNNNNNNNNNNNNNNNNNNNNNNNNNNNNNNNNNNNNNNNNNNNNNNNNNNNNNNNNNNNNNNNNNNNNNNNNNNNNNNNNNNNNNNNNNNNNNNNNNNNNNNNNNNNNNNNNNNNNNNNNNNNNNNNNNNNNNNNNNNNNNNNNNNNNNNNNNNNNNNNNNNNNNNNNNNNNNNNNNNNNNNNNNNNNNNNNNNNNNNNNNNNNNNNNNNNNNNNNNNNNNNNNNNNNNNNNNNNNNNNNNNNNNNNNNNNNNNNNNNNNNNNNNNNNNNNNNNNNNNNNNNNNNNNNNNNNNNNNNNNNNNNNNNNNNNNNNNNNNNNNNNNNNNNNNNNNNNNNNNNNNNNNNNNNNNNNNNNNNNNNNNNNNNNNNNNNNNNNNNNNNNNNNNNNNNNNNNNNNNNNNNNNNNNNNNNNNNNNNNNNNNNNNNNNNNNNNNNNNNNNNNNNNNNNNNNNNNNNNNNNNNNNNNNNNNNNNNNNNNNNNNNNNNNNNNNNNNNNNNNNNNNNNNNNNNNNNNNNNNNNNNNNNNNNNNNNNNNNNNNNNNNNNNNNNNNNNNNNNNNNNNNNNNNNNNNNNNNNNNNNNNNNNNNNNNNNNNNNNNNNNNNNNNNNNNNNNNNNNNNNNNNNNNNNNNNNNNNNNNNNNNNNNNNNNNNNNNNNNAGAAUGUCAGGGUUGCUUAUGGGGAUUAACAAUCUCUCCCUCGAAUAUAUACCAUGAUCACUCAUCAUGUUGUUCAAGCGCUUUAUGUCCAUGACCUGACAGCACAAAAGAAGUUCUUGAAGCAUGUGACAUGCGGUAUAGACAGGCACAAAAGGGAUAUGCUUGACAGAAACAUUGAAGCAGGGAAGAAAAAAAUUUCAGGGAAGCCUUUCUAAAAGUAAGUCUCGGACAACAGUUAUCAAAACAUUGAACCCAGAGAGAUCUAACUACAUGACAUCAUUAUUGACACUUCACAGGGAUUAUUAUGACUACAACCAUGGAAAAUUUCCAUAUAAAGACAUUAAUUUCCUAGUUGCACGAACAAUUUAAAUUCUGCUCUUAGAACUUGAGGUUCACGUUCAACCAUUUUGAUGAAUCAAUACCACCACUGCAGAAUCAUCUACUAUUUCUAUGUCAACGUUAUUAAGUCAGAGGAACUAUCAUGACGAUCACAAAGUGCAUUGCCCAUCAUUUCACACUGAUCACUUGCAAAAUCUGAGCAUCAUUUAGCCUUGUGUGUUCUGGCAACUAAGAGAUUGUGAUUAUCUAUUAAGAUAAUCAACAUAUAGUCGUCAAUCAAGCAUAUCUUUUUGCUAUUAGUAACCGGAGAUGCUUCUUGCUCGGCAAACUUAAGAAAACUUUACCACAUGAAGAGAUUUCAUAAUGUUUUACAUGAAGAGGACCCUAUGCUCCCUAAGACAUAACAUUUUGGUCCAAGCCCCAACCUUCCUCCAUACCUCCAGAAGAAACCACGACAGUGACUUCCAAGUGUAACCAUUUUCUUUUCCUUCUUUAUAUUUUAGGCUUCACUAAAAGAUGAAGUCACUCCAAAAUUACAAAAUUCGUAUGUCAAUUAGUCUGGCCUUCUCCAAUGGGAAUAAAUCUAUAAGAUUUGCAGUAGUAAAUUCCAUUGAGCAUCUAUCCUACCACCUAUUUGAUACAAUAUAGAGCCACAGCGUAAAAUUAUAACUAACCCCACUCAAUGGGAUAAAUCUGUCAUUAACGUUGAAGUCAUUCAACCGCCAGCCUGCACAAAGAAGCUAUGAACAUCAUCAAAUGAUAUGUACACUGUGUAGCAUGUUGUCAACAUUUUUCUUCUUCUAGUAAAUUCCCCAAGCUAACCUUUAUCAAAGAGGCCAGAACCCAAUCGAAUGGAAGUAUAAAAGAGCCAUGCCCAAAAUUGAACAAAACUAUGUACUUAGACAAUCCUGCACCAAUCAACAGAGCUAUCCAACUUUGGCUGUUAUAAUGGAGGAAUGACAGAAUGCUUCUUCAAGGAGAAAGCCUCUGCAAAGACCUGAUAAUUGUCGCUAGCUGUACAGCAUUCCUCAACCAACAAGUCCUCAGCAUUCUUCGGGAUUCGCCAUUUUAGCAAUCAAAUUCAGGAUCACAAAUUCGUAUAUUAUGAAAAGCACCUACCCAUCCCCACCCAUCCUCUCAGCGCCAAUGAAUAACCAAAUAGACAAUCUAUGCUGGAGAAGAAAACCAAAUGGAUUCCAAGCCAUCAGCAAAGCAAACCCACCAGAAAUUCCAUGAAAAUUCACAAUAAGGCUCCCAGCUUCCGUCCACUUCACUCAAACGGACCCACCCACGUCUAACCCUGGCUACACAUGACCACAUGCAGAACAAACGUACAUGACUUCCGAAAAAUCAGCAGGACACUACCAAGAAACCUUCCUCGUAAAGUUUCAAAAGCUGUAGCCGUACACACUGUAGGUAACUUUUAAAUGAAAUAGCAGUCCAUUUGUUCUUCAGAAUCUGCCGAAAGUGAAUCUCCAUAAAAAAUGCAGCGCCAAAUCAUGUCAUUUGCAAACGUUUAAAGUAUACUGCGUGAGAAAAUCAUUUCGCCGCCAACAUAAUUCACAAUUUUGCUCACAAUCAAUACAGCAAACGGGACAGAAACUCCAUUACCUGAACGGAGUACUUCACGGCGAGGCUCGCGACGCUAUCGCCGCGCUUAAUCCGGUGCGAGAUCGCGAACUUCCCCACGCCUUUAUCCCUCCAGAAGCCACCCGAGCUCGGGACGCCGACCACCUCCUUCAACCUCCAGGGGACCGCGAAGGCUCGGGUGACCAUGUCGCGAUCGGAGGCGACGGAGCUCCAGAUGCGGCAGACGCAGCUCGCGCGGGCCAGGUCCGGGACGGGGAGCUUCUCGAAGAUGAGCCGGAGGGUGUCGCGGCAGGCGAGGGCGGAGAAGUGCGAGUUCAUCGGCGAGAUGGUGGAAUCGUCGGCGGCGGAGGCGGAGGAGGCGGAGGAGGAGGAGGACGACGGCGGAGAGAGAUCGGGCGUCCGGGGUGGAGGCUCCCGGUCGUCGUCGUCGUCGUCGCCGCAGCAGCCCAUUUAGAGAGAGAGAGAGAGAGAGAGAGAUGGGAAUGUCUAUGGAGUCGGUUUUGAUGGUUUUGGAUUUUUGGUUUGGAAUGGUGGAUAGUAGAAGGUGGCUGGAAUAUGGGUGAAUUGCGCUUUUGACCCCCUGUUUUAUGGAAUUUAUUAUAAAUUGCCCCUGAAUUAUCGAUUUUUGCGAUGUCCCCCUAAAAUUUGAUAUCGGUUUCAAUGUCGGAGGGGAGUGACUUCCAUCAAUCUUCAGUUUGAGCACAGACCGUGUACUUGUCACGUGACUAAGUUGGUCUUUGAGGGAGGAUAAAUUUGUCGAAUAAUAACUUGAAAAUUACAUUUUAUGUCACGCCCCGAACCCUGAGCGCGCCAACAUCCCACCAUGGUCAUGCAAAUGCGACAUUCCCAGGUAGUGUCGCCGACCCCAUUGAUUUAAUAAUGCGCAAGCGGAACGUAUUAUAAAACCCCUGACAAUGAAAUACGGGAUAGAAAAACAGGAAACAAUUUCACAACCAAUCACUUACACAAACCAACGAAGUUACAGACGAAGGCCUACAACCAAAAGUCUACAAAAGAUCGACUCUUAAAAAUGAACUGUCCUACGACUUAUAAGUCGGACGUGCUCUCCAAUCCUUAUGACUUCACCUCUGCAACUCCUCAAGGCCAACCAAAGCUAUCUGCCGCUCCGCCCACUGGGGACUUGAAAUGGUUAUUCAAUAACCACUGAGACGACGUUUCAGCAAGUUUAACCCCCUAAACCCCUAUUAGAAAGAAAAUACGCCCAAGGGUGGCCUAGCCACAUCACACAGAGAACUUAACCUCGCCCCAAUUCCUUCCUGCAGGUUAGCACAAUUUAUAUCACACAAUCUCAGGUAGUAAUAAUAAUUCAAACAAUUGGAACGCCAUCACUUUCAUAUAAAUCACGAUCGCACUAGCACGCNNNNNNNNNNNNNNNNNNNNNNNNNNNNNNNNNNNNNNNNNNNNNNNNNNNNNNNNNNNNNNNNNNNNNNNNNNNNNNNNNNNNNNNNNNNNNNNNNNNNGAAGAACAAAGGUCCAGUGGUCCAGUUGGUCUCGCCACUACUGCGACCAAGCCACGUCAUCUUGACGACAUUCUAAAAGAAUAAGGAUCCAGUCGGCCUAGCCACUACUGCGACCCGAGCCUUUCAACUAGCACACGACAAUUUGAUACCGAUCCUUGGAUACUUUACAUUUCACUCACAUAAUCCAAUUACGAUAUUAGCCAUUAACAAUCCAAUUUCAAUGCCGAACUCGACACUUGAGAUUUUAUGAAUAAAAUCCAUAUUUAUCGCAAUCAACACUCAAUUUGCCACAAUCAAUCAUCAAAUUCAAAUUCUAAAUACACAGCAGCGAUCGGCAAGAAAUUCUGAGAGUUUAGGGUCCCGACGAAAUUUUUGAAUUUUAAUAAAUAAUAUAUUUUAUUCCGAAAAUUAAUUAAAUAAUAAUAUCCAUAUUUUUCGCAAUCCACCCUCAAUUUAUAAUAUCCAACCAUCAAUUUCAAAAUCCGAAUGCACAGCAGCGAUCGGCACGAAAUUCUGAACAAUCGGGGUUAAAAAUAAUUUUUUUUCUUUUUUUUAAAAAUAAUAUUUUAAUAAUUUCGAAAUAUAAUAUAAUAUUAUAAAUUCCAGAAUUCGAAAUCAUUAAAUAAUUCAAAAAUAAAACCCAUGUCACAUCAAGGCUUUAUAUUAAAAAUAAACAUACUUAACUUUAAAUUAACCACACUUUAACUUAAUUAAACACCUUAAUCUAAUCAUCAACCAAAUAAACUAAUCUAACCACCUAGACUAAGCAUACUUAGGACAUCAUUAACCGUCUAAUCAAUGAUUAGUAAGUUAAACUCACCCGAUUAACGAUCCGAGCGGACCAAAACGACGAGAACGACGCAAGGAUCGACUUUCCUCAAAGCGGGCCGAGCAUCCGGGCUCGGGAAGGCGGCCAAAACGGGCCAAACACCCGCUGCCAUACCCAUUUUCUUGGUUGCUGGUCGCGGGCGGAGAUGGGGCGGAUCCGGCGCCGGUUGGGGCGAGCAAGGGCGGCAAGGACUAGGCGGAGCUCCGGCGGGCUAGGGCGGGGGCGCACGGCGGCGGAGGGAGCUCCGGCGAAGGCCCGAGCCACUCAAAGAAGUUGCUGGAUCUCGGCUGAAACAGGGGCAACGGCGAGAGGCGGGCCGAGACACACGGCAGCCGCGAGCUUCGGCGACGGGCGGUUGCGGACGGCCGGCGACGGCUCCGGCGACGUGCGGCAACGGCCAUGGCUGCUCGGUUCCUUCCUCCAUUUUCUGGUCUUCGCACAGCAGAGAUGGAGGGGGAAACCGACGGGAGAGGGAGGAGAGAAGACGGAGGUGUGCGGCCAAGGCGGAACGGCGACGGCGGGUGCGGACGGCCGGCGACGAGCGGCUGAGCGAGCGGUCGGACGGGCGGAUGAAGCGGGGCGUCGAGCUGUUGGUGGCGUUCGAGGAAGAAGAAGAUGAAAAAUGCCCAUGGAGGAAUCGCACGGGAGGGAGAGAGGAAGAAGAGAGGGAGGAGAGAGAAGGAGGGGGGCUUUUUCUUUUUUUUUUGCCUUUCUUUAAUCUAACAAAUUGGCCCACCAUGCCAUCAUGUGAUGUCACCUUCCACUCACCAUUUCUUGACAAAUUUGCCCCUUCUAGAAGCUUUAAGGUAAUUUAAAAUGUUAAGUCCAUGGGCAUACGAAUUUUGAAACAAUUGUCUUCCAUUAAUCACUUGAUUUACUUUAAAUCCAUCUCAAUUGACCUCAAUGCUUCCAUUAAAUAUUCUCCUCAUCCAAUAGCUCAUCUCGCAUCUCAAUUUUGUAUUCCAUUUUAAUCCCCGGCUCCAAUUGCAUAAAAAUGACCUGAUUAAUUCAAUUGAAAUUAAUACCGAAAAUUCUGGAUGUCACAUUUUAACCCCCAAACUUUGGCAUGUACGGGAAUUUUCCCUAUCUCUCCCUUAUAUUUCUCAUCCACUUUUUAUCGGCAAUAGAAAUUAUAAAAUCGUUUCCUUUGAUUUUAUAAAUAUGUUGCUCAUGCGAAAACUUCGUGAAAGGAAGUUAUUAUAUUAAUUUGAUUUUUCUUAAUAAUAUAACUAGACACAUCAUCAUACCACAUGAACAUAUGAUGUUCGUAUCAUGUUCCUAUAGAUCGAUGUUAGUGCUAAACUAUCAUGUCUUUUAUUUAACAAUUAGAAUGAUUGACUUACCGAGUAAUCAGUAAUCACUUUAAUUUGUGCUAAUAAACAAGUUUUGCAAGUUGUAUUGUCUUGCAAUGUUAGGACUUUUGUUUGCAUUUCUUAAUUUGCUUUUAUGUCUAACCCUGUAUUGCAAGCCCUAAGAUGUCAUUUCUAGAGAUGAUGCACAAAUCUUUUGGUUGAUUACAUCUACUUUUGCAAGUUUGGACGAAGUUUGGAGGCUAUAAUCAAAAUCAAAUGCAAAAUUUAUCAUUGACUAACUAUUUUUAAAAGUAUGGGUUAAAUUUGUAAAAUUAUUAAAAGUAUAGGGCCCUUGUGAAAAUUGGCCCGAGCCAACACUUGGGAGGCUUUGCAACCAAUUUCAAGACUUCACUGAACACUGUGAAAAUUGAAAAGUCAUGGGGCAUUUUGCAUCAAGUGCCAAAAUCCAGAGAACGGAGCGUAAUUCAUUACUCAAAUGCCAUGCCGCAAAACACUUUUUCUUUGCAAUUUUCUUUUUCACUUAUCAGGAUUUUUUUUUUUUGGCUAUACAUAAUGAGAAAAAAAACACGUGAAAUAGUUUCUGACGAUGAUGACUGUAUUUUGAAUCACUUUUCGCCGGAUUUUAACAGUUUUGCCGAUACAAAGAUUCACUAUGAUAACUAAAUAUAAUAUAAUGUUGACUUAUGAUUGAUAAUGAUGAUUCAUGUUUGCUUAAAGUAUUGUAAAACUAUCAAGCUCUCUUUUUGAGUUUAGGGUGUGUGUAAUGUAACUUUAUAGAAGGAAAUCGUAUUACUGACUGGCUUGUUAAUCUUGGGACCAAUAAGUGUUAGGAUAUUAGAUUCUUUACCCUGCCUUCCAGAAAGUAACUUCAUGUUUUAUUAGGCUCUCAACAUCAAUUUAUGCAUUUGACUUCACCCUUUUUUCAUUAAAAAAUAAAUAAAUAAAAUUUAACUAGCAUGGGUGCAAUGAAAGGUAUUACCAUUUAAGGAAAAUUGACAUUACUACCAAGCUUCUUUAUUUGGUGUCCUCCGUAGAAACCGAAAUUCACCCUUGCUGGCAAAAACUAAACUGAUCUUUAACAACAAAGAUCUUAUCGACUGUCGUUUAAGUAGAGGUUCAUUGACUUAAACGGAUCGAAAUCUAAGAGAAACCAAUCGAAACUUUUACUCUAUAUAAAUUAGCGUGAAAAUAGACCUUGCGGCUCACUCCAUUAAGAUCCCCAUCUACCCCUAGAUCAGACUUCAGGUAGAAUGGAAUGAACAACAUAUGAACAUUAGUGUGGAUUCAUGUGCAAUGUGUAUGAAAGAAAAGGCAGAAUCAGCUGAUGUAUUUCUUAUGGAUAAUUUACUUUGAAAUUAGAUCCCGAAUACUGGCGAGACCUCUGAAAAAUUAGUCUUAACACUGUAGAUGAGUAAAAUACUUGUCCAUUUACAUCGGGCCUGCAUAGAGAGAGAUUUGGGAGAAUGACAAAAGAGAGAUUUUGGAGAUCUUUAAUAGAAUUUCAUGAAUAUCGAUGGAUUGAUUGAGUGAUUAAACGUUUGAUUUGGAUGUAACAGAUUUCAAAUUCAAAUGGUAACCUUGGAGGCCAUACCUGCAAUAUGAUACACAUGGAAGCAGUGAUUUGCAUUCAUAUGUGAGAUUAAUCGAGCCAGGAGGUUUGGAUACAAUGUGUUAUAAAAAAAUCAUGGGAAAAUUUUUAGACCACUGUCCAACUUUCUUUAGUUCUUAAUGGUUAUGAGAUGGUAAGCCCUUGGUUGAGAAGAAUUCCAUGGCAGACAACUCCUACAUUUUGCGCUUUAGAUCUGGAUCGUGCAAGCAAGAACUCAUGCAAAGCACCUCGCCUUGAAUUGGCAACGGUUUACAUUAUAGUAAGUCAAGUCAACAACAUGGCAUCUGCUUAUCAAAUGCCCAUGAGUCGAUUGAAUUUCAUGAGUAAGAACGCAGAUGACUGAGAAAGGGAAGAUCCAGAGUAAUGCAAGCACCGGAAGGCAUCGCACAAAGAAGAGAAAGAGGGCCAGCAGCGACCGCCCUCGUUCGAGACAUUUUUCUAGACAUUGCUGGCUUUUUCAUUGGAACGGACACGGAAAUUUCUAAUAAUUUUGCCUUUUCACUUAUGGGGAACGAAAAGGAUUCAGGCCAUUUGUCUUGACAAAGGCUCAGAAGAAAGAGAUGACAAAAACGACCGGACAUACACAAAUGAACAACUUGAGAAGUUCCUGGGCUUAAGGUUCGUCCAGGUGAGCGAUGCGAAUUUUAGCGGAGAUUUUGAGAAACUAUCUCCUGAAUUAAGAUGGCUACAGUGGAUGGAAUGUCCUAAAUCUUUUGAGGCGACCAACUUGCGUCUAGAGAAACUAGUCAUGCUGGGAUUGACACAAAGCGCAAUUACAGAACACUGGAAUGGAUGGAGCUUAAUUAGGAUAAGCUGGAAUGACACUUCUCGAUGUCUAUUUUGUAAUACUGAUUACUCCUUGAUGACUAAAUCCUAUUAUACUUCUUGUUCUUAUAGACGGCGAAGUGGCUCGAAGUUCUAGACCUUACUAUGUGUGAUAAUUUACAAUGUACUCCCAACUCCUCGGCUCUCCAAAAUUUAGAAAUUCUCAUCCUUAAUGUGAACAUCCGGAGCAAAUUCACUCUUCUACUAAUGAAUUAGGAGAAUUGAAGGAACUUGUUUUAGAUUCGACUGCUAUAAGAGAGAUUCCUGCUAUCAGUUCUUUGAGAAAACUGGAGAAGCUUAGUGCCAAGCAUUGUUAUGGUCUGGUUCAUCUUUCGAACUCCAUAAGCCGUCUAGUGAAUCUAUUGACCCUCGAAUUUAUGCAAUUGUCCGGGAGUGGCCAAACUUCCCGGCAACAUUGGGUACCUUAAGAAGCUGCGGAGCUUGCGAAUUGGCACGACUUGUGCACUUUCUUGCCCAUCGACACAAAGCCCAAACUCUAUUAGGAAGAUGGAGUCACUAACUAAACGCAACCUAUCCAACAAACAUAAUGUAACUACCAUCUUCCACUAGGGAUUUGCAUAAUUUGGAAAUCCUGAAAAUUUCUCCUACCAGGAUCCAAAAGUUGCCAGGUAAUAUUGAAAGGUUGGGGAAAAUCUUGAAGAACCUUUUUGGGAGUCACUAGGCAGAGUUGCGCUUCACCUCCUCUUUUUACCUAAUCCGUCAAAGAGAACUCUCUAUUUAUGAUUGCAUAAUGCUGGAAUCUCUCCCAGAGCUUCCUCCAAGACUAUUGAAGCUUCAUGUUACAGGAUAUGGCAAGUUGAAAUAGUUGCCAAGAUUAGAGCUCUGUGAAUGCUCCAGACUGAUGCAAAGUGAAUGCAGGCAAGUAUCAAUAUCCCCAACAACGUUGGCCAUAGCAGGUCACAUGAGGUUGAUUAAGCUGGAUGGCCUUAGACAAUGUGCAGAGUCCUUGAGAUGUGUGCCAAUGAGUCAAAACUAUGGAUCGAGCGAUUUUGUCAGAUAUGGAAGACAAUCUAGUCCAAGUUCAAGGUCUUGACAAGUUGAAGCACUUGGAAGAAUUGGAUGUAGAUUUUUGCCGUUUUAUUGAAAGACUGGACCUUUCAAAACCAAAUCAUCUGAACGAUUGACUGCUAGAUAUGCGAAAAUCUAGUUGAAAUUUGAGGCCUUUAUAAUUUGGAGUUCUUGGAAGCAUUGAGUAUCACUGAUUGCGCGUCCAUUGAGAGAUUGAACCUUGCAAAAUCAGGGCAUAUAAGGGAAAUAAAGGCCGCAAAUUGCAAAAUUCUAAUUGAGAUUCGAGGCCUAGAUAGGUCAAACUUUUUGAAAAAGCUGGAUCUCUGGUCCUGCGAGUCCCUGGAAAGAUUAUCAAAACUGUCUUGCUAAGAGACCCUGAAAGAGUUGAACAUCGACUGGUGCAUCAAGUUUCGUGAUAUUGAGAGCCUGGAGAGUUUCUCAUCCUGCCAAAGCAUAUACAUUGACACAUGCCUAUCCUUAAAGAUACUGCCAAACCUAUCAAAUUUCGAGAAUUUAUAGAAACUCACUAUCAGGGAUUCGCUUGAUGUUUUGGAGAUACCUAGAAUCGAGGAUUUGAGACCUUCGACACAUCUAGAUAUCACAGGAUGCUAAUCAAUUGGGACUUUACCAGAUUAGUCGGCAUGUUAGAAGUUACAAUUUCCGGUGGUAGAAGACUGCGACAAUCUUACCGAACUAUGGGUACUUGAAAACUUGGGUUUGAUUUAUUUGGAUAUUUCUGAUGCAACUCACUGGGACCAAUACCAAACUUGCCUAGAACACACAUCGUAAAGGACUAUGAAGAAUGUCAAUUUGAUUAUGGUUAAUGAUUGAAUUCCAAAGAUAACGUUGUUAUAAAUCAUGUAGUAGGGAGACAAUUGAUGCUUCCCUAAACUAAGGAAAAAGAGCAAGUAAAUUGACGUUCUUCUUAGAUUCGUGCCAGCUUUUUGACAAAAACAUUUUCCUAAACAAUCAGCUCUCCGUUUCUUCAUUAUGAUCCUGAAGCAUUGGAAUUUUACGCUACACAAGGUGGAUUUGUUCCCUUGAUGUUGCCCUGGACAUUCCAACUUGUCAAAGUUAAUCUCAUCUAUACCAUAUGUGCUCGUGGUUUUGAUGUGAGCGAGUUAAAUCAAUCAAGAAAAAUACUAUACCAAUUUCGCUGGAAACCCAGUCUAAUGGGUCAGCUGCCGCAAGUCCAAACAACUCCAAGAAGUCAGGAACGACCAACGUACUAUCCACAAGGAACGAUGCUUGAAGCUUGUGAAGUUAGUAAUGUUACCUUCCAUUUGCUUGUGCUAUCUUCCAUUUGCCCGAACUGAGUUGACAACAAAAUGCACUGAAAAUCUCAAGAAAAAAAUUCGAAGAGAAUAUCUUUGAAGAUGGAAGAUAACAAACGGAACGGUGAGGAUUGCAGCUACCACUGCUACCGGAGACUUCUCUUGUAAACUCUGGUGCUGCCCCCUCUGCGGUGUGAUGACUAAGUUCAUAAAAAAAUUCGAUAUAAUGCCAAAGUUUAUGUGAACACAGCAAUCUGUCAAUAUUGCUAAUUUUCCAAGUGCAAACUAUUUAUUCGAAAGUAUAAGCUAGAACAGAGUCAUUUUUCUUACUCUCAAUCAGCAGCAUCAGAAAGUCUGGUUUUCCAAUUCCCCAGGAAAUGAAGAUUUCCUUUUCUCUUUGCAGGGGUUUAUACCAAUAAAUUGUCGAUACUCUCUUUACAUUGUCAAAAUGUCACAGUUGGCAUCAAAACUGAUUUGCAAAUUAAGCUUAUUAUCGAUAAGAAAAUUAACGAUAGAUUCCUUACAGGUAAGGAUUUCUAUCACGCCAUUGGUCGCUUCUCUUUUGGAGCUUUGUGCCAUCUCAUUUGGAAGUAUAGAAACGACAUCCUCUUUAGAGAUCAUCCGGUUGUGGUUGCGGCUAUCAAGAAGCAUCUCAUUAAAGUUGUGAAGGAUAAAGCCUUAACGUUCAAAAGCGUGGAAGAUUGCCCAAGGAAUAGGAGGUUACAAAGAAAUUGGGGCCUUGACCCAUCUAUCUUCAACUCUCCUAUGCCGAUCGUCGAGGUCGCCUUAGUCUAGUUUUGCGAGUUGUUUCUCCUUGGCCCUUCGUGGCCUUUUGUUUAGUCUGUCUGUUUUUAGUUGUUGCUUCGACCCUGCGUCGCUGUUUUGGGCUUCCUGUUUCGGCCCUUGCUUGAGUUGACCGCUUUGCGGUGUUUUGUGUCUGGCGCCCUUUCACUCGAUUAGAGGCUUCUGUCUUGUUGAGUGCAAGUUUUGUGGUGCCGGAUCCUGUAUAUUUGCUGGUUAUAGCUCUAUAUAUCAUUACCCUUUACCAAAAAAAAAAAAAAAAAAUUAACGAUAGAUUCACUUAUAACGUCUCAGCUAGAGAUGUCCAUCAGUUUUCUAACUCAGCUGAUUGAGAGGGAUGACGGUCUUCAUUGCUCGAGCUUUUCCUAGGUGUUUAUUGUUGCACUGAAAUUUAAGUGUAGCUGGAUAUGAAUUUUACUUUGCCAGAGCUGUCACCGUCUAUCGGCAACAUCUCGAACCCCAUAGAUUCCUUGCUGACAGGAAUGUAUAGCUGUACCAUCAAUCGAGUAGUUUAGGGCCUGUUUGUUUGCAACUUGUUUCUGCUUCUAAGAAUAAAAAUUUUUGUUUUUUUUUCUUCCUAGGAACAAAAAAAGAACAGAAACGCAUUUGUUUGCGUUUUUGUUCCAAAACUAUUUUUUUGUUUCCAGAAACACAUUUGGAACAGAAACAAAAAAAAAAAAUUGUUUCUUGUUUCUAAAACAAAAUUUAGAAACACUUCUCUCUUUUUUUUUUCUUCUUUUUUUUUCUUUGGCCGGUCGCCGGCCUCGGCCAUAGCCAGCGACCGGCCGUUGAGGGUCGGCGACGCCGUCGAGGGCCGGCGACAUCGCCGGAGCAUUGCCAACCCCUGGCGAGGUUGACCUUGCGCUGGGCUGGGCGAGCUCGAUCUAGCCCAGAUCCGGUGAGGCCGAGCUUGCCCAGUGGCCAGCGACCCUCACCGUGGCUAGGUGAGGCCACCGGCCCUCGUCAGCUGGUCGCCGGCCAUGGCCAAGGCCGAUGACCGGCCAAAAGAAGAAAAAUGAAAAAAAAAAUGAAAAAUAAAUAAAAAUAAGAAAGAAAAUAGAAAAAAUAAAAUAAAAAUAUUAAAAAAUUAAAAGAAAUAAAAAAAUUAUAUAAAUUUACCAAACGUGUUUCUGUUUAUUUUUUAUUCUUGGAACAAAUUACCAAACACGUUUUUUUGUUAAAAAAUUGUUCCUUGGAACAGAAACACUUUUUUCUAUUUCUGUUUCCUGGAACAAUUUUUAAACAAAAACGUUACCAAACGCACCCUUAAUGGCACUUCGCAGCAUGAUCAAGUGCUAUUAAAUGGUUGUCCCCUAAUUUGCGUAAUUAUCAUUUGGGUAUUUUACAUGUAAAUUAAUUGCUUGCUUUAGGUGUGAUUAAUUGGUUUUUGAAGCACCCAUUCACAACGAAACAGUUCAUGGAGGUUGUGAUUCUUGUUGUCAUAGUUUGGCAAUUAGGACUGCUGGAGACUCUUGAAUUACUCAUCUAGUUCCUGAUUUGCUGAAUCAUUAUCACAAUUAUCUCGCUGAAGAUUGGACAUCUUAGCGAUUUGUGAGCCGACAAUUUAUGCAUAAGUGAGAUUUUUGCUAUUUUAGCAAAAAUAACUUCAAAUAGUGCUAAUGCUUGGGGAAAUCUUGUCGAAGUUGGAAAUGUUAAAUUCAAUUUUCUAGGACAUGAUGAUCGUCAUCACAUGUAGAAAUCCAUCCGCACUCCAUCCAGAUCCGGGACUGGUACAAAUUCUGUCUCUUGGAGCAUUAUAAGAAACAAGGGAAGCAGAGUAGAAUGGUACUAUGAAAAACUAAAUAAGAGAAACAUCACGUGCAAUUCCAGAUAAAUGUCAUUUGACCAGAAUGCAGUUCCAAAUAUCAGUUGAAACCUAAAUUUCAUACGUACAAGUUGCCCUUAAAGUCAUUGCCUAAUCAAUCCAAAGGCCAUCUGCACUUGCAGCCUACAUCCUCUUUUAGUUAAAUUAGGAAGCAUUUGGUAACGAUUUUAUUCUCAAAAAUAAUUUUUGAUCAGAAAUGAUUUUUUUUUUUCGUUUCUAUUCUCAGGAACAAAUUUUUACUAUAAGAACGCGUUUGGUAACCGCACAAAAUUUUUAUUCCCAGGAAAGAAAUGUGUUUUGGUAGAAUUGUAUAAUUUUGUUGUUUCUUUUAAUUUUUUAACAUUUUUAUUAUAUUUUUUGCUUUUUUUCUUCUUUCUUUUUUUCUUUUCUCUCCUUUCUCAUUUGUGGUCGGUUGCUUGCUGCGGCGACGUGCUAGGCAAGGUUCAGCAAGCUCACCGAAGCCUUGCCAAGCUAAGGCGAGGGCCAGCAAGCUAGCCAAAGCUUGCCUGGGCUUGACGUUGUUGGGGGCAGCACGUUANNNNNNNNNNNNNNNNNNNNNNNNNNNNNNNNNNNNNNNNNNNNNNNNNNNNNNNNNNNNNNNNNNNNNNNNNNNNNNNNNNNNNNNNNNNNNNNNNNNNNNNNNNNNNNNNNNNNNNNNNNNNNNNNNNNNNNNNNNNNNNNNNNNNNNNNNNNNNNNNNNNNNNNNNNNNNNNNNNNNNNNNNNNNNNNNNNNNNNNNNNNNNNNNNNNNNNNNNNNNNNNNNNNNNNNNNNNNNNNNNNNNNNNNNNNNNNNNNNNNNNNNNNNNNNNNNNNNNNNNNNNNNNNNNNNNNNNNNNNNNNNNNNNNNNNNNNNNNNNNNNNNNNNNNNNNNNNNNNNNNNNNNNNNNNNNNNNNNNNNNNNNNNNNNNNNNNNNNNNNNNNNNNNNNNNNNNNNNNNNNNNNNNNNNNNNNNNNNNNNNNNNNNNNNNNNNNNNNNNNNNNNNNNNNNNNNNNNNNNNNNNNNNNNNNNNNNNNNNNNNNNNNNNNNNNNNNNNNNNNNNNNNNNNNNNNNNNNNNNNNNNNNNNNNNNNNNNNNNNNNNNNNNNNNNNNNNNNNNNNNNNNNNNNNNNNNNNNNNNNNNNNNNNNNNNNNNNNNNNNNNNNNNNNNNNNNNNNNNNNNNNNNNNNNNNNNNNNNNNNNNNNNNNNNNNNNNNNNNNNNNNNNNNNNNNNNNNNNNNNNNNNNNNNNNNNNNNNNNNNNNNNNNNNNNNNNNNNNNNNNNNNNNNNNNNNNNNNNNNNNNNNNNNNNNNNNNNNNNNNNNNNNNNNNNNNNNNNNNNNNNNNNNNNNNNNNNNNNNNNNNNNNNNNNNNNNNNNNNNNNNNNNNNNNNNNNNNNNNNNNNNNNNNNNNNNNNNNNNNNNNNNNNNNNNNNNNNNNNNNNNNNNNNNNNNNNNNNNNNNNNNNNNNNNNNNNNNNNNNNNNNNNNNNNNNNNNNNNNNNNNNNNNNNNNNNNNNNNNNNNNNNNNNNNNNNNNNNNNNNNNNNNNNNNNNNNNNNNNNNNNNNNNNNNNNNNNNNNNNNNNNNNNNNNNNNNNNNNNNNNNNNNNNNNNNNNNNNNNNNNNNNNNNNNNNNNNNNNNNNNNNNNNNNNNNNNNNNNNNNNNNNNNNNNNNNNNNNNNNNNNNNNNNNNNNNNNNNNNNNNNNNNNNNNNNNNNNNNNNNNNNNNNNNNNNNNNNNNNNNNNNNNNNNNNNNNNNNNNNNNNNNNNNNNNNNNNNNNNNNNNNNNNNNNNNNNNNNNNNNNNNNNNNNNNNNNNNNNNNNNNNNNNNNNNNNNNNNNNNNNNNNNNNNNNNNNNNNNNNNNNNNNNNNNNNNNNNNNNNNNNNNNNNNNNNNNNNNNNNNNNNNNNNNNNNNNNNNNNNNNNNNNNNNNNNNNNNNNNNNNNNNNNNNNNNNNNNNNNNNNNNNNNNNNNNNNNNNNNNNNNNNNNNNNNNNNNNNNNNNNNNNNNNNNNNNNNNNNNNNNNNNNNNNNNNNNNNNNNNNNNNNNNNNNNNNNNNNNNNNNNNNNNNNNNNNNNNNNNNNNNNNNNNNNNNNNNNNNNNNNNNNNNNNNNNNNNNNNNNNNNNNNNNNNNNNNNNNNNNNNNNNNNNNNNNNNNNNNNNNNNNNNNNNNNNNNNNNNNNNNNNNNNNNNNNNNNNNNNNNNNNNNNNNNNNNNNNNNNNNNNNNNNNNNNNNNNNNNNNNNNNNNNNNNNNNNNNNNNNNNNNNNNNNNNNNNNNNNNNNNNNNNNNNNNNNNNNNNNNNNNNNNNNNNNNNNNNNNNNNNNNNNNNNNNNNNNNNNNNNNNNNNNNNNNNNNNNNNNNNNNNNNNNNNNNNNNNNNNNNNNNNNNNNNNNNNNNNNNNNNNNNNNNNNNNNNNNNNNNNNNNNNNNNNNNNNNNNNNNNNNNNNNNNNNNNNNNNNNNNNNNNNNNNNNNNNNNNNNNNNNNNNNNNNNNNNNNNNNNNNNNNNNNNNNNNNNNNNNNNNNNNNNNNNNNNNNNNNNNNNNNNNNNNNNNNNNNNNNNNNNNNNNNNNNNNNNNNNNNNNNNNNNNNNNNNNNNNNNNNNNNNNNNNNNNNNNNNNNNNNNNNNNNNNNNNNNNNNNNNNNNNNNNNNNNNNNNNNNNNNNNNNNNNNNGAUCUUGUUCUAUUCCAAUAUAUAUUAUCAGGACAAAAAUAUAGAUUUUUUUGUUCCCAAAAAUGAAAAUUUUACCAAACACAUCUCUAUUCUUUUUUUGUUCCUGGAACAAAAGAACAUAAAUAGUUGUUUAGGGAAACAAAAACAAUUUUUACCAAACAUACCCUUACUUAAGCAUAAGGUGACAUCAAGCCUGAGAUUUGCACUAUGCAGCCUCUUUCUGUUGAUAUUGUUAGAAAUCUGACAGCCUCAUCCAAACCUUUUUUAUGGUUAUUUUUUAAUUGAUUAUGGUAGAUAUUACAUCAAAACACAACGAAAAUCACCUAUCGGGUUAUAGUUUUGCCUAAUUAGACAAACGAUUCCAAUGGACCAAUGAUUAAAAAAAAAAAAUUCUUUGGAUUUACCUUUGAAAGAACUUCGACAUUAACAUGCAGUUAGCAUGUGAUUAAGGUCUUUUGCUAACCUUUUUUCCUCCAACAGAACGUAUUUUGCAACAAUAAUCGUAAACAUAAUUUUUGUUCAUAAAUAACCUUUUCAUUUUUAUUUUCGAAAACAAAGAAAUAGAUUUUAAUUUUUUCUGUUUCAAAUUUAUUUACUAAUCACCUUUCUAUUUCAGAUAAUAGAAAAAUUAGUUGAUUUUGUCAAACAAAAUUUUAUCUUUUUUUGAUGAAAAAAAAAGAGCAAAAAAAUAUGAAAACAGGAUGGGUACGCCUAGAUAAUCACUAAAAAAUGAGUACAGAAUGAGUGACAUGUCACAUGGCCAUUGGUCAAAGGAACAGGCAAAGGAGAGAAAAAGCUCUCGUGGUUCUCAUAUGACAUGAGUUGGCCUCCACAUGUUGGGGUGUGCCACACUGAGAAAAUAUUAGGUACGUCUUAUGCUCCAGCAUGGCAAACAAGAAGGCAGAGGAAGUGCGACACGUGUCCUCGCGGGACCCAUAAAGUCAGGCAUCUGCUUCUCGACUUAGCGCUUCUUUCAAUCUCCUCUCUCUUCUCACUCUCUCCCAAAUAACUCUCGGCUGGUGGCUUGGCUCGGCUGGUAGAAGAAAAGACGGCCAACGAGUAAUAAAUGCGCAAAUGCUCCCGCUUAAAAUUUCUCUCUCCUCACUUGAAUAUUUUCUAGGCUCUCUCUCCUCAUGGACGAGCUGCACUUCCUCUAUCUCCUUCUCAGCACAUCCUACCCCCACCCCCACCCCCUCCGCCUCUGCCUGCACCUCUCAAAAAAGCCUCGCCGGUCAUCUACCUCUGGCAGAUUGCCUCCUCCAAGAGCCCCACCAGUCACAGCUGGUCCUGACCCCCUUUGCCUCCGAAUGUUUCCAAUGCGGAGAUCGAGCAUAAGUUUUGUGCUUGCGUUGGUCUCUUGGCAACUUCUGGGCCUCCGUCCGAUUGCCUCCCUCCGACAAACUCGUCAUCAACUCUGACUCCAAGUCGCAGCCGCCGACAGCGUCCUUCAUGUCUGGCACCUGCUCGUCCUCCCCCUCCCUCAGGCUGAAGGCGUCGUUGGCCUCUGCUGCGAAGCCAUUGACCUCCGGCAGGAGGGAGGCAGCCUCAUUUUCGUUCCCGAGUGGUGCCAGGCUCCCUGCUGUCGAUCGGGUGUUGUCCUUGUUGCUGGCCCAAUCGGUCGCAACGGAGAUCUCGGUAGACCUGGGCAAGGUCGACGGCACGACGAAGAAGGAGAGGCGUGGGCUAGAGGGCUAGAGAAGGAUUCCCACUCGCUGUGGACGAGGUACGUGGACUGGCUACACCAGCACCGGAGCUAGGGUUUUUCCUUGGACAUGAGCCGAAUCGGGUUCAUCGACGAGUUUGUGGAGGAGAUAGAGCCUUGAUUCCAGGCCGCGUUCAAGGCGAUGGAGGAGCUGGAGAUGGGCACCAUCACGAACGUCAUCAUGUUCACAUCAGAUGUUGUGCUAAGGAAGAAAGUUUUUGAUGUACUGGAAGGGUUAGUGUUUUUUACUUAAGAUCAUUUGCUUUUGCAUCACUAAACAGCUCGUCGCUCUUGUAAUCCGUUUCUCUCUUGUUUAAGUUGUGCAAUUAUUUCCCAAUCUCCACAUGCUUGUUGAUAUUGCAAUUCUCAAAGGUUUGGCGUCUUAAAAGCCCCGAUUACAAAUUGCAACUCUUCUUUGCGGCAACUGCAUUAAGGCCUGCUUAAAUGACAUAAGGGUGUCUUUUCUUUACAUGGAAGGAUGCAUAAUGUGACUUGAUUGCCUGUGUAGGUUGCCGUCCUUCUAGAAAUGAUAGAGCACAUUUAAUGUUAGGGGCGUACUUGGAAUCAUUGCUGCCAAAUAAAAAUAUUUUUGAACAAGAUUAAUUUUGGCAUAAGUCCUCUAAGAUUUAAAACCAAGUCUCCAGUGGAGUCGCCAAGCUGUCACAACCUACUCUCUAGGAGAGGGAACAUGUUUAGGGGUAUUGCCUAAAGAACGGGCCUAAGGCCCAUGAUCAAGCAUGGGCUCUCAUAAGCCCAUACCUCGCAUGACAUUGGGAUAUUCUUAAGGAAUUUUGUACAAAAGGAGUCGCCACUAACCUAUUGGGGUCGGCUAAAAACCAAGUAAGGUAUGGGAGUGUAUCUCACUUCCUACGCAACCAGAGAAUCUAGGGUCGAGGACCUGAUUACACUAAUUGGUCAAUUAGUGCCAUUUCAGUACCCAAUCUUGUUCAUUUUAAAAGAAAAGAUUUUUGUUAAGCAAUUUAGAUUGAUUUUAUCCACUAACAUGUAAGGUGAUCAUACGGGUGCACAAUCAUUAAAAUAACAAUUAACAACCAAGGAAAGCAAUUAAAUAAAUUGCAUGAGAGAGCACAAAUUUAACAUAAAAAAAAUAUUAAUCCUAACUUGAUUAAAGAGAAGCCAAAAUCAACAUAUCAAUAUUGUGCACUCAAAAAGGCAUUUGUCCCUAAGGGCAAUUAAAACCUUAAGGUAAAGCCCUAAAGACUUAAUCAAACUAGGAUAUAAUUCCAAAUUGAAAAAUUUCCUAGUUUUAGGAGAAAAUUACUCCAAAGAUUAAUUUCAACCUUUUCGAGGAAAUUUAUUUAUUUUUUUAGAUUUUUCUUUUUUUAAAGGAAUUUUUUAAUUUUCCAAAAAAAUGAAUUUUUGCAACUUUUUAAUUUUUAUUUUUUUUAAAAGUCGAAUUUUUUAAUAUUUUUUGGAAUUUUUAUUACUUUUAGAAAUUUUUGGUUUUUUAUGAAUUUUUUAUGAAUUUUUUAUGAAUUUUUGAAAUUUUUAAUAUAGUUUUAAUAUAUAAUAUUAUUAUAUUUAGGAAAACGGGUUCAGAUCGGAUAAACGCGAUCCGACCUACUAGCCCGAUCCAACUACCUGAACUUACUCUAAAAAAGACAAAACCUAUUUAAAAAAACAAAAAAAAAAUUUGCUUUUUUUUUUAAUAUUAAUAAUAUUUUUGAUUAAAAUUUUUAAUUAUUUUUUUUGUCUUUUCCCUAUUUUGUCUUUUCUACUGCACUUUCCCUUUCGACAACUCCUCUGCACAAGCCAACGUUUGCUUUCCUUUUCUCUUUUUUUUUUUUUACUUUUUGCUGCACUUUUACUUCUCUUGCCUUUUCUUUUGCUUUUUCUUUUAUUUUUUCUUCCCCUUUGGUCUUCUCCUCCGCGUGCUUUCUUUUUCGUGCAUCUUCUUCUUUCUCGACGCCACCACCCGAACCCUUUCUUCGCCGGCAACCAAAUCUUCACCGAAGCAGCAAGACCCGACACACCAUCUCCCAAAAACGUCGUCAUUGACACCAUCCACCAAUCAUACUGGCGUCAGCCACCGCCAGCAGCCUACUCCGGCGACCAUUAAUCCAAACAUCGAAAUGACAAAAACUGUCGCGCUCUCUCGAUGAUACACAAAUAUUUUGCGAAAGCCACUCCAAAACGCAAUGAGCAUACAAAGAGAAAACAUCAUUCAAAGGCCAUGAACGCAAACACGGAUUGAUCACCAUUUAAAAUGUGAAUUGGCUUCCGAUCCUUUGCGGGAUAUUUUCACAAGCACUUGGUGUACGCUAUUGACGCAGGGGAUUUUCGACUUGAUACGGACACGAGCACAAAUCUAAACCCCUAACGACGCAUCUAGAACAACUAUCAGCUUUCAGGGAGGACCAGCUUGGACCGAAGCUUGCGCGAACUAGUCGACGCAAGCUCCGGCCCGUUGUCUUCCGGAAACAAGGGACGCAUGGUCAGAAAAAGCCUACCUGGUUCGAGGUAAGGUUGCAGCGGAUAGCGGUUGAAGAACAGACCUCCGGCGAUGGCCAACCACUAUCUUGAGCUCGCUCUCUCUCACUCACUCUCUCCUUGUGCUCUGGUGUGCUAUCCUUUGUGGAGUUCUUCUGCUAAGCUCGUUCGGGGAAGAGUUGCAGUGGACAACGGUAGGCGAACGGGCCUCCGGCAACAGCUAGUUGUUCCCUCUAGCUGUCCUCCUCGUUCUAGUUCGCUCUCUCUCAUUUGAACUCCGUUUUUCUCUUUCUCAAGUUCCCCCUUUUCUCCCCUCCCUCUUUUUCUCUGUAGGUCGUCGAGUGAAGAGCCCUACCAUGCCAGCUGCCAGCCGAGCUAUUCCUAACCCGCGGAUCAUGCUGGCUGCCUGCCAUCUUGAUCCCCCUGCUCCUCCAUCGCUGCUCUUCCUGUUGUUCUGUCUUCUGCAGGUUGUGCGCGAAGACCAACCAAAGGGAGGAGACUAGUUCGUUCGCGGGUUGGGCUGAAAGGGAAAAAGGGCUGAGCCAGGCCCAGUGCGAGGGAAGAGAAAAGGAAGGAAGGAGGGCGGACCGGUCCAAAGUCGGACCCGGGUCAACCCGACCUUUAAGGCUUUUUUUUAAUCAUUUUUUGAUUUUUUUUUGCAACUAAUUCCUAACCUUUAACACGUACUUUAAAUUAAUUAAUUUAGGUGAAAUUUAGGUGUCAACAUACAGUAUCACAUUACAAAAGCAAAGAUUGGAAAUUCCCAAAUACAAAAUAAUAGAAAUACAUUACGAAAGUUGAAAACAUGAUUUCAUGGAAUCUCCGGCAUAUUAUGAUCCCUUGCCAUCUCAUUGGCAAUACUUUUUCUAAACAUAUUCAUCUUAGUUUCUUCCUUGGUUGAUGUAUCGCAUAUAACUUCAUCUUGUGUAGGUUCAAAUGAGUAUUAUGGAUCUCCAUAUAAGGAAAAGUUUCUAUCCCUCCUAUCUUGAUCACGGAUGUAAUUAUGGAUAGCACAACAUGCAAUUAUAACAUAUGCUUGCUUUCGAAUUGCAAAUGCAAGCAUGUGUUUCAAAAUAAAGAAGCAAUUCUUUAAUGCCGCAAAUGAUCUCUCAAUGACAUUCCUCAGUGAAGAAAGCCUAUAGUUGAACAACUCUCUUGCUAUUCUUGGUCGUCUUGCUCUACCCCAUAUACUCAUUUAGAUGAUACUGUUCACGUCUAAAAGGAGUUAAGAAUCUCGGAAUUGAUGCAUAACCAGAAUCUACAACAUACCAUUUGCCUAUAACAAAAUAUUCAUAUAUUAGUAGUGUUUUGUAAAUACAAUACAAUCUUAAUGAAAAUUGAUAAUUCUAGAACAAGUAAAUACCUAAUGGUGGUCGAGAAAAUUCCAAGCAAGAGUCUCGAGUGCUGUUGAUAGCACCUGGCAAUCGUUGGCAAAUCCUUCCCAACUAGCAUACACAAAAGUGAAUUUCAUAUCAAAUUAAUAUAUACACGUCACAUUUUGAGUGGUAAUUCAUUUUCUGCCUCUAAAUGGAAUUUGCUUCAACAUAGGUAUAGAAGCAUGAACAUAAGUACCAUCAAUAGAGCCCACACAAUUCUGUCGUUUUAUUAAAGACUAGUGUUAUAUAAGAUUAGCAAGCAACAAAAUAAAACCAGUAUUGUAAAUGAAUGUUUGAAAAUCUUACAUUGAAGUAAAGUUUAUGGUUGGGAUCCAUAACAAUCUCAUUUGGGACCACAUCAAAAGAAAAUGGUACAAUAAUCUCUUUUGCAAGUUUGAGAACUGCUUUCAACACUAUAGUGAAGUAUUUGCUAAUAGUUUGUUCCAAACGUUGGAAUCUCUCACAUAAAGUUCUAUUCGAAUUCUUGUGACAAAUCAUAAAUAAUAAUAUUCCAAUUUGUUCAUCUACCUUUAUAUAUUGACCAUCUUCCAACCAACCUCUUGCCUUCAUCAAAUCACAAAAGUUGAGAAAAACGUGUCUCUCAAUUUCUAAAAGAUUCAUAUAUUCUAUCUGAAUGUCUUUGAAUAACCUCCCUCAUCCAUUUGGGUCUUGACAAUAUACUAUCCCUAAUAAGUUCUAUCGAGUGCAUAAACAUAUCCUCGCAACCAUGCUCACCAUGCUAUCAUAUAUGAUACCAAAAUUAUCAGGUUAGUCACGAUCGCUGUGUACUGAUCACUAUAUAUGCUACUUUCAUCCCCCUCCAUAUUACCUAUGCCAUCACAUGAAAAAAAAAAGAAGAUAAACACAAUAUAUAAGUAAGGAAUCUAAUAAUAAUCAACAAUUGCAACAAAGUUUUCAUAAUUGCAUCAUAAAAAGACCAAAGUAUCUCAAAUACAUAAGUCAUGGAGUGAAAUUAAACAAAAUAUAUAAAUUCAUAUCAUACUGCUCAGCAUCUGUUUAGAGAGAUUCAAGAAAUCCAUGUCUCCGUUCAGGUAGUAUUGUGAUGAAAGUCUCUCUCCAAGUGGCAUUAAGACAUGAUUGGUUCAUAGCUAUGUUGUAAAUAUUCUGCUCUAAAUUAGGUAUGACAUUUAGGACGACAACCACAACUGCUAUGGAGUAGGGAUUCUACAAUUGAUGGGGCAUCUGAGGUCAUAGAGCCAUUUGUUGAUUGAGCAGUCCUAAUUUUAAUCAUUCCUUGAAUGGUUUUGCAGGUAUCACUAACAUCAUAUCUGUUACUCUUCCUCCUCCUCUUAGAAUUUGGAGUCCUAUUCUGCUUGUGUUUCUUAUGAGUUGAGGUAGUAGUAGUAUCAAGUUUGAAGACCUCUUCAUUAAUAUAAUGUUCAUCAAAUUCUUCUGGAUCACCUACUACAUAACCACUACCACCAUCACCAUCGUCACCACCAUUGUCAUCUCUCUCCGAGGACAUGACCACUUCUUCCGCAUUUCCUACUACAUAAUUCCCAGUAGCAUAUGUAUCACCAAACACGAUAUACAAAUCAAGAUACUGAGGAAACCUAUCAUUUCUGAAUUUAGCCCAUCUGCUAUUAUUUUGGAAUUUAUACAAUAAUGACAAAUGUUAGCAACAUAAUCAAAGCUUGCAAUACAAUAUGAACAAAAUGACAUGCAUAAAUUGAUACCUUGGUGUGAGACUCCCACACACUUUGAUCCGCCACAGCAACCUUAUUGUUUAUAUUAUCCUGUCCAAAUCUAGAUUGUGACCAAAUUUCUUGAAACUACUAUAUUGUUUCUUCAGUUUAUUGACCCUGUUCUUCAACUAAAUUAUACUAAAGUGGAAUCCCGUCUGUUUAUUGAAUUCCGCAUGUAUGUUAUUCCAUCUUGUUUUGCUGUAGGUAGAAGUGGUGCGAUUUCCCUUUAUUACCUCUAUUACCAACUAACUUACAAGCUCAUUGGUCAAAGGCUCAAUUCGUUUUGCCAUACAAACCUCUUUUUAGGAAGCCAUUGUAGGGGAUGAGGAUCCGAAUAGUCUAUAUAAGGGCAAUUUAACAAUGCAUAUGAAUUAAUGCAUCCAAAACACCAUAAGAAACAAGAAAUAGCUUUGGUCACAGAAGCUAGAUUAUAAUGAUUAAAAACAAUCAUUAGGCAUAUGCAUAGCACUAGAUAAAUUCCAUGGAAACUAAAACAAUGAUGACCCUUCGUUGAUGAGAUAACGCUGUCUGCCCAGUCAUUGAGUAGGCAAGCAUGGCGAGGUAUGCCAGCAUUAUGACCGUGGAGAAGCAAUUCGGAGGAGGAGGAAGAGGAGGAGGAGCGGAGCUGCAGAUUUAUGGAAUUGGAAAGCAAGGGGAGUGGUUUUUUUGCACAAAGUUGCGAAUGACCAAGAGAAAGGGGGACAUCUUCUUAUGGGGGAGGGGGGAAAUCUCCACAAGGGUAAUGGCAGAACCAUGAGAAUCUCACAUCUUCACACCAAAGCCAAAAGUGUUUGAGACUAAUUACACUCGUUUCGCAGGAUCACAACCAAUUCCAACAACUUCUCAAGACAUAAUUCGAGAGCACAUAUACUUUCUCUAUCAUAGAUUCGACCUCACGAGGAAAACUAAAGCAACCCAAAACUAGACAUGCAAUAACAGAGCAUUCACCACCACCAGUCAAUGCUUGCUUGAUUUCCCAUCAUCUUUUCAUCCUCAAAAGGCAGCAAACCCAGUUCCAAUCUUAAGAUUCAUAUGCAAAAAAGCACACGAACCCACGCAAAAAGAACAGAAAAAUGAAAGACGUGAUUUUGAAGGUGGAAUUGGCACUAACUAGAGAAGGGAGGAGAUGGGUAGUUCUACUUCUUUGCACACUUCGCAGUCCUGGGCCUCGUCAGACGAACUCGAGCUGUUUAUAGAUUGACCUAGGAAGGUAGAACCGAAGAGAGACUCAAUUGGGCAGUUUGAAGAGGAGGGGGCCAAGUUCCAAAACUUGCACUAUGUGGAUGAGGAGAGGGCGUCGCGUGGCAUUGUUGAGGUCGUGGGGCGGUGGCAGCUUCUAGUGAGACAGAGCAGAGCAGGAGCACCUCAGGCGUUGGUGCUUAGGAUCUGCUGCAGAGGGCUUCUAGAUGAGGCGAGGGGGUGGAUUCGUGAGUAGCUUGUUGUUGGAUGAGGAGAGGGCGUCGCGCAGUGUUGCUGAGGUCGCGAGGUGGUGGCAGCUUCUGGUGAGACGGAGCAGAGCAAGAGCGGCUCAGGUGUCGGUGCUCGGGAUCUGCUGUAGAGGGCUUCUGGAUGAGGCGAGGGGCCGGAUUCGCGAGCAGCUCAUCGCUAGAUGAGGAGAGGGCGUUGCACGGCAUUUUUGAGGUCGCAGGGUAGUGGCAGCUUUUGGUGAGACAGAGCAGAGCAGGAGCGGCUUAGGCGUCGGUGCUCGGGAUCUGUUGUAGAGGGCUUUUGGAUGAGUCGAGAGGGCGGAUUCACGAGCAGCUCAUCGCUGGAUGAGGAGAGGGUGUUGCGUGGCGUUGCUGAGGUCGCGAGGCGGUGGCAGCUUCUGGUGAGACGGAGCAGAGCAAGAGCGGCUCAGGUGUCGGUGCUCGAGAUCUACUGCAGAGGGCUUCUAGCGUUGCCGGGGAAUGAGCGGCGGGGGUGCAGGGGUGAGAUUUGUUGUUGAGGGGGUGCUCGGACGACAAGCGGGGAUAGUGGGUCGCGGCGAGGGGGCGAAUUCGCGAGCAGACGUCGAUGAGAUGAGGAGAGGCAGAGGAGACGAUGUCUUGAGGAGAUGAGGAGGAGGAGGAGGCAGAGACGUCGUAGAGGAGAUGAGAGAGGAGUCACCGAAAUUAGGGUUUAGAGUGUUUUGUAGAGAAAUUAUUUCUGAUUUCUGUUUCAAAAAUAGAGAAAUAGAAAAUUUCUACUUCUGAGUUCUGCUCCAAAUCUAUUUUUGGAAUAGAAAUCUAUUCUAGAAAUAGAAAAACGGAAUAGGUUUAUCAAAUGGAUUUCUAUUCGAGAAACAAGUCUGGAAUAAAAAAAUUGUUUCUAGAACAUAAAUUAUGGUUUGUCAUGUAUCCCCUAAAUUGCUAGGAGUGUUAAUGGUUUUGUUUGUUUCGAAUUACUAAUAAGCAAGAGUUGAAUUGAAUUGAAUUGCGACUUGAGCCGAAAACUCAAUUCGGUUAGUUUGAUUUUUCAGUUUUUCUUUUUAUGCUUUGCUUAUUAGAACCAAAAUGAAUAAAGUGAAAAAGAAGAAAGUAUUUAAGUUGAUCGUUUAAUUUUUGUUGAGAAUUUUAAUUGGAUUUAAUUAAUCGAAUCAGAAUAAUCCCAAAAAGUGACUUUUUUUUUUUUUUUUAUCAUCAGAACUUAACCAAAUAAAAAAUAUACGGAAUUUCGAUCCGUUUCGGUUCCGUACAAAUUACCACACAAAAGACGCGCAAUCCACGGCAAGACUGCGUGGAUCCCAAGCAGGUCUGGCUCAUCCUGUGAGGCGAGAGAAGAUGCAAUUUCCAAUUUGAACAGCCUGCGGAAGUUGCCAAGCAAAAGUGAUGGCGAUGAUUGUGUGGCUCUUGCAAAGAAGCAACGAAAAUAUCUUUGAAGUCUACGGCGAGGUAGUCUUGCCAAUUUCGAGGAAGGAAGGUUUGUUUCGGUGGUCUUGAUAAAAAAGGUGAGGGUAAAAAGGCAGUACAAUUGCCGCGUGAAAGAAGCGCAAUCCUCUCCACAAGAUUGCGCGUCUCCUUCGGGACAAGAGUGAGAAGUAAAGCUUUCUUUAAAGUCCCGAGUGCUCGUGACCCAGCAGCAGAAACGCCAAUCACCAUAAGUCACUUGAGACGCUCGUCUUUCGCUUGGAGAUAUCUUGCUUUGAUAGCUCAAGAUUGAGGUGUGAAGGUGAUCUCAUAAUUGUGCUGCUUUUGAGACUUGGACACGACUUGAUGUGCUUUAAGGUAACUCCAUUUUAGACAUUAAAGCCCAUCCGAGUAAUUCCGUCUUUGCAUCACUCCUCCAGAUGAGUUGGAUAAUCUAUUACAAUAUGAUAGAACAAAAUAAAAACAUUUGAUUAUUACUCAUCGCAUGAUAUCUAACAUCCUUAAAAGCAUACAUAAUAUAACAUGUGAAAUUCCAUUGACUUUUUCAAAUCAAGGCCGUCACAUUUUUUUUUCUUGGUCGAAGGGGCCGUCACAUUUGUUGCAAAUUUUUCUUACUACAUUCCCCUUUAUUUGAACUGAUUAGUAUGAGGGGUUGGACUGGUUAAACUUGGUGGGAUUUAGUAGUUCUUACUACAAUCUCUCUCUCUCUCUCUCUCUCUCUCUCUCUCUCUCUCUCUCUCUCUCUCUCUCUCUCAUAUUUCUAAUUCUCACUUUCUGUAUCUUUUUAUGUCCGGUCUCUCUCUUGCAAAACAAUUCAAGGCUAUCAUCUACAGUCCUCACUCGCUUUCUUUGUUCAUUUCCCUCUUCAAAGUUCUCGCCGAGGCUUGUUUAGGGUAUUCUCUCCCCGAUCUUGCACCUCUUUUCGUAUCUCAGCUCGCAGAAGGUAACUGUUUUUUCAUCUCUUAUUAGCGUGUCAUUUCUGUUGAUUUGUUGCGGCUGAACCAGUGUGUUUUGGGCUCUUUUUGUCUAACGUGGGAGGCUGCUGAUGUGGUGUGUCACCACCUCAUAAUCGACUUCCGUAGAAAAGAGAAGCCUUUGCUUUCGGCUUUAGAUGUGACUAAUCAUGUGGCCUCUCUAUCUCAUUGUUCGUUUGCAUCGUAAUUCUGUGUCGGUCCUUUGUUAAGCUAGAAUGAGUUGGAAUGCGAGCGUGCUAGAUUCUAUUGCGCUCAAAAUUGCCGGUAUUCGCCUCAAGCCAAGGACCAUCUUUUUAUGGAUCGUGAGGUUUCUUUGUCUCUGAAGGUCUAAGAUCAAUUAAAUAAAAAAUGAAAUAGAAAAGAAAAAGUAGUAGGCCGGUUCGCGGCAAGUUCCAAGAUCAAGGGGGUUCGAUUUUCAAUUCCGAAAAUUGAGAACAUGCUCUGAUAAGGUAAGUUUCAGGGUUUUGGUCUGGAAUCUACACAAUUUGUAACCAAUCACCCAUAAAAGCAAGUACUCUCUUAAUCAGAUUUUAUUCACAAUUUUGCCUUUGACAAUUACAGAACAUUCUAGACAAUUAAUAUGUUGUCUUCCUCGAAUUAUUGGACAAGAUAAUCCUAUAAAGUAUAUUGCCUUUCACCUCUAACUCAUUUUCUUCCUUCAAAGUUUUGAAAAUUGACGGAGUCAGUUACCUGAAAAAGGGGGAAAAAACGUUAAAUGAGUAANNNNNNNNNNNNNNNNNNNNNNNNNNNNNNNNNNNNNNNNNNNNNNNNNNNNNNNNNNNNNNNNNNNNNNNNNNNNNNNNNNNNNNNNNNNNNNNNNNNNNNNNNNNNNNNNNNNNNNNNNNNNNNNNNNNNNNNNNNNNNNNNNNNNNNNNNNNNNNNNNNNNNNNNNNNNNNNNNNNNNNNNNNNNNNNNNNNNNNNNNNNNNNNNNNNNNNNNNNNNNNNNNNNNNNNNNNNNNNNNNNNNNNNNNNNNNNNNNNNNNNNNNNNNNNNNNNNNNNNNNNNNNNNNNNNNNNNNNNNNNNNNNNNNNNNNNNNNNNNNNNNNNNNNNNNNNNNNNNNNNNNNNNNNNNNNNNNNNNNNNNNNNNNNNNNNNNCAAAACAAAAUUGUCUGUGGCAGUUAAGUUAUUCAUAAUAUUUCCCAAGAACUAACAAAAAAAUGCGCUUUCCAGUUAUGUUGAUCAGUCAAUAAUUUUUUUUUUUAAUGUGUACUAUAUCUCCGCCUUAUUGUAUCUGUGCACUUGGCCUCCCUAUACAUAGCAUUCCACACACACACACACACACACACACACACACACACACACACACACACACACACACGUCGUGAGCCCAUACCAUGCAUAUGCACAAAACUGACAUGAAUAAAUUUAUCAUACCAUGCAUAUGCAUAAAACUGACAUGAAUAAAUUUAUCAUGAAGAUAUAACUAUAGUAUCCUUAGCUCUAUUGGAAAGGCACAUAUAGAUGGACAAAUCAUGUCCUUUGGAAAGACAAUUAUAAUUUAUAAGUUGGCAGUUCUUAAUCUUUCAUUAUAGUAAUUCAACAAGGAAAAAAAAACAUCUCUCAUUAUAGUAAAAAUUUAGGCGGGAAACCGCAUUCGAAGGACAUUCCUUUUUAUUCUUUUCCAAUAACAAUGGACAUACUUCUCUUCGAUGGAGUGCACAAGAAAAGGUUAAAUGCGUUAAAAAUCGAAUUAUAAGGAAUUUAAAAAGAUAUUCGAUGAAAUUGCAUGAAACAGAAGUGCGAUCAAAAGAAAAUUACAAGGAAAGUAAAAGAUGAAUUUUGUUGUGCCGUGCUUGUCUGAUCUUACCUUUGAGUACCCCUUUUAUACCAAUGCCUCGUGUCGACCAUUCUGUUUCUAGGCCAUUCACAUGUAACUUUCACAUGCAUCAUAUCACAUGCAUCAAUUGUCUCCUGCGUUACUUGCCACAUACAUCCUAUGACACCUAGUCCUAUACUAUUCUUUUCAAGGGAGAGACUUCUCUAUUAUUCUCUCAACCUAAAUUAUCUCAAAAUCAAGUUGAUUAUAAAUUGUAUUUAUUUAAAUGAAUCCAUGGGCUAUCUUCAUCAUUUAGCUCUUAAAAGGGGAAACCACCAUCAUUAAUCGCAAUUGCCCACUGUCUCUUUCAAGAGGGAAUUGCUCAUCAUUUGAAACAUCAAUUAAUGUCACCUGCUCAAUCCAAUAUAAAUGGUGUGCAUAGCGUGGGUCAUGUUUAGUCUAUAUCUAAUAUAACAUGUUACUAUAAUUAUAAAAAUGAAAUUGGUGUCACUUUAGGUCCCUUCCAAUUUUACUAUUAUUUAAGGAUUCUCCUACUAAUAAAAAGUAUGGCAGAGAAGUGAAGUCUCACUUUGGUAGAGUGCUCCUUCUCUAAUCAACACAUCCCCCACCUUUAACGGUUACAUAAUAUUCUCCUCAUCAACAUGUCGUGCCAUCCCCAAUUUUUAUCACCAUUCUCUUCUAAUUUUUAAAAGUUUAAGUUACAAAGUUCACAUAAGAAUAAGCAUAAUGUUAACAUAACACGCACGUAGCAUGUGUAUAGAGUAUUGUGGACAUUAAGCAAAGUUCAUUUACAAAAAUAAUACCAUUUCUAGGUUGAAUUUUGCUUUUAGGAGUUACAAAUGCAUUUUCUUGAACAGGUUGAGUGAGGGGCACUACUGGCUUAAAAUUACUUUGCUCUAGAAGUGCUUGUUAACAGAUGAGUACUAAUGUCUUAUUUCUAAUUCACCUCUUGAGAAGCAUGCCUAAUGCUAAAAACGAACGGCAAUAAUUUACUUCAACAUACCUCUAAAAAAACCUAUCUGACAAAACUAGGUGCUGACGGCUACCUAAGUUCCAUAAUGGUGAAAUACUCCAUUAACUCUCAUUGCCAGUGGGACACCGGCUUAAUUAAGUCCGACUGGACGGUUCAAACAGGAAAUUAUUUGCACUUAAUAGUGCAAGGAAUCAGACUCAUAUCAUGAUACACAAAAGCACAUUCCUUAACCACUAAAUGAGCAGCGUGGGGUUGCCUCUCGAACAUUUCAGUCAAAUCUUUCAGAAAACUAUCAACUGUACCUUAUAUUGCUUUUGGUAAUUCCUAAGGAACAUGACCAUAUGAUAAAUUGCAAAGAAAAAAUAAUGAGGUUGGGACACCUGGAGUGCCAUAACUUGGCACGGAGGAACACUUAAGUGCCAUAACUUUAAAAUGAUACAUUUAAGUGCCACAAUCGGAGUAAAAUGGGACACUUAAGUGCCACUUCGGUGAAUAUCCGGCCAAAUGGCUGACAUGGCAAUUUUCCAGCGAGUUUGGUUCAAAACAGCGUCGUUUUACACGUUGACAUAGCAGAGAAAACGCAAAAACGACGUCGUUUCGUGUCUACGUGUAAAUAAUAAUAUAUAAAUUAAUUAAAUUAGAUUUAAAAUAUUCAAAAAUUUAAAAAAAUAAGAAAAAUUAAAAAAAAUUAAGAAAAUUUUAAAUACUUUAAAAAAUUAAGAAAAAAAUUAAAAAAAAUUAAAAAAAAUAAAUUUUUUUAAAUUAAGAAAAAUUAAAAAAAUUAAAAAAGGGGGGGGGGGGGAGGGCGAAUGCAUGUGACACUGAGGAGGUCCAAUGCUUCAAGGUCAGAGAUCGUCUCACGGAGGUCCCAAGGCCUGUCCUCGACCACCCCUAGGCCAUCGAAGCUUACCAAUGCAGAAAUUUACUUCGCUCCAGUCUUCGAGGUGCCCCACCCCAAGAGGGUCCAGCUUCACCACACCGACAUCUAUUCCAUGAUGGCCGGCCGACGGAGCCUCCAACUUUGGCUCGGCCGAGAUCUACAGGCUCUCGGGGNNNNNNNNNNNNNNNNNNNNNNNNNNNNNNNNNNNNNNNNNNNNNNNNNNNNNNNNNNNNNNNNNNNNNNNNNNNNNNNNNNNNNNNNNNNNNNNNNNNNGCCCCCAGCCGACUGCCGGCGAGGGCUGUGAGCCCUCGCCCGAUUGCGGUGAAAGACCGCGACCAUCGCCCCAGAUAUGGGUGAGGGCUCGCAGCCCCUCCUGUCGGUCGGCCGGCCUCGUCGGCCCUGGCCAGGGCCCAGCGACCCCAGCUGACCCUCCCCACUCCGUCGCCGGCCCUUCCCGGCGGCAGUGAGGGCCCGCGAGCCCUCGCCGGAUCUGGGCGAGGGCCACGGCCCGCGCCUAGAUCUAGCCACAAUUUGGCGAGGGCUACGGCCGGGGGCCGGUGACCCCGGCCAACCCUCCCCCCUCCUUUGCCGGCCCUUCCCGUCGACGGCGGGGAGGCGGCGGCGGCAAGGAAGCCGCCUCGUUCGACCUCCCCCUCCCCAUCUUUUUUUUUUUUAAUUUUUUAAUUUUUGUUAAUUUUUAAAAUUUUUUAAAAUUUUCUUAAUUUUUUAAAAUUUUUAUAAUUUUAAAAUUUUUCUUAAUUUUUAAAAUUUUUAAAAUUUUCUUAUUUUUGAAAAUUUUUUAAAUUUUUUAAAUUAAAUUUAAUUAAUUUUUAUAUUAUUAUAAAUACGUAGACACGAAACGUCGUCAUUUUUGCAUUUUCUCCGCCACAUCAGCGUGCAAAACAACGCCGUUUUGGACCAAGCUCGCCGGAAAGUCACCACGUAAGCCAUUUGGCCGGAUCUUCGCCGGAGUGGCACUUAAGUGUCCCAUUUAACUUCAAAACUGGCACUCAAGUAUACCAUUUUAAAGUUAUGGCACUUAAGUGUCCCUCGGUGCCAAGUUAUGGCACUUGCGCUGUACUUCUGCCAAAAAAUAACUCAUUAGACAUGUCUCCUUAGUGCUUAACUGAGCGUGCCAGGUGCCCGUUGUNNNNNNNNNNNNNNNNNNNNNNNNNNNNNNNNNNNNNNNNNNNNNNNNNNNNNNNNNNNNNNNNNNNNNNNNNNNNNNNNNNNNNNNNNNNNNNNNNNNNACCGAGCGUGACUAGGUUGCCCACUUUGAUCCCAGAAUCGCAUCGCUACGUUGUUCAGCGACUGAGUCUUGCUGGAGGCCCAGCCACCGACCGGUGGCUUUGGCUGCUUGCGAUCUCUGUUAUGGGCAUCUCAGUCUGUUCCUCUGAACGUUUACGCCAUGUCAAUGUGUAGAUUGAGUGGCGGCUUGAUUUAUUUGUGGUCAAUCUCGAGAUGCUAAUCCAAUAGAAAGUUUAAGAUUUAAAAUUUCGAUACCUGAACGUUAUCCAAUACUGUCACUGAUCAGCUAAGCUUUCGGGGGAAAAAUAAUAAAGUAUUGUUGUUAAUGUCAAUCAAGCCGUCUGGGAUUUUGUCACCAUCUUCUUCCAAUUAAAUGAUCUCCUUUAGCAACAAAGUCUAAGCGGUACUUUUGACUUAUAAGAUGUGAAAAGAAAUGGUGCCAGUCUUGGGAAAUGGAUGUACGUAUCUUCACUUUUCUGUUUAGGUAACAUAAGUAGAUUUUUCCAGAAAGUUUCGUGUGGCAGAGUUUCCCAAAAGAUGUUGCCCAGCAUCGGCAAACCUACUGUUCCAUAUUUUAAGACCUUAAUCUAACUAUAACACCAUGUAAGGAAGUUAAUUAGUUCAUUUUUAGUUGGUCUAUAGCCAGCUCUCUUCCAAUUUCCGUCAAAAUCUAAAAUAUUAUUCAAAUGCUGAAGGUGUAUUGCUAAAGAAUGAUUAAACACUUAAUAACACUAGUUAACAAAUUGAAAAUCAGGUGCUUACUUAGCUACUUAACAAGUGACCCAUGGGUACUCUUUAACAUUCGUAUGUUUUAAAGGGUUUCAUGUAUUUCCACUUUAAUAAAAAUCAAAGUACAUGCACUACAAAAUUCCAAAAAAGCGAGAGGUAAGAAUUGAGGUGUUUCAUCUUGACUUUUUUAAAGCAAGAAAAAGGAUUCUUUUUAUUUAAAAUAUUGUUUGAAUUUUAAAUUUUUUUUUAUCAAAAUACUAUAUGUGUGUGUUUAUCUGUCAACAUUUAUGUUUGGCGAGGGGUAAAAAGAUGACAAAUUGUGAAAGUAUGAGGUUUAGAAGAGCAAAAAUAAAAAUUAGAAGUUGAUUCGGACACUCAAUUGAUUGAUUUGAUAUGCAGAGUCUCAUGGAGGGCUACAAUGGUUGGCCCCGUGGCUGUUCCUCUACAUGCAUAAGUGAACUAUUUAAAAACUUACCAAGCUCAAGGUUCCUUUCAUUUUGCUGGACGACCAUAAGUGGAGACUUUAAUGAAUUGUUUCCUGAAUUAAGAUGGCUUCGAUGGUUAUACAUCGAACCCAAUAUAUUUUCUUCAGCAAUCAAUUUGCAUCUAUCUAAAUUAGUGGUACUAGAAUUGUCAAAAAACAAGCUUACAGAUGAUUGGGGAGGAUGGAGUUUGAUCAUGGUAAGAUGGAAAAAAAAGACAUCUUCUAUGAUCUUUGCUUUGUUUUGUUUUAUUGAUUAAACUCCUUUUUGACAGCUUUUUCUCUUUUGUAUAGGUGGCAAAGCAACUAAAAGUUCUCAACCUUUCAUAUAGCCGAAAGUUGAGAUAUACUCCUAAUCUCUCGGCUUUCACGAAGUUGGAGAUUCUCAUCUUGUCCAGUUGUUACAAACUGAAGCAAGUCGACCCUUCUAUUGGCAAACUCAAGAGCCUCAUUUCCUUGGACUUGUGUAGAUGUAGUAAUAUGAGAAAGCUCCAGAGCAAGUGGGGGAAUUGCAAGAACUAAAAGAACUUCUUUUAGAUGAUGCUGGCAUUAUAGAAAUUCCUAUGUUAGUCUAUUCUCUAAGGAAGCUAGAGAAACUCGAUAUCGGAUAUUGUCGAUCAUUGGUUGAAAUCCCUCUCGCAAUUGGGAAUCUUUCAUCUCUCCAAUACCUUGACCUCCAUUUAUGUGAAUCAUUGAGGGAAAUCCCUCAUUCAAUUGAGAAUCUUUCUUGUCUCAAACAACUUGAACUAGGUAAUUGCUGGUCAUUGACAAAAAUCCCUAACUCAAUUGGAAAUCUUUCUUCUCUCGAACGACUUGAUCUAUCGGGUAACAAGUUUUCGAUAAUCCCUAGCUCAAUUGGAGAUCUUUCUUCUCUCAAAAAACUUGAAAUAGACUAUUGCCAGUUACAGAUAGAAAUCCCUAGCUCAAUUGGGGAUCUUUCUUCUCUCAAACGACUUAAUCUAGGGGAUUGCGUGUUAUUGAGAGAAAUCCCUAGCUCAAUUGGGAAUCUUUCUUCUCUCGAACAACUUCGUCUAGAUGGUUGCAAUUCAUUACAAAAAUCCCUAGCUCAAUUGGGAAUCUUUCUUCUCUCAAACAACUUGAUUUAGGGGGUUGUGAUUCAUUGACAGAAAUCCCUAGCUCAAUUGGGAAUCUUUCUUCUCUCAAACAACUUGAUUUAGGGGGUUGUAAUUUAUUGACAGAAAUCCCUAGCUCAAUUGGGAAUCUUUCUUCUCUCGAACAACUUGACUUAGGGUAUUGCAUGUCCUUGACAGAACUCCCUAGCUCAAUUGGGAAUCUUUCUUCUCUCAAACAACUUGACCUAGACGAUUGCGUAUUGACAAAAAUCCCUAGCUCAAUUGGGAAUCUUUCUUCUCUCGAAAAACUUAUGCUAGGGCAUUCCGAGUCCUUGACAGAAAUCCAUAGCUCAAUUGGGAAUCUUUCUUCUCUCAAAGAACUUUAUCUAGAUCAUUGCCCGUCAUUGACAGAAAUCCCUAGCUCAAUUGAGAAUCUUUCUUCUCUCAAACAACUUGAUUUAAGGUGGUGCGAGUUAUUGACAGAAAUUCCUAGCUCAAUCGGGGAUCUUUCUUCUCUUGAAAAACUUCAGCUAGAGGGUUGUGUCUCAUUGAGAAAAAUCCCUAGCUCAAUUGGGAAUCUUUCUUCUCUCGAAGUACUUGGACUAGAGGCUUGCAAGUCAUUGAGAGAAAUCCCUAGAGGCUUGCAAGUCAUUAAGAGAAAUCCAUAGCUCAAUUGGGAAUCUUUCUUCUCUCAAAUACCUUAACCUUUACGGGCAUUGUUCACUAAAAGAAAUUCCUACCUCAAUUGGGGAUUUACUGAAUUUGCAAAGCAUUGGGGAUUUUUGACCUUGAAUAGUUACCCAUUGCUAUUGGAUGGUUGAACAAACUGCCAAAGGCUACUUCUUGAAUCUUGUGAUAGUCUAAAAGGGGGAAUUCCAAGAGAAAAUGAUGACUUGUCUUCACUCGUGAUGCACAUUGAUAUUUGACCCGCCAGAAAGCAUCUGGAAUCUUUCUUCUCUCUAAUGCCUUGACCAAGAGGGCUAUAAGAAGCUCGAUCAUUGCUAGAGCUUUCUUCUGGCUUAACAUAUCUUCAGGUCAAUUCCCUGAUUCCCAGGUUGCCAAAGCUUUCUUACCUAUUCCACUUGGAAGAACUUCAUUUUUAUGGAUACGAUCAACUUGAGUACUUCCCAACGCUUACCUCAAGAUUCUUGAAAAUUUGUGUUGACUCUUGUCCUAAGUUGAUAUUGCUUGAGCUUGACGGAUUCAAUUACUUGGAAGAGUUGUCAAUAAAACACUACAAUUCCAUUGAAAGAAUGGACCUCUCACAAUCGAAUCUUCUGAAAGGAUUGGACAUUAAGGAUUGCGAUAGUCUAGUUGAAAUUUAGGGCCAAGGUAAAUUGGAGUUCUUGGAGACAAUACAUACAUAUAGCUGCAAGUCCAUUAGAAGCCCGAUUCGUCCGAAAUUACAAGGGCUUGAAGCGAUUGAAUACUUGCUAUUGCGACAAUCUAGUCGAAAUACAAGGUCUUGAUAAGGUGGAGUUGUCACAGAUGUUCAAUGUCUUUAAUCAUGGUUUCAUCGAAAGAUUACCUAACCUAUGAUGCUUUUGGAACUUGAAAGAGUUGAAUAUCAAUGGUUGUCAUAAUCUAAAUGGUGUGGAUACUCAAUUCCCAGUCUUACAUAAUUGCAAGAGUGGGGAAAUCGGUCCUAGAAGCUAACAUGAUGCUUCAUCCAGGAUCAAAAUUUAGAUCUGAUUGUGGUUCUUCAUACAUUAGAAGGCGUUGGUCAUCUGGUAAGAUUAUUCGUCCUUUAACAACUAGCAUGAGCGAAAAGUGUAAUACUUUUCUAAUAGAUAUAUCUUUUAAGAAUUAUUUGCUCGACGCUUGGUAUCUAUUUGAUUUGGAUUUGCCUAAAUAUAUUUGCUAUUGAUUGCAUCACAGCAAUGUUUUUUCAGCUAAUCUUCAAUCGGCAACUUUUGCAGAUAGAUUGGCGGCUUGUGAGGCAACAAAUGAAAAUUAACGACAUAGGUAAACAAGAAUUACUUAGUGAUUUACAAUUUCUCUCUUUGUAAACCCAAGAUGAGAAUUUUCAUCAAGAGUUUGAUCUUCUGCAACUCAAUUAGUAAAUUGCGCGCCAGAUCCCUUUUUUCUCUAUGUCUCAAACUAUUAUUUUCCUUUAAAAAAUCCUUCACCAUUUUGAACUCCUUUUGUGAGCAAUUUUACGUGUCAGAUUUGACUAUUGGUAGAUAUCCUAUUUAGGACAAACAGCUCUCGAUUUUUUAUGGGAAAGCCUGUCCAUUGUUCAUUCGAGCAUGAAUUCCCAGUAAGGAAGAGAAACUAAGAUAAAAUAAAAAUCAAGGUUCAAUUUUUUUCUGGUGCGUGAUUUAAAAAAGUAAAAAUUAGUUUGGCUAGCCUUUUUCAUCUAUGAUUGUAGGCAGGCUUUCCAUAUACAAUUGUGAGACUAUUGAAAGAUUAUCAAGUGAGAUAAAUUGGUGCUACUUUUGUGACAGGUCCGGUUGGUCUAUGUAAUGAUCAAGGCUUACUUUUGGACUUCAAUUCAAAGAGUUGUAUAGAUGACCUUUUGCAUAAUUGAGACAAUUUUUUGCCUGCUCUAUAAAACAAGCUAGGCGAGGAGCUUAAGAUUUUGCUUAUUAUUUUGCAUCCCAUUUGAUCCUGAUGUUGUCAUGGAAUCAUUUUAUCAAAUGAUUGAUCUGGGUCUGGCUAACUCGGCUGAGGCAAGUCAUAGUCCAUACCCGAGAACGAUCAAAUGAAGAAGAGGGAUUUUGCUGAGGUGUCAUCAGCAACAACUGAAGGCUAGCUUUUGUGCGACCUUGAACAGGCUCACGGGCCAACUGGAGUGUCCUAAGGAAGUUUUUGAUGCCUGUGAAGAUCAAAGCACUUGAUAUGGUUUCAUCAGCACAAAACUAAAUGAUUGUGAAUGUAUUAUUUUUCAGUUGAAUCUACUUUUUGUAUGCUCAUUAGGUUCUACCUCUAUUAAGCAAAUACAUGCGUGCUGAUUUUUCUACAUGUUAACCAGAUACAAAGUUCUUUGAUGCAAUGCGCUCUAAUGGUAUCAUUCCUAAACUCAGUCAGGCUCUACAGAUAGAGGAAUGCACUCCCAGUCCUACCAUAACUGUGAAAGAGUGACUUGUGUACUUAUAUUUAAUUGAAUGUGUUGUAUGCUUGUUAGGUACUACCUCUCUGUUAAUCGACUACGUACAUGCUGAUUUUCUGCAUGUUACCCUGAUGCGGAGUUGUUUGAUGCGGUCUCGUUCUAAAGAUAUCACUUUCAAACCCAAUAUGGCUCUGCAAAUGAGGUAUGUACUACCAAUUGUACCAUAAUAGAGUAACCUGUGUGCUUAUACUAUGUGAGCUGUGGAAUUUCACAAGAAUCCAUGAAUUAGGAUGCAUGAUAAUAAUCUCCUCUUUUUCUGUCAGUUCAUAAUAUCUUUUGAAUGUUGUGAUAAAGGUCUCUCAUACGACGAGCUUAAAUCUCAUGUAUGCAGCAUUAAAUUUGUAAAGUUAAAUAUAGCCUCCUACCAAACAAUUCCGUAUUGCUGAUUUCGCUAAUUGGAUAUUGCAAAAUAACCAAGUAACAAGUACGCCUUUCUGUUCUGUAGUUUGGGCACUUUGCCUUUUCAGCAUCCGUUCUCUUCAUAAACACAAACAAGGAUGAUGGCACUAAUUGCUGACUUCUCUUCUCUUAAGUCCGUUGUUUUCUAUUUCUUUGGCUGAUAAUGAAUUUUGUUGAUUGCGAUCCAACUGCGAAUUAAUUAGAGACCUCUAGAAUGUGUGGCAAAACUAAUGUCCCCAGAUUGGGUGUUGAUAGAUGAGAUUCAUUGAAGAGGUCACUCGUAGAUCGCUAGAAUCUGGACCGGGUCAAAAUAACCUUGUUUAUAUUGAUGGACUCUCAAGUCUAUGCUUACUACUUUCAGCUAAUUUUAGACUCUUCAUUCCAAAUACAUCUAAAAAUAGACAGAACUAAGGAUCCAUGCAGCUGCGCCUUUAUCUCUCUUCGAGAUGAUUGGAAAGUGUGACACAUUUUUACUCUCAAACAUCUCGUGUAACACAUGCAUUGCCCUCAUUUUUUUACCUUCUUUAGCAAGUGCCUGGGUGGAGACUAGUUAUAAGUCUUCUAAGGUUGAAUUUGUUAGUGUUCGUAACUAUUGAUGAAAUAUCAUAAACAGCCUGGAUUUAUCAUACAUUCUUUUCCUGAAUCUAACUCAAAGUACAUAUGUAGCUAGUAGAAUUAUAAUUAUUUUCAAAAUCUCAUAUGACAACAGCUGAUUGGAAAAGCCAAUGAGUGUGAGACCCAAAUACAGGGUUUACAUUUGAUGAUGCAGUUCAAACUAUAAGAGACACACCUUCAGGUCGUCCAAAACUUCUUAACGACUUGCCUCAAAGGACACAACCAAGAGAAGGGAACAAAAUAUCACGAAGGAAUCAAGAAGGAGAAGGGGAAGAAGAAGAAGAAGAUUGCCUCAACUGAGUUGACAACAAAAUUGCAGCUACCACUGCUACCGGGACCUUCUCAUGUGGACUCCGGUGCCACCUCCUCUUUGGUAUACUGGUAUGAUGACUAAUUCAUGAAAUAUUUGAUAUAACGCGAAAGUGCUAAUUUCCAAGUCCCCUUCAUUUAUUGAGUAGUAUAAGCUUGCACAAGUUCAAUUUCCUUGCUCUCGUAUCAGCAGCAGCAUCAUAAAGUCCGGUCUUCCACUUCCCAAGGAAAUGUUCUUUUUUUAAUUCUUUGCAGGGGUUUAUACCGAUAAAAUUGUUGAUACUCCCUGCAAUAACCGCCCACGAUCGUGGUGCACAUGGUCUCAUCUAGCUCUCAGCCUGUGUCUUCCAAAUUCUUCAGCAAUCGAACGGCUUUUCCAGUAUUGCCGGUUCUGCACAAUCCCUCAUCAUGGCUUGGCACGUGGUUAUAUCUACCUUAUCAAAGGGUUAAAGCUCACAGUUGUUGGUUCUAGUGCAAGUUUGACUAUUUAACAUCAAAACUGAGAAACGCAGAUCGGACCUCUUCAAUUGGCAGAGGUGAUUCAUCAAAAUGCUGCGAGUGAAAACAUUGGACGAAGUUCCUUCCAAACCCAUCCUCUCGGUCAUGUCAAUGGUGAUGGUGCAGUGACUAUUUUACUAAAGACACGUUAGAUAGAAAUUAUUACUAUUAAAACAUAGAAUAACUUCAAAAGCACUGCUGUUCCUAGGAGAAGACAACGUCAAGACCCAUUCUAAGACACCAAUUCAGCCACAGCUCCAUGGAAUGGCAAAACCAAAAAACGUUCCCACCCGCGACUACCUAUAACGGUCGCGGGCACAGUAAAAAAACGAGUCUUUUCCAUCUGUUUUCCCGCUUCCCCUCUGGGAGAAGACAAUAUCAAGACCCAUUCUAAGACACCGAUUCGGCCGCAGCUCCAUGAAACAGCAAGACCCAACAAUGUUCCCGCGCGGCGACUAUACGUAACCGUUAUGGGCACAGUUAAAUAACGAGUCUUUUCCAUUCAUUUUUCAUGUUUCCUUUACUGUCCAUAUUCCCAACCGUCUGAACUGCUGUAACAAACAUCGACGCCCGGGAUCGGGCGCGCCAUGUAGUAGUCGAUGGACACUAUCCGGACGCUGAAAAUCGCGGGGUCCUUCUCUGGACCGAUGCCGCUGUACUGGGCUGCGAACCUUCUCCCUCCGUCGGGAGGAACGGCGGCUCCUCCAUCUGCGGAAACCUUCCCACGACCCUCGCUGGGGAUUAGCGCCAGAACCCAGGGCGCGGUUAGCCCGAAAGUCGAUCGCCGGCGAGAGCCCGGAGGCGCUGGCCGGUGUUUAACCGACCGCGCGAAAGUCAAGAGCGUCUUCUCCAAGCUCUUUCCAUUUUUUUGCCUCUCGCUUGUUCUGGUGCAGUGCGGCGACGGAACCCCCAAACAGGAAAAUGGACCGAGAAAACUCUUUGGGCCGAUGAAUUAUUAUAAGUUACCUCGGAACGUUUAUUUUACUACUCUCAAAUAUAAUGAUAGAUUCCGACCAAAAGAAAAACAAUAAUGAUUGAUUCGGUCAAAAGAAAUAUUUAAUGAUAGAUUAAAAAGUUGGCUUUAAUCUAUCUUAUAAAUUGGUUUUAUAUACUAAGUAAAUGCUAACAACAAUGUUCAAUUAGAGAUAUUAGCUAUUAAUAACUCAGCAACCAAAUUACAAUUUUAUAACUUUCAAAUAGAUUAAAGAAAUAAGAGUAGUAGAAAUAUUAAAACUUUCAAAAAGUGCAUAAAAUUAGAAAAUUUAUCGUAAAUGUAUAAUUGAGUUUUAAUUUUUUAAAAAUAAAAUCAAGUCUUAAAAUGUAUUAAUGACUUUAAUAUGAAUUAAGAUUGAAUUAAGAUUGAAUUAAGAUUUGUGAAACAGUCAAAUCAAAACUAGUUCAUAACUUAAUUAAAGAAAAAUUUGUGUAUCGCUUGAAUUAGGAUCUGUAACUUCAUAAAAAAAUUAAUGACUUUUAACAUAUUGACAACUUGUACGACUAAAUAUUUAUAAAUUAUAAAAACGAACAAUAAUUUUGGAACAAUGGAACAAACCCCAAUAGUCAAUGGUGAUGCUCCCGAAUUACAGACCUUCAAGAGGUUUGUUCAACAACAAUAGUCAUCGAAUUCAAAAGAUGUCCAGCCAUAGCUACAUCUACAAGCCCAGCUGAAGUUUCACACAUGGAGAAAUAGGUUCAAUUCCAGUCCCGUGCUUCAAGCUGCCAUCACCAUUCAUUUCAUCUUAUUAAAGCAGCCAAUCCCACCUGUCUCUCCCACCUAAGGUCUUCGGAGAAUUUCGAGAGUGCAGCCCUUGGGUCACCAUCAGAGAUAGACAUGUAGUACUGAGCAGUCCCAUCAUCAACCUGCAUGCUCCUCCUAAGCGAGUCGAGUAUUCUCUUCUUCCCUCGUUCAGAGGUUGUCCUCUUUAGCAAAGAACUUAUCUCUAUGUCCUGGACGCCUUCUGGGUAAAGCACGGCGACUUCCCUCUUUGCAUGGUUAUCUCGCUCUAUGUAGCAUGUGGAAUCGAUAAGAAUGUCAGGGUUGCUUAAGGGGAUUAACAAUCUCUCCCUCGAAUAUAUACCAUGAUCACUCAUCACGUUGUUCAAGCGCUUUAUGUCCAUGACCUGACAGCACAAAAGAAAUUCUUAAAGCAUGUGACAUGCGGUGUAGACAGGCACAAAAGGGAUAUGCUUGACAGCAACAUUGAAGCAGGGAAGAAAAUAAUUUCAGGGAAGCCAUUCUAAAAGUAAGUCUCUGCCAACAGUUACCAAAACAUUGAACCCAGAGAGAUCUAACUACAUGACAUCAUAUUAUUGACACUUCAGGGAUUAUUAUGACUACAACCAUGGAAAAUUUCCAUAUAAAGACAUAUUCAUUUCUUAGUUGCACAAACAAUUUAAGUUCUGCUCUCAGAAUCUGAGGUUCACAUUCAACCAUUCAAUGAAUCAAUACCACCACUGCAGAAUCAUCUACUAUUUCUAUGUCAAUGUUAUUUAGUCAGAGGAACUAUCAUGAGGAUCACAAAGUACAUUGCCCAUCAUUUCACACUGAUCACUUGCAAAAUCUGAGCAUCAUUUAGCCUUGUGUGUUCUGGCAACUAAGAGAUUGUGAUUAUCUAUUAAGAUAAUCAACAUAUAGUCGUCAAUCAACCAUAUCUUUUUGCUAUUAGUAACCGGAGAUGCUUCUUGCUCGGCAAACUUAAGAAAACUUUACCACAUGAAGAGAUUUCAUAAUGUUUUACAUGAAGAGGACCCUAUGCUCCCUAAGACAUAACAUUUUUGUCCAAGCCCCAACCUUCCUCCAUACCUCCAGAAGAAACCGCAAUAGUGACUUCCAAGUGUAGCCGUUUCCUUUUCCUUCUUUAUAUUUUAGGCUUCACUAAAAGAUGAAGUGACUCCAAAAUUACAAAAUUCGUAUGUCAAUUAGUCUGGCCUUCUCCAAUGGGAAUAAAUCUAUAAGAUUUGCACUAGUAAAUUCCAUUGAGCAUCUAUCCUACCACGUAAUUGAUACAAUAUAGAGCAACAGAAUAAAAUUAUAACUAACCCCACUCAAUGGGAUAAAUCUGUCAUUAACGUUGAAGUCAUUCAACCGCCAGCCUGCACAAAGAAGCUAUGAACAUCUGAUAUGUACACUGUGUAGCAUCUUGUCAACAUUUUUCUUCUCCUAGUAAAUGCCCCAACCUAACCUUUAUCAAAGAGGCCAGAACCCAAUCGAAUGGAGGUAUAAAAGAGCCAUGCCCGAAAUUGAACAAAACUAUGUACUUAGACAAUCCUGCACCAAUCAACAGAGCUAUCCAGCUUUAGCUGUUGUAAUGGAGGAAUGACAGAAUGCUUCUUCAAGGAGAAAAGCCUCUGCAAAGACCUGAAAAUUGUCGCUAGCUGUACAGCAUUCCUCAACCAACAAGUCCUCAGCAUUUUAUCGGGAUUCGCCACUUUAGCAAUCAAACUCAGGAUCACAAAUUCGUAUAUUAUUAAAAGCACCUAACCCAUCCCCACCCAUCCUCUCAGCGCCAAUGAAAAAAAUAUUGGGUAGUCCGGGACCGCCACGUCAGCGUGGUCCCGGACCAUCCACAUGGCGCCACGUGUAUGGGGAAGCAAGGACGAAAACCGGGGCCCACUUCUCUGACACUCUCUCUCCUCUUUCUCUUUUUUGUCUCCUCCCCCUCAUAUGUGGCGCCAUAUGAGUGGUCCAAGACCACGCUGACAUGGCGGUCCCGGACCACCCAAUAUUUUCUCGCGCCAAUGAAUAACCAAAUAGACAAUCCAUGCUGCAGAAGAAAAACCAGAUGGAUUCCAAGCCAUCAGCAAAGCAAACCCACCAGAAAUUCCAUGAAAAUUCACAAUAAGGCUCCCAGCUUCCGUCCACUUCACUCAAACGACCCCACCCACGUCUAACGCCAGCUACACAUGACCACAUGCAGAAAAAACCUACAUGACUUCCGAAACAUCAGAACGAUACUACCAAGAAACCUUCUUCGUAAAGUUUCAAAAGCUGUGGCCUUACACACCACUUUAGCUAACCUUUAAAUGAAAUCGCAAUCCAUCUGUUCUUCAGAAUCAGCUGAAAGUGAAUCUCCAUCGAAAUGCAGCGCUAAAUCAUGUCAUUUGCAAACGUUUAAAGUAUUCUGCAUGAGAAAAUCAUUUCGCUGUCAACAUAAUUCACAGUUUUGCUCACAAUCAAUACAGCAAAAAGGAUUGUUUGGCUGUGUUUCCUUUUUUCUCGACACCCUUCCACUCAUUAUGUUUGUCAUUUUGAGUGUAAGUUUUUGAUGCUGAAACCUAUUAUAUAGAUGUUGGUUAAAAGUUAAUAUAUUUUUUACCUUACCAAAAAAAAAAAAAAAUAGAGCAAAAGGGACAGAAACUCCAUUACCUGAACGGAGUACUUCACAGUGAGGCUCGCGACGCUAUCGCCGCGCUUAAUCCGGUGCAAGAUCGCGAACUUCCCCACGCCGUUAUCCCUCCCGAAGCUACCCGAGCUCGGGACGCCGACCACCUCCUUCAACCUCCAGGGGGCCGCGAAGGCUCGGGUGACCAUGUCACGAUCGGAGGCGACGGAACUCUAGAUGCGGCAGACGCAGCUCGCGCGGGCCAGGUCUGGGACGGGGAGCUUCUCGAAGAUGAGCCGGAGGGUGUCGCGGCAGGCGAGGGCGGAGAAGUGGGAGUUCAUCGUGAGAUGGUGGAAUCGUCGGCAGCGGAGGCGGCGGCGGAGGGCGGCGGCGGCGGAGAGAGAUCGGGGGUCGGGGGUGGAGGCUCCCGGUCGUCGUCGUCGUCGUCGUCGCCGCAGCAGCCCAUAGAGAGAGAGAUGGGAAUGUUUAUGUAGUCGGUUUUGACGGUUUUGGAUUUUUGGUUUUGAACGGUGCACGGUAGGUGCCAGAAAUAUGGUUGAAUUAUGGUUCUACGCUCCGUGUUUUGUCAUUUAUUACAAAUUGCCCCUGACUUUUCGAUUUUUUGCGAUGUCUCUCCUAAAAUUUGAAAUCGGUUGCGAUGUCAGACUGGUGUGACUUUCAUCAUUUUUGGGUUUGAGCACCGACCAUGUGCUUGUCACGUGACUGAGUUGAUCUUUCAUGGAAGGGACAAAAUAUCGGCUGCCCUGCAGCAAAUAAGAUAAGAAGGUGAUAAGAAGGCGACACGUGUUUUCGUGGAGUCCACAAUCUAAACUGAUUGAAGAUAAAAUGAGGCGUCAUUUAGCUACUGCAGAAGGGACUGUUGGGAUUUUUCUGCGAGUUCUCUUUCUUUGCGCCUCUCUCUACGACGAACAGGAUCGCGACCUCCCUCUCUCUCUCUCCCUCCCUCUUUCCGAUCAACGAACCACCGCGCGGGAUCGGCGAAAGGGCCGCCAGCAACUGACAAACCACCGCACGGGACCGGCAAGAGGACCGCGACCUCCCUCUCUCUCUCUGCCCUCCCUCUUUCCGACCGGCGAACCACCGCGCUGCCCCUCCGGCUCCAGAUCCGGCCCCGACUCGUCCGUCCCUUGCUCUUUCUCUCCCCUCGCGUCUCUGUCUGCCCUCCCUCUCUUCGACGGCGAACCAGCGCGUGACCGGCGAACCAAUAUUUUCUCCUUGCGGUAGAAGCAACGAAAAUAUCUUUGAAGUCUACUGCGAGGUAGUCUCACCAAUUUCGAGGAAGGAAGGUUUGCUUCGGUGGUCUUGGUCAAAAAGGCGAGGGCAAAAAAGCAGCACAAUUGCCGCGUGAAGAGACGCGCAAUCUUGUCGCGCAAUCCUCUCCACGGGAUUGCGCCUCCUUCGGGUUAAGAGGUUCGAAGUAAAGUUUUAUUUAAAGUCCCGAGAUCUUGUGCCCCAGAAGAAAAAAUGCCAAUCACCAUAAAUCACUUGAGACGCUCGUCUUUCGCUCUGAGAUAUCUGGCUUUGAUAGCUCUAGAUUGAGGCGUGAAGGUGAUCUCAUAAUUGUGCUGCUUUUGAGGCUCGGACACGACUUGAUGUGCUUUAAGGUAACGCCUUUUUAGACAUUAAAGCCCAUCCGAGUAAUUUCAUCUCCUGCAGCCGUCAUUGCCGCCUGGUGGUCGCGUCCACUGUGACCACCACCUGGGGAGGGGUGACUCACGACCUAGGCGGCGUUGCCUGGUUCGCGCGUCAGGUGACACCACCUGGGUCCACGCGACCUCAGGCCGCUAGAUCUAGAUUUGGCGAUCCGGAGGCCAAAUUUGGCCUCUGCGACCUUAGCCGACGGUGUCGCCUAAGGUUGCGCCCCCAGGUGGCUCGGUACCCCAGGUGGCCAGAUCUAGCCAUUCGGCCACAGGCGCCGAUUUGAUUUUCAGACUAAAAAGGAAAUAACAAAAGCCUAUUAUAAACGUAAGUUUUUUCCAGCGGUAUUUAUGCUAAAAUUAUUUUCAACGGUAUUUGAGAUUAAUAACGUUUCAGAAAACCCCUUUCUAAAGCUCAUCCGAGUAUCUGUCUCUGCAUUUCUUUUCCAGAUAAGCCAGAUAGUCUAUUACAUUUUGAUAGAAAAAAAGAAGACAUUUGGUUAUUACUCAUUGCAUGACAUCUAACAUCCUUAAAAGCAUGCACAAUAUAACAUGUGAAAUUCCAUCGACUUUUUCAAAAUCACCGUCGUCAUAGUUAUUGCAGAUUUUUCUUACUACGUUCCCCUUAUUCAAACUGAUUAGUAUGAGCGGUUGGACUGGUUAAACCUGCUGGAAUUUGAUAGUUCUCUCUCUCUUUCUCUCAUAUUUCUCACUUUCUGUAUCUUUUACAUCUGGCCUCUCUCUUGCAGAACAAUUCAAGGCUAUCAUCUACAGUCCGCACUCGCUUUCUUUGUUCAUUUCCCUCUUGAAAGUUCUCGCCAAGGCUUGUUUAGGGUCUUUUCUCUCCGAUCACGCACCUCUUUUCGUAUCUCAGCUCGCGGAAGGUAAUUGUUUUUUCAUCUCUUAUUAGCGUGUCAUUUCUGUUGAUUUGUUGCCGCUGAACUAGUGUGUUUUGGGCUCUUUUUGUCUAAUCUGGGUGGCUGCUAACGUGGUGUGUCACCAGCUCAUAAUUGACUUACGUAGAAAAGAGAAGCCUUUGCUUUCGACUGUAGAUGUGACUAAUCAUGUGGCGUCUCUGUCUCAUUGUUCGUUUGCAUCGUAAUUCAGCGUCGAUCCUUUGCUAAGAUAGAAAGAGUUGGAAUGCAAGCGCGCUAAAUUCUAUUGCACGCAAAAUUGCCACUAUUCACCUCAAGCCAAGGACCGUCUUUUCAUGGAUCGUGAGGUUUCUUUGUCUCUGAUGGUGUAAGAUCAAUUAAAUAAAAAAUGAAAUAGAAAAGAAAAAGUAAUAGGGCGGUUCACAGCAAGUUCCAAGAUCAAGGGGGUUCAAUUUUCAAUUCCGAAAAUUGAGAACAUGCUCUGAUUGGUGGGUUUUAGGGUUUUGGUCUAGAAUCUACACAUUCUGUAGCCAAUCACCCAUAAAAGCAAGUACUCUCUUAAUUAGAUUUUAUUCACAAUUUUGCCUUAAACAAUUAUAGGACAUUCUAGACAAAUAAUAUGUUGUCUUCCUCGAAUUAUUGGACUAUAUAAUCCUAAAAAGCAUAUUGCCUUUAGCCUCUAACUCAUUUUCUUCCUUCAAAGUUUUGAAAAUUGAUGAAGUUAAUUACCCCAAAAAAGGGUAAAAAGAGGUUGAAUUGAGUAAUGAAAAAGUAUAGUUCACACGCAUAAACGACAAUAGCUAUUAUGCGAAGGUCGGAGCAUUUUUAUCUCUAUUGCCACUUUCUCAAACGAAAAAUCUUCGUUGCUACUUUUUACCCGCUCUCAAAUCAGUGAUAGCUUCAGUCAUCAUCACAAUACAAGACAUACCAUAAUCCAUGGUAUGAUGCUUCUUAAGAUCUUUUAUGUUAGAGAAAAACAAACUAAUUGAUCUUUAACGUAUACACAUGAAAACAUUUAAAGAAAUUGAACUAUACAUGUUUAUUAGGACACUCACUUAGCUUUAUAUCUCUCAUAUCUUUCACCUUUUUGCUACAAACUAUAGGUUCAUCCCUUAAAAUGUAAUUAAUCAAUUUAAUCUGACUAUCACGAAUUUAGCCUAUAAUCCUAUUCUACGUCCAUUUAAUUGGAUUAAAAAAACUUUGCAAUGAUAUUCUCAAGGUGGGCCCUCGAGGAAAAAGGGGGCACGCACUGAAGGCCAUUCUUUUCAAACCUUGGUCCUCUCUGAAUUUUUCUCAGCAGUUUCCCUUUAUUUUCUUCUCUUCUGCUCCUCCUUCGAUCAAAUCAUGACCUAUUUUCAAGCUGUUCAGACUAGGGCAAAGUCAGAGCAAGGCAAACAAAGGGAUGCACCGUAUCGCUUCCGGUCGUUCCUUUGCUAUGCUCGUUGCACUGAUUCUUUUCCCUAUGCUUGUAUUCUAUCAUCUCAAGAGGAAGAAUGUGAGUGCAGAAAAAGAGAGCACUAAGGAGCAUUCUCUUCUUCUUUGGUGUCAUCUAAUAAAUGACAGUUCUAUUCUACAGAUAAAAUGUCGAUCAAUUAUUUAAAUUUCAAAGUGUGAAGAGAAUAACUUAGUGAUGUUAUAUAAGGUUUAAGUAGAUUCGUUUUGUGUGAUAUUGCUAAUAUGUAAGGUCAGCGGGAUCAAAUAUAAGAGAAAUGGCAAAGACCUUUUGUUCAUCCGUGUCUCAUUUCCAAAUUUAUUUAGAAUAUGGCAAUUUGAAAUUAAAAUGUAAGAUCACAUUCCUAAUCACUAACUAGGCCCUUUCUUCAUAUCUUGCACACAUUUCCAAUUUCGUUUGAACUCAUUUAUCAGCUUUUAAAUGAUUUAUCAAACUAUGAUUUUUAAUAAUUAAACAAAAACAGAACCUUUACUUAUUUAUUUUAAUGAAUGCAACUUGCUUGUACAUAGAUUCUAGCUUUUUAUAGCCCUAGUAAGAAUUUAACAUCGUGAGCGGACCAAGUCACCAUCUUUUGACUUGACUAGAGGGUGAGAUACAAAAGAAGAUGAGGCAAGGACUAAAAGCAUCUGCAAUUGCUUCUGUUCAAUCAAUUACAAAUUUAAUUAAAGAUUUUGUGUUAAUCUGUUCUUGCUUGGUAAAAAAUUUUUGGUGGGCCAAGACUUAUGGAUGAAUAUGUAUUUUUUUUUUUUAAAUAAUUGUGUUUAAGCGUAAUUUCCGAGAGUUGGCUAGGGCAGGGCACCCUUAGCCCCUCAUUAAAUCCACCCAUAUUGUCAGACAUUUUGGAUGUGACAGGAGAAGAACUAAACAAGGAGAAAACUCAGGAGGGCAUUGGGAAUAUAUACUGCUGAGAGAGUUGAUAACUUAAUCAGUGGAGGUUAGGGAAAUGAAGAAAAUAAGAACAAUAGAAAAAAAACCAUUAGUAAUGAGGGCAAGGAUAUGGACAUGGAUGACCCAUUUAGCAAGAAUGGUUCGGGAAGCCCUACCAUUGCUGGGGGAGAGCUCACUCUCUCUUUUUUUUUUCUUUUUUGGGUUGGGUCAAAAGCUAACUCUCAUUGAAAUUGUGCGAACGAAAAAAUAUUUAGAGAGAAAGAGUUUGCCUAUUUUGGCUCCACUUUUCUAAUUUUUAAAUGACAAUUUCUUAAUUAACGACUCACAAAUUUGAUUGAUGUUUUCUUUAAAUUGUUUCCUUUUCAAUUGAUUACGGAGAUUUGAUAUUAGAUUUUAUGAAUAUCAAUAAUCAGCACUUUGAUGAAGGCAGAGAUCAACGUAGAUGCAUGUGCUUUCAAAUAGAUGCUUACAUUAAACCAAUGAUCAAAGACGUGAUUGGAGCAAAUAUGAAAAUUUCCUAGAGGACCCAAGUGCAUAUGACCUUAAUAAAUCUGAACCUUUGUUAUUAUUGAGUCUCAUGUGAAAACCACAUAAUAUAAGAGUUGAGAUUCAUUAGGGGCAUAUGCAUUUGAGAAUGCCUAAUGAAAUAUAGGCAUGAACAUGUUAGCUUUAGUUAAUUUUACAUGUGCGCAACAUGUUUAAUUUGUAACCAACCAAUAAGAGAAACAAUUAAUGAAUAUCUCCUCGAUUAGGAAAGUCCAUGCAUCAAGAGGAUGAGGUCCAUGGGAAAGAGAAGAUGUGCAUUACACUGCUCCAAAACAACUUGUAGUAUUGGAUAAUCAAUAGACACCCCCUAAGAAAACUCAAUUCGGUAAAUAUUGUGUACAUACGGAAAUCAGGUGCUUUCUAUCUAGCCUUUUCACUUGUUUAUCUACAUCUUUUAGUGGAGCAGAAGGCAUCUUCUCUUCAUGCAUCAAGAGGAUGAGGUCCAUGGGAAAGAGAAGAUGUGCAUUACACUGCUCCAAAACAACUUGUAGUAUUGGAUAAUCAAUAGACACCCCCCUAAGAAAACUCAAUUCGGUAAAUAUUGUGUACAUACGGAAAUCGGGUGCUUUCUAUCUAGCCUUUUCACUUGUUUAUCUACAUCUUUUAGUGGAGCAGAAGGCAUCUUCUCUUCAUUAAACAUUUUAGUGUUAGUAAUCGUUCAUAAUGCAUGUGCUCUCCACCAAAGAUUAGGAGCCUUGACUAUAGAGCACGCAUGUAGAGAUGAAGAUUAGCCAUUCUCUUCUUGUCCAUGAGUGGACACAACCCAAUGAUGUUGCCUUGACGAGAGGGCGCGGUCCAUUGUAAAGAAAAGAUGCACGCCUAAGUCAAUAGCUUUUACUAUUCAAUUAGCCAACAGACUGACUUGAUCAUUAAAUAUUUUGGAUUCGAAAUCGUUCAGAAAUCAUAUGCUCUCCUCCUAAAAAGCACGGGUGCUGCCUUUUCAUUUGCUUAUCUACUUCUUCUUGUGCAGCAGGUUGGCAUCCUCUCUUCCUUUUUGUCUAUAAGAUUUCUAUGGGGAAAGGGCAAAGUCUGAGCAAAAUAAAAAGAAAAAGAAAAAGAGCGCAAAAAAAAGGAGCACUGAGGGAGAAAAAGAGAAGGAUUGCUGAGAAAGAGAUCACUGAUGGAGCAUAUGCUUCUUCGUCCUUACCUUCCAUACCCAUGGGAGGAGGUAGUGAUCAAUACGAUGUGUUCUUGAGCUUUAGAGGCUCCGACACUCGCAAAGAAUUCACUGAUCACCUCUACCGCAGGCUGAUCAGUGGAGGGACUGUACCAAUUUCUGUUUUCAGGGACGAUAACAGCCUUGAAAUUGGCAAGGAUUUUAAUUCAGAGAUUCUCAAUGCCAUCACGUGAUCUAAGAUUUCGAUCCCCAUCAUCUCUGAAAAUUAUGCUUCGAGCAAAUGGUGCCUCCGUGAGCUAGUACGCAUCAUGGACUGCCAGAAGAGCAUGUCACACACAGUGUUGCCCAUUUUUUACAAAGUGCUCCCAUCGGAUGUGCGGUAUCUAAAUGGAAAUUUUGGGGAGGCCUUCCAUUCGCGUAAGAGGCGUUUUGAUAAGGAGGACAUUCAGGAAGGUCAACGAGCCCUUACAGAAGUGAGUAACUUGAAUGGAUGGGAAUCUGAGAAAUUUGCCAAUGGGUACUUACCUUUUGCCUGCACUUUUUUUUAUUCCCCUAAGUAUUGUUAUUUAGCGAAACCAAUGUCAUAUGGAUGAAUUGCUUCCACUACAAGCUUACAAAAAAUCCCAAAAUGUCCCAGUGAAUAACCAUAAUGGCCCACGGACUACAAAGAGAUUGAAGAUAACUAUGCCAUUUACAUGUGGAAGGAUUGUGACUUUUAUCCAUAUCAAGGAAUUGAAGAGUUGAAGUUGAGGUGCUUAAUAAAAAUUGGAGAUCGUGGCGAGUUUAGGAUGCAUGAUCAAUUGAGAGAUCUUGGAAGGAGUAUCUUUUGCCAAGGACAACCACCUGAGAGAUGUCUGAAACUAUGGAUUGAAGAUGAAGACCUUUUGCAGAGAGGAGACCCAGAGGUAAUGUAGCUCUCUCUUAUAAUUUUAAAAAUUCAAUGUGAUUUUUUCUAAUCUUUUAUCUACUACGAGCAUAUACUCCUAUUCUCGAGGAAAAAAUCUACCUAUACAUCCAUUCAUGACCGUCGUAGAUGAAUUGUGAUAGUAAAUUGAUUAUAAGUGUCCCAAGGAUGAAAAGGUUACAUUAUUUAAUUCAAAUUGAUAUAUUUAAAUUAGAUCUAUCAAAAAUUUAAUUUACUAUCAAAUUAAGAUUCUUUAACUAUGAUUAUUAACUAAAAAUCUUGUUCACUAAAAGCAUCUAAUUUUUUAUCUAGUUGAAAAUAUUGAUAAUAUGAAAGACUACAAUAAUUAAUAAAGAUGAAGCAUAUACAUCAUAGAACAAAUAUGUGCCAAUCAUAAUAACUAAUAAUUAAGCAAAUUGGUAACAUUAAAGAAAAUUUUCACACUUAUGAUAGGUGCUUACUUUCUAUUACGGUCGAAUGUAUUGUGGUACUCCUAUGAUUUAGGAAAUCAAUGCAUGAUGCACUUUUUUUUUUUCCCAUUUUGAUUUUGAAGAUAUCCCUCCCUUUGCUUGUUAUAUCUAUCAUUUUUCAUUCUUCUCUCCUCUUAAUAGACAUGAUGGUAAAAAUAUCCUUAGGAUUUAUAUUGGGAAAACCUUAAAUAUGUUUUUAAGGUUGUAUCACGUUGACCUCGUUCAUCUCGUGGAUUAGACUAGGUGUUUGACAAUGAGUGGAUUUUCUUAUUUUCCUUUCUUUGCUUCUUUCAUUUCCGUUGUCUUUUCCUUCACUUUUCUUAAUAAACAUUUCUUUGCUCUCCAGGAUUUUUUAUAAUAUAUAUAUAUAUAUUUUUGGUCAAUGCCCUUUUGUGCCAAAAACCGCUUGACAAACUUGACAAUUUGGAGGAAAAGUCGUGCUUAUUUUUACAUCGAUACCUUUUUCUUUAUUUUUUUUAAUUAGAUUGUCAUGUUCAUGUCAUUUCAUAAGUUUAUAUUGUCCAUUAGGGAAGCCUAAUAGGUUCAUGACUGAUCAAUGGCGGGAAAUUAACCUUAGCAAGUCACUAAGAGAUGCUGGGCAGAGGAAAAAGCUUUAUAUUCUUGAUUUGAAGUGAAAUAGUUCGCUCUUGACAUUUUAAAGAGCACACUCUUUUGUUGAUUCAAUAACUAUUUAUUUAUUAUUAUUAUUAUUUUUUUUGGUGUUGGAUUCAAUUACUAUUUUUAACAUUAGCAAAAACAGCACUAUGGGAGCUCAAAGAAACGAAAAAGAAAGUCGAAUGUAUUGAACUAAGGUAAAUGUUGAAAGAUCUUAACUAGUUUCGGAAAACACUUAAGUGAUUGUCAGAUGUGAGGGACGUUAAUUCAAGUUGGAAAAUGAAAUAUUUAUGGGACUAAUUUCCAAUUAUCUUGAAUAUUUUCACUAUAAUAUCCUAUUUCUACAAUUUAGUUUGGUAAAAUAUCUAUUCAUCUUUUAUCUAUCUAAUAUGCAGUAGACUUAAUGUACGAUUGUAAAUCAUGAGAGACGACGUGAGAUGAUAAUUACGACAAGAUUUAGUGACUUUUCAUACAAACAGACUUAAGAGAGAUUAUAUCCGCUGCACGUUUUUUAGUAGUAAAUAUAUAAAGUUCAAAUAAUGACAAACGAGUCAAACCCUUAAACUGACGCCAACCAAAAAAAUAAAAAAGGGAAUUCUAUCUUUGGUUUCGUAGUGUUUGUGAAAGUUCAUAUUUCACAAACAAACUUGGGUUUUGGCGGUUUAGUUUAUUCUUAAUAUAUCAAAGAAACUAAUGAAAGAAAAUAUGCACUUUCAAGCUAUGUUGAUGGGUCGAUAAUUUUAGUUUUUUUGAUGUUUACUAUAUAUCUCAUGCCCUAUUGUAUCUUCCCUUCUAUAAAUGCACUCGGCCAAUAAAUAGCCUUCCAAAAAAAAAAAUUAAAAAUAAAAGUAAGAAUUAGCUUUCAAUUUGGAGGAAAUACCUUUCUAACAAAAGUUCAUGCGAAAGAAAAAAGGAAGUCUAGGUGCAAAUCCUAAAGAACUUGACCAUAGAAUAAAUUGCAAAGAAAAAACAACUCUCUAGACAUGUCUCCUUGGUGCCUAACUGAGCGUGGCUUGGUGCCCGCUUUGAUCCAGAAUUGCACCGCUACGCUGUUCAAGCGACUGGCUGAGUCUUGCUGAGGCCCAGCCACUGACCAAUAGCUUUAAUUACUUGCAACCUCUGUCAUGGACAUCUCAGUCUUUUUCCUCUGAACGUCUGCACCACGUCAAUCUGCAAAGUCCAUCGCCACGGGUUCUUAUAUAUGCACAUUGAGUCGCGGCUUGAUUCAUUUGUGGUCAAGCUUGAAAGUUUAAGUGGAGUUUUGUGAGUUUGGAGUUAAUGCUCUUCCUUUUAAGAUUUUGAUACUUGAACGUUAUCAAAUGUAGGGAGCACGUAGUAGAAGCCUGAUGUCUUUAAGCGGGGAGAUUGCUAAGUGGAAACCCAAUUCCGAGCCCGUCAAUAUAUCUAAAUGAACCCAUAUUCACUCUUAAGCUUAAGUCAAUGGAUUAUGGGUCAAUUUGAUAUAUUAACUACACUACAUCAAAUCACUUAUCCGAUGUGAGACUUUUUUAAUACAACUCAUAUGUGCAUCCUAUCAAUCAGAUAUUGUUAUUGAUCAGCUAAAUUUUCACCCGGAAAGGGGGGGAUAAUAGAUAUUGUUGUUAAUGUCAAUCAAGAUCUUUGGGAUUUUGUCACCAUCUUCUACUAAUUAGAUUAUAUCUUUUAGCAACAAAGUUAAGCGGUACUUUUGACUUAAAAGAUGUAAAAAGAAACGGUGCCAGUCUCAGGAAACGGACAUACGGAUCUUCACUUUUUUGUUUUGGUAAAAUACACGAGUAGAUUUCUCCAGAAACUCUCGUCCGCCAGAGUUUGCCAAAAGAUAAUGCCCAGCGACAACAACCUAUUGUUCCAAAUGUUAGAAACCUUAAUCUAACAAUAACACCAAUAAAGGAAGUCAAUUAGUUCAUUUUAAGUUGGUCCAAAACCAACUCUUUUCCAAUUCCCAUCUAAAUCUAAAAUAUUAUUUAAAUACUGUCACCUUUUGAACAUACAUGACAAGAAAAGUUUCAUUUUUAAAAGCGAUGAUUAAACACUUGAUAGGAGAAGUUAACGAAUUGAGAGAAUCCGGUUCUUCCUUAGCUACCUAACAAAUUAUCCAUGGGAACUCUUUAACAUUUGCGUGUUUUAAAAGUUUCACUUAUUUCACCUUGGAUAAAAGUCAGAGUUCAUACAUUAGAAGAUUCGGAAAAAGCAGUAGGUAACACAUGUUUCGUCUUCAAUUUUUUAAAGCAAGAGGCAUUGUUCUUUUUGUUUAAAAUAUUGUUUCAAAAGAUUAUCAAUAUAUUAUAUGUGAGUUAAAAUAUCAACAUUUAUGCAUAGCUAGAGGGAAAAACAUGACAAAUUGUGUAAGUCAAUUGUGUAAGUCUAGGAUUUAGAAAACCAAAAAUGAAAAAUAAAAAGUCAAUUAAAACACUCGAUUGAUUUGAUAUGCAGGGGUUUCGUAUAGGUCUCCACACUUUAGCAUAUCGUUGGCUCCAUGGCUGUCCCUCUACAUGCACAAGUGAACUGUUUAAAACCUUACCUAUCUCAAGGUUCCUUCAAUUGCAUUGGAAGGCUUUAAGUGGAGACUUUAACGGAUUGUUUUCUGAAUUAAGAUGGCUUCAGUGGUUUUGUGUUGAACCCAAUAUGUCUUCUUCGGCAAUCAAUUUACAUCUGCCUAAAUUAGUGGUGCUGGACUUGUCACUAAACAAGCUCACAGAGGAUUGGAGCGGAUGGAGUUCAAUCAUGGUAAGAUGGGAAGAAAAACAUUCUCUGUGAUCUUUGCUUUAUAUUGUCUUGUCCAUUAAACUCCUUUUUUGACAGCUUAUUCUCCUUUGUACAGGAGGCAAAGGGACUAAAAGUUCUCAACCUUUCAUAUAGCGAGGAAUUAAAAGGUACUCCUAAUUUCUCGGAUUUCACAAAGUUGGAGAUUCUUAUCUUGAGGGAAUGUCAUAAACUGGAGAAAGUCCGCCCUUCUAUUGGCAAAGUCAAGAGCCUCGGUUCCUUGGACUUGAGACACUGUUACUUUAUUAGAGAGCUACCAAAGGAAGUGGGCGAAUUGCAAAACCUAAAAGAACUUCUUUUAGAUAACACCGCUAUUAGAGAGAUUCCUGUGUCAAUUGGUUCUCUGAAGAAGCUGGAGAAACUAAGUGCCUUGAAUUGUUGCUUGUUGGUUGGAAUCCCUCCCUCAAUUGGGAAACUUACUUCUCUCAAACACCUCGACCUAGGUGGGUGUUGGUUACUGAGAGAUAUCCCUAACUUAGAGAAUCUUUCUUCUCUCCAACAUCUUAACCUCUCUGAAUGUUGGUCAUUGGAAAAACUUCCUGACUCAUUUGAGAAUCUUUCUUCUCUAGAAUACCUUGACCUCUCUGAUUAUUGCGAUGAGCAUCUUCCUCAUCCAUGUUAUUACCUAAGUCGUUUAUCAUUGGGAGUAUUUACUAUUAUGCAGGGAAACAUUUUUCGCAGAGAAGUUGAUCUAAGCCGUAGCAAAUUUUGGAGAGAAUUCCCUAUCUCAAUUGGGAACUUAUAGAACUAACAAUAUAUGGACAUUAGUCAUUCUGCGAUUGAAGGGUUCCCCAAUGCUAUUGGAAGGCUUGAAAAACUACGGAGGCUAAUUUUUAAAUCCCGCAACGAUGAGAGAGUGGGAUUUCAAGAAAAAAUCCGUGAAAAAUUUCCUUUGCUUUUCAACAUCAUUCACAAAUUCCAAUCUGAACUGCCAAAUAGCAUGCAGAAACGUUCUCUUCUCAAUAUCCUUCGCGGAUCCUAUAAUGAGCUCCGAUUGUUGCUAGGGACUUUUUCCGGCUUAACAUAUAUUCAUGUCUAUGACCCGAUUCGCAGAUUGCCCCAGCUUUCUUGCCUAAAAGAACUAGAAGAACUUCAUCUUUAUGGAUGCAAUGAACUUGAGUACAUCCCGGAGCUUCCCCCAAGCCUCUUGAAACUUUGUGUUGACUCCUGUCCUAAGCUGAUAUUGCCUGAGUUUGACGAGUUCAAGUACUUGGAAGAGUUGUCAAUAAAACACUACAAUUCCAUUGAAAGAAUGGACCUCUCAAAAUUGAAUUGUCUGAAAGGAUUGGACAUUGAGAAUUGCAAUAAUCUAGUUGAAAUUCAGGGCCAAGGUAAAUUAGAGAUCUCGGAGACGAUAAAUAUAUGUAGGUGCAAGUCCAUUGGAAGGCUGAUCCUUCCAGAAUUACAGUGUUUGAGGCAAUUAAAGGUUCACUUUUGCGACAAUCUAGUCGAUAUAUAAGGUCUUGAUAAGGCAGUGUUGUUGGAGGAAUUAUAUAUUUCUUCUUGUGAGUCCAUUGAAAGAAUUUCUGACUUACCAAGCUUCGUGACCUUGAAAAAGUUGGAAAAGCUAGUUUUAUCUGGCUGCGGGUCCAUCAAGAAGCUGUUCCUUCCAGAAUUGGUGUGUUUGAAGCAAUUAAAGGUUGACUCUUGCUACAAUCUAGUCGAAAUACGAGGUCUUGAUAAGGCAGAGUUGUUGGAGGAAUUAGAUAUCUCUUUUUGUGAUUCCAUUGAAAGAUUACCUGACUUAUCAUGCUUCGUAACCCUAAAAAAGUUGAAUAUCAUGGGUUCUCACAAUCUACUUGAUGUUGAGACCCUCGAGAGAUUCUUGUCUUGCCGAAGCAUAUAUAUAGAGGGGUGCGAUUCCCUAGAAAAAUUACCGAACCUAUCAAAAUUUGAAAAUUUAGAGCAUUUUACAUUGAUAGGUUCCUUUGUUAGAGAGAUUCCCGGGCUUGAGGAAUCAGGAUCUCUGAAACAUUUAACAAUUAUGGAAUGCGAAGAAAUUGAGACUUUGCCAGAUUUGUCGGGAUGUAAGAAGUUACAUGCUCUAAAGGUGCUAUCCUGUGAGAAACUUACUCAGAUUCGGGGACUUGAAAAAUUGGAUUUAAGGUGUUUGGAAAUUUGUGAGUGUGACUCAUUGGACACGCAACCAAAAUUACCUGAAGCAGACGCGGGCUGUAGUUGCGAUGAAGCGUAUGGAGAUGUUAGUUGCAUUAUUUUGCUGUAAUAAUGAGGUGAUAAUUCUUAAGCUACAACAAUGAGACGAGUCAUGUUUCCUUAAUAGUAAGCAAGUACGCUAGCAUUUUUUUUUCUGGGAUACAUAACCUACUUGUGAUUACUAUCUUCUUUUAACAAGGUCUUCCUUGACAGGGUUUCGUACUUCCCUCAAUUCCAAGUCUUACGUGGGGUAGUUGGUCGUGGAAGCUGACAUGAUGCUUCGGCCCAGAUGGAAAUGUAGAUCUAAGUGCGGUUCUUCGUACAUUAGAAGGCAUCGCUCAUCUGGUAAGAUUCUUCAUCUCAUCCCUUAACAAUUAGCAUGAGCGAAUAGAGUAAUGAUUUUCUCAAGGAUGUGUCAUUUAAUAAUUUUUGCUCAACAUUAGGUAUCGAUUUGAUCUGGAUUUGCCUAAAUGUAUAUGUUAUUGAUUGCAUUAUGGCAAUGUAUUUUCGGCUAUACUUCCAUUGGCAACUUUUGUAGACAGAUUGGCAGCUUGUGAGGCAAUAAAUGAAAAUAUCGACAUAGGUAAACAAGAAUUACUAGUGAUUUACAGUUUACCUCUUGGUAAACCUAAGAUGGAAAUUUUCAUAAAGAGGCUGAUGAUUUUCUGCUACUUAAUAUUAUAAACUGCGCCCAGAUCUCUCUCUCUCUCUCUCGCAAACUAGCAUUUUCCUUAAAAAAAUCCUUGACCAUUUUGAACUCCUUUUGUGAGCAGUUUUAUGUGUCAAGUUUGACUAAUGGUAGAUAUCCAGUUUAGAACAAACACCUCUUGAUUUUUCGUGAUGAUUAGAAAGCCUGUCAAGUUUCUUAUUGUUCAUUCAAGUAUGAAUUCUGAAUAAGGAAGAGAAACUGAGCUAAAAUAAAAAUCAAGGUUCAAGUUUUUCUGGUGGGUGAUUUAGCAAAAUAUGAAAAUUAGUUUUGGCUAGCCUGUUUCAUAGAUAUUUGUAGAUAGGCUUUCCAUAACCAAUUGCCGAAGUGUUGGUUUGAAAGAUUAUCAAGCGAAGUAAGUUGGUGCUGCUUUUGUGACAGCUCUGGCUGGUCUAUUUAAUGGUCAAGGUUUACUUUUGUACUCCAAUUCAAAUGACCUUUUGCAUGAUUGGAACAAUUUUUUGCCUGUUGUCUAAAACUAGCUAGGCGUGGCAUUUAUGAUUUUGCUAAUUAGUUUGCAUCCUGUUUGAUUCUGUUGUUGUCGUAGAAUCAUUUCAUUGCAUGAUUGAUCUCGGUUUGGCUAACUUGGCUUAGGAAAUUCAAAUUCCAUACCAGAGACCGAUCAAAAUGAAGAAGAGAGAUUUUGCCAAGAAAUCAUCAACAGCAGCUGAGGGCAAUCUUUUGUGCCGACCUUGAAGAGGCUCACAGGCCAACUGGAGUGAUCUGAGGAAGUGUUUUAUGCCUGUGAAGAUUAAAGCACUUGAUCUGGUCUCAAAGGCACAUAACCGAGUGAUUGAGAACAAUUUUUUUUUUUUUUUUUCAAUCGAACCUGCUUUUGGUAUGCUUAUUAGGUUUUACUUAAUCAAGUAUGGAAGUGCUAAUUUUUCUGCAUGUUGCCCUGAAUCCCUGAUGCAGAGUUCUUUGAUGCAAUUGUGUUCUAAUGAUAUCAUUCCCGAACUCAAUUAGGCUCUGCUGAUAAAGGUAUGCACUGCCUGUCCUACCAUAACUAAUGAGAGAGUAACUUGUCUGCCUAUACUUAAUUGAAUGUGCUUCCUAUAUGCUUGUUAGGUUCUACCUCUCUGUUAAUCAACUACAUACCUACUGAUAUUCUGCGUGUUGACCUGACACAGGUGUCUGAUACUGUAUCGUUCUACUGAUAUCACUCUCAAACACAAUGAGGCUCUGCAAAGGUUGGUAUGCACUGCCAGAUAUACCAUAACCGUGAUAGAGUAACUUGUGCGCUUAUACUAUAUCAGCUGUGGAAUUUCACUGGAAAAUCCAUAAAAUAGGAUGCAUGAUGAUAAUAUCCUCUUUUCUGUCAGUUUAUAAUAUCCUUUGCAUGUUGUGAUAAAGUCUCUGAUACAACGAGCUUAGAUCUCAUGUUGCGGUGUAGAAUUUGUUAAGUUAAAUGUAGUCUCCUAGCAAACAAUCCCUUAUUGCUGAUUUUGCUUAUUAGAUAUUGCAAAAUAACCAAGUGACAAAUGCAUCUUUCUGUUUUGUAGUUUGGGCACUUCAACUUUUCAGAAUCGGUUCUGUUGCCAAGCACAAACAGGGAAGAUGGUGCUGUUUGCUUACUUCUCUUCUCCUAUGUUGUUUUCUUUUUCUUUGCUUGAUAUUGAAGUCUCCGUUGAGUGCUAUCCCAAUGCAAACUAAUCAGAGACGCGUGUAAUGUGUAGCAAAAACAAUGUCUCCAGGUUUUGGUGUUGACACAAGUAUUUCAUUGAAGAGGAAAUUAAUAGAUCACCAGAAUCUGGACCAGGUCAAAGUAAUCUUGUUUAUAUUAAUGGACUCUCAAGUCUUUGCUUACAACUUUCAGCUAAUUUUGGACGCUCCAUACAAAAUACAUCUAAAAAUAGAAAGAACUAACCAAGGAUCAAUGCAGUCACGCCAAUAUCUCUCGUUGAGAUGAUUGGAAAGUGUAACACAGUUUACUCUCAGCCAUCUCGUGUACCUCAUGCAUCAUCCUCUUUUCUUGACCAUUUUUAACUAGUGCUCUGGUGGAGUUUAGUCAUAAGUCUCAUAAGGUUGAAUUUGCUAAUGUUAGUAACUUUUGAUGAAUAUGAUAAGUGAACCUGAAUUUAUCUUACAAUAAACAACCUGAAACUAUCGUACAUUCUUUUCCUGAAUCUUUUACAAGGUUCAUAUGAAGCUACUAGAAUAAUUAAUUAUUUUCAAACUCUCAUGGGACAACAGCUAUUAGGAAAAGCCAAUGAUGCAGAAACUUUUGCAUGACUUGCCUCGAAGGACACAACCAAGACAAGGCAACAAAAUCUCACCAAGGAAUGAUAAAGGCUGAAAGAAUAAGAGGAAGAAGAAGAACUUUGCGCCAUCUUUUUUGUGAUCAGUCUGUACAACUUUCUGGUUGUGUUUCGUAAGGCUGUUUGAAAGUCUUUGCUCAUGAAAUUCUGAACCCCGUGUUCACUUUCUGGCAAAGAUCUUCAAUUGUUUUUAUAGAAGCCAUUGGUCAUCAUGGCCAAGGAAGAAGGAAAUGAAGCGGAAGAUGAAGAAGGUAUUAUUUGUGCAAAUUUUGUUUAUUUCCUAGUUAGUAAUGCCAUAUGCCUCAAUUGAGUUGACAACAAAAUGUGCUGAAAAUCUCAAAAAAUCGAAAGAGAAUGUAUUCCAAGUUCGAACACAACAGAAGGAUUGCAGCUACCCCUACUACCAGGACCUUAUGUGGACUCGGCUGCCGCCUCCUCUGUGGUAUAACUGGUAUGAUGAUUGGUUCAUGAAAUAAUUGAUAUAAUGCCAAAGUGCUUAUUUACAAGUCCCCUCUAUUCAUUCAGUAGUAUAAGCUAGCACGAGUUCAUUUUUUCACUCUCAUAUCAGCAUUAGCAUCACAGAGUUGGGUCUUCCAAUUCCCAAGGAAAUGAAUGUUGUUUUUUGGUUCCUCUUUUUGCCUUUGCAGGGUUUUGUACCGAUAAACUGUCGAUGCUCCUUGCGAUAACCUUCGAUGAUUGUGGUGUACAUGAUCACAUCUAGCGCCCAGCCUCUUUCUUCCAAAUUUGUCAGCAAUCGAACGGCUUUCCUAUUAUUGCCGGUUCUGCACAAUCCCCCACCAUGGCUCCGCAUGUGGCCAUAUCUCCCCCGAUUUAUCUGGCUAACAUUUCAUCUGCCAGGCUCAUGGCUUCGGCAAUUUUGUCCUCUCCGACAAGGCCAUUGAUCGAAGUGUUACAGCUCACGGAAGUGGGUUCAAGUGCAAGUUCGACCAUUUUACACAAAACUGAGAACCCGGGAUCGAAUCUUUUCAAUUGGCAGAGGUAAUUCAUCAAAAUGCUGCGAGUAAAAACAUUGGGAGUCGUUCCUUUCGAACCCAUCCGCUCGAUCAUGUCAAUGGUGACAUUCGAGCGAAACAGGGAGGUGAAGGCAAAUGGUUCAUCCGAAUCGUCCUCUUCAAGUAGAACAAAGCAUCGGCAGCUUCCACCAAUGCACCAUUUUUGCAUUUGUUCGCCAGAAAGGCCACAGUUCGGAUCAGUCGAUUGAAUCGCUCAUUCCAGCAGUGGAUGGGCAAGUGUGGGAGCGACGUGAAAUAAAAUGGUUCGAUUCAGAGAAGGGAUGAGAACUGAGGUUUAGCGAGAUCACCGGAUUCUCGAGCAAGACGGUGAAGAGCAGAAGUGCAAAUGGAUCGAUAGCAGAAGUGCAAAUGGAUCGAUUCAUUCCCAUCAGUUUCACCAUUUUUCUCCUCUUGAGUUCCGGGAAUCCACAGGUUGACAGUGUAUGGAGAGGAUGAUUGUUAGGCAGUUCAAUAACUGAAAACUUUAGAUGUCUGAUAACAUAGUUUUCAGUUCAAUCAUCGAAAAUUAUUUUGAUUGUCAAACUGAAUAUUUCUAGAAAUACUCUGAUCGAUUCUUUCUCAUCAGUUUCGCCAAUUUUGCAGUCUGAUAAAAUGUUUCUCCCGAACACGUGCUUGAAUCUGUAAGGCAGUUGAAGAGAGGUCUGUAUGCAUAAUCAGAAUGGAUCGAUAUCUCACACGAUGACGAUGAGUAACACCAGUGGAGUCAAAGUAUGGCCUGUCGAAAUAAACAUAUCUAGCCUUAUUAUAAUCACCCGAAAAAAUGAGAAAAUAAUACGAACGUUGCUACUCUUGUCAUUGUGUGCACAGAACGUAUUACAUUAUACCAAUUUAACGUUUUGUUUUUGGUCUAUUCGAUAUUAUUCCAUUCCAAUUUCUUCCCGAUACCUCCCAAGGAAAAUCCCGAAUUGGAUUCACAAAUUGACAGGUUAGUGUGAGCUUAUUCAUGCGGUUAUGCACUCUUUCAAUAGGAAUCCAUUUUUUUGAAAGAUCCUAGCCUAUUUUUUGAAAGAUCCUAGCCUUGUGGAGAAUGAGGCAGGCGUCCUGGCUCAUAUAGUGCAAAACGACGUCACCGGAAAAUUUUUUAUAUGUAUUUUUUGGCUGGAUGGUUUACAUGUGAAGUACGUAACUUCGUGAAAGAGCAUUAUAUUUCGUUCUUCUUUUCUCCGAUGGCGUAGGUUUGCUUAUUCAGUGGAUAAACUCUAAACAUGUAAAGACCGUGCUAAUGCACCUAGUUAAAGUAAGUUGAGGCGAGUAAGAGAUGGCUCAGACACCAAUUGGCUUCUAUAUUAUAUAUAUAUAUAUAUAUAUAUAUAUAAAAGCUAAUGGAUUAAGAAAAAUUGUACGCUGUAAAUCUGGACUGCGAAAUCUGUCUUUGAUAAUGUGGUUUUGCAAAAAUCGAUUCCAUAACGUGCGCUUAAUCCACAUGCGCAAGUUCCUUGUGAAUCACAAAACCAAUUGCAUGAGUAGUGUCAGGAAAAAAAAUCAUGAGUUAUGACAUUUGAAUGAACGAAAAUGAAAACAUUCUUUUUCCCCACCUUCAAAUUGUCCCCAUUUUCCCAGAGAGUAUAGUUUACAAUUCGUUUCUCAUCUUAAGGAUAACAAUCGUGCAUGAUAGCAAUCGUGCAUGAUAGCGCAAAACAGACGUAGAAUUUUAACCAAUAACUCCUUCUUUUAUGCUUAUCUUAUCAUCAUGUUGUUCAAUUGAGUAAAACACGCGACUAAUUAGCGAUUCCACAGUAUGAGGACAUGGAAAGACAAUAAUUUACAAUUUAACUAGACAUGAAACCGAACGUCACACGGAAAUAAAUUAUAAAAAGAGAAAACUAAUAAUUAUCAAUAAGGGAAUAAGUAUUGUAAAUGAUUCUUUUAUUCAUUUGCUCCCUAACAUAAAGGACCAUUUCAUGAAAGAACAUGAGUUGUCAAGUGUAAUUAAUGACAAUAAAAGGCAAGUCUUGAGGNNNNNNNNNNNNNNNNNNNNNNNNNNNNNNNNNNNNNNNNNNNNNNNNNNNNNNNNNNNNNNNNNNNNNNNNNNNNNNNNNNNNNNNNNNNNNNNNNNNNCUGGCAUAAUCUUCUACAUUGUCGGAAAAGAAUCUUACUCACAUCUGGAAGAUGCAUAUCAAUAGUUUUUUCGUUUGACUUAUAUAUAUAUAGAGUGCAUCUUCCAAUUUUUAUUUUUAUUUUUUUUGUACAUCCAUGUACUAGAGAGUCUGCAUUGGCUGAUAGAAGAAUCGCUGUGCAGUAAUUUCAAAUUAUUGGGUGAAGUUAUGAAUCCAACGGUCCAUCCUCGAGGAUGGUAUAGAAUGGGUCUUGGAUGAAGAUACCGAUCAACAUCCUUUUGCUCCUAUCCACGUAUGACGCAAGAGCAAUUUUAAUGUAUUUUUUAUUGGUUACUUUUUAAAAAAGUCAAAGACACGUGUAUGGUUCCUACUACAUCGAGCAUGUCUAGAUACGCAGAGAUUAGUGAAAAUGAUUAAUGUAUGUUGUUGGGUCUUGUUUGGUUUAAUUAAUAAGAAACUAAUAAGUGAAUUCUCGUUCCUUGAAAUUACAUUUUAUUAUUUUUCUUUUCUUAAUUAUUGGUUUAAUGUGGAAUUUCAUUUGAUCGGUUGGCGGGUAAUCGUUGUUGCCCACUAACUCAUGCUGCUACCACAAACGCACCACCACCCACCCACCCCCACAGCCGCCUCCUUGCCACCUCAAAUGCACACCACCACCGCGAGGAUUCCGUUAGCUCAUCUACAGCACCAACCGCCCACUGCCACCGGCCACCACCAAACCACCCAUUGCGCCCAUGCUCCACUACGAGCCACCCUGACGCCACCAUCAAAGCACCACAACCAUCACCAACAAUAUUCCAAUACAGCCGGCGUGCCGAAGCAAGAACCCCCUAAUGACUUCCCCGCCUUCGCUACUGAUUCCACCCCCUUCCACUCACCCACCGAGUCAGCACCUUCUUCCACCUCCCCGACGUCCUCCACUCCGCCGAGAUUCUCCGAUCAUGACCACUGCCGUCCACUGCUCCCACCCAGCACGACUUGGAGACGGUUGAUGGACUCUCAAGUCUAUGCUCUCAACUUUCAGCUAAUAUUAGACUCUUCAUAACAAACACAUCUAAAAUGUAGACAGAACUAAACUAAGGACCAAUGCAGCCGCGCCCAUAUCUCUUGUUGAGAUGAUUGGAUAGCAUAACACAGUUUAGUCUCGACCAUCUCAUGUAACACAUCCACCGUUCUCAUAUUCUGACCAUCUUUAACAAGUCUCACAAGGUUAAAUUUGCUAGUGUUCGUAACUUUUGAUGAAAUACCUGAAGUUAUCGUACAAUCUUUUCCUGAAUCUAUCACAAAGUACAUAUGUAGCUAGCAGGAUCAUUAAUUAAUUUCAAUAUCUCUCUUGACAACAGCUAAUUGGGAAAGCCAAUGAGCAUGAGACCCAAUUACAAGGUUUAUAUGUGAUGAUGCGGUUCAAAACUAUAAAGAGCGCACACACGCCUCCAGGUCGUCCAGAACUUCUGCAUGACUUGCCUCCAAGGACACAACCAAGAGAAGGCAACAAAAUCUCACCAAGCAAUAAUAAAAAACUGAAAGAGGAAGAAGAAGAAGAAGAAGUGUUCUGCGCCAUCAUUUUGUCACCAGUUUUUACAACUUUCUGGCCGUGUUUAAUAAAGUUGUUCGAAAGUCCUUGCUCCAUGUAACUUUACAGUGCAUUCUCACUUUCUGGCCAAACAGCACCUUUUACCAUAGGUCUUUAAUUAUCUUUAUAGACUCACAUUGGUGAUGACCACGGAAGAGGGAAAUAAAGCGGAAGAUGAAGAAGGUGGUGUUUGCGCCAGUUUCUUUAUUUCCUAGUUAGUAACGCCAUCUGCCAUUUGCCUGAAUUGAGUUGACAACAAAAUGCGCUGAAAAUCUCAGAAAAUGAAAGAGCAUGUUGUCAAAGUUCGAAUGUAACAAACGGAAUGAUGGGGAUUGUAGCUAAUGUUGCUACCGGGGACUUCUAAUGUGAACUGCAGUGUCGCCUCCUCUGUGGUAUGAUGACUUGUUCCCCAAAUAUCUGAUUAAUGCUGAAGUAUUUGAAGACACAGGGAGCUGUCAAUGUUGCUAAUUUCCAAGUCCACUUUAUUUAGUCAAUAGUAUAAGCUAGCACAAAGUUCAUUUUUCUUACUCUCAUAUCAGCAGCAUCAGAAAGUCUUCUCUUCCAAUUCCCAAGGAAAUGAAAUUUAUUGUUUUGUUUUCUUUCUUUUUUUACUUUGCAGGGCUUAUACCAAUAAAUUGUUGAAUCUCUUUUUGCUUUGUCAAAAUGUCACAGUUGGCAUUAAAACUGAAUUGCAUAUUAACCUUAUUAUUGAUAAGAAAAUUUGACAGUAGAUUCACUUAUAAAGUCUCAGCUAUAAAUGUCCAUCAGUUUUCCAACUCAGCAGAUUGAGAGGGAUGACAGAGUCCUCAUUGCUCAAAUUCUACCUAGAUGUUUGUUAUGGCACUGAAAUUGAGGCGUAGCUGGAGAUUAUUUCUUCUUUGCCAGAGUUGUCAUUGUGAGUCAACAAUAUAUCGAACUCUCUAGAUUCCAUGCCGAUUGGAUGAUACAAAUGUGUUGUCCCCCAUGGAGUAGUUUGGUGGCACUUCGCAGCAUGAUCAAGCGCUUUUCAACUCGGUGCUAUGCAAUGGAUGUCACUAAUUUGCAUAAUUCUUGAACGUAUAGUUCUGUUAGGAAAUAGUAAUAAGGGUAAAAUAGUCAUAAGAGGGUUACUAGGGUUACUAGGGUUAUAUAUAUAAAUCCUUUUUUGAUUAAGUUAAUACAAUACGUAGAAUACUCUCUCCUUCAACAUGGUAUCAGAGCAAGGUUAAAACUUCAAGAGAGUGAUCCCACCAUCAGCACAACCCAGCAGUGGAGGCUGUUGCUAGAUCUAGACCCUCCGCCGCCGCCGCCACAGCGUGCUUCUCUUCUAGAUAGCGGAGGAGAAAGAACACCUACAUCGUCGUUCGGUCAUCGUCCCUAGAUCCAGAUCUGUCUACUGGUUUUCUAAGAUUUGGACAGAACUGCUACCUUGCGUCAAUCGCCGAAGCCCAUCUAGCAAAAUCGGUUUGUGUUCAGUCUUCUUUCUUGAUGACGGGAUUGAAAACCGAUUGCGUGAUUUGGUCUUUGUUUGUCUUGCGAUCUAGAUUUUGUGUUUUUCAUAUAUCCUGAGGAUUUUGGAAGCCUUCGGUUCUGCAAGGGUUUCGUUCAAUUCUGCAAGGGUUUCACCCCGAAAAAAAAAAAAUCGAAAAAAAAAAAACCGACCCGAACUGAGGGCAUCAUAAGUUGUUUUCCAGUAUACUUAUAUGGAUUCUCAUUGAAGUAUAUUGCUUGUUGAAGUGCUAGUUGGUAUGAUUUAAUGGCCUCCUAGUGAAGUAUAUUGACUCAGUGGUGAAUCGAUUGAACCCUUAUUUCUGUUUGUUGUUCUGUGGCUAAUUGCACAACUGGAGUAAAGUGCUUGAUUAUUGUGUCAUUCUUAUUGGGUUCGGUCGAUUCUUGUGUUCAACCUGUCUGGCUAAUUGCAUUAUUGGAGUUCAGUAGAGUUAAUACUGAUGGCUUCUACAUCAUCUACUGGUUUAAUGCAUUUUCAAUUGACAUCUGUCAAGUUGGAUGGCACUCACUAUCCAUCAUGGUCUAAAGCUGUACAAGUUUAUCUUACUGCAACUUGACAGCAUGAUUAUCUUACAUCCACACUUCCCUCGGAUAAGAGUAAAGUAGAUGAUUGGAUUGCUGGAGAUGCAAUGAUCCGUACAUUGUUAUGGAAUAGUAUGGAUCCGAAGAUUAGCCCUCACUUCAUUCAAUGUAAUUCUGCUAAGGAAGUUUGGGAUAAAUGUGCUCUAUUUUAUUCUGGCCAAAAUAAUAUGACACGAGUGUGUGACACAUGGGAGGCUCUGUUUGAUCUUCAGCAUGGAGAUCAGUCUUUAUCUGAAUAUUAUGCUUGUUUCACUACACUUUGUAGACAGCUAGAUACUUAUCUUCCAGCUUCCAAUGAUCCAAAUGUAUUAGUCAAACGUCAGGAGGAUCUUCGAGUGAUACUAUUUCUUAAAGUACUAGGGCCUGAAUAUUCCUUCCUUCGCCAGCAGAUUACGUCUGAAAGCUCCUUUCCUACAGUUGAUGAGGUUUUCUCCCGAGCCUUAUGCUUGACACCUACUGACAAGAUCUCCACUACAACUUUAGAAACAAGUGCCAUGAUUUCUCAUGGCUCUAGUGGACGUGGAGCUCGUGGUCGUGGUUAUCGAGGUCAUGGACGUGGGCUUAUUCAAGGUGGAAGUCGUGGUGGUCGUGAUAGAAUUCUUGGUAGCCGUGGCACUUGAUAUUGUAACCAUUGUCGGAGGGCUGGACACACUGAAGUUUAUUGCUACACGCUUCAUCCAGAGCUUCGACCCACAGUUGCUACAUUUGCUGAAGUUGAAGAUUCCUCACCAGUUCAAUUCGAUCCUACUAAUGUGCAGGAUACAAAAGAUUCAGUUACAUUGACACGUGCAGAAUAUGAGGCUUGGAUUCGUUCCAAACAGGUGACAGGAACUUCAGCUUCCAUUGCCACUCUAGUACAUAACUUAAAAAGUAGUUCAUCCUGUUUACUUUCUACAGUGUCAAACUCNNNNNNNNNNNNNNNNNNNNNNNNNNNNNNNNNNNNNNNNNNNNNNNNNNNNNNNNNNNNNNNNNNNNNNNNNNNNNNNNNNNNNNNNNNNNNNNNNNNNUUUUUCCCGAAUGACUUGGUUGUUCCUAAUAAAAGAUCGUACUGAGAUUUUUGAUUGCUUCGUCAAUUCUAUUUUGAAGUGCUGAAUCAAUCUAAUACUUCUGUAAAAAAUCUCCGAUCCGAUAAUGCCAAAGAGUAUCUUGCCAUUGCCUCUGGUUUUCAACCUUUUCUUGCUUUCCAUGGCAUUAUUCAUCAAACUUCUUGUUCAUAUACACCACAACAAAAUGGUGUAGCUGAACGUAAAAAUCGUCAUCUUCUUGAUGUUGCUUGUUGUCUUAUGUUUCACAUGCAUCUUCCGAAAACAUUUUGGGGCCAUGCUGUUCUUACAGCUUGCUUCUUAAUUAAUCGGCUUCCAACUUUUGUUCUUUAGGGGGAGACACCCUUCUCUAUUUUACAUCCAAAUCGUCCUCCUUUUGCAUUACCUCUACGUGUCUUUGGCUAUGUUUGUUUCGUCCAUUCUCUAACUCCAGGUCUUGAUAAGUUGGCUCCUCGUGCUGAUAAAUGUAUCUUUGUUGGGUACUCUCGAACUCAGAAGGGCUAUAAAUGUUACAAUCCUAUUAGUCGCCGAGUGUUUGUAUCAGUAGAUGUGACAUUUUUUGAGGACCGGCCAUACUAUAGUACUCAAACAGUCUUUACUGUGUCUCCUGACAUUGACAAGUGUGUCUUACCAAUUCCUCCACCAAUCUCACCUCCUCCAGUAUCAUCAACAGGAUUUCAGUUUGCUAAUCAAACUUACCAUAGACGAGGAACAGCUCCCACUACAGAGGUUCAGCCAUCACUUGAUUCAUNNNNNNNNNNNNNNNNNNNNNNNNNNNNNNNNNNNNNNNNNNNNNNNNNNNNNNNNNNNNNNNNNNNNNNNNNNNNNNNNNNNNNNNNNNNNNNNNNNNNNNNNNNNNNNNNNNNNNNNNNNNNNNNNNNNNNNNNNNNNNNNNNNNNNNNNNNNNNNNNNNNNNNNNNNNNNNNNNNNNNNNNNNNNNNNNNNNNNNNNNNNNNNNNNNNNNNNNNNNNNNNNNNNNNNNNNNNNNNNNNNNNNNNNNNNNNNNNNNNNNNNNNNNNNNNNNNNNNNNNNNNNNNNNNNNNNNNNNNNNNNNNNNNNNNNNNNNNNNNNNNNNNNNNNNNNNNNNNNNNNNNNNNNNNNNNNNNNNNNNNNNNNNNNNNNNNNNNNNNNNNNNNNNNNNNNNNNNNNNNNNNNNNNNNNNNNNNNNNNNNNNNNNNNNNNNNNNNNNNNNNNNNNNNNNNNNNNNNNNNNNNNNNNNNNNNNNNNNNNNNNNNNNNNNNNNNNNNNNNNNNNNNNNNNNNNNUUUCUCUAGCAGCACAUUUUGGAUGGUUUCUUCAUCAAUUACACAUCAAAAAUGCAUUCCUACAUGGUGAUUUGGCUGAAGAGGUGUAUAUGGAGCAACCACCUGGAUUUGUUGCUCAGGGGGAGAAUCUGGUAUGUCAUUUACAUAAGGCAUUGUAUGGACUCAAGCAAUCUCCUCGUGCUUAGUUUGGUAAGUUUAGUGAUGUGGUUAUCAAGUUUGGAUUAAAGCGUUGUUAAGUUAGACCAUUCAGUCUUCAGUUCUAUCUCCUCAGCUGGUUGUAUUCUUCUGGUGGUAUAUGUGGAUGAUAUUAUUAUUACUGGCAGUGAUUCAGAUGGUAUUCAACGACUCAAACAAUUUCUGCAUACACAAUUUAGUACUAAGGAUAUGGGACGUUUGCGGUAUUUCUUAGGUAUUGAGGUUGCCUACUUGCAUACAGGUAUAAAUUUAACUCAGAGAAAAUAUGUUCUUGACAUUCUUGAUGAGGUUGGACUUGUUGGGGAAAAAUCAGUUGAUACUCCUAUGGAACCUAAUGUGAAACUUGAUGCAGAAGAUGGAGAAUUAUUACACGACCCAUUGAAAUAUCGGAGAGUAGUUGGUAAGUUGAAUUAUCUUACCGUCACAAGACCUAAUAUAUCUUUUGCCGUUAGUGUUGUAAGCCAAUUCAUGGGUUCUCCUCGGACUACUCACUGGGAUGAUGUACUUCGAAUUAUCAAAUACUUGAAAGGAGCACCAGGUAAAGGACUAAUUUUCAAGAAUUGUGGCCACCUGAAUACCACAGGUUUUUCUGAUGCGGAUUGGGCUGGAUGUUCUACUAGUAGAAGAUCUACAUCGGGUUAUUGUGUAUUUCUUGGAGGUAAUUUAGUUGCCUGGAAGAGUAAGAAACAACAUGUGGUUUCUCGAUCAAGUGCAGAAGCGGAAUAUAGAGCAAUGGAACAUGUGACUAGUAAAUUGCUUUGGUUUAUUGGAGAAAUCUUUCCAGAAUAUUUUGAAGAUGACAAAACAUUUCUAUCAGUCUAAUCUGGAUAUUUGCAGACCUUCUGUUUAGAGUCUGAAGACUUUCAAAUCACCAGACUCAAGACUCAAGACUCAAGACUAUUCUCAUUGACAGUUUGUCUAAUCUAGUGAGGAAGGUAAUCCAAAGCCGAAGUAUUUGGUUGAGGAUUUAGUCCUAUCCUCUGGAGAAGAUAUCUUGGCUGGAUAAAUAUAACAGAUUCUUUUAUUCGUAAUCAAGAUCGUUUAAAGAUCCAAUGGUCGACGAAAUAUUCUUGGAAUGUUCUAUUCUUGGAAACCAAGAUCCUGAUUGUAUGGGCGAACAAGAUUGAUGGGCUAUCGUCAGGUUCCUUUAAUAGCUUGAAUGAUCUUCUUGAUUGAUUCCGUCCAACGGGUAGAUUGGAGGAAUUCCUUUGGUAAGUGCCAACGGGUAUGAUGGCAUAAAGGAGUAUAAAAGGGAAGACGUUCUAGUUGCUUAAAAACAUGAUCGAUAGAGAAAUUCCAGAGUCUGAAACACCUUGAUAUUUAGUCGAUACAUUUUGAGCGAAAUUGUAUACACAAAGAGUGUCUAUACUUAGUGAUACCUUGAGCGAGUGUGGUAGAUCACCUACACCAAGAAAUCAAGGAAGAUCAACGCUGUAACAUCUCUUUGUUCAUAGUGGAAUCCAGCCAAUAGGCUGUCAGUGCAGAAGAGUGGACGUAGGCUUGAAAUAAGCCGAACCACUAUAAACCGCAUGUUCAAUUCUCUCCUUCCUUCUCUCAAUCUUACUUUGAUUAUUGUUUGUCUCAAAUCUAUCAACUGUCUAGUAUUGUGCAAUUAUCGAGAAAAAUCUUUUAUAUACCUAUUCACCCCCCUUCUAGGUACUUAUACUAGCUAUAUCAAUUGGUAUUAGAGCUCGUGUACUUACUUUAUUUGAAGUGUUUUACUUCAGAGUAAAAGAUCCAUGGCUAGUAUGCUAGCACCAGGGCUAGUUGAAGGGCAAAGUAAUACCAGACCACCCUACUUUGAUGGAAAGGAUUACAACAUCUGGAAGAACAAGAUGAAAGCUUUCUUACGAUCAAAGGAUCCUCUGGAAUGGGACGUUGUAGAAAGAGGAAUUACUCCUACAGCUGCAUCAGUCUCUGAGAGAGGGAAAGAAACUGUUGAGACCAAUGGAAUGACUCAGGAAGAGAUAAUCAAGAGACAAGCACUCGAUACAAAAGUAAUUUACUCUUUAUAUUGUGCUUUGUCACCAACUGAAUAUAACAGAAUAUCUUCUUGUGUUACAGCAAAAGAAGUUUGGGACAGAUUACAUAUCACCUAUGAAGGAACAGAUCGAGUGAAGGAGACCGGAAUUAACAUUCUCCUUGGUCAAUAUGAAGCCUUCAAAAUGAAACCAGGAGAAUCUAUAACUGACAUGUUUAGCCGUUUUACGGAUAUUGUCAAUGGUCUUGAGAAUCAAGGACAAAAAAAUUUUGAUCCCAUGAAGGUAAACAAGCUACUGCGUGGACUCUCCAAGGAUUGGAAUCACAUAAAGACUUCAAUAAGAGAGACGCAAAGAAUUAUGCCAUUAUCUGUCGACGAGCUGAUUGGAACUCUUCAGUCUUAUGAAGUGGAACGAGUUAAUGAAGAUGAAGAUCCAAAAGGUAAGAAAUCUAUUGCAUUAAAAUCAAAUAAUGAUUCUGAUGAUACAGAUUCUGAAGAUGAUCUGGACGACGAGGAGCUUGCUCUUAUGAUAAGAAGAUUCAGAAAACUGAAUAGAAAAAGAAGGUUCAACUCAAAGAAACAAAGUUUUCAAAGACAGCAGACCAAGUCUGUUGAUGAUGAGGAACCAAACAAAGAUGUAGUUUGCUUCGAAUGUAAGAAAAAGGGACACAUCAGACCCAACUGUCCUCUUGUGAAGAAGAAGAGAGGAAAAGCUUAAAAGUUUCGAAAAGCACUCAAAGCCGAAACCUGGAGUGAUACAGAGUGUGAAGAAAGUGAUGAUGACUAUGCUAACCUAUGUCUGAUGGCACAAUUAGACUCAGACUUAGAUUCUGGAUCAGACUCAGACAGUGAAUUUAAGGCAAGUAAUUUCAAAAUUCCUAUCAAAAUUUCUAAAUACAUUGAUGAACUGUGUUUUAAUCUUAAGACUUCUCUCAAAAGAAUUUCCGAACUUAAAAAGGAAAACUCAGCUCUAAAACAAAAGGAAAACGUUUUAGAAAAAAGAGUUAAAAUUUUAGACUCAAAUGUUUUCACUCUUAAAGAAAAUGAAGAUAAUCUUUUGAAAGAAAAUGCUCUUUUAAAAACUGACUUAUCAAAAUUUUCAAAGAAAUUUUCAAUAGGGUCCGAAAAACUUGAAAAAAUUCUUUCAGCUCAAAGACCUUACUUCAAUAAGUCCGGUCUAGGUAUGACAACAGAAACAAUUCCCUUGAUUGAUUUUCCUAAGGUAAAAAAAAAAAAAUUAAGAAAAGACCUUCGAGAGAGGCUUACAAAAAUCAUUUCAAGAAAGUUUUUGUAAAGUCUGUAGGUCGAAAUGCUCUCAGAUGUUCAAAGUGCAACAGUUCAAAUCACUUUGAAAAAGAGUGUCCUAUGGUUUGGAAACCUGUUAAGAAAGUAUGAGCUAAUACUGUUUAUCAUACUAACACCAAAGGACCCAAGAAAAUUUGGGUACCAAAGAAAGCUUGAGACUCUCUUUUGAAUGCAGGUCUCCGUCAAGAAAAAGGUAAAAUGGUAUCUUGACAGUGGAUGCUCAAGACACAUGACAGGAGACUCAAAUUGCUUCAUAAAGCUUGUUCAAGUAAAUGGUGGAAAAGUUUCAUUUGGAGGAAACAACAAAGGAAGUAUUGUGGGAUUUGGAACUGUGAAAAUUGGAAAUCUCACAAUAAGUAAUGUUUCCCUAGUAGAAGGACUGAAUUACAAUCUUCUCAGCAUUAGCCAAUUAUGUGAUACUGGUUUGAAGAUCUUCUUUCAAGAAAGAACAUGUUCUGGAAUCAGUAAAGACUCUACUCAGUCUUUCAUGGGUCGAAGACAUGGAAAUAUCUACCUCUUAAACGUGAAACCAAAUGAAUCGCAAUGCUUAAUCUCAAUUCAAGAUGAAGCAAGCCUAUGGCACAGAAAGCUUGGUCAUGUCAACAUAAAGCAAUUAGCCAAAAUCUCAUCAAAGCAGCUUGUUCGAGGUCUACCAAAAUUACCAUACCAAAAGUCCGAUCCAUGCACUCCAUGUAUUCUGGGAAAGCACGUAAGAAAUUCAUUUAAACCAAUAAAUCAUGUUUCUACUAAUCAUGUACUACAGUUGCUGCAUAUGGAUCUCUUCGGACCAACCAGAACCCAGAGCAUUGGAGGUAAGAAAUAUUGCCUAGUAAUUAUGGACGAUUACUCCCGCUUUACUUGGGUAUAUUUCCUUGCAAGUAAGUCCGAAUCCUUCUCGUAUUUUGAAACAUUUGCUAAAAAUGUUCAAAAUGAAAAAGGAUGUGUUAUCUCAAGCAUAAGAACAGAUCAUGGAGGUGAAUUUGAAAAUCAAGAUUUUACAAAAUUAUGUGAAGAAUCUGGCUUUAAGCAUGUGUUCUCCUCUCCAUAUACUCCUCAGCAAAAUGGAGUUGUGGAAAGAAAGAACAGAUCUCUUUAAGAAAUGGCUAGAACUCUUUUGACUGAAAGUAAGAUUUCUUCUCGAUUUUGGGCUGAAGCUGUUUCGACAGCGUGCUAUAUCAUUAAUAGAGCCUUCUUAAGACCUAUUCUAGAGAAAACCCCCUAUGAGUUAUUCAAAGGUAAGAAGCCUAUUGUUUCAUACUUUCAUGUGUUCGGUUGUAAAUGCUUUAUAUUGAAAAAUGCAAAAGAUCAAGUUGGUAAGUUUGAAGAAAGAUCAGAUGAAUGCAUCUUCCUUGGAUAUUCUACAUCAAGCAAAGCCCACAGAGUCUAUAAUAAGAAGAGCCAGUCUGUGGAGGAGUCAAUGAAUGUCAAAUUUCAAGACUCUACGCAAGAUGAAUCGAGCCUGACUCAUCAUGAAGAGUCUAAACCUGCUCCAGACCCUCCAAAGCUUACAACUCAAGAAGCAUCUCAGACUCUGGAGGAUCAGCAUCAAGCUGUUCGUGAAGAUUCAAAUAAAGAAAGAGAUCAUCAACCAGACAAAUCAACUAGUAACUGGAAGCAUAAAUCCAUUCAUCCCAAAGAUCUCAUUAUCGGCGAAAUUAAUGAAUGAAUUCGCACCAGAUCCAAAAGGCGUGAAGAGUCUAGUGUUGUGGCUCUCAUUUCUGAAAUUGAACGAAAAAGCAUAGAAGAAGCUUUAUCUGAUGAAAGCUGGAUUGAAGCUAUGCAAGAGGAGCUCAGACAGUUCAACAUUAAUGAUGUCUGGGAGUUGACAUCUAAACCAAAAGGCAAAACUGUUAUUGGAGCUAAAUGGGUGUUCAGGAACAAGAUGAAUGAGAAAGGAAAAGUCGUACGAAAUAAAGCAAGACUCGUGGUCAAGGGUUAUACGCAAGAAGAAGGAAUAGACUAUGAUGAGACUUAUGCACCAGUAGCGAGGUUAGAAGCUAUUCGACUAUUACUUGCGUUUGCUUGUUAUAAAAAUUUCAGGUUAUUCCAAAUGGACGUCAAAAGUGCCUUCCUAAAUGGAUUUAUCCAUGAGGAAGUUUACGUGGAACAACCUCCAGGGUUUGAAGACCCAAAGAAGCCAGACUCAGUCUUCAGACUGAAAAAGGCCUUGUAUGGUUUAAAGCAAGCACCUUGAGCUUGGUACGACAGACUAAGUAAGUUCCUAAUACAUAAAGGUUUUGUCAAAGGUAAAGUAGAUACUACUUUAUUUAUCAAAAAGGAAAACAAAAGCUUUUUACUUGUUCAAAUAUAUGUGGAUGAUAUUAUUUUUGGAUCCCCUAAUGAAAGUUUGUGCAAGAAAUUUUCAAAGUCUAUGCAGGAUGAGUUUGAAAUGAGUAUGAUGGGAGAGUUAACAUUCUUUCUCGGGCUCCAAGUGAAACAAUUGGAGGAAGGAACUUUCAUUUAUCAAGAAAAGUAUGCAAAUGAUCUUGUCAAAAUGUUUGGACUGGAAAAGUGCAAAAAGACCGACAUACCGAUGUCAUGUUCUUUGAAGAUAGACAAAGAUGAAGAAGGGAAGAAAGUUGAUCAAAAGCUGUACAGGAGCAUCAUUGGUUCACUUCUUUAUCUUACUGCUUCUAGACCUGACAUUUUGUUAAGUAUUUGCAUCUGUGCUAGGUUUCAAUAAGAUCCUAGAGAAUCUCAUCUUAGCGCCGCGAAACGUAUUAUUAAAUACGUUGCUUCAUCUUUAAGCAUUGGUCUUUGGUAUCCUAAGAAUGGAGACUUUGAUCUUCUGGGAUAUUCAGACGCAGAUCUGGCCGGCUGCAGAGUUGAUAGAAAGAGCACUUCGGGAACUUGCCAAUUGCUUGGAAGUAGGACAGUGUCUUAGUUUUCAAGGAAACAAAGCGCUGUGGCUCUCUCAACAACAGAAGUUGAGUAUGUAGCUCUUGGAAGUUGCUGUUCACAAAUUCUAUGGAUAAAACAACAGCUACAAGACUUCGGAAUUAGGUGUGACAACACCAGCGCAAUCAAUCUCACUAAAAAUCCAAUCCUUCACUCAAGAGCAAAGCAUGUAGAGAUUCGACAUCAUUUCAUUAGAGAUCAUGUUCAAAAUGGAGAAAUCUCGAUUCAAUUUGUUGAUUCAAAGAGCCAACUAGCAGAUAUUUUCACAAAGCCGUUGGAAAAGAAUCAAUUCGAUCAUAUCCGUUCCAGACUCAACAUUUUGAAGAUGGAGGAAGUUAAAGUCUAGAGACUCUCCAACCCUCAGACUCAGACAUUCAUGGCUAUAAACUGUAAGUUGUUCUAUUCAAUCUCGAAAAGGUACGAUCAUUAGUUCAGUUAAUUUAUAAUUUCCGUGAAAAACGGAAUCUUGCCUUUUCAAAAAGGAUAACUUAAAUUUGAAAUGGUAGUUUUCUUUAAAAAGGGGCAGUUAUCAUUUUUCAAAAUUGGACGACUGUUCACUUUCCUUUGUGCCGAUUGGUUUUUUUUUCCUUUUUAACUGAGUUAUAUAUAUACAGUUCUCCUCGCUUAAACUUUAAAACCCUAAAAAGGCAUUCUCCUCCCAAUCCUGUCUCUACUUCUUGUUCAUCUUCGAGAGAGUUAUCAUCUUUUCUUGGGAAAGCGAGUAAAGGAAUCUUUUAGCGACAAGGAAGGAUGUCUUCUUCGAGAAAGUCUUCAAGAAUCGCGAACAGGGGACCACAGAGAAUGAAGGAGGGACCUACCCACCUCGAUCUCACCGAGGAGGAAGAUUUAUCGGGACAGCAACAAAGCCCAUUUCACUCUCCACCACAUCACUCUUCAUCUACCCCACAAGGUGCGGGUCAACAAUCGAAGGAAGAAAUAAUCGAGGACGUGGACCCUGUAAGAGUUCAAAAACCCUCUUAUAUUUACAAGCUCUAUCGUGCGUUUAAAACCACUGGUACUCCGCUGAACUAUAUAGAUGAUUUCCUUAAAGAUAAGAAUUAUGGGAAUGAGUACAUCUUUUUGAGGAAAAUGGAGGAUUUGGGAAUUGCUCCCAAAGGAAAGGCUGAAGAAGCACUUGCGAACAUUCCAAGUGACCCUCGUGUAGGAGGAUUGAAUCCCACUGACGGGAAUGAUGAUGAUAAAAUGUUCAGUGAAUUUCAACCCAUAAUGGGUGUUGCUGCAAAGGUGAAGGGAAAAAGGAUGGAUUUGUUUAAAUCAAAGGAAUAGGAGAACCUGUUCUUUAGACUGUUGAAACGAGGGGUGAGAAACCCUAGAAGUGUUGAUUUCGAUUUCUUGGAUGCCAUUAAUGUGAACAUAAGGGAGAAGUUCAAUCUGCUUCAAUUUGAGCAGUUUUGCUCCAAUACCACAGACGGUUAUGUGUAAUUGACAGCAUACUUCUAUUCAAAUCUUAGCUUUUUAGAUGUGAAUAGAAUAUCAUUCAGUGUUAGAGACCAAGACCAUGUGGUAGAUGUGGACAUGUUGGAUGACAUAAUUGGAGUUGAACGAGGACGCUAUCAACCGAUCAAAGUUUCGAUUGCUCCUGCUACACUGGAACUUGUCAAAGACAGGGAUACAGAGGGAAGAAUUACCUACUCAAGAAUGAGUGCCAUCAACAUUUUGCUUCACAAAAUUGUGAUCAACUGUAUCAGACCAAAGUCUACAUCCAAGACUGACGUGUCUAACUCCGAGGCAAAAUUGAUGUACGCAAUCAAUUCAGCAAAGAAGUUCUCUCUCCCUCGCACCAUUCUCUUUCAUAUGUACAGAGCAAUGGUGAAGGACAAGGGGCAAUUGCCUUACCCAGGUCUUGUGACCAAGAUCUUCAGACACUUGAACAUUGAACCUCCACAUACUCUUUGUGUUCGACCAUGCGACAAAAUGGUGGUGGGUUUGAAAAUGCUGACAAAAAUGCGUCUGAAAGAGCUUAGCAAGGCAAUGGAGAAGUUCAAAGUGAAGACUCCAGUAUCUUCUGCAUCAAAGAGAAAAGGGAAGGAGCCAAUCGGUGCUCCAUCCAAAAAGAAAAGAUCUCUCAUCUUGGAGGAUGAAGAAGAAGAGGAAGAUCUCACUAUCUCUGCAUUGAUAAGGACUAGACGUUCUGUACCUGAAUCAACGGAACAUCAGAAGAAAGGGAAAGAAGCAAAGGAAAGAGAAUAGAGAAAAGAAGAGGAGCAGGCAAAGAACAGAGAAGCAGAGGAGCAACAAGAGAAAGAGAAAGAGAAAGAAGCUGAAGAAGAAGGAGAAGCAGAAAAAGAAAAGUCUACAGAUGCUGAAGAGCAUGACCAUCACUCUUCCCCAAUUGAGGUCUUAGAGACAGGGGGAGAUGGCGAGCAAGGAAGGAAUACACCACAUGCUGUCAACAGUGAAGGUGUAAGUCGCUCACCAGCAAAUCCAGAAGAUUUUCAGGCUUCUCAAAUGCUUGAGGAAGGACAUGAUAUGUCAACACCAAAUCUGCUCGAUUACACAGAAGUUCCAUCGUCUGCCUUCACUCCAUCCAAGAGAGCAAAUGCGAGCACACAGACGGACAAUACAGCAGAUUUUCGUCGUAUUCUUGAUGUUCUUCUGGAAAUGAAGGGUCAAAUCUAUGCUCUAGAAUGUGAACUUCAAGUCAUGAAGAAUGCUGGACAAGCAUCUUCUGUUACCCUGGCGGAUCAAAUGAAAGACCUCGCUCUUCAAAUUCAAGCCAAUGCCAAAAGAGAAGAGGUAGCUCAUCUACGGGAAGACUUGAAGAGGUUGGAAGGGAUCAUACAAUCGAUGGGAGAUUUCCAGAUUGUGCACAUUCCCAAGAAGACUUGACUCUUUUCUCACCUUUUUUAAUGAUGACAAAAAGGGGGAGAAUUGCAAUUUGAACGAAAUCUUUAAACUUUGACUUUAAAUUUCUUUUGUGUUUGAAUGUUUGUUUUUGAGUAUGACUUGGGUGUAAACUUGAAAUUGACUGACUUGGAUGUGGAUUUUGAUAUUUGACUAUUUGCAUCUAUAUCAAGUGUUGUUGUAUGGUAUUACUCAUGAAAGACUAACCAAUUUUCUGUGGAUGCAGAGUCUGGUUGUUUUAUUAAUCUUUAUGAGAUAGCCAUAUUGCUUGAGUAAUGUUUUGCAGGUCAAAGUUGUUCAAAUCUACAGGAAAGUUUUGUCACCAUCAAAAAGGGGGAGAUUGUUGGAGAAAUCUUUCUAGAAUAUUUUAAAGAUGACAAAACGUUUCUAUCAGUCUAGUCUGGAUAUUUGCAGACCUUUUGUUUAGAGUCUGAAGACUUUCAGAUCACCAGACUCAAGACUCAAGACUCAAGACUCAAGACUCAAGACUCAAGACUAUUCUCAUUGACAGUUUGUCUAAUCCAGUGACGAAGGUAAUCCAGAGCCGAAGUACUUGGUUGAGGAUUUAGUCCUAUCCUCUGGAGAAGAUAUCUUGGCUGGAUAAAUAUAACGGAUUCUUUUAUUCGUAAUCAAGAUCGUUUAAAGAUCCGAUGGUCGACGAAAUAUUCUUGGAAGGUUCUAUUCAUGGAAACCAAGAUCCUGAUUGUAUGGGCGAACAGGAUUGAUGGGCUAUCGUCAGGUUCCUUUAAUAGCUCGAAUGAUCUUCUUGAUUGAUUCCCGUCUAACGGGUAGAUUGGAGGAAUUCCUUUGGUAAGUGCCAACGGGUAUGAUGGCAUAAAAGAGUAUAAAAGGGAAGACGUUCUAGUUGCUUAAAAACAUGAUCGAUAGAGAAAUUCCAGAGUCUGAAGCACCUUGAUAUUUAGUCAAUACAUUUUGAGCGAAAUUGUAUACACAAAGAGUGUCUAUACUUAGUGAUACCUUGAGCUAGUGUGGUAGAUCACCUACACCAAGAAAUCAAGGAAGAUCAACGCUAUAACAUCUCUUUGUUCAUAGUGGAAUCCAGCCAAUAGGCUGUCAGUGCAGAAGAGUGGACGUAGGCUUGAAAUAAGCCGAACCACUAUAAACCGGGUGUUCAAUUCUCUCCUUCCUUCUCUCAAUCUUACUUUGAUUAUUGUUUGUCUCAAAUCUAUCAACUGUCUAGUAUUGUGCAAUUAUCGAGAAAAAUCUUUUAUAUACCUAUUCACCCCCCCUCUAGGUAUUUAUACUAGCUAUAUCAUGGUUGAGGAUGUUAUUGUCAGAAAUUGGGAUGUCAACAUCAAAACCUUCGAUAUUAUAUUGUGACAAUCAAUCAGCUAUUCAUAUUGCAAACAAUCCCGUCUUCCAUGAGCGAACCAAGCACAUUGAGGUUAAUUGUUACUUCAUAAUAGAAAAAGUUCAGAAAGAAGAGAUCACUCUUCAACAUACAAGAACGGAGGAUCAGCUUGCAGAUAUUUUUACCAAGUCUUUACGAGGAAAUAGAGUGAAUUUUUUAUGUAACAAGUUAGGAUUGUUUGAUAUUUACAUCCCAACUUGAGGGGGAGUGUUAGGAAAUAGUAAUAAGGGUAAAAUAGUCAUAAGAGGGUUACUAGGGUUACUCAUAUAUAUAUAUAUAUAUAUAUAUAUAUAUAUAUAUAUAUAUAUAUAUUCUUGUAAUCCUUUUUUGAUUAAGUUAAUACAAUACGUAGAAUAGUCUCUCCUUCAACAAGUUCCAUGGAAGGUUCUUCCAUGCUUUUCCUCAUAAAUGCUGAGGAAAAUCAAUGCCAUGCCUCGCAAAUACAUUGCCUCAGUCCCUUCUUUGUAUGAGCUAUUUAAUUGCCUGUUGUGGUUAUGGUUGAUUAGUUUUUGAAGCAGCUAUUCACAUUGAAGCAGUUCAUGGAGGUUAUAAUUGCUGUUUUCAUACGGUUAGGACUGCAGUAGACUCUCACUAUCCAUCUGGUCCCUGAUUUGCUGAAUCAUUAUUACUAUCUUCCAGCUGAUAAUCGGGCAUCCUAGCGAAUCGUCAGCUAAUCAUUCAUGCACAUGUUGGGAUUUUUGUGAGUUCAGCAAAAUAAUUUCAGACAGCACUAAUGCUUCGAGAAAUCUUGUUGAUGUUGGAGAGUUUCUCAAACCACUUGUUGGAGAUGUUAAAUUCAUUUCUCCAUGACAUGCUUGGCAUCAACAUGUAGAACUUAAUCUGCACUACAUAUAAUCUGGGACUGGUACAUAUUCUGUUUCUUGGAGUAUUAUAAGAAACGAGGGGAAGUAGAGUAGAAUGGAACCAUAUCAAAUGUUGAUUGAAAGAAAAAUCUUGCGCAAUUCCAGAUAAAUGUCAUUUGUCUAGAAUGCAGUUCCAACAUAUCAGCCAAAACCGGCAUUUCAUAUGUGCAAGUUGCCCCUAAAGAUGUCACCUCCAAGUCAUUGCCUAAUCAAUCCAAUGGUCUUCUACAGCCGGCAGCCUCUCUGUAAAAUUACUUUGCGUUUGGGGAUAGCAAGCCUGUGUCCCGCCUCUGGAGCCUCCUUCUGCAUUGCAUUUGAUCAGAUGAAGCCUGCAACCUCUUUCUGUUAAAUUCAUUAGAAAUCUGACCGCCUUUGCAGUGUUGCAUGGCCCCCCAGCCAUAAUUCCACUAUAUAUCCUUCGGCAAACAUUUCAUCGACUGAACUUAUGACAUGGCUUGUGCAAUUUAACCUUUUCCUUAAAGUCCAUCAAUUCAAGGGGCAAGCUCGCAACAUCUGGUUCUAGUCCAAGCUUGAAGACUAUAUUCAAAACAGAGAAGCCAAGAUGAAAUCUUUUCAAGUGGUAAGAGGCAAUUUAUCAGAGUCCUGAGAAUAUAAAUGUCUCAAGAUUAAGGGGGUGUGGGUCCUCUGCAAGUUAAAACAUAAUAAAAUCUACAGCAAGCUAUCAUGAAAAGACAGUUAAAGGAAAGAACCGUGGUCAAUCUAUUACUAGAAUAAAUAGCCAAAAAUUUUAAAUGGCAAAGCAGACGUUAGAAAAGCUCUCAUUAUACCUUGGCAGAUUCAUUUUUCAUUUUCUCAUACCAUCAGCAUCAUAAGGAUAUCAUAAAAUCAAUUCGGACCUUUCUUUUCCGGUCUUCCGAUUCCAACAAAAAUUAAGAGAAAUUAGGCAUGAGUGCCUUUUUAUUUUGUGUUAAAUUAGUGCCUUCAGUGUCUCAUCGCAUGUACCUUUUUAUCUUCUGCAAGUUGAAAAAUGCUAAAUCUAUAGCAAGCUUCUGGUGAAACACAGUUAAAGAUAUGAACCCUGAUCAAUCCACAAUGAAGAUUUAUAGCGUAAAGGUUCAAUGAGAAAACAGAUGUAAAGAAAAACUUUUGUUGUAGCUUGGUAGAGUUUUGAAGAUGGUGAUGAAGAACCUACAAGAGUUCCAUUGGGAGGAGACUCACAGAUCAACACAAUCUGGACCAUGUUUGUAUUGGUGUUCUCUCAGGUCCAUGCAUACAACUUUCAGCUAGUUUUAGGUCUUCUUGCCAAAUAUAGUCAAAACAGACAGAACUGAGGAUCAAUGCAACCGCUCCAAUCAUCUCUCAUUGAGAUAAGAACUCUCUACUAUAUACAGUCACUCUCAACCAUAUUGUGCAAUCCAUGCAUCGCCCUCAUUUUCUGACCAUUUUUAACCAGUGCUCGGGUGGAGAGUGCAGCUUCUCUUUCAUUUCUUGAAGCAGCUCAUAGGCAUCACUCAUUUGGUUGGCUUUACAUAGCCCUGCAAUUAUAGCACCGAAUAACAAAGCAUCAUGUUGCAAACCUUUCUUAGGUAAAGCAUUGGAGAGUUCUAUAGCAUCUUCAAGUUCCCCUGCGACAUAAGCCGCUAAUAAGGGUGUUAUAGCUGAUGAUAUGGACAUUUCCAUCUUUCACUUGUCGAUACAAAGCAAUUGCCUCAUGAAUCUGGUGACAUUUACAAAGACCACCUAACAUUAUUGAUUGUUGUUGAUUUAAAUGUUCGCGACUAGCUAGAAUUUUGUAAAACAAAUGGCGUGCAACCCGAGGCAUUUCAAUGAGGAAAAAGCUACCCCCUGAGAUAGUUAUAGGCGGCAACAUCAAGGAGUGAUCCAUUCUGUAACAUUCAUGAAUCAAUGUUAGAUUGGUUGUGAGUGAAAGCGAGCAGUUUUGUGCAAUCAUCCAAUGAAAUGUACUGGGUGCAUCAUCCAUUUGAUUUUAAUAGCAGUAACCACCAAGCAAUGAAUUAUAAGCAACUAGGUCGGGUGUAAAUCCUCCUCAGAUCAUCAGAUCAAAGAUGCACUUUGCCUCGGUAGUCCUGCCCACCUCACUCUGCAAAGCGCAUCCACAAUGAUCCUGAUGGUUCGAACAUCUGCCAUCGCUCCUCUUUGCAGCAUCUCAGUUAACGCAACUGAAGCCUCUUCCCAUUGGCCACCACAGCAUAGGCCUUGGAUGAAGGAGUUACAAGUGAAAACAUGUGGUCAGAUUCCAUUGCUAAGCAUCUUGUCCAACAAAACCUGUGCUUCUUUUCAUUAACCUAUGCGAGUUGAGCAAGAGAUGACAGUUGGGCAUCAGUAAUAGUAUUAUAGAACUUCAAAGCCUCUGUCCCGGUGCCUCCUAUGAUCGUGGUGUACAUGAUCACAUCUAGCUCCCAGCCUCUGUCUUCCAAAUUCUUCGGCAAUCGAACGGUUUUCCUAGCCUUGCUGGUUAUGCACAAUCUGUCACUAUGGCUCCACACGUGGUAAUAUCUACCUUGAUUCAUCUGACCAACAUUUCAUCCGCCAAGCUCGUGGCUCCGGCAAAUGGAUCGAGGGAGGGACAAAGGUGUGGACGGUGUCCAUCACUCUGCCACCUUCGCGGAGCGCGUACGGGAGGUGGGCCUUCAAACUGGCAUUAUAUUCUUUUUCGUUUUUCGCAUUAUAUCCUAGAAUUUUAUUUUUUAUCUUUUCGCAGUAUACUUUAGUGGCCAAAAGAAAUUCUUACCUUAUCUAUAAAUUUCAUCUACUUAAUAAUUUAUCCAUAAAUUAGAUUGAUAAUGUAGAAAAGAACUAGAUUUCUUGGAAAUUUCUCUUUUCAACUUAAAUAAAUGUUUAUGAAAGUAAUAUCUAACAAUAAAAAAAAUAGUGCCUUUGAUAUACAUGAAAAAUCUACAAUAAACAAAAUCUAGAUAUAUAUGAAAUUCUUAAUUAUAGGAAGGAGAUCUUACAUAUAUAUAUAUAUAUAUAUAUAUAUAGAAAGACUAAAAAAAAGGAAAGUAAACAAAUUUGGGACCACCAAUUUGAAUUGCAAUUGAAAACAGAGUUCAAUUAUGUCUUUUUAAUGAAAACGGAGUGGAUUUAGUCAUAUAGGGGAUAGAAGUAGCACCGCCCCAAUAAAUUGCAAAGAAAGAAAAAACAACUUAUUAGACGUGUCUCUCUUUAGAGCCUAACCAAGUGCAGUUGGGUGAAACUUCUCUGAUUGGGAAUCGCACUGCUACGCCAUUCAAGCAGCUGGUCGAGCCUUGCUGGAGCCUAGGGCAAAAAUCUCAGUCUGUUCUUUGGAACAUCUGCUCCAUGUGAAAACUCCAAAAUCGCGUCGGGACUAGAUCUAUUUGUGCUCGAGCUCCAGAUACUAAUCCAAAUAAAAAGUUCAAAAGGAGUUUUGGGUGCUUGGAGUUAAUGUGCUAGCUUUCAUUGAACACUGUCGAGGAUCGACUGAACGUUCGGAGGAAAAAAACAUGAAGUACUGUCGUUGAAGUCAACCAAAGCCAUACGGAUUUUUUUUCUCACCAUCUUCUACUAAUUAAAUUAUCAGUUUCAGAAUGGGAGUCAAACAGUAUUUGUUGACUUAUAAGAUGCAAAACGAUAUGGCGCCAAUAUUAUGCAAACAACCAUACGCAAAACAUCGAGGCGGGCACCAACUUAGAUUUUUUUGGGAAAAGUACCAAAAAAGUCCUAAACCUAUUGCAUUGGUACCAAUUCAGUUCUAAACUUUUCAAUUGAACCAAUUCAGUCCUAAACCUUUUAUUAUUGGUACCAAUGUAGUCCAUCCGGCCAAUUUUGGCCGGCCGACGCUGACGUGGACGUCGACCGGUGGCCGGAUGCCGACGUGGCAAUNNNNNNNNNNNNNNNNNNNNNNNNNNNNNNNNNNNNNNNNNNNNNNNNNNNNNNNNNNNNNNNNNNNNNNNNNNNNNNNNNNNNNNNNNNNNNNNNNNNNAGCGUCCGGCCGACGUCCACGUCAGCGUCGGCCGGCUAAAAUUGGCCGGAUGGACUGAAUUGGUACCAAUAAUAAAAGGUUUAUGACUGAAUUGGUUCAAUUGAAAAGUUUAUGACUGAAUUGGUACCAAUGCAAUAGGUUUAGGACUUUUUUGGUACUUUUCCCGAUUUUUUUAAGGCAAUGCAUAUUAUACAUUUUAUUUUCACGUCAAAAUUUAAAAGAAAAUUGUUUAAAUUUCAAAAGAUUAUAAAUUAAAUGGGAAUUUAGGUGUCCUACGGCAAGGGUAGAAAAUGGACAAAUUGCACGAGUGCAUAAUUUUUUUUUUUUCACAAGUGCAUAAUUUAAUAAAGAGAAAAAAAACGAAAAAAUAAAAUAAAAAGCCAAUCUAGACACUUAGUCGAUUGAUUUGACACACAGGGAACUGAAAGGAUCCAAGCAAUUCGUCUCGGCAAUGACUAUGACCAUUUUUUAGCACACAAAAAUGAACAGCUUAAAAAGUUACAGAGCCAAAGAUGACAAGUACCAAAUCUAGAGCAAAAUGGUGAAAACUCUUUAGUAUUCCAAAGCAAUACCAAUUCCAAUAAGGCACUAUUGAUAGAGAAAGAAGAAAACCAAAAGAAGCUUGGCAGCACGUGAGACAUCAUGUGGAUGAUAGCUAAAGCUUCAGUCAAGGUGCCACAAAGAUGUUGCUACGGAAUAUUCAGGCAGAAAAAUAUAUAUACACAAGCUGUCAUUUAUGGAUACAGGUAUAUCUUGACAAACAGCUCUUCAGAUGCAUGAUAACCAUAAAAUCUCCUUGCUCGUACGAGGCUGCAACCACGCACGUGUUGCCGUUUUACGCCAGCAUUGCCUUUGAGCUGCGGUAACUCACAAAACAAUCCUUUCAGAUACAAACUAGCAAGUGAAUCGGACAAUAAGUUAAAGCCAGGACUUAAUAUUUUCGAAGAAUGACAAAUUAUACCUUCAAGGCUUUCUCCAUGGCUAGAGAGACAGCAUUUGUAAAUGCAUCCCCUGUGCAAUUCAACAGUGACUAAUUAAUUCCAUGCUAGUAGCAGAACAUGAAUUCGAAAUAUAUAAAAGCACGAAUAAUUCAAAGAAAUUGAGAUAAAGUCUACAGCAACAUUAUAUUACGAGGACAUUGACAAAAACUGGUCAAGUAAAACCACAGCCAUGUUGCCAAAAGAACAUAUCACCCUGAAAACACACAAGCUACAUGCUAGAGGUAUUGUGAACUGAGAGAAACGUUGAUUAAUUUCUUCAAACCAAGAUAUGCACAAAGCAGCCUAUGCAUCUGUAACACGCACAAGUACCUUCAGACAUUGGAUUGAUAGGAAUAUCUGUACAUGGUACAUACAAAUAGGGUAAAGCCUACAAGAAAAAAAAAAAAACAUAAUUUAGAACCAGUACGAAAAAAAUGUACAAGAUAUUGGUGUCUCAUAAGCUAUGCAAUGGACAAGCAUCAUGUACUUUUCACAAUAGAUUGCUUGGAGCCACGUAAGCUCCUCAUUUGUUAUUUAGACAUUCAACUAGUGUCCAGCCAGUCUAAGAAAGUAGACUGUUGCCAAUAUGGUGCCUCUUGCGAGCAGAAAGUGGAAGAAACUUUCUGAAUCCUGAAUUUGCCUUUUAUCUCGUAGCAUAUACCUUAACUCAAGUCUGUAUACCCAUGCUGGUUUAAAUUCUUCAUCGGCAGAAAGGAAGUUACUUUCAUUGCUCCACAGCUCAAGGGGGGUAAAGCAAGUACUUGGAACAAUUAAAAAAACUACAAAUAAACAAGGAUUGCACUCACCUUAUGCACAUGUAAGCAAGUUUUUUGACCAGCAGGAGUUGAACCAUAUACUCUUAUUACAGGAACCUCAUUCACUUUUUCACCUUCAUCAAUCAAUCAUGAACAAGAUUAUGAACAUACAAAAGUAGAUAUUUCUAGCUAAAUUUCUAGCUACUGUAUAGUAAAUGUAACUGUUAUUUUUGCAGGUUAAAGGUCAAAUCCUCACACAGAAUUUUAAAGAUUGACAUGGGACCACGCCACAUGAAAACUGUAAGCGCACCUUCUUCUCUUUGCAUCAGCAACAAAAAAGCGAAUUUCAAAUAUGUCAUCAUCAAGACAACUACACACUCCAAACGAAAAGUAAUCAUCAGUCUACGGAAGAAGACGAUGAGUUAAACAAUGCCCACCAAAUAUUAAGAAAAAUAUUCAAUACUCUCUGGAUUUUCUAAGCAACCAAACCAAUCAUGUAAUAAAUUAUUAAGACACCAAUGUGCUGAUUCCAAGACUGUGCUACAAUUUUAUUCAAUCCUUGCGUAUAUCCAUGCCAGGCAAUUACUUAACAUCAAUCCAGCAGCCCCAACAAGAAGUCCGAAUAAGACAUCCACGGACAAACUGAUAAGUUCUUAACAGAACACUAAGCCAAGCAUAUUCCUUGCACUCAUAAGAAAGCAAACAAACUUUUGUCUGCAAUGCAGUAACAGAUUGAGUCCUACUCUAGCAAACAAAACUAACAGCUUCCAGAUUCAAACCACAGGCUUCUCUGGCAUUACUUACCACUAGAUUCCAUAACCAAAGAAGCGAACACAAAAAUUAUGCUUCAAAAGAUGAGAGCAGACUCUCAUUCUUUUUUUACCGAAGACGCGUUACGUACAUUUAUUACGAUAAAAACAUAGAAUAACUUCAAAAGCAUCGCUAUUCCUAGGAGAAGACAACAUCAAGACCCAUUCUAAUACCCCAAUUCAGCCACAGCUCCAGCAAGCAACAAGACCCAACAACAUUACGGUGUGGCAACUACCUAUUACCAUCACGGGCACAGUAAAAAAGCAGAGUCUUUCCAUCUGUUUUCGUGCUUCCCCUAAUGCCCAUAUUCCCAGUCUCAUUCUUUUUUACUAAAGACACGUUAGAUACAAAUUAUUACCAUGAAAACAUAGAAUAACUUCAAAAGCACCGCUGUUCCUAGGAGAAGACAACGUCGAGACCCAUUCUAAGACACCAAUUCAGCCACAGCUCCAUAAAACAACAAGACCCAACAACGUUCCCACGCCGCGACUAUACAUAACCGUUACGGACACAGUUAAAAAACGAGUCUUUUCCAUUCAUUUUCAUGUUUCCCCUACUGCCCAUAUAUCCCACCGUCCGAACUGCACGUUUAUUUUACUGCUGUCAAAUAUAAUGAUAGAUUCCGACCAAAAAAAAUUAAUGAUGGAUUCGGUCAAAAAAAUAUUUAAUGAUAGAUUAAAAAUUGGCUUUAAUCUAUCUUAUUAAUUGGUUUUAUAUACUAAGUAAAUGCUAACAACAAUGUUCAAUUAGAGAUAUUAGCUAUUGAUAACUCAGCAACCAAAUUACAAUUUUAUAACUUUCGAAUAUAUUAAAGAAAUAAAAGUAUUGGAAAUAUUAAAACUUUAAAAAAGUGCAAUCAAAUAAGAAAAUUUCUCAUAAAUGUACAAUUGAGUUUUAAAAUUUUUAAGAAAAUACAAUCAACUCUUAAAAUGGAUUAAUGACUUUCAUAUGAAUUAAGAUUUGUGUUGAAUUAAAACUAGUUCAAAACUUAAUUAAAGAAAAUUUGUGUAUCGCUCGAAUUAGGAUCUGUAACUUCAUAAAAGAAUUAAUGGCUUUAACGGUUGACAACUUGUACAACUAAAUAUCUAAAAAUUAUUAAAACAAACAAUAAUUUUGGAACAAUCAAACAAACCCCAGUAUUUUUUAUGAAAGUUUGGGUACAAACAUAUCACAAGCCAGAUACGUCGCCUAUCUUUUUUUCAAACUGUUACUAAACAAUAUUUCUGAACAUACCAAUACAGAACACCAGAACAAUCCUGGUCAGUGGUGAUGCUCCCGGAUUACAGACCUUCAAGAGGUUUGUUCAACAACAAUAGUCAUUGAAUUCAAAAGAUCUGUCCACCCAUUGCUACAUCUACAAGCCCAGCUGAAAGUUUAUCAACACUUGGACCAUUCGCUAAAACAUUAGUCGAUCCACACACAAAUUACUCCGUAAAUAUAUUAGUCAGUCCACGCAUAAAUAAAUCAUAUGCUCCAUUCCUUUGCAAAAGGCUAAAAAUAUAUGUAUGUUGAUAAAUUGUCAGAGAAUCAUACAAUAGCGCCCACCCUUUUCCUUUUGGACACUAUAUCUACUAUGAAAUGCAAAUUACAAAUGCAUUAUAGAAGGUUCUGUCCACAGAGUAAUGGGGAAACAAGCUAAUCGACGCUUGGAGUUGCCCCAAGAAUGCAAAGAAACAGAUGCGGCUUGGUGGAAUUGAAGAUUCACACACAUGGAGAAAUAGGUUCAAUUCCAGUCCCGUUCUUCAAGCUGCCAUCUCCAUUCAUUUCAUCUUAUUAAAGCAGCCAUAAUGUUGCCUAACCAUUUCAUUUGGGCCAAUCCCACCUGUCUCUCCCACCUAAGGUCUUCGGAGAAUUUCGAGAGUGCAGCCCUCGGAUCACCAUCAGAGAUAGACAAGUAGUACUGAGCAGUCCCAUCAUCAACCUGCAUGCUCCUCCUAAGCGAGUCGAGUAUUCUCUUCUUCCCUCGUUCAGAGGUUGUCCUCUUUAGCAAAGAACUCAUCUCUAUGUCCUGGACGCCUUCUGGGUAAAGCACGGCGACUUCCCUCUUUGCAUGGUUAUCUCGCUCUAUGUAGCAUGUGGAAUCGAUAAGAAUGUCAGGGUUGCUUAUGGGGAUUAACAAUCUCUCCCUCGAAUAUAUACCAUGAUCACUCAUCAUGCUGUUCAAGCGCUUUAUGUCCAUGACCUGACGGCACAAAAGAAAUUCUUGAAGCAUGUGACAUGCGGUAUAGACAGGCACAAAAAGGAUAUGCUAGACAGAAACAUUGAAGCAGGGAAGAAAAAAAUUUCAGGGAAGCCAUUCUAAAAGUAAGUCUCGGACAACAGUUAUCAAAACAUUGAACCCAGAGAGAUCUAGCUACAUGACAUCAUUAUUGACACUUCAGGGAUUAUUAUGACUACAACCAUGGAAAAUUUCCAUAUAAAGACAUAUUAAUUUCCUAGUUGCACAAACAAUUUAAGUUCUGCUCUCAGAAUUUGAGGUUCACGUUCAACCAUUUCGAUGAAUCAAUAUCACCACCACAGAAUCAUCAACUAUUUCUAUGUCAAUGUUAUUAAGUCGGAGGAACUAUCAUGAGGAUCACAAAGUGCAUUGCCAAUAUUUCACACUGAUUACUUGCAAAAUCUUAGCAUCAUUUAGCCUCGUGUGUUCUGGCAACUAAGAGAUUGUGAUUAUCUAUUAAGAUAAUCAAUAUAUAGUCGUCAAUCAAGCAUAUCUGUUUGCUAUUAAUAACCAGAGAUGCUUCUCGCUUGGCAAACUUAAGAAAACAUUACCACAUGAAGAGAUUUCAUAAUGUUUUACAUGAAGAGGACCCUAUGCUCCCUAAGACAUAACAUUUUGGUCCAAGCCCCAACCUUCCUCCAUACCUCCAGAAGAAACCACGACAGUGACUUCCAAGUGUAACCGUUUCCUUUUCCUUCUUUAUAUUUUAGGCUUCACUAAAAGAUGAAGUCACUCCAAAAUUACAAAAUUCGUAUGUCAAUUAGUCUGGCCUUCUCCAAUGGGAAUAAAUCUAUAAGAUUUGCAGUAGUAAAUUCCAUUGAGCAUUUAUCCUACCACCUAUUUGAUACAAUAUAGAGCCACAGUAUAAAAUUAUAACUAACCCCACUCAAUGGGAGAAAUCUGUCAUUAACGUGGAAGUCAUUCAACCGCCAGCCUGCACAAAGAAGCUAUGAACAUCAUCAAAUGAUACUUUAGCUAACUUUUAAAUGAAAUCGCAAUCCAUUUGUUCUCAGAAUCAGCUGAAAGUGAAUCUCUAUAAAAAAUGCAGCGCCAAAGCAUGUCAUUUGCAAAUGACUUUCCAUACAAUUUUCUUUCAUAAAUCUUAAAUUUUCCACGACCCAAACAAAGUCAUGGGAACCAUCGGUCAACGGAAUUUGAUACAAUUCCAUAAACUAAAUUAGUUGGAAUAAAACAGGCGAAGCAUGAUUUCCCGUGUAACGAGGGGACACAUGUCAGAAGGAGAUCGUUUUGGAACGGGGGGAUUGACGGAAUGCCGGGGGGUAGACGUCGCGCUGUCCCUUCCUGGUUCGUGCUCGGUCUUCGCCUCGUUGUUGGUCAACGGAUUGGAACCGCAGGAGGAGGAGGAAGAGAUCCGGAAUACUACGCUUCCGAGGCGGAGGCUGCGCACGUGGCGGAAACCCAGAUGAGCUUCCGGGGCACGAAAGUGAAGGAGCGCCCAAAAAAGAUCUCCCUUUUUUUCUUUUUCUUGUCGACUCCGAGAGAGAGAAGGACAGAUUUAUAUAUAUUUAAAGAAUUAAAUUAUUUUAUUUUUUUUGCGAAUUUUGAGGAGGUUGAGGUGUCAGUGCGAUGUACCUAGCCUCAAACUAACUUAGAUCACAUGUAAAAAUUUUCAUGACGUUUUUAUAAGUUUGAUGGAAAAAUAUAUAUUCUUCUUUACUUUUUGAAUAACACGAAUAGAAUAGUUUUUGAAAAAUUUGGUCAAUAUGAAUUAAAGAGUUUCAAAUGUUACAUUCUGCAUAAGCUUACAAAAGCAUGAUAAAAAAGUAAAUUGCUAAACUUAAAUGGAAAAUCGAAUAUAUUCAUUAUAACAUUGGUAAUCUUUUAAGUACUUGUAAAAUUUUGAAGAAGUUGGUGAUUUGCUAAUUUGACUUGAUAUGUCGAAGCCAAGAAAAAAAAGGGUGUGGAGCGAGGGCCAUUUCUGCGAUCCCGUGCUUUUGCGCACGACAACUUUGUCAUGUUUCUCCUUAGCCGUUGGAUUCAAGUGGUUUAAUAUCAGCCGUUCGAUUAAUAUGAGUUGUCAGCGUUUCUGAUCACUCCCGUUGGUGGAAAACUCGUGGAAUUGCCCACUCGAAGGUGCCAAAUCACGGCAUUGCCCUUCCUUUGUUUAUCGCCUACUUCAAUUUUUCUUCCACCGUUCCCUUCUUUCCAAACUACAUACGUUAAUAAAAUUUUUAAUCAGUGCAUUAACAUUGUCGCAGUUUCUUUAUAUAAGCUGGUUUUUAUAGAAUGACACAUAUUCUAUUUUUACUUUUAGCAUGUAGAUAUAUUUCAUAAAUAGUUUAUGCUCCCAUUUUGAGAUUAUCUAUGUUAAAAAAAAAACGUAUAUUGACCGUGUAUGUAAUAUAUAUUCUCUUCUAAGGGCUUUUAUUUUGUACAAUUGCAAAAUAAUUUUUUUUUGCACAAAUAGGCUUUAGAUAAUUUUUUUGGCACAAAUAAUUAAGAUUUAUUUUCUCUCUUGUUUUAUUUUGUACAAUGAAGAUAUAAUUUUUUUUUUUUUUGCCGAUGUUUAUCACCUGCCGAGUGGCUAUGACUUCAAUAUUUAUUGACUUCUCGCUGGCCGGUGACCCCUCUUGCAAUGAUUUUAAGCAGCCAGCCCAUCUUUUAUUUAAGAAUGGUAUCGAGAGCAUAUGCCUUUAGCAAAAGACAAGUAAUCAUCUUUUGUUUAAGAAUGAUAUCGGGGAGAAUGCACAUUUAUAUUAUAUUUUUAAUAAAAAACAUUUGUUCGUUCCAGCUGUCUCUAACAUGAGUUGCAGCGAUUAUGUGCAUUCACAUGUUAGAUUUGUAAAUUUUCUCCAACCCAUCUUUUAUUUAAGAAUGGUAUCGGGAGCAUAUGCCUUUAGCAAAAGACAAGUAAUCAUCUUUUGUUUAAGAAUGAUAUUGGGGAGAAUGCACAUUUAUAUUAUAUUUUUAAUAAAAAAUAUUUGUUCGUUCCAGCUGUCUCUGACAUGAGUUGCAGCGAUUAUGUGCAUUCACAUGUUAGAUUUGUAAAUUUUCUCCUCUCCUUUCGCUUUAAAAUUUUUUAAAUAAAAAAGGGUAUAUACCUAAAGUGGUUGACCAUAUGUACGUUCUUCAAUUUUUCAGCACCAUCCAUGCGUUUGCUUUUACCAUAAGUUAAUUGUGAACAAAAAACUAUUAAACUUAAGUGACUUGAUAAUUCUAGUUUUAAUUUAAUUAAGGAUCGAAGUGUACAUAUAUGUCUAUGUUUAUAUGGAUGAAGAUGUAUUUAAUACUGCAUCAUGUCUAUAUGGAGAGUCGAGUGUUGGUUGUCGGUUCAUAAACAGAUGAUAAAAGAGUCACUUUUUUCUUGAGCCACCAGAAAAGGCUAGCAUGGCGUAAAUACUUUACGUUAGAAAAAAAGAAGGAAAGAGACCCUUUCAAUUAUUUGGUUGUUACGAUUAUAAGUAGCCCAUCUUUUAUUUAAGACUGAUAUUUGGGAGCAUGCGCAUGUUCCCAUUGUUUUGUCAAAGAUCUGAAUAAAAGUUCGUUGACAGUGAAUGGUAUUUGUUUUUCAGCCCACUUGUGACUUUAUUAUGUGCGUUCAUACGCCAGAUUUGAAAAUUUUCUUCUCUCUUUUUAUUUUAUUAUUUUUUAACAAAAAAUAAUAUAUUUAAAAUAGUUGAUCAUUUGUGCGUUGUCUAUUAUUUUUACACGCUAGGGUUUUCUCUGCGAGUUCUCUCCCUUUGCGCCUCCCUCUCUCUCUACCCUCCUUCUCUCUCCGACGAACAGGAUCGCGACCUCCCUCUGUCUCUGCCCUCCCUCUUUUCGACCGGCGAACUACCGCGAGCAACCGACGGACCACCGCGCGAGAUCGGCGAGAGGACCGCGAGCAACCGACGAACCACCGCACGGGACCGGCGAGAGGACCCCGAGCUCCCUCUCUCUCUCUCUCUGGCCUCCCUCUUUCCAACCGGCGAACCACCGCGCGGCCCCUCCGGCUCCAGAUCCGGCCCCGACUCGUCCGUCCCUUGCUCUUUCUCUCCCCUCGCGUCUCUGUCUGCCUCCCUCUCUUGGACGGCGAACCAGCGCGUGACCGGCGAACCAAUAUUUUCUCCUUGCGGAGAAGCAACGAAAAUAUCUUUGAAGUCUACAGCGAGGUAGUCUGACCGAUUUCGAGGAAGGAAGGUUUGUUUCGGUGGUCUUGGGUCAAGAAGGUGAGGGUAAAAAAGCAGUACAAUUACCGUGUGAAAAGACGCGCAAUCUUGUCGCGCAAUCCUCUCCACAGGAUUGCGCGUCUCCUUCGGGGCAAGAGGUUCGAAGUAAAGCUUUAUUUAAAGUCCGAGUGCUUGUGACCCAGGAGCAGAAACGCCAAUCACCAUAAAUCAAUUGGGACGCUCGUCUUUCACUCUGAGAUAUCUGGCUUUGAUAGUUCUAGAUUGAGGCGUGGAGGUGGUCUCAGAAUUGUGCUGCUUUGAGACUCGGACACGACUCGGAUGUGCUUUAAGGUAACUCCUUUUUAGACAUUAAAGCCCAUCCGAGUAAUUCCGUCUCUGCAUCACUCCUCCAGAUGAGCCGGAUAGUCUAUUACAUUUUGAUAGAAGAAUAUAAAAACAUUUGAUUAUUACUCAUUGCAUGACAUCUAACAUCCUUAAAAGCAUGCACAAUAUAACAUGUGAAGUUCCAUCGACUUUUUCAAAAUCACGGUCGUCACAGUUAUUGCAGAUUCUUCUUACUACGUUCCCCUUAUUCAAACUGAUCAGUAUGAGCGGUUGAACUGGUUAAACCUGGUGGAAUUUGAUAGUUCUCUCUCUCUCAUAUGUCUCACUUUCUGUAUCUUUUACAUCUGGCCUCUCUUGCAGAACAAUUCAAGGCUAUCAUCUACAGUCCUCGCUCACUUUCCUUGUUUAUUUCCCUCAUAAAAGUUCUCGGCGAGGCUUGUUUAGGGGUCUUCUCUCUCCAAACUUGCACCCCUCUUUGCAUCUCGGCGCGCAGAAGGUAAUUGCUUUUUCAUCUCUUAUUAGCGUGUCAUUUCUGUUGAUUUGUUGCGGCUAAACUAGCGUGGUUUGGGCUCUUUUUGUCUGAUGUGGGUGGCUGUUAACUUGGUGUGUCACCAGCUCAUAAUUGACUUCCGUAGAAAAGGGAAGCCUUUGCUUUUAGACCUUAGAUGUGACUAAUCAUAUGGCCUCUGUCUCAUUGUUCAUUUUUAUCGUAACUUAGGCUCCGUUCAUUUUGCGGAAAAUAAUCUCCCAUAAAAUAUUUUUCGGAUUUUCUAGCGUUCAUUUAAUGGGAAAUGAAUUCCAUUGGAAAAAUAUUUUUCAUGAAAAGAAAAAAGUCUUCUAAAUUAGGGGAAAAUAUUUCACUUUUCAAAAAUAAAAAAUAUUUUCGUCACUUGAUUUCUCUUAUCUCACACUUCUAUAAAUUCCCACUUCCUCCUCUCCUUUAUUCUUUUUUUUUAUUCGAAUUAUUUUCUAAUUUUCUAAUUUUCUUUUUUAAUUCAAAUUAUUUUUAAAAGGGAAUUUCCAUUUCCUCCUCACUUGAUCUCUUUUAUCUCACUUGAUUCAUUUUGCGCGACAUUGCUAAUAUGUAAGGUCAUUGGGGAACAAAUAAAAGAGAAAUAGCAAAGAGCUUUUGUUCAUCUCUAUCUCAUUUCCAAAUUCAUUUAGAAUGACAAUUUGAAAUUAAAAUGUAAGAUCACAUUCCUAAUCACUAACUAGGCCCUUUCUUCAUAUCUUCCACACAUUUCCAAUUUCGUUUGAACUCUUUUAUCAGCUUUUAAAUGAUUUAUCAAAUUAUGAUUUUUAAUAAUCAAACAAGAACAGAACCUUUGCUUAUUUAUUUUAAUGAACGCAACUUGCUUGUACACAGAUUCUAGCUUUUUAUAGCCCAAGCAAGAAUUUAACAUCGUGAGCGGACCAAGCCAACAUCUUUUGGCUUGACUAGAGGGUGAGAUGCAAAAGAAGAUAAGGCAAGGACUAAAAGCAUCUGCAACUGCUUCUGUUCAAUCAAUUACAAAUUUAAUUAAAGAUUUUAUGUUAAUCUGUUCUUGCUUGGUAAAAAUUUUUUGGUGGGGCCAAGACUUAUGGAUGAAUAUGUAUUUUUUUUUAAAAUAAUUGGGUUUAAGCAUAAUUUCCGAGAGUUGGCCCGGGCGGCUCACCCUUAGCCCCGCAUUAAAUCCACCCAUAUUGUCAGACAUUUUGGAUGUGGCAGGAGAAGAACUAAACAAGGAGAAAACUCAGGAGGGCAUGGGGAAUAGAUAUUGCUGAGAGAGUUGAAAACUUAAUUAGUGGAGGUUAGGGAAAUGAAGAAAAUAAGAAUAGAAGAAAAUUAUUAGUAAUGAGGGCGAGGAUAUGGACAUGGAUGACCCAUUUAGCAACAAUGGUUCCGGAAGGCCUACCAUUGCUGGGGGAGAGUUCACUCUCAUUUUUUUUUUUUCCUUUUUGGUUGGGUCAAAAGCUAACUUUCAUUGAGAUUGCGUGAACAAAAAUGCUUGGAGAGAAAGAGUUUGCCUAUUUUGACUAUUCACUUUUCUAAUUUUACAUAACAAUUUCUUAUUUAACGAUUCACAAAUUUGAUUGCUAUUUCCUUUAAAUUGUUUCCUUUUUAAUUGAUUACGAAGAUUUGAUAUUAGAUUCUAUGAAUAUCAAUAAUCAACACUUUGAUGAAGGCAGAGAUCGAUGUAUAUGCAUGUACUUUCAAAUAGAUGCUUACAUUAAACCACUGAUCAAAGGCAUGAUUGGAGCAAAUAUGAAAAUUUUCUAGAGGACCCGAGUGCAUAUGACCUUAAUAAAUCUGAACCUUUGUUAUUAUUGAGUCUCAUGUGAAAACCACAUAAUAUAAGAGGGAAGAUUCAUUAGGGGCAUAUGGAUUUGAGAAUGCCUAAUGAAAUAUAGGCAUCAACAUGUUAGCUUUAGUUAAUUUUACAUGUGGGCGACAUGUUUAAUUUGUGACCAACCAAUAAGAGACAAUUAAUGAAAAUCUCCUCGAUUAGGAAAGUCCAUGCAUCAAGAGGAUGAGGUCCAUGGGAAAGAGAAGAUGUGCAUUACACUGCUCUAAAACAACAACUUGUAAUAUUGGAUUAAUCAAUAGACACCCCUCUAAGAAAACUCAAUUCAUUAAAUAUUGUGUACAUUCGGAAAUCAGGUGCUUUCUAUCUAGCCAUUUCACUUGUUUAUCUACAUCUUUUAGUGGAGCAGGAAGGCAUCUUCUCUUCAUUAAACAUUUUAGUGUUAGUAAUCGUUCAUAAUGCAUGUGCUCUCCACCAAAGAUUAGGAGCCUUGACUAUAGAGCACGCAUGUAGAGAUGAAGACUAGCCAUUUUUUUCUUGUCCAUGAGUGGACACAUACCAAUGAUGUUGCCUUGACGAGAAAGCGCGGUCCAUUGGAAAGAAAAGAUGCACGCCUAAGUCAAUAACUUU